rnacentral:lncRNA from 1 species
UUUUUUAUUUUUUUUUUGCUCUUUUUGCUUAAUUUCAUAUAUUUAUUUAAGUUCCUUUUUGAUCAUUUGAAAGGCACUUAAAUGCCACAAUUGUAAUAGUUAGGCUAUUAUAUCAUUUCAUUUAAUUCCUUCCCUCUUAGAUUGUAGUAGGUUUCUCCCCCCGAAUGUAAUAGUUAGGGUUUUAUUUGUUUUACUUGCCUUAUGUGUGUUGCAUGCCUAUGUGCUAUGUGUUACCGCUUUCUUAGGCUUUGGCAUCUAGAUAUGCAUGCUUAUGUGUUAUGUGAAUUACGUGCUCACAUGUCUACUUGCUUUAAUUAUGCACAUUACUUAUAUAUGUGUAUGAUGGAUGCAAAUGCACGAAACCGUGGCUAGUCCAACGCUAGUCAUGGUUGUCCCCUCGAGCCCUUACAAGUCCAAUGCUUGUGAGAGAGCGCUAGUGAAGGACUAGUCCAAUGCUAGAUCCAAUAGGACCGUCCCUCGUUAGUACAUACUUGCAUGCCUUCAUUACAUCUUCAUUCAUUCUUUCCUUUUAGUUUUACACUUUUGCAUGACCCUUCACUCUCUUUCCCUUACAUAUUUAGGAUUACAUUUUCAUUUAGAUUAGUUCAUUUGCUUGUAUAGGUUAGGGAGUCACUCUUUUGGUAAGGGGGAUGGACGAGUUUGGCUAUACAUAGCCUUAGCACGCUCAUUCUUUUUCUAACCAAAAGGAAAAUUAAGUCACGAACAUUAGUCCCCCGUACCCGUCUUGCUUGCAUUCCUCUAGGGUUCAUGCAUUUCAUUUAUCCACUAUCACAUGCACUUUUACUUCAUAUUCUAUCCCUUUUUUCACAUUUUCACUUCACACAACUUUUAUUUUGCACGUUUUCACUCUGCCACUUACAUUUUAUAUACUAUCACGUGCACGCACGCACUUCAUACUAUCACUCUACUCACCUUACUUUGCACAUCCAUUUGUACACUUCCACUUACACACUAUUAUUUUUAUUACUUUUUCACUUCACGCAAACUCAUAUUUUCACAUUGCAUACAUUCAUUCCACUCAUUUUUCCGUCAUUAGCAUUAUUCGUGACCUCUCCAAAGAGUCAUUAUGGGCAUCACUAUUAAGUGAUUGGCACCACUCAAGUUUUGAGAGAAAUUUUGCCCGAUGUUCCCCUAGGUCUAGGUUUUGCAUUCAUAUAGUGCAUUCAAAUGUGAUAAAUUCUUUGGUUAAAAAUAAGAAAAUUCUUGACUAAAUCACGCAACUAGCCUUGGUUAGGUCGAAGGGGUGCCUUGGAUUUUUAUCCUUGCUUCCCCUUCGUCAAAUGUGACUCCCGAACCUUUCCUUUGAUUUUCGUGACUAGGAGUCGUUUAAAAGGGGUUUUUCUACUUUUUUCCUUUGAAAACUCAUUUUUAGGUGACUUGGUACACCUUAACUCAAUAUCAAGUGGCGACUCGCGAUUUUUGUUCAAAAAACCCUUUUUAAACUAUUAUUUUGGGUCAAAUCGUCGCAUUUCAAGUCCAUUUAGACCCAUAUUUUUCCCAUUUUCUUUGUAAAUAAAAUUCACUUUUCAAACUGUUUAUUUUUCUUGUAAAAAUGGGGCGCGACACAUUUGCUUUGGAUAAUAAUGCAUAUAUUUCAUUAGCAAAGAUUAGCUCAUUUCAUGUUUUUAUCAUGAACAUUGUAUGGUUCCACAUGCUCGAUCAUUUUUCCUUUUUUCUUGACUUGCAUGUUUUCUUCUAGUUGAUUGCAACUGUUUAUUUUUAAGAAAUUUUAUUUGUUUUGAUUUUGUCUUUUUCAGGGUGCAAUAAGUGAACUCUCCAUUCUUUAUCAAAUAUACGGUUGGAAAUUUAUCACAUUGCUAUGGAUUUGGAUCGCGCAAGUCAUAAGGGGAGUAUUUUCUUUUACUCUUUAUUUAUUUUCCUUUCCUCACAUUGAGGACAAUGUGAAAUUUAAGUGUGGGGGGUGGGGGGAAAUACUGGACUUGCAUUUUAAUGCUAUGUGAUGAUAUUUUGUGAAUCUAAAUACUUAGAAAUGUUGGAAUUGUGUUUGAAUUAUUUGCCAUAUGGAUAAUUUGCUUGAAAUUUGGUUUGUUGGCAGGGAGUUUUCAUCCAUUUAUAAGGGGAAACUCUGUCAAAUUUUUUAAAAAUCUUUCCAAUAUUUCACUAUGGCCCAAAAGUUCUUCAAAUUUUUGCAUUUUCAUUCAAAAGGGCUAAUUUGUUCCAACCUUAAGAGAUUAAUUCUUCAAUUAUUGAAACUUUAUGUGUAUUUUGGAAAGUUUAGUUCUCAUUUAACUAGGAAAUAGUUAUUAUGCAAUUAGAAUUUUUACAUUUUAGAAAGUAUAUUUGGUAAAGUAAAGAAAUUAUGCCUAUAAUUUUACAUGUUUAAUGAGAUUUCUUCUCUUUACUUAAUUUUACAACUAAGUGAUUGAUAUAGUCAAUAAAGGUUAUACUCCUCCUUUGAUUAUUUUUAUAUCAUUUUCUAUGAGGGAAAAUCUAUUUAUUUUCUUAUAAAAAAAAGAGAGAAAAAAUAUAUAUAAUAAAAGAAAAAAGAAAAGAAAAGAAAGUAAAUAAAAUUUAUUCUACUCCAAUGAUUCUCGUACCGAGUAACUGGGGAUUGGCAUCUAAAAAUGUCGAUUUUUACAUAAAAAGGUAUUUGAAUUAAGAUUAUGCAUAGCAACUUGAAUAGGUGAAAUGUUGAGUAACUGGGGAUCUUCACCUAAAAGUGUCGAUUUUCGUGUAAAAAGGCAUUCUCACUAUUUAAGUAAAAAUUAGUAUGAAUAAAUCCCUCUUAGUUAUAGAAUUUUGAGAAAAGAUGAUUAUAGGAGGAGGAAGGAUAUAAAUUGACUAUGUGAUUUGCUUAUUGUAAAAUUAAGUUAGGGUAAGAGAUUAAAUUUAACUUGUUGAAUUUAGGGUAUAAUUAUCUUUCCUUUACUUGAUAUUAUGAGUAUUUAGUGUAAUUUGAACAAUGAUAUAAUGAUUAUUUUUCAAGUCUUGAGGAAUUAAAUUGGACAAAGUGCAUAUAUUGUUUCACCUCUUGAAUCAUUGUAGUUGAUUAUGUGUGGAUUGCUUGAGGACAAGCAAUGAUUUAAGUGUAGGGGAGUUUGAUAAGUGACUAAUUUACGUAAUAAUUGUAUGAUAUUUUAUAUUAUUUUUAGUCACUUUAGUUAUAUUAUUGGAAGAAAAUAAAUCGUUUUGGCUAUAAUUGGUGAAAAAUGUUUUUAAGUGAUUAAAUGAGAUUUUUAUCACUUUUUAGUGGGAUUUUGUGCAUUUUGACAAUUUUGACACAUUUUUGUAUUUUGGCUAUAACUAGGGCUACAAUGAUCAGAUUGCGAUGAUUUUUAAACCAAUUUGAAGAUAAGAGAUAGAUCUACAACUUUGGUGAAGACAUCUGAAUCCAGUUUGAAGGUUUCCAAAGUCAAAAAUCUGAAUUACAAUAGCAAAUUUCUACUGGUCGAAGCUGAAACAGGGCAAUGAGCAGUCAAGGGUAUUUUGGUCAUUUUUCAGCCUACACAGAUCCAAAUGAGGUGAUUCUUGAUGCAUUGGAAAGAUAAGUCAAAGGGAUACAAGUUUCAUGUUUUGGUCAGGAGCUAAAUCAGCUUUUAUCAUCAAGAAACGUUCAGUGGAAGUUGAUACAAAAUCGGAGCAGAGCUGGAAAUUGAACCAGAAGUGACCAAAUGGUCACUGUAGCAAUCCGGCCAGAAUUUGGCCGGAUUUGUGGCCGAAUUGUGGUUAGAAAAGGCUGCUAUGUACGCAUAAAACUCAAUUUCAUCUCCACCAACUCACAUGUGAUGCUAGACUUGUGAGAAACAUUCCCAACUGUAAAAGAGAGGUGUAAACCUCAAGUCUUGACCAAUCUUUCAUCUAUAUAUAGUCAAAUUCAUUGCAAAAUUGAAGGAUAUAGAGAGACAUACGGGAGAACUUGGAGAGUGCAGAAAUGUAGCUCUUUCAUCUUCCUAGUGUUAGUUUAGCUUAGUGUAGAAUAGUAUAGAUCAUCCAUUCUUGUAUCUUGGCUAGAUUAGGAUGAAGAUGGAGGAAUUGAAGCUCAAGUGACAAGGGUUAUUUCUUCUCCAACUCUUUAUGCUUUGUAUCAGAUUCUUAAGUUUGUUUAAUAUACAAGUUCUGGAUUUUGUGUUUAUUAUAUGUUUUUAAAGUUUAUACCUUGGGUUUGGUUGAACUUUCUAUGAUUGUUAGUGUUUAUUAUUUGGUUAUUUGAUUGCUAUGAUUUGAGCAAGUUAUUUAGCACUUUGGCUCUUUAAAUCAUGAUUAAUCUGGUACCAUUAAUUGUGAUUAUCUAAGGUGUUGUUUCUGCAAUGAAAAUUGAGAUUUAACACUAGUUCAAGAAGUGCUAAACAUAGGGAGUACACUCACGAAAGUAGAGGUGCACCUAUAUGGUUUUUAGUGAUUCAUUUCAUGUAAUUUCACUGAAAAAAUGAACUUGUAGCUAAUUUCAUAACCAUGAGAAUAGGUAUGGAUUAGUUAUAAGUAUAAUUGAUUAACUACGAAAGUAAGAUUCGAAUACAUAAGAAAAUUACACCAUAGCUAGCCUAGAUGUAGUAUUCAAUGAUCCAAAUAUAGCACUUGUAUGAGUAGUUAGGGAUACCACAACCUAAGGAGCUUUUAUUUGUUAUUUCAGUAGGUUAAAUUUGUUAUAAUUCAUUGAUAUUCUAAAUAAUAGAGAAACUUUAGUUAUACCGGUAUGUGUUCACUCUUCCCUGUGGGAUCGACCCGAUAUAUACCCUAAACUAUUAGUUGAUCUGUAUACUUGCAGUGAAUGGGUGUAAUUCGAUUUUUUUUAACUUGUACGUAUGUAAAAUACCCAUCAAUUGCUAGCAAAUAGUCAAGGCGUUUUGCUAGGAAAAAUAGCGCAUCCUCACCAAUAGUAUAGAUUUAGCAAGGAGUCUUUUGACAAAUCUGCAAUGCCCCGCGUACCAAUAAAACAUUUUUUGCCAGGAAAGUUUCCUCUCUAAUAAGCAAUAAUUGAUUAUUGCCUAACUGUUUGGUGGGAAAAUGUUCCUCUCCAAUGCUAUUAUGAACAUUUCUUAAUCCAUUUAGCAUGCUAAUCUUAAUUCUCUGAGCGAAUUACUGGGUGGUUUUAUUAGAAAAUUUAGCUGCAAAUAGCUUCAAUUUGGCUUCUCAUGUGUCUAUUGUACAUUUUCCAGUUCUUAUAAGUAUCAAAUUGUUUGGCAAAAAUUUUUUUUACAUGACCAACGUAGCUGCUCAUUAAAUUUAAACUCAUAAGCCCUAGUAUUUGAUAGCUUUUUGGAAUAUCACUUGGUGCCAACAACCCCUUUUGCUACUUUGAUAAACAUUCAAUAGAAAACAUACAACAGCUUUGGUUAGCUAAAAAUAAUUGCUAGCAAAGUAAUACAUCAACAUCCAGCUCUUUCAACAUCUUGAGCCAUACAAAUAGGAAGUGCUUGAAAUCAAUUGGCAAUCCAAAUUUUUUUAGCUCAUUAACUAUCCAAGAAAUCGCAACUUCAAUAAGUCAUUACAAAAGAAGAUUUCAUCAAGAGAACACCGGAGAAAUAUAGAAGAGAGAGAGAGUUAAACUAAUCAUAUGGACACAUAUUUGUCACCUCAGUAUUUCCAAUUCCUUAAUUCAGUCCAGUUAUCUUGGAACUCUAUCGACAUCCAUGGAACAUUUUUUGAAUGACAAUAUGCUGUUGCAACAUUCUGGUGGAGACUUCAAAGGUUCUAUGAUAGGUUGCAUUUUUGUCAUUAAUUCUAUGAUUAUUUUCCUCGUUUAUAUUACCAAAUAUUGUAUUAAUUGAUUGAUUCUACUUAUAUUUGGUAUUUUGUGUCAAUUGUAGGAAGGUGGAGAAAAAAGUAAUAAAAGAGGUGAUUUUUCAAGAGUUUUCCAAUUCAAGAUGGAGUUUACGUGGAGUAUUGGAUGAAAAUUAGGAAACUACCACUUUUUAUUAGAUGUCUUAUUAGGGAACAAUUAGCAAUAGUUGGAGAAGUUUCCUUUUGCAAUUAGAAUUCUAUUUUUAGUUGGCCAAUGGACUGCUGAAGUAAUGGACUUCAAUUAGGAAACAAACAGAGAAAAAAGGCCGGAAUCCCGCAUGAUUACUACCUUGGAGGGAACAAGAAAAAGGAGACGUCCGCUGGUCUCUUCUUUAGUGAGUCUUUUGGGAAAAACCAAUGGUUAUCGAUGGAGUUUUGCAGAUCUCUCCUGAGGAUAUGUAGCUAAAUCUCCGUUUUCUAGUCGAAUGUCAAUUUGAGGACUCGAUUCCAAACAUAUUGAUAAGAGAAUAUUUAAUGUACAUUUUGUACAAGUUUGGCAUGAACUUUUGGUAUGUUUUGAGAAGAUUAAAGCCAUAUUUGAAUUCUUUUGGUGAUAAAUGCUUAAAUAUUGUUUAAGUGUCCAAAAUUUGAUAAAUGAGUGGAUUAAUGCGUUAAUUUUGUGAAAUUGUGAAGGAUAUUGAUAUAUGAAAUUCAUGCACGAGAUGAAGGAAAUGUAAGGAUCGUCCAAAGGAUAAAGUACAAAAGAAACUAGGAGCAAAAAUGAAGAAAAAGAAAGAAGUGAAAAACUGGAAAUUGAUCAGCACAGAUCUGAGCUCGGAUCCAUGUGAACAAAGGGCGAUCCGAGCCCUCCUCUGUACUUCUGAAGCAGUGCAUUCGAGUCCAGACAAUCCAAGCUCGGAUCAUUAAGAGAAAGACCUCAGAUCAGCCUUGAUCCGAGCUCGGAUCGUAGUGCACACCUCGGAUCCAGGGCGCGAAUCUGCCUCUCUCUUCUGCAAGUGGCAAUGCCGUUUUUUCUCAUUUUUCACACAACUUUCCAGCUAUCUUGGGUGAGAGAAUUCGAUGGCACAUGCUUCUGCAACAAAAGGAAAGACAAAAUGAGUUAUUGACAAGUCAAAACAACAUUUCUUUUGACUUUCUUUACAAAAUCUGAGUUGUUGGAAUCAUGAAGGAGAACAAAUUGCCUUUCUACCACCUUUUAUGCAGAGAACCAAGGAGAAGUCAGGCAUCACCAUAUGGAAGGAGUUUUUCAUCUUGUAACAUUUUUCUCUCUAACUAGAAGUUCUAAAAACAAGCACUUGGAGAUUUCACUUGUAAUCAUCUUGUACAAGACAUAGCAGAAAUUUGAGGGUUUCACCAUUAAUUGGCUAAGCUUUUCUUUAUCUUUCUUGUACUUGUACUUUAUGAUGUUUUGCAUUAAUAAACUUGUGAGUUUGAUUGUCAUAAUAUCAUUCAUGAGUAGCUAAAUUUCUUUAUCUAGAGAGUAGAUGAAACUUAUGGCUAAAUGAUAUGAAUUGAAUGUGAUUUACACUUGUUAUAUCUUGUAUUAACUUGUCUAUUUGUGCAGUUGUAAUUACUUGUUGUUGUUUGAUCACCAAUAGCAUGUUUAUAGUUGUUAUUAGUCAAUGAGAAUUGGUAGUAACAAUGAAAAAAAUAUGAGUAGAGCUUGAGUUGUAUGUUCAUGAAAAUAGAUGUACACUUAAGUGGAUUAGCUAGCAUUUCAUGAAGGAAAACAGAGUAGAACUAGUAGUUCACCAUGAAUAUAGGGAAAACUGGAUUGCUCUAGGGCAUUUUAUCAUGAGAAUGAGAUUUGAUAAUAUUAGAAAUGAAUCCCUAAUUAAACAACAAUAAUAACAAGAGGUAAAUCUAUUCAUUUAUGUUGUUUAUGCCAUAAGUAGAAUCAACAUCCCUAGAUUUUUUCUUGAGUGAAAUUUAUCCAUUUACAUUUAGCAUUUGUUAAACUAGAUUUAUAGACAAUAGCAUUAUAAUUUAUCUGCUCAAAUUCAUUUAUAAGUCUAAAUAAUAGAGAAAAUAAGGUCCUAGUACUUGUUUAAAUUGCUCCUCGUGGGAUCGACUCGAUACAUACCUUACAUUACGAUUUCGACCUGUAUAGUUGCAGUCAACGGGUAUAAAAUCGAAUUCAAACUUGUAUUGAUAUAAAAAUUCCAUCAAAUUUUUGGUGCCGUUGCCGGGAGCGGCAAUAUUAGGGUCUAAUCAUUUCUAUUAAUUUAGACAUUUCUAUUGUUUUUAAGUUGUUUAUAGUUGAUUUUGCAUUAAUUUAGUUUUUGACAAUUAAAGCUGCAUAAUUUCUCUUAUUUCUAUUUGUAGUAUAUGCAUCGAACAUAUCGAAAAGUUGCACCUUUCGAUCCAGAAAUUGAGAGGACACUUCUUAGACAAAUGAGGAAUAUACCGCAUCAAGAGAAACAAGAGCUUUGGCAGCUAAUAGAGGAAAUUUUGAUAGAGCUACCAUUUGAGGAAGAAAUGGCGGAAAACAAACCAAAUAGACGAGUUCUACGAGAUUUUGCUUUACCGGAGACACAAAGAUCUCAAACUAGCAUUGCAAGACCAACGGUAAAUGCUAAUAAUUUUAAAAUUAAACCAUCACUGAUUCAAAUGGUUCAACAAUCUCAAUAUGGAGGUAAUGCUACCAAAGAUCCAAAUUCUCACUUGUCAACAUUUCUUGAAAUCUGUGAUACAAUUAAGUUUAAUGGUGUUAGUGAUGAUACAAUUAAACUUCGAUUGUUUUCAUUUUCGCUAAGGGACAAGGCCAAGGUUUGAUUACAAUCUCAUCCUCCAAACACUUUUACUACUUAUGCUGAAUUAGUUAAGGCUUUUCUUAAUAAAUUCUUUCCACUUGGAAAAACUGCUAAACUUAGAAUGAAUAUAACUAGUUUCUCUCAAUAGAAAGAAGAGACAUUGUACGAAGGUUGGGAGCGCUAUCGGGAAUUACAACGAAGAUGUCCUCAUCAUGGUUUACUAGAUUGGCUUAUAGUGCAAACAUUUUACAAUGGUCUCACUUAUCCAACAAAGACGCAUGUAGAUGCAGCAGCGGGAGAAGCAUUGAUGGGAAAGUCAGCCAAGGAAGCUCAACAAUUGAUUGAAGAAAUGGCUGCUAAUAACUACCAAUGGGUCCAACGAACGAGAUAAUACAAGGAGAACCGCAGGUAUACUCGAAGUAGAUACCUUGAAUAUGUUAAGUGCAAAGAUGGAUAAUGUGGUUAAGAUGCUUAAUAGGCAUGUUAGUUCUAACUCUAAUCAAGGAGUAGUUGUUACAUGUUCUACUACUUGCAGCGGAGAUCAUGAUGAUUCUAUGUGUUCUAGCAGCGAACAAGUUCAAUAUAUCAACAAUUACAACCGUCCACCCCAAAAUAAUCUAUACUCUAAUACCUACAAUCCAGGAUGGCGUAAUCAUCCGAAUUUUGGAUGGAAGGAUCAAGGGAACCAACAAAGACUAGUUAAUCCACCGAAUUUUCAACUGAAGCAACCACUUUCGGAGUCCAAACCAGCUUGGGAAUUGAUAAUUAAGAAGCUGGCAAAUGUAUCAAAUGAUAAAAUUGAAAAGUUAGCUAGUGCCACUACUCAACGGUUUAAAAGAAUUGAGGGAAGGAUGGACCAACUCACCAAUAUGUACAGGAAUGUUGAGAUCCAAUUAUGGCAAAUAGCAAAUGCAGUUAACAAUUGCAACCAAAGGGAUUUACCUAACAAGACUGAGCUGAACCCAAGGGAGCAUGUGAAGGCCAUAACCCUCCGUAGUGGUAAGGAAGUAGGUGAGUCACCUGUAGUUGAAAGUGAGAGAAAAUAUGAAAGAAGAAAAAACAAGCAGUUGAGUGAGUUAGGAGAUGAUAACAAAACAAUUGAUGGGAAAGAAAAGGUAGAAGAGUGUGAGCCACAAAUUGAAGCGGCAACACCAAUUCCUCCACCGGUGCCAUUUCCUCAAAGAUUGAAACCUUCAAGAAAUGACAAAGAAUUUGAGAAGUUUGUCAACAUUUUCAAACAAUUACAUAUUAACAUUCCUUUUGUUGAUGCUAUUUUGCAGAUUCCUUCAUAUGCAAAGUUUCUCAAAGAAAUAAUGACUAAGAAAAGGAGGUUAGUAGAUAGUGAAAUAAUUGCAUUAACGAAAGAAUGUAGUGCCAUCAUACAAAAUAAAUUGCCACCAAAGUUGAAAGAUCCGUGGAGUUUCACAGUUCCUUGCACUAUCGGUAAUGUAGAAUUCUCUAAAGUACUAUGUGACCUUGGUGCGGGUGUUUCAUUGAUUCCUUUAACAGUGGCUAGGCAAUUGGGGUUGAAAGAGUUAAACCGUACUAACAUUUCCUUGCAAUUGGCUGACAGGUCUAUUAGAUAUCCAAUGGGCAUUUUGGAGAAUGUGCUUAUUAAAGUGCAGAAAUUCAUUAUCCUGUUGAUUUUAUUGUUUUAGAUAUAGAGGAAGAUGUCAAUGUACCUAUUAUACUUGGUAGAUCAUUUCUGACCACUGCAGACACAAUAAUAGAUGUUAAACGUGGUAAGUUUAAGUUCCAAAUUGGUGAAGAGGAAGUGGAGUUUGAUUUGAGUAAAGUGGAGAAGUAUCCCUCUUUUACUGACCAUAUUUAUUCUAUUGACAUAUGUGAUGAAUUAGCAUUAAAGAUAAGUCAAGUUAAUCUUGAUGAUGAUUCUCUUGAACUCUGUCUUAAUGAUGUAGGCUUACAAGAGAAACAAGUUGAAGAAAUGACUGAAUUUUCGCGGGCACAAGUUCCUUAUAAAAGGAGAAAUGCGUAUGAGGAGUUAGGGCUGAACAAAGGGCUACCUCUACCAUCGUGUGAGCAAGCUCCAUGGCUUGAGUUUAAGCCACUCUCUAAACACUUCAAAUAUGCAUUUUUUGGAGAAAAUGAGACAUUACCGGUUAUUGUCAAUACUGCACUACAUGAGGAACAACUAGGAAAGUUUUUACGUGUUUUGAGGAAGCAUUUAAAGGCUAUAGGAUGGACAAUUUCUGAUAUCAAAGAAAUUAGUCCAACUAUUUGUAUGCACAGAUUUUGUUAGAAGAAAAUUCUAAACCGAUGGUUAAAAUUCAAAGAAGGUUAAAUCCAAACAUGAAAGAAGUGAUAAGAGUACAAAUCUUUAAAUGGUUGGAUGCAGGUAUAAUUUUUCCAAUCUCUGAUAGUGUUUGUAUUUCUCCUAUUUAUGUAGUGCUAAAGAAAAGGGGAAUAACCAUAGUGUGGUAAAAAUGAUGAAAUGAUUUCCUCUAGAGUUGUAGUUGGGUGACGAGUCUGUACUAAUUAUAGAAACUGAAUGCAGCUACUAGAAAGGAUCAUUUCCCUUUUCCUUUUCUUGAUCAAAUGGUAGAAAGAUUGGCUGGAUAUGAAUUUUUUGUUUCUUGGAUGGUUUUUCAGGAUACAAUCAAAUAGUCAUUGCACCGAAAGAUCAAGAUAAAACCACAUUCACUUGUCCUUACGGCACUUUUGCAUUUCGAAGAAUGCCUUUUUUGACUAUAUAAUCCACCGGCCACUUUCCAAUAUUGCAUGAUGGCAAUUUUCUCUGAUUUUAAUGAGAAAAUCAUGAAAAUCUUCAUGAAUGAUUUUUCUGUAUUUGGAUCUACUUAUGAUCAUUGCCUUAACCAUUUAGAUCUAAUUUUGCAGAGAUUUGAAGAAACAAACCUUGUACUCAAUUGGAAAAAAUGUCACUUUAUGGUUUGUGAGGGUAUUGUUCUAGGCACAAAAUUUCUUCAUAAGGUAUUGAGAUAGAUCAAGCCAAGAUAGAGUGUUGGCCUAAUCAGCAACAUCCCUCAGAUCCCGGCUCGAAGGACUAACCGCCCAGCCCGUGGCACCUAGGGGUGCAGCCCUCAUGCUGGCCGAGCGUGGUACGGUGCUUUGCGCUGCCAUUGUGGUUAAGGAAAUAAAGUUGCACCUUCGCUAACUGCUAUAGCUUUUGGUGCAAUGGUAAGCGCUUGAUCCUUACAUAGAGGUUAUUGAGAGAAUGCCUCCACCUACCAAUGUGAAAGGCAUUCGAAAUUUUCUUGAACACGUGAAAUUUUAUCGGCAGUUUAUUAAGGAUUUCUCCAAGACUGCUAAACCUUUAUGUAAAUUACUUGCAAAAGAUAUUACUUUUCAUUUUAAUGAUGAGUGUUUAUUUGCUUUUAAUAGGUUGAAGAAGAAACUUGUCUCCACACCCAUAAUAGCAUCACCGGAUUGGAGCUUGCAAUUCAAAUUGAUGUGUGAUGCGAGUGAUUUUGCAGUUGGAGUUGUUCUUGGAUAAAAACAUUAUAAGCAAUUUCAUGUCAUUUAUUAUGCAAGUAAAAUGUUAAAUGAAACCUAAGUCAACUAUGCAACAACAGAGAAGGAGUUGCUAGCAGUGAUAUUUGCAUUGGAUAAGUUUAGAUCGUAUUUAGUAAGAUCUAAAGUCAUCAUUUAUAUCGACCAUGCAGCAUUCAAAUAUCUCUUAAAUAAGAAAGAUGCAAAACCUGGACUAAUUCGAUGGAUUUUAUUAUUGCAGGAAUUUGAUUUGGAGAUCAAAGAUAAAAAAGAUCAGAGAACUUAGUCGCUGAUCAUCUUUCUAAACUGAAAAACAUGCUUCAAGAAGACCAUUCAUCCAUUAAAGAAGAAUUUCCAUAUGAGUUUUUUGAUGGCAAUUUAAAAGUCACCAUUGUAUGCUAAUUUAGUUAAUUUUGUAGUUAGUGGAGUGAUAUCAAGUGAUUUGAAUUCCCACCAAAGGAAAAAAUUCUUAAAUGAUGCUAAACAUUAUUUUUGGAAGAACCAUUCUUUUAUAAAUAUUGUGCAAAUGGAAUAAUUAGAAGAUGUGUUCCAGAAAAAGAGGUACACAGUAUUUUAAUGCAUUGUCAUACCCUUGAAACGGGAGGUCAUUUUAGUACAACUAAAACGUAGCAAAGGUAUGACAAUCUGGAUUUUACUGGCCUACUAUAUACCGAGAUGCUAGAAAUUGGGUUAAAAGUUGUGAUUAAUGCCAAAGAACUGGUAACAUCUCUAGAAAGAUGAAAUGCCUUUAACUACAUAUUUGGAAGUUGAGCUAUUUGAUGUUUGGGGUAUUGAUUUUAUGGGACCAUUUCUGGUUCGUUUAAUAAUAAGUACAUCUUAGUAGCAGUGGAUUAUGUUUCUAAAUGGGUAGAGGCAAUUGUUUCACCUACUAAUGACUCUAAGGUUGUACUCCGGUUUCUUAAAAAGAAUAUUAUUUGCAGAUUUGGUAUCUCAAAGGCCAUAGUUAGUGAUAAAGGAAAAUAUUUUUGUAAUAAACAACUUCACUCCUUAUUGUUUAAAUAUGGCUGCAGGCACAAGACAUCACUUCUGUACCAUCCUCAAGCCAAUGGACAAGCGAAACUAGCUAAUUGAGAGAUAAAGCUCAUUUUGGAGAAAACUGUAACUAAAUCAUGCAAAAAUUGGGCUACAAAGCUAGAUGAUGUACUAUGGACUUACCGAACGGCAUUUAAGACACUUUAGGGAUGUCGCCGUAUCGUUUAGUCUAUGGAAAACUUGUCACUUACCUGUAGAGAUUGAACAUAAAGUUUAUUGGGCUAUUAAAGCAAUUAACAUGGACUUUAAUCUUUCAGGUGGAAGGAGGCUACUUGAGUUAAGUGAAUUGGAGGAACACCGGUUACAUGCGUAUGAAAAUGCUAAAAUUUAUAAAGGGAAGAUCAAAUAUUGGCAUGAUAAAUAUAUUCUUCCUAAGCAUUUUGAAGAAGGGCAAAAGGUGUUAUUGUUUAACUCAAGACUUAAAUUGUUCCCUGGAAAGCUUAAGUCUCGAUGGUCCGGACCAUUUGAAAUAGUUCGCACAUUUCUUAUGGAGCGGUGGAAAUAAAAGGAGAAAAUGGUGUCCCAUUCAAGUGAAUGAUCAAAGAUUGAAGCUCUAUUUGGCUGGAGAAAGGGUUCCUAAAGGAGUGAUUUACUCCUUAGGAAAUACAAUGGAGAGUUAAGGAAGCUGUAGGAGAGUCGAGUUUAGCGACUUUAAAUAAAACACUUGUUGGGAGGCAACCCAAUAAUAAUAUUGUAGUUGUGUGUUUUUAUAUGUUUCUUAAAUUUUGGUGUUAUUUGAUUGACUAAUUAUAUGUAUUUCACUUGUUGUAGGGGGUGCCGGCAUUUCAACUUCCAUCUUGGAGGUGCACUUGAAGAACAAUAGUUAAAAGGGAAGUUUUCUUACCAAUUUCUAUUUUAAGUGUUUAAAAUUCCCUUUCAUGUAUAAUAUGUUGCAUUUCCAUUAUAUUCAAGUAAGUUUCAGUGAUAACAUGUUUAUACAUGCUCAUUGAUUCAUUUGAUUUGUAUCUCAUACCUAAGGGAGCCCUCUUAGUGUAAAAGCGCCAAAAUGAUCAAAGAAACUCACCCCUCGAUUUGCAAUGUAUAUGUGUUUGAUGUAUUUUGAGAGGUUGAUAUUGUGUUUAUGGUAUAUUACACUUGCGUGAAAGGGUAUAAUUGAUAGAAAUUUCGUCCAAGGUGUAAUUUGGAAAUUGUCGAAAAAGGGGGAAAAAGUUUGAAAAAUUGCAAUUUCUGAAAUUGUUGCAGAAAAAGCCUGAUCCGAGCUCGGAUCCGUUAAAGAUUCAAAGACGAAAUUGGCGAUCCGACCUCGGAUCCGAAGUUGUUCACUAUGAUCCGAGGGCUCAUCUGUGUUUCUAGAAGGCCGGAUCCGAGCCUAUAGGAUCCGAGCCUUGGUAUACACGAUCCGACCUCGGAUUGUGUAUUCUUGAAAAAUUCAGCAUAGGGGAUCUGAGCUUGGAUCCAACAAAAUCUAAUAGGAUCCGAGGGCUCAGCUGAACUUCUGAAGUAGCGGAUCUGAGGGAUGCCAGAACCGAUCUGACCUCGGAUCUGUGCGCGAUAAGAAACAAAUCCGAGGCUUUGAUUCUGCAUUUGUCCAAUUCUCCUUUUCCUAUUUCACCGAAAACCCUAGCCCUUCUUCACCAAUCUUCCAUUUCAUCCAAUAAUUAUUCAAUCUUUCACCACAAAAACAUCUCCCAACCUCUUGUGAUCAUAAACCCUCAACAAAUUCAUUUUAAAAACAUCAAUUUGGGGGUUUUGAUCUUCAAAACGGGAAUUCAGGCCGCACUGAAAUCUCACAAUUUGUGGUCGAAUUUGGGCUUGUUUCUUCAUCACUUUGUAUCAUUAUCAUCCUCCACCAUCAAUCUACACAUUUGAGGUAACAAUUUACAAUUUUUUUGAGAUUUUAUAAUUCCCAAUUUUACAUUUUUCUAGUUUUGGACAUAUUUUGGUAAUUGCUCAUAAGUUGAAAUUUCUUGAUACAAUUGUGCUACAUUGUGCUUAAAUAGAUUGUCACAACUAUUUUCAUGCUUAGUUUUGAGAGAAUUGUGGAUUUGGUAUUAUUUUGUAGAUUUUUCUUCUAAAAUUUUAGGUUAAUGCACAUGAACUCUUUAAUGAAUGAAAUUACUCCUCUAUGUGAACUACUUGCAUGCUUAAAAUUGAGAAAAUUGUUAUUAUAGUGAUAUUUUUGUAUAUUUUUCUCAAUUUUAAGUUUAAGUAUGUUAAAUCUUUUACUUGAAUAUUCCUUGUUCUUAGAGAUAAUUGGCAUUCAUUAAGAAGAAUUGGAGCUCAUUAGUUGGCAUUUUAGUGAUAAUGUGUAUAGCCAAUUAGUGUGUAAUUCUUGGAUAAAAUCAUGAGAUAAUUGGCCCGUACGUUCUUGAAGUAAUGAAAUUGAUCUUUUAAGAGUCCUUUUUACUUUGAGAUUAUAUUCUAUUGUUGAAAUAUGCAUCAAUUCUCAAGAGAUUGGACUUUUUAAUGAGAUUCUAAUUAAAAUAUGCUGUUCAAUUGUUGAAAGUGGAAUAUUCAAACCAUGUGUUGAGAUUGUAGAUUGAAAUUGAUAUCAUACAUGUGCAAUGAGUUUGUGAAUUGGUUAAAUACGAUAUGGUCGUGAAUUUGUUGAUUGUUGGCAGGGAGUUUCUUCCUUUUAUUGGGGGAAACUCUGCCGAAAUUUUCCCAAAUCAUUUUUAAACAUUGUUGGUCGUGUAUUUUCAAGGAAUUUAGAAUUCUUUUAAUGUGUGUUUGAUCUUAUUUUUGAUAUAGGUACCAUGGCUCGCACAAGACGAUCUCGUGUUCGUUUUUGAUAUAGGUACCAUGGCUCACACAAGACGAUCUCAUGUUCGCACUCCUUCACCUUCUUCAAGUGAAGAGCGUACUCCUUCAAUGCCUAAGGAGUCACCAGGGGAAGAAUCUCCUUAACCACAGUCGUCGCCACACUUACGGCGUAAGAGAGCAUCUACGAGACAUGAGAAGCCAACUCCAGAUUAUGACACCACUCAUUUUACCUCACUCGAGAAUCAAUAGUGGUACGAGACCGGUUUAGACAAAGAGUUCAUAAUUGAAAAACACUUGGCCCCGGAGGUGGAUGACCACUACAAGAUCUCCAUGGCAUUCAAGCGACUUGGAUGGGAGACUAUACUAAAUUUGCCGAAACAUUACUAUCCCAAUCUGGUCUGGGAGUUUUACGCCAAUGUGGAAGACAAAUAGAACCACAGUGGCAACCUCAUCAUCUCCUGGGUUCGAGGCAAGAGAGUGGCUCUCACUCGACAUACAAUCACCCAAAUCGUCAAACUAAAGGACAAUGGAGAAGAUGUUAAAUUGACCAAGGAAUUUAAGGCACGUGAUCCAUGGCAAGUCUGAGAAGCUGUGGCAUGUCUUAAGGGUCAAUAUCGAGAGCGAGAAAGUUCGAAAAGCUCAUUGUAUACGCCAAUUCCUUUGAGUAUAGGUACCACCUGAUCUUCUAUCUCUUCACGCUUCAAUGUGGUACCGAAAAGGAGUGAAAAAAGGGAGCUCGAAACGGUGACUUGUAUUUCCUCGAUAAUAUGAUGCACGGUGUGGGUAGGCUGCUGACUAGUAUUCCUCUGGCCAGCAUCAUCAUCAGUUACAUGUGUACUACAGCUCGCAUGAGAGCCGACGAAACUUGCUUUGGGUUCCCUCGUUUGCUCUCCCUUAUUUUUAAGCAACUCAAGGUUCCUCUGGGAACCGAGCGAGCCAUUAUUACUAGGGCAGCCGAGGAAGUCAAUGGCUUAGUACUCAGGUCCUUAGGUAUUCCUACGAAUUUUGGAGCUUCUCUAGUACGGGAUGUUGGAGAAGCAUUGACUUCCACUCAGCCUCCACCUCACACUGAACCACACCAGGAAGCUCAAGAGACGGAGGCACAGCAGACUCUCCCUCCUCCCAUUCCACGACCACCCCCUCCACAACGAUCCAAGUGGCAAGAGGCCCUCAAUGCCAUCUGCUGUAUAGAGACACAAGUCAUGGAGCGCAUUGAUCAGACAGAGCGGCUGAUGACGGAGCGACUAGACAGGCAUGAUCACCGUCUUCGAGCGAUCGAGGAUCAUUUCCACAUUCGCCGCUCCCCUACACUGAUUCCUGAGCCAAGGCCCAAUGAGGGGCAUGCAGAUCGUGAGGAGGGUGGUGGCAAUGCAGAUCAUGAGUAGGGCGGCAGCACUGAAGUGACUGAGCUUGGCGUCUCCUAUGCAUAAUUUACUCUCUUUUCGGCUUUUAUUUAGUUUUUCAUCUUUUAUUUUCAAUUUGGUGUUAACUUUUUGUUAUUUUUCUGUUUUUCUUAAAACUUGUGGAAUGGUCUCACUUUCUAUGGAUAUAUAUUUUUCCCUGCAUGCAGAAUUUGGCUAGUAGAAUUUGGAUGAUCGUGAUGAUCGUGGUUUCAAAUUGCAUCACUACUUUUUUUGAGGGGAGUAUUAGUUUCUUUUACCUUCCUCUACAAUAAGGAUAUUGUGAAUUUUAAGUGUGAGGGAGGGAUUACUUUAUCUUAUGGGGUGAUUAUGUUUUGAAGUGCAUGAUUUUAGUUGUUUAUGGCCUAGAAAUAUUGGAAUCAUAUUUGAAAAUAUUGUCAUGAAGAUAAUUUUCUUAAAUUGAGGCUAUUGGCAGGGAAUUUUAUCCAUUUAUAUGGGAAACUCUGUCAAAAUUUUUCUAAAAUAUUUUCAAUAUUUCUAAAAUAUUUUUCAAUAUUUCAUUACAAUUCUUUCCAAUAAUGGCCGAAAUGUUCAAUUUUAAAUGCCUAAUUCUUCCAUUGGAUAAAAUGUUAUAUGUAUUUUGGAAAGUUUAGUCUUAUUUGACUUGGCAUUAGUCAUUAUACAAUUAGGAUUUUUACAUUUUAGAAAGUAUAUUCGGUUAAAUAAGAAAAAUUAUACUUAGAAUUUUGCAGGUUUAAUGAUAUUUCUCAUUUUUACUUAAUUUUAUAAGUAAGUGAUUGAUAUAAUCAAAACAAGGCCAGAUUCAUCCUUUAAUUAUGCUCAGAGGGAAGAGAUUGAUUGUUUAAAAAAAAAAUUUCUACUCCAAUGAUUCGCAUACUGAGUAACCGGGGGUUAGCAUUUACAAAUGUCGACAUUCGCGUAAAAAGGUAUUGGAAUUAAGAGUGUGCUUAGCAAUUUGAAUGAGUGAAAUGUUGAGUAACCGGGAAUGUUCACCUAAAAGUGUAGAUUUUCGCAUAAAAAGGCAUUGUCACUAUUUAAGUAAAUGAAGUAUAAAUAAAUCCCUCUCAGUUAUGAAAAUUUUGAUGGAUAUAUGAUGAGAAAGGCCAUAGAAUUGAUUAUGUGAUUUACUUAUUUGUGAAAUUAGGAUAGGAUGAGAGAUUGAGUUGAAAUUGUUAAAAUUAAGAUAUAAUUAUCUUUAUUUAACUUGAUAUUAUGAGUAUUUAGUGUAAUCUGAGAAUUGGCAUAAUGAUUGGUUUCUAGGUUUUGAGGAACUAAAAUUGACAAAAGUACGUAUAUUGUUUUAUCUCUUGAAUCAUUGUAGUAAGUUAUGUGUGAAAUUGCUUGAGGACAAGCAAUGAUUCAAGUCUGGGGGAAUUUGAAAGAGAAUAUUUAACAUACAUUUUGUACAAGUUUGGCAUGAACUUUUGGUAUGUUUUGAGAAGAUUAAAGCCAUAUUUGCACUCUUUUGGUGAUAAAUGUUUAAAUAUUGUGAGUGGAUUAAUACGUUAAUUUUGUGAAAUUGUGAAGGAUAUUGAUAUAUGAAAUUCAUGCACGAGAUGAAGGAAAUGUAAGGAUCGUCCAGAGGAUAAAGUACAAAAGAAACUAGGAGCAAAAUGAAGAAAAAGGAAAGAAGUGAAAAACUGAAAUUGAUCAGCACGGAUCCGAGUUUGGAUCCGUGUGAACAAAGGGUGAUUCCAAGCUCUCGUCUGUACUUUGGAGCAGUGCAUCCGAGGCCAGACGAUCCGAGCUCGAUCAUUAAGAGAAAGGCCUCGGAUCAGCCUUGAUCCGAGCUCGGAUCGUAGUGCACACCUCGGAUCCAAGGCUCGGAUCUACCUCUCUCUUCUGCAAGUGGCACAGCCAUUUUUUCUCAUUUUUCACACAACUUUUCAGCUAUCUUGGGUGAGAGAAUUCGUGGCACAUGCUUCUGCAACAAAAAGGAAGACAAAAUGAGUUAUUGACAAGUCAAAACAACAUUUCUUUUGACUUUCUUUACAAAAUCUGAGUUGUUGGAAUCAUGAAGGAGAAGAAAGUGCCUUUCUACCACCUUUUUAUGCAGAGAACCAAGAAGUCAGGCAUCACCAUAUGGAAGGAGUUUUUCAUCUUGUAACAUUUUUCUCUCUAACUAGAAGUUCUAAAAACAAGCACUUGGAGAUUUCACUUGUAAUCAUCUUGUACAAGACAUAGCAGAAAUUUGAGGGUUUCACCAUUAAUUGGCUAAGUUUUUCUUUAUCUUUCUUGUACUUGUACUUUAUGAUGUUUUGCAUUAAUAAACUUGUGAGUUUGAUUGUUAUAUCAUUCACGAGUAGCUAAAUUGCUUUAUCUAGAGAGUAGAUGAAACUUAUGGCUAAAUGAUAUGAAUUGAAUGUGAUUUACACUUGUUAUAUCUUGUAUUAACUUGUCUAUUUGUGCAAUUGUAAUUACUUGUUGUUGUUUGAUCACUAAUAGCAUGUUUAUAGUUGUUAUUAGUCAAUGAGAAUUGGUAGUAACAAUGGAAAAAACAUGAGUAGAGCUUGAGUUGUAUGUUCAUGAAAAUAGAUGUACACUUAAGUGGAUUAGCUAGCAUUUCAUGAAGGAAAACAGAGUAGAACUAGUAGUUCACCAUGAAAAUAGGGAAAAUUGGAUUGCUCUAGGCCAUUUUAUCAUGAGAAUGAGAUUUGGUAUUAUUGGAAAUGAAUCCCUGGUUAAACAACAAUAAUAACAAGAGGUAAAUCUAUUCAUUUGUGUUGUUUAUGCCAUAAGUGGAAUCUACAUCCCUAGAUUUAUUCUUGAGUGAAAUUUAUCCAUUUGCAUUUAGCAUUUGUUAAACUAGAUUUAUAAACAAUAGCAUUAUAAUUUCUCUGCUCAAAUUCAUUUAUAAGUCUAAAUAAUAGAGAAAAUAAGGGUCUAGUACUUGUUUAAAUUGCUCCUCGUGGGAUCGACUCGAUACAUACCUUACAUUACGGUUUCGGCCUGUAUACUUGCAGUCAACGGGUAUAAAAUCGGAUUUAAACUUGCAUUGAUAUAAAAAUCCCGUCACAUAUGUGAGAUCGAAUUAUUUUACUUAUUUCUUUUAUUCAUUGGUAUUUGUACAUUUUCUGAUUUAACUUCAUAUACUUGUUAUGUUAUUUGAAUGUCAAGGGCCCGAUAUUAGAAUUAACCUAAUAAUCUACUGUCAGAUUAAUUGAUUGAAUCUGUAAUUGUUCAAUUGAUUAAUACUAGUGGCAACUAGCGUGAUUGGUUUUAUGUUAGGGAAACGUAUAAUCUAAUUUAAACGAACCCUUGUAGCGUGUUUGUUAAUUAGGGUUGGGUUUUUCUAAUUCUUAUUGCAAUUGAGAAAUUAAAUCCUAUAGUCGUACCUAGGGUUAUUUUGGUUAGGAAAAAGUUAAUGGUCGUACCUUAACUAUCAAAAAAGUAAGGAAAGGUUGGUUGUUUAUCGCGUGUAUAACAACUAUAACCAAUCUAUUAAUUAGUAAUUGAAUUAUCUUUGCAUCGAUGAUCAGUUGAAUGGACCAUGUCUGAAAAGUUGCACCUUUGGCUAGAGUUGUAUUGGUUAUUGAUUAAUUCCUGUUUAUUUCUAUUAGUUGUUUUAUUAGUUGAUUAAUUAGUUAUUUUAUAUUUUCCAAAAACCCCCAUACUUCGGACUCUGGAAGAAAUGAAUUAUCCCCAGUCCCUGUGGAUUCGACCCUGCUCACCGCUAUAUACAAAUUUGUAUUUUUCUUGAGUAGAUAAUUAUUAUUGCACAUGUUCAACACCUGUCAUUCUAUAACUGUAUACAGAGUCAUCUUUUUCAAAGAUUUCCCAUGCUGCAAAAUGUACUCUACGAGCUUUAUUUCAUUUCCUCCCUAUAAAUUGUCUAAUUCCAAUCUGCCUAAGAUGUUCAACAAAGCGUAUUGGGAAAACUAUUUGGAAAUGUAGAUUCCAGGUCCUUGUAUAUGCAAAGUCCUUCUUACACAACUUUACAUAUUGAGAAGAUCAAAAAUUGCAAAACAUAAUAAUACUUGAAAUUAGUGAGAAUAUAUCCAAAAGAAACAAAAUAUUAAUACCUGAAAUCAGGUUUUACAAUCUGUGCACAAAAAGCACCUAAACCCAAAUGACCCAUGUUGGAAUAGACCAAGUUUAGUUCAACUGCAGAAAUUCCUAGUACAAUGGAACUGCAACUUCAAAUUCAGUAAAUUGCAAACUGAUAUUAUGAUUCUAUAAAUCCUAAAAUCUCACCCAAGUCCUCUUGCCUCCAACACAAAGUAUGUACACAGAUGCUGACCUAUUCUAUACACUUGUAGGUAAAUUCAAAUCAGACGGCAUUCAAUAGAACUGCCUUGAUUGGCUCCAUAUCAGCACUAUUGCUCUUUAAAUCUAAAUUGAUUAAGCUACACAAAAAGGGAUUACAUUAGAUGGAGAAAUUUUACUGAUUGCAUAUGAAAUAAGGGCUAAAAUCAACUAGGAAAAGCAGAGAAGUUAACCUCAACCGACCAGGAAACAAGAUGCAAAAGUCAGAAGUUGUUAGCUUAAACCUCAACCAAAAGAAAAAUGCAAUCUUUGAUAUUAAACACAUAACCCACAUAAGUUAGCUUCACAGAGUCCAGAAGGAUGGUGGAACUCAAUUUUCCUAAAAUUGUGAGGAAAAUAAUUCAAUCUUAGAAAUCUAACACAAAUAAUGGUAAUAAAAACGCACAAGAAGGGUAUAAAAACUUACAAAAUGGCGCCAAAAUAUAGAUCUAACAGUAUUUGAAGCAAAUGGAUGAAGCAUUGAAGUUGUUCUAAGAUUUUUGGACAGCAAUAAACCUAAGCUCCUUCACGUUUAGCAAUUCUUAGGAGAUAGACAGGAGGCGGGUCUUCUUUUUUAGCAAUUCCUUAGAGGUCUCCUUCCCGUUUAGCAAUUCCCGCAUAUGUUCUUCUAUUUUUGGACUAAAAACCACCGAUGUUGGCCUUUGAGAGAAGAACAGAUGCGUGCUUCUCAAUUGACAGAGACAAGAGAGGACUAACCUUUCUAUGUAUAUAUCCCUCAGCCUCUAACAAGCCUUUGAAUUUUGACGGAAGGAUGUUGCGGGAAAAAUAAAAUUCUUGGAGGGAAUAAAACGCGCGUCCUAAAUUCUGAUUUAAGUGUUGCAGUUAAAAGUUUCUAAUUGGAGUAUAUUAUAUAAUAUAUAGAAUGACUAUUGAGUAUUAGAAGUAUAUAAUUUGAAAGAAAUCAUGUAUGAAAAAUGAAACUAAUGAAAAUAUUCAUGUGCAAUCAAUAUAAUAAAUUGUCAUCUUUAUAAUUUUUAAGUUUGCAAUUCAUAAAUAUGGUAACAAAUAAUGUAAUUCAUGUGCAAUCAAUAUAAUUAUAUUGUUAAUUAAGGUUAUAAUUGUGCUAUAUAAAGUAUUUGGGACAAUUUGAAAAAUAUCUAGAAAUUUGGGACUACUUAUAAUAUAUUCAAAAUGUAUUUUGAUUAAACUAUACAACUUGUCCUUUCUUGUUGUAAAUCCAAAUUCAAUUAUGGAACAAUAUACAUGGAAAAUUUGACCUUAUAUGUGUAUAAAUCAUCUUAUUAAUAAAAUAGUUAAACACAAUACAUUUAGUUAACUAUGAUUUAGUGAUUGAUUAUUACAUCAUUUUUUAUAUAAUACGAUAAUUAAAUAUUACAUAUAUAAUAAAAUGUUUCAAAUAUAUUUUAAUUGAUCGAAAAAAUGGUAUACUUACAAUAAACAAAUAAUUAAAGAAAAUUUUGAGAGUAGAAUUUUGUGCUAAAAAUGUGUAUUUUGGGUUCAAAUUUAUAACCACCACUUAUCCACUUAGAAUUAGCAAAAGUAUUAAUUCAUUUCUAAAGACUCUAAACCAUACUAAUUUAUUAUAAUAAAGAUACAAAACACUAGCUCCAUGUGAUAACCUAUAGCAAAAAUCAUCUAUUCACUUUAGUAAAAUAUAUGAGUCAAAUUUAAAGAUUCAUCAAAUUUUAUAGGUUUUAAAAUUGGGGUGCGUUAUUUACAUGGAUUUAAAGCUGUCUGAAUAUAGUUUACUACGCAAUAAACGACACUCAAUUUCGAGUUUUCUACACAAAGAUAUGACCAAAAUACUAAAAUUGUUACUUAAUUUUUUGAAAAAUAGUAGGAUCGUAUGAUCCGGAUUACGAUCCUAUUAAUCUUGAAUUUAAUGCUAAUUUUUUAUCCUACUUACAAUUUGGAUCGUUAGCCAUGAUCCGUAUCGUAGGAUCGUAGAUCGCGAUUCUAGCAACUAUGGUUGUAGUUAAAAGUUUCUAAGAAUUGGAGUAUAUUAUAUAAUAUAUAGAAUGAAUAUUGAGUAUUAGAAGUAUAUAAUUUGAAAGAAAUCAUGUAUGUGAAAAAUGCAACUAAUGAAAAUAUUCUCAAUAUACAGCUGAAAAAAUAACUAAGUUUGAUAAAUUUGCAUUUAAUUUUUAGAUAGAAGUUUGUUGUAUGAUAUGUAAUUGCCAUUUCUUGAAAUUAUUCUUCACUCUUAUACCUUCACUAAACUUCAAAGAACUUAGCUACGCAUAAAAUAGAAUGAAAGGAAUGCUUUCAAGUGUGCUAGUAAGUUAAUAUUUAUAUUAUAUCUGUGCUAAUACGUGUCCAUAUGUAUAAUUCAAAAGUUUUAUGUAUUUCAUAUACGAAUGUCUUUUUUCAAGUAACCGCAUAGAACACUUAUAGGUUGUAUUUUUGCCAUUAAUUUUAUGAUUAUUUCCUCUUUAUUUUACCAAAUAUUGUAUUAAUUGAUAGAUUCUACUUAUAUUUGGUGCUUUAUGUUAAUUAUAGGACGUUGGGGUAAAAAGUGCUAAAAAAGGUGAUUUUCUUGGAAUUGAUUGUCACUCGCAAGUUUCCCAAUUCAAGAUGAAGUCUACGUGGAUUAUUUGUGGAAGAUUAGGAAAUUACCAUUUUUCUUAGAUAUUUUAUUUAGAAAACAAUUGGCAUUAUUCUUGGAGUUACCUUUUUCAAUUGACCCGCUUCCGAAGUUACUUCCUUCGUUAGAGCUCGUUUAUCUUGAUUUAAAUUUAAUCUGUUUUAGUUUAAUUAUUUUCAAUUUGCAUUGAUUAUUUAUUUUUAAUUGCAAUUUUCCAAACUCCCCCCCAAUUAAUUGUCACUUGGAAAGAAGCAAAUUUUCACUCAAAACCUUGAGUUUAUAUCUUUUUGAGUAGGAAUUUAUUAUUACACAAGUCUGACACCUGUCAAUUAACACAAGGUUUCAAGCAAUGCACAGUUUCUUUUGUACCUAGAAUAGCUAAUGUAGCAAGUCAUAUGCUAGCACAUUUUGCAACAUAACUAGUUUAUGAUAUAGAAUGGGUACAUGAUUUCCCGAUUGACUAAUAGAAGGGUGAAUGCCCCUUUUUGUAAUUAACUCUUGCACUUCAAGUGUUAACAUAUAUACUGAUAUUAUCAUUUGUUGAAAAAAAAGGAAAGUGUUUAUUUGUUUAAUCAAAUAGUUAUGGUAGUGUUUAUAUAAUUUCGUAAACAUUGAAAGGUAAAUGACCUCGUUGAAUUUGUAUAAUUUGAUUAUGUUGAAGAAACAUAAUCUUGGAAAAGCAGAGAAAUUUUCUAGUAAAUAUUAGAUAAACAAACAAGUCAUUAUUUUAUUUUGAUAGCUAAUCAUUGUUCAUAUCAAUAUACUAGCUAUAAAGUUAUACUCGCAAUACUACUGUUACGGUAUAAAAUUUCUUGUCAGAGCAAUUUAUAAUUUCAUCCCAUUUUUACCGUUGACUGUUAACCUCAAGUUCUUCGGAUAUCCAUGGGACAGUGUAACCCCUUUGAAGGUCAAUUCUUACUGUUGAUGUGGCGUGUCCCACAUCGGAGGCUGCAUAAGGAAGUUUUCUUCCUUUUGUCCCACAUCGGCAAUCAAGAAGGAAAGCCUCCCCUUGUUUACCUAUAAAUAAGGGGGCUUAGUGGUGAAGAAAAGUGACCACUCAAGAGAGUUAUAUGAGCUAUUAGCUUUUUGAGUCAUUUAGCCCAUUUGUAGUAAAUAUUUUAUGUUCUCUUGUUUUGAGUUUAGGAAUAUUUUCUAAACUUUUUAUGAGUGCCUUUUGGCCUAGGAACCACUUUUCUACGGCUUUUGUAUAUCUUCUUCAUAGUGAAAGAUUUGCUCCUCCUUGCCUGGAUUAGGUUAAUUGACCGAAUCACGUAAAUUUCUGUGUCUUUUAUUUUUUUUGUUAUUUGUAUUUAUUGGGUUGCCACAACCCUUUUAUAUGGUCAGUUUUACAGCCUAAAUAUUAUAUGGUCGAUUUUACCGCCUAAACAUUAUAUGGUCGGUUAUACCGCCUACUUUGUUAACUUCAGUUUGUUUAUUUCUGGACCAUCCUAACACUUACACCCUCAUCAAAGUUUCUGGAGUUGCGUAUUAUAGGGGUGCAAACACAAAAACGAGACAUUCUUAAUCAAUGGAGUUCCUUCUUUUUGCGAUUCAUUCCUCUGCAAACCUCCUCCUCCUCCGAUUUUAAUAUAUGCCACUGUUAAAAUAGGAUACUUUUGUGGGUUUAAGAUUAGAUCGAGACGAACUCUUUUGUGCAAAACAUUUGCCCCAGGCAUCGUUACUACAGAGUAUGUGAUCCAAUUACCAAUGUAAGGUCACAAUGUUAGAGAUGUGAAAUUAUAUUGCAAUGGUCCCUAAAAUCCAACUUGAUCAUAGGAAUACUAAUUAGGUGAAUACGAGGACUCUGAUUCGACUCUCGAUCUUUCCUCUCAAAUUACAGUAAUAUUUUUAAUCAUACACUCAUCCCCUUACUAACUUCCUAUGGGCCCAAUAUGUUGAGUAGAAUUCGAUUGGAACAACCGAAAAAAAAGAAAAGAAAACAAAUACAAAACAAUGAAAUAGACACUUAGUCAAGUUGGAAGCUAUGAGGAAGUGAGGAGCACAAGUGCGAACAGAUCACCAAGGAAAAAGAAACAAUUUUUUCGAGAAUGCAAUUUGAUUUCAAGCUCAAUCAUAUUCUAAGAGUCAAUGAUAAGAUAGAAAAAAUGUAGGUCCAUUGUUAAGAUAUAGACGGAGAUGGUUGCUUAUUGAGCGUUGGAAAUAUUUCAUAUGCAAGUUGUAAUUAUAUCUCAACUUGUAUAAUUUUAAUUUAAUGAAAGUUAAUGACCAUGUCAAUGAUUAUGCGUCAUGCAUGACAUUCUUUUUUCUUGUACUCUCCUGAAAAGUCUCCUCCUCCUCCACCAGUGGCUGCAUGUCUGUACAUGUUCCCCACAACAAGAAUAAUGAAUCAAUUGCCAUAAUUGCACGCAUUUAAAUUUUCUGAGCUGGUGAUAAAUUGCAUAGUUUUGAUUUUUUUCUAUUUCCGGUUCCCACUCUAGCUACUUCUAGAUUUAUUAAUUGGAAAAAAAAAGAAGAGGAAUAAAUUAAACCUUAUUUAAUUACUUUUUUAGUCAGGAUAUCUAUAGUAGAUGUAAUUAUCUCUAUAGAAAUGAAUGAAGCAUCCUAGCUUGUGAUCAUUAUCCUCUGUUGCAAUUCUCUUGUUCAAACUUCAAGUUAAGGUUUGUUUGCUAAUUUAAUGGAUUCAGAACUUAAAUUUAAUGGAUUCAGAUCUUAACAUGUUCAAAUGCUUUUGAUAACCAAAACUUGAAUAUCUGAAUUAAUUAAGUGACACUAAAUUUUCUAGACAAAACUUACUCCUAAAAAUAAGUGAUAAACUAUUUACUUAUCACUUAAUGUGAUAUAUUCAAAUGUAUCAGAUUAGUACAUAACAAUUUAAUAACUUAAUGAAUUCAGACUUCAGAUUUCAGAUUUCAGUUUUAUCAAACGCAUCUUAACUCAGUGCAAACUGAAUAUGAAAUCCAAAGUUGAAAAUCCAAGAGGUUAGAACUUUGAAACCAUAGAGCCUCUAGGCAAAUUCAGCAUUUUUACAUUCUACUGAUUUACGGCAUCUUCAAUUAUCAGUUUCAACUCCAUGGUAUAAUAUAGAUAUUACCUCUAAUAGUUUACACACUUACGCAACAAAUAUAGAUUGUGAAAUUAAUUGUAUAAGUUUGAUAUUUUGUAGGUUUUGGGAUAUAAUUUUCACGUUUAGGAAAAAGAAAAUAUGUUAGUAAGUAAUAAUGUGAUACCCCUUGUCCCACGUUGGAAGUGGGAGAGGAAAAGGAUUGAUAUAUAUACAAGAUUUGGUCGCAUAAGUUACUAGUUACUUGGGCUAACCAUGUCGGGAAAGUGUAUUUCGACAAAAAAUUACUUAGGCCAACCAUGGGCUUGGAUGGUGAUAAAUAACUUACUAGAAGCCAGGCAUAUUUAUGUUUAGAUGUCCUAAAAGCAGAGUAGUUCAUAAUCUAGAUAAUGGUAACGAUAUGAUGAGAAUGUGAAGUUAUUUGGUAAACUUUAUAGAUUAAUAAUUUCAUCAAAGCAUCAUAUACAAGCAUGAUGACACAAUCUCAACUUUCAUUCUUUUGUUAAAUCUUAGUUUUUUUCUCUUAAAUUUUUUCGAAUAAAGGAAGGAUGGAAUUUAAGCAGUAGAGGGUGGAAGGGGAUUUUGAAUUCAAAAUCUCUAAUUUCUAAGUUUUUCCCUAAGCAAUCGUCAAAAUAAAAAAAAAAUUUAAAAGAAAAAAAAUGAGCACCUCAUGGUCAAUGCUCCUGUUCGAAGAUUUAUUCCUUUGGUUUGUCAUCAUCUCCCUCUAUGAAAUCUAAGUACCCUUGGUUGACAAUUUGUUUCCCUGAGCAUCCAUCAACACUUUUAUAUAGUAUUUUUUUUAAUAUAGUAUUAGAUUAGAUUAGAUUAGAUUAUCAAUGCACCAUCAAUAUAGUAUUAGAUUAUCAAUGCACCAUCAAAACACUUUUAUAUAGUAUUAGAUUAGAUUAGAUUAUCAAUGCACCAUCAAUAUCCUUAAAUAUAAAAGCUUAAGUAUAGUAAUCAAAAUACUGUUAGUAAUCUGUACGAUUAUUUUUUAUCCUUUAAUGUUUUAGUUUUAGGAAGAUCACAAAUGCUGCGUAUAAAGCAUGCCAUAGGCUAAAUUAAGCUAAAUUAAGUACACUGCUAAAAUGGAGAGCAUUGCUAAAUUAAGUACCUUAAGAUAAAGACAUAAGCAGCCAGAUCCAUUUGAUGUCAGCUGCUUCAAUAUCCACCUCAAAAUAAAUUAGCCUUUGUUCUAGAUUUAGCUUAAUGCUAAGUCCCUUCACCAUUCUUAGUAAUAAUUCAAUUCUGCCUCAAUUUUCUUCUGAUCUUCAAGGUAAAUGUACGAUAAAUUUCAAAAUAUAUCCCAAAUAUAUGAAUUUCUUGAAACCAUCCUUGAAUCUCAUUACCUACUCAACAAAAUGUUCCAUAAACAUAAAGAAUUGACGAGAACAACAGGGCUCCUUAGAUUUAACAAUUUCAAAUAAGCCCAAGCUAGAAUUUUUCAUAUAUUCAAACAAGAAAUUGGAAAAAUCUGACUAAGCAAUACUGAAUUGUAUCGAAAACCUACUUGCAUCUAUGAAUAAGCAAUACUGAGUGAUGAUAUUUUUAAGGGCAGUCCAAUUCACUCAAUACAAAAAUAUUUUUAAAUGAUGAUAUUCACAGGAACGUCUAUCUUACUUAAACAAACAAUAAAAAGGAGAUUGAUUGAGAAAUGGCCACAUUAUCUUAUCAUUCUUAAUUAUCAUUAGUUCAAUUAUCAACUUUAGCAGUCGAGAAAGGCUGCAACUUGUACCCCUCUUACUUUAUCAUUCUUUAGGGCCCAAUUCUUUAUUCCUGCGUCCGGAGACUUGAGACGUGACGCUUCAUAGUGUUGGACGACUAUUCUUAGCUCGUUCAAGGAAACAGUGAGGAGACGCUCUUGCACAGCUACUUAAACUAUUGGAUAAUUUCAUAGACCUUUCCUGAAGUUUUGGACAAUUUCAGCUAGUACCCCUCUUAUUUUCAAUAUUACGCUGACCACUCUUACUUUAACCAGUGUUGUGACCAAUUCAGCCCAUAUAUGUAAAAGAAAUGGAAUAAAUUGACAAGAAAUGGUGUCAUCACAUUUUAUUCCAUAUUUUCCCUUGGACCCUAAAACUUCACUUUGUCCCUCCGAAGUUGAAUCACUUUUCUAUUCUAUACACUGAACUUCAAUUUUGGAUGCUUUGCAUGUGGUUGGAGGCAAAAGCAUGGCAGAGCCCUUUUUGAGUCUCUGAUCUUUAUUAUCACAUGAUCAUUGCUAAUUAUACUAUUGCUUUUGAAUGGAAAUAGCAUAAAAGUCUUAGUGAAUGAACAAAUUGAAUAGACCAUUUCGCAGAGCAGUGAAAUAUUCCAAAGCGUGAAGCACAGUGAUAAGCUACAAAUUAUAGUGGUUUUAUAUUAUUGUCAAUGAAUGGUUGUAUUUGAGCUAAUUUUGAAUGGAUGUUGCCUAAUUUAAGUAUAUGUUGGUUUUUGUGGGAAAAGCACGCGAUUGAGGAGGAAAUGAAUCGAAAACGCAACAAAAGGGGAAGAAUGCCAAGACACAAGGAUCCGUGGGUGGAUCCUAUGUCCAACGCCAAACAUUGAAAGGGACUUUGCGAGGACUUCUUCUAGUUCUAAUGAUUGGAAAACCCACUCAAACUCGAUUUUUGGUAAGUUUUCAAGACCCAUUCUUACCAUAUUUCGGAUACAACUUUGAGAGACUAUAAAUAGGAUAUUCUAGGAUGUUUUUAGAUUAGAAAGCAUUUGGCUAACGUUAGUUCAUCAUUUUUAUACCUUCUUUUCUUGAGAGAUCACAAUGGAAGUGUUGAAGAAUCAAAGGAAGUUCAAGAUGGAGAUUGAAGCGGGGAAAAAUUGAGAAGUUUUCUUACUUUUAACUUCUUAUUUUGUCUUUCAUUUGAAUUCUUGGAUUUAUCUAUGAAUAUGUUGAACUCAUUUAUAUCUAAAGUUAGGAUUUUGUGAAGGAGAUUUAAUUAGAUAAAUUAUUCGCUUUUGCUUAGAUUUAUUUAUCUUGCCUUUAUUACAUGUUUAUGUUUUGCCACUAUAGAUAUGCUUUUAGGAUUUGUAUUGAGUUAAGAAGUGAUGUACAACCGUACAUUAGAUAGAUAAACAUACUUAAUAUAAUCAUGAAAGUGGGUUAAACAUUGUAUGGCAUAAUUAUAUCACCUAAUAUUGUAAAGGAUUUAAUUAUAUACUUAUGAUCUCGAGAGCAACGUGAGAUUUCAUUAGACAAAUUUAGAAGUAUCGAGAGAUAAUCUAAAGUACUUUUCUGUGAUACAUCUUUGACUUGUUAAGAAAAUAAUUGGAUAUAUAAUUCCAAUUCUAAAUCAAAAUUUAAAACUCUAGUCUUUUGCUAAUUGUUUUCUCACCUAUAUCUUGUUUGAUUUGAUUAUUUAUUUAAUUUCUUAAUUAGUGAUUAAAAACCCUCUGAAUUUAAAUUUUGUUAUUUUUAUUAGAGGAAUUAAAGUAGGAAAAAUUAACUCACUCCUGCAGGUUCGACCCCUGGAGUACUCCAAGCAAAUUAUUAUUACGAUCGACCUUGUACAGUUAUAGAAAUUCAUCGAUCACACAGCAACAAAAAAAAUUAAUGCACAAUAAUGUCAUGAGCAGAAACAGUUCCCAUCUUAGUUGUUCAACAUUCACGGUGGAUUUCAAUUAGUGGUCAACAGAUAAAGGCAUCGAAAAAAGUAAUCUAACUAGAUAAGUGAAUUUAUAUUGUACAACAUAUUUCUUUUUUCUACCGCAAAAACUUAACUAAUUUAAGACAAUGUAGUCCAAGAUAAUUGAAGAUUAAUUUUCCCUAAAAAAUGUUCAUGAUAAAAACUCAACAAAGAGAUAAUACAACAGCUUACUUUUGGAGGUGAUCUUAUACGGUCUUUAUUAACAAACUAAUUAGCCACUUAAGCCUUUUUUUUCCUUUUGGGACUACGCAUGACAAAAUGAGGAGUGAAUCAGUCGCUUAGUAUCUAAAAUUUUCCCUCCAUAUAAUUAGUUCAACCUGAUUUAAGACUAAAUUUUUACUAUAGGAAUGUUCGUGAUUCAACAAUGAAACACCAUAGAAACUUAUUUUGGGAGAUUGUCCUAGAAGGUAAAAAAUGAGCAACCAAUCAGAAAGUCGUACUCACAUAUCAAAAUCCAUUCAGUCUAAUUAAUUCACCAGCUAUGUAUAUUCAUCCAUUUUCACAUUAUAGAAAGAACAAUAAUGCAUGGCAUUAUCCAUCAUAAAUUGCUCAUAUAACAUCAAGAUAUUCAUGGUGUGGACCUCAAAUGACUCGUCAUGUCUACUGGCUACAUUUAAACAUAUCUUAUGGCCAGAAUGUUCAUCUUAUCAACUUGACGAGUUUAUUCAUGGUACCAUACCAUUAAAUUAAAAAAUUUUCCACCUUUUACCUUUCAUAGAUAUCAGGAAUAUAGCUAAUAACGCACUUUUGGCAGCAAUAUUCCUUCAACCAAUUAAAGAUUUUCGGAGCUUAAAGUUCAGCUCCUAAAGCUCUUCUCCAAGUCUCACCAACAACAGAGAAAUUACUUUUAGCAAAGUUGUUAAAUUUUGGCACCAGGUUUUGAUGGUAUCUUGGUAAGAUUGGAAGAUUAUAUUGCGCUUCUAAGAUAAUUUUUAAAAAAAUAUUUUAGUGAGAGCAUUAUGGUCAAUUUGCCCCUAAUGAUAUUGACAUUAGGUCCCAUCAACAUCAAAGGGAGCUCAUUGUAUUAUUGGAUAUAACAAGGGUGCGAGUGAAAUUAUGAAAACCCUCAAGGGAGGUUUUUGAAAUUAACCCUAAAAUACUCAUUCCACGCAAGGCGUGGCGUUCCCCUCCUAGUUCCUAUAAAUAGGGCACCAACUCAAUGCACUUGUCACUCGAUAUCAAUAAUUUAGCACAUUAUUUACAUUUUGAGUGAGAUUGUGAUAAAAUGGCAUCUUCAAAAAAUUUGCUCUUUCUUAUUGGCGUUCUCUUUGCACUUGUGCUCCUCAUUUCCUCUGAUGCAACAGCUGCAGGUACCUAGUCUUUUUUUUUUUUUUUUCCUUUCAUCCUUUUUUUUUUUUUGGCUGCACCUAAAUUUUAAAUGAAUGGAGAUUUGGAGACUCAUUAUUGGGAUGUGAAUUUUUAUGGAAGGCUAUUUGUAUAUUAUCAAGCAAGUCAUAUUAAUGUGCUAAUAUCCUUUUCAUUGUUUAGCAAAAGUAAAAUUGGGUUGCUUCUAUCAAUGGUUAGUGGCACAUCUGAUUUUUCAUGCAUCCUUAUAGUAUUGCUGUAAGGAUACACGUUCCAUAGUGUCGCACCAAAGGUUAAACUAACGUCGAAACCAAAUUAAAUGCUUCUAAUUAUAAUUUAAAGCAAAAUAAUUCAUAUCCAAGUCGCACCAUCUUAUAUGCCUGGACUGUUUUGUUUAAUCCAUAGUAUUAUUUUCUUUGCAUAUAUCUUGCAAAUUUUCAGCCUAGCCGGUCACCUAACGUUCGCAGCUUAAGAUAAAGCUCCAAAUAUUUAUGUCUCCUUGUGUCUUGAAACAGAUCAGAAAAGCGUGAAAACCACUGGUGUCCACGAUUCCAGUUCAGGCGAAGAUCGUUGCACAUAUGGUUGCUGCCACUGGUACAAUGGAUAUUGCCAAAGAUGCUGUCCACCUGCUGAGGAGACUUGCAGACAUGGUUGCUGCUACUGGUACAAUGGACAUUGCCAAAGAUGCUGUUAACCUACUGAAGCUACAUCGGAGAUGAGGUCAAAAAUUAAUGCUAAAUAAAUAAGGGUGUGAGACAGGAUCCGUGACACCUAUAUUAUUACCUUAAUAUGUUAUGUUGUGUUUUGCGUUUGAUGGUUUUUCCUAUAUGUGUAAAAGACUUGUGCGGCUUCUCUUUGAAUUGGUGUAGAAUCAACAGGGGAAGCAUGUAAUGAGUACUCAGUUCGAGUGCUCUUCUUAUGUUGUUGUCAUGUUGAAUAAAUAAAUCUACGUGAUCAUCUACUACAAUUGAUGAUCUCUAUCUCAGUUACGUCAGAAACUUCUGUACCUUGGACCUGCUAGAAUUUAGCGUGAUUGAUAUAAGACGUGCAGAAUGUUCAAUAUAUGUAUAUAUGUGCUUCUUCAUCGUGCCAUGCCAUUACAAUGUGAAAGAAUUCAGCAUCGACGGAGUGAAACGUACCCAAUCCUGCUCCUGAGAAAGGAAACAAAGUCCCUCAAAAAUGGAUAUUUUGGAUGCCAUCAAGAUUUUGAAUUGAAUGCCAUUUGGAGAUCUGAAUGUUGUUUUUUUUCCCCUUUAUCUUCGUUCAAGAUUUUUUUUUGGUGGAAAUGCUUCAUUUAUACGAAAUUUCCUAGUUAGUAAAGGCUUCUAUUACACUUGUACAAUACACAUUUAAAAGUAUAACACAAUAAAAGCUUGUGUAGUUCAUAUAUUUAAAAAAUAUUCAUACUUUUCAACUAAACUAUAAAAAUACGUAAUAAAUUCUUGAUACGUUAUACUUUACGAACUAUACUUUAAAUUUUAAAAAUAUUUAAUACUAUCACUUAUUAAUAACUCCACAUGUUAAUUUGUCUCCCAAUUUAAUAAAUUAUAGUAGCUAAUUCUCAAAGCUAACCGACACCAAAAUUCCCUUACUUGUUCACCUCCUAAUGGAUUAUUAUUACUCCCUCCGUCCUACUUUGAUAGUCUUGUUUUCCUUUUUUGUCUGUCCCAAAUUAUAGUCCACUUUCCCAUUAAAAAAUGUAGUAAUCUUUCAAAUUGUCUAAAAUACCCUUAUUAAAUAUCUUGUGAUUAAUACAUUGUUAUUAAAUACUAACCCACUACAUUGAAUACAUUGAGCUUUUCCAAUACUAACCCAUUAGUUGUAAUUGAUAUUAAUUGGCACUCUUCGUGAUUAGCAUAAGGGUAUUUUAGGAAAUUAUUAAUCUAAAUUUAUGUUUCCAACCAAAUUAAUUACACUUUCUUAAUCUGUGUGAAAAAAAAAAUCAAGACUAACAAAACGGGACGGAGGGAGUAAUUACAUUGCAUUUAUUUCGUAAGCAUGAGUUUUGUAACCCCUCAUAUUAAAUCUCAAUGAUUGAUUUUAACGGUUACCAAGGUGUCUAGUAAUUGGUUUGCUAUUAAUUUGAACUAGACAUUUAUUAGGUCUAGUCGAAUUUAUUCCUUCUUAUCACUUAGUUCAUAAACCUUAUGAAUCGUUAAAACCAGCUCUAACAUUAGGUAACAAGACUUCUACAAUUUCGGGUUUUGCUUAGAAAUCAGUCUGAUAGUUUAACUUGCUUCGUCCAAGUUUAUGAGUUGCUUUUUUUUUUUUUCCAUAUUUGACAUUUCAUCUGACUUUAAUAUGGGGACCAAGUUAGUAUUGUUGACAUUUCAUAUCUAAGACUUCUUAAUUAAUUGAUUUGGUAUAAGAACUAUAACGUAUGCGUGUUUUGUAAGCUUUCAUGUUUUUUUUUUUUUUAAUUCUUGUGGACCAGCAACGGAUAGUUUCUUCUAGUACCAAGCUUCCUUUGAAGUUUUUUUUUUUUUUUUGCGUGUCCAAAUGUAAAUUAAAAGAACCCAUCAACUUUGAACAAGUCUAUAUCUAGUAAAGAUAGAUAUAAAGAGGGAUACUAUAUCACUACAACGAAAAAGGGAUUUCGCGAGGAGCAAAAGUCCACGCCAAAAGUUUUGACUUCCUUGCUAAUUAAUUUCAACGAGAAAAAUGCUUCCUCGCCAAAUUUCUUGCUAGAUGCUCGUCGCUAAAAGUUAUUAGCGAGGAUGCUGCUGCUUUUCUCGCUAAUGAAACAGAUCAAUAGCAAGGGUUGACCUCCUCGCUAAUAGCUCAAAUACUAUGGCAAGAAAAGCUUUCCUCACCAACUAAAGUUAAAAACUCCCCACAAAAACCAGUAGUUCCUUGCAAAUAGUCAAGGUGUUUUGCUAGGAAAAUAGCGCAUCCUCACCAAUAGUAUAGAAUUAGCAAGGACCCGUGUACCAGUAAAACAUUUUUGGCCAGGAAAGUAUCCUCUCUAAUAAGCGAUAAUUGAUUAUUGCCUAACUGUUUGGUGGGAAAAUGUUCCUCUCCAAUGCUGUUAUGAACAUUUCUUAAUCCCAUUUUAGCAUGCUAAUCUUAAUUCUCUAAGCAAAGUACUGGGUGGUUUUAUUAGAAAAUUUAGCUGCAAAUAGCUUCAAUUUGGCUUCUCAUGUGUCUGCUGUACAUUUUCCAGGUUCUUGUAAGUAUCAAAUUGUUUGGCAAAAAAAAUUUUUUUAAUGAAUCAUGACCAACGUAGCUGCUCGUUAAAUUUAAACUCAUAAUCCCUGGUAUUUGAUAGGUUUUUGGAAUAUCACUUGGUGCCAACAACCCCUUUUGCUACUUUGAUAAACAUUCAAUAGAAAACAUACAAAAGCUUUGGUUAGCUAAAAAUAAUUGCUACCACAGUAAUACAUCAACAUCCAGCUCUUUCAACAUCUUGAGCCAUACAAUAGGAAGUGCUUGAAAUCAAUUGGCAAUCCAAAUUCUUUUUAGCUCAUUAACUAUCCUAGAAAUCGCAACUUCAGUAAGUCAUUACAGAAGAAGAUUUCAUCGAGAGAACACCACAAAAAGGAGAAGCAGAAAAAAAAAUAUAACAGAGAGAGAGAGAGAGUUAAACUAGUCAUAUGGACACAUAUUUGUCACCUCAGUAUUUCCGAUUCCUUAAUUAAGUCCAGUUAUCUUGGAACUCUAUCGGCAAUCCAUGGAACAUUUUUUGAAUGACAAUAUGCUGUUGCAACCUUUUGAUGAAGACUUCAAAGGUUCUAUGAUAAGGUUGCAUUUUUGUCAUUAAUUCUAUGAUUAUUUUCCUCGUUUAUAUUACCAAAUAUUGUAUUAAUUGAUUGAUUCUACUUAUAUUUGAUACUUUGUGUCAAUUGUAGGAAGGUGGAGCAAAAAGUAAUAAAAGAGAUGAUUUUCAAGAGUUUUCCAAUUCAAGAUGGAGUUUACGUGGAGUAUUGGAUGAAAAUUAGGAAACUACAACUUUUUAUUAGAUGUCUUAUUAGGGAACAAUUAGCAUUAGUUGGAGAAGUUUCCUUUUGCAAUUAGAAUUCUAUUUUUAGUUGGCCAAUGGAUGGCCGAAGUAGUAGACUUCGAUUAGGAAACAAAGAGAAAAAAAAAAGAUGGCCGCUGGUCUCUUCUUUAGUGAGUCUUUAGGGAAAAACCAAUGGUUAUUGAUGGAGUCAUGCGGAUAUCCCCUGAGGAUGUGAAGCUAAAUCUCCGUUUUCUGGUCGAAUGUCAAUCUGAGAACUCGGUUCCAAACAUCUGUGAGAUCAAAUUAUUUUACUUAUUUCUUUUAUUCAUUGGUAUUUGUGCAUUUUCUGAUUUAACUUCUUAUGCUUGUUAUGUUAUUUGAAUGUCAAGGGACCGAUAUUCGAAUUAACCUAAUAAUCUACUGCCAGAUUAAUUGAGUGAAUCCGUAAUUGUUCAAUUGGUUUCAUGUUAGGGAAAUGUAUGAUUUAACUUAAACAAACCCUCGUAGUGUGUUUGUUAGUUUGAUUGAGUUUUUCUAAUUCUUAUUGCAAUCAAGAAAUUAAAUCCUACAGUCGUACCUAGGGUUAUUUCUUGGUUAGAAAAAUAGUUAAUGGUCGUACCUUGACUAUCGAAAAAGUAAGGAAAUGUUGGUUAUUUAUCGCGUAUAUAACAACUAUAACCAAUCUAUUAAUUAGUAAUUAAAUUAUCUUUGCAUCGAUGAUUAAUUGAAUUGACCGUGCCUGAAAAGUUACACCUUUAACUAGAGUUGUAUUGGUUAUUGAUUAAUUCCUAUUUAUUUCUAUUAGUUGUUUCAUUAGUUGGUUAAUUAGUUAUUUUAUAUUUUCCAAUAACCCCCCAUACUUCGGACUCUGGAAGAAAUGAAUUAUCCCCAAUCCCUAUGGAUGCGACCCUACUCACCGUAGGGGCGGGCAAAAAAACCCGCCGAUCCGAAAACCCGAUGAACCCGAUCCGAUCCGAUCCGAAAAAUAGGAUACCCGAUCCGAUUUUCUUAGCGGGGCAGAUGAGGGUCGGGUACUCGAAAAAUCGGGUACGGAUACGGAUCAGAAAAAUAAAAAUCCGCGGGUACCGACCGGCAGGGUAUAUUUUAUAAAUAUUAAAAAAGUAGGGAUCAUUUUAUAAUUUUGUAAUUUUUAAUUCUAAGUGCAAGUGAAGUGGCUCGCAGCCUCAUAUUUUAAUCCUAUAUGAUCUACUCUUCUCAUUUUUUUUUUAAGAAAGUGAAUAUUCUCGGUGAAACAUGAACAAAAUGAAAAAAAAAAUUUGUGAAACUCUGUUAUAAAAAUUGUCCAUCCCUUUCAUCUUUUUUAUUUUUAUUCUACCUCCAUCGAUCUUUCCUGCAAAUCUUGCAUCAAUUCAAUCAAAGAUUUUUGUUUCGAGUCUCAAUUUUCUGUUAGCUAGAUAAUUAAAAUAUUUGUGUCAUUCAUUUGCAAUUAUAUCUCUUAAAUUUGUCUCUUUUAUUUAGUGUAAGAAAUUUAUUUUUCUUUUUCAUCACCUUAAUACCAUAAGGUCUAUUCCAAAGAUGUAAAGAAGUUGGGAAGAUUUUUAACAUUAUUUUGGUUAUAUUUUUUUCAAAAAUAAUUAGUUCUAUUCAAUUAUUUUCCGAACUUGAUUUCACAAUUGACUUAUUUGAGAUGCGGUCUUGUACCAUAAUAUCCUUGGGGAAGUUACCAAAUACUUAUUAUCCUUGUGUUUGUUGUGUUGUAGAAGUAUGAAAUGUGUGAAAAUGGUGAUGUACUCAAAAUUAUUAUGAAACUUCGUUUUGUCCAUUAGAUAUUCUAAUAUGUACUAAAUUUAUGAGAUCGAUUUGAUUAUUGGAUGAAAUGUGUGAAAAUGGUGAUGUAUGGACUUUAAUUACAAUAUCUCUACCAAUAUUAAUUGGAAAAGCAUGUUUUUUUUAUUGAAAAACGUGUUGAUAUUAAGUAGAAAAUACAUUUUUUUAUUGAAAAAUAGUUUUUUUUAGGGGCGGGUACCCUAUGACCCGCCCCUUUUUUCGGGUACCCGCUAUUCGGGUACCCGAAAAUAUUAGGAGGCGGGUUAAGGUCGCAAAAUGGCUGAUCCGAUAUAUUAGGGUCGGGUCAGCCAAAUCAUGUUAGGGGCGGGUACCCGACCCGUGCCCACCCCUAACUCACCGCUAUAUACAAAUUUGUAUUUGUCUUGAAUAGGUAAUUAUUAUUGCACAGAUUCGACACCUGUCAUUCUAUAACUGAAUACAGAGUCAUCUUUUCAAAGAUUUCCCAUGCUGCAAAAUGUACUCUACGAGCUUUAUUUCAUCUUCUCCCCUAUAAAUUUGCUGAUUCCAAUCUGCCUAAGAUGUUCAACAAAGCGUAUUGGGAAAACUGUUUGAAAAGUAGAUUCCAAGUCCUUGUAUAUGCAAAGUCCUCCUUACACAACUUUACAUAUUGAGAAGAUCAAAAAUUGCAGAACAUAAUAAUACUUGAAAUUAGUGAGAAUAUAUCCAAAAGAAACAAAAUAUUAAUACCUGAAAUCAGGUUUUACAAUCAGUGCACAAAAAGCACCUAAACCCAAAUGGCCCAUGUUGGAAUAGACCAAGUUUAGUUCAACUGCAGAAAUUCCUAGUACAAUGGAACUGCAACUUCAACUUCAGUAAAUUGCAAGCUGGUAUUAUGAUUCUAUGAAUCCUGAAAUCUCCCCCAAGUCCUCUUGCCUCCAACACUAAGUAUGUACACAGACGCUGACCUGUUCUAUACACUAGGAAAAUUCAGAUCAGACGGCAUUCAAUAGAACUGCCUUGAUUUGGCUCCAUAUCAGCACUACUGCUCUUUAAAUCUAACUUGAUUAAGCUGCACAAAAAGGGAAGAUUACAUUAGAUGGAGAAAUUUUACUGAUUGCAUAUGAAAUAGGGGCUAAAACCAACUAGGAAAAGCAGAGAAGUUAACCUCAACCGACCAGGAAACAAGAUGCAAAAGUCAGAGGUUGUUAGCUUAAACCUCAACCAAACGAAAAAUGCAAUCUUUGAUAUUAAACACAUAACCCACAUAAGUUAGCUUCACAGUCCAGAAGGAUGGUUGGAACUCAAUUUUCCUAAAAUUGUGAGGAAAAUAAUGCAAUCUUAGAAUCUAACACAAAUAAUGGUAAUAAAAACACACAAGAAGGGUAUGAAGACUUACAAAAUGGCACCAAAAUAUAGAUCUAACAGUAUUUGAAGCAAAUGGAUGAAGCAUUGAAGUUGUUCUAAGAUUUUUUGACAGCAAUAAAACCUAAGCUCCUUCACGUUUAGCAAUUCAUAGGAGAUAGAUAGGAGGCGGGUCUUCUUUUUUAGCAAUUCCUCAGAGGUCUCCUUCCCGUUUAGCAAUUCCCGCAUCUGUUCUUCUAUUUUUGGACUAAAAACCACCAAUGUUGGCCUUUGAGAGAAGAACAGAUGCGUGCUUCUCAAUUGACAGAGACAAGAGAGGACCAGCCUUUCUAUGUAUAUAUCCCUCAGCCUCUAACAAUCCUUUGAAUUUUGAUGGACGUUGCGGGAAAAAUAAAAUUCUUGGAGGGAUAAAACGCGCGUCCUAAAUUCUGAUUUAAGUGUUGUAGUUAAAAGUUUCUAAGAAUUGGAGUAUAUUAUAUAAUAUAUAGAAUGAAUAUUGAGUAUUAGAAGUAUAUAAUUCGAAAGAAAUCAUGUAUGAGAAAAUGAAACUAAUGAAAAUAUUCAUGUGCAAUCAAUAUAAUAAAUUGUCAUAUUUAUAAUUUUUAAGUUUGCAAUCCAUAAAUAUAGUAACAAAUAAUGUAAUUCAUGUGCAAUCAAUAUAAUUAUAUUGUUAAUUAAGGUUAUAAUUGUGCUAUAUAAAGUAUUUGGGACAAUUUGAAAAAUAUCUAGAAAUUUGGGACUACUUAUAAUAUAUUCAAAAUGUAUUUUGAUUAAACUAGACAACUUGUUCUUUCUUGUUGGAAAUCGAAAUUCAAUUAUGGAACAAUAUACAUGGAAAAGUUGACCUUAUAUGUGUAUAAAUCAUCUUAUUAAUAAAAUAGUUAAACACAGUACAUUUAGUUAACUAUGAUUUAGUGAUUGAUUAUUACAUCAUUUUUUAUAUAAUACGAUAAUUAAAUAUUACAUAUAUAAUAAAAUGUUUCAAAUAUAUUUUAAUUGAUAGAAAAAAUGGUAUACAUACAAUAAAAAAAUAAUUAAAGAAAAUUUUGAGAGUAGAAUUUUGUGCUAAAAAACAUGUAUUUUGGGUUCAAAUUUAUAACCCACCACUUAUCCACUUAGAAUUAGCAAAAGUAUUAAUUCAUUUCUAAAGACUCUAAACCAAACUAAUUUAUUAUAAUAAAGACACAAAACACUAGCUCCAUGUGAUAACCUAUAGCAAAGAUCAUCUAUUCACUUUAGAUAAAUAUAUGAGUCAAAUUUAAAGAUUCAUCAAAUUUUCUAGGUUUUAAAAUUGGGGUGAUUUAUUUACAUGGAUUUAAAGCUGUCUAAAUAUAGUUUACUAUGCAAUAAACGACACUCAAUUUCGAGUUUUCUACACAAAGAUAUGGCCAAAAUACAAAAUUGUUACUUAAUUUUUUGAAAAAUAGUAGGGUCGUAGGAUCGUAUGAUCUGGAUCACGAUCCUAUUGAUCUUGUUAAUUUAAUGCUAAUUUUUUAUCCUACUUACAAUUUGGAUCGUUAGCCAUGAUCCAUAUCGUAGGAUUGUAGAUCGCGAUUCUAACAACUACGGUUGUAGUUAAAAGUUUCUAAGAAUUGAAGUAUAUUAUAUAAUAUAUAGAAUGAAUAUUGAGUAUUAGAAAUAUAUAAUUUGGAAGAAAUCAUGUAUGAGAAAAAUGCAACUAAUGAAAGUAUUCUCAAUAUACAGUUGAAAAAAUAACUAAGUUUGUUGAAGCUCUAGUCUUUUGCUAAUUGUUUUCUCACCUAUAUCUUAUUUGAUUUGAUUAUUUAUUUAAUUUCUUAAUUAGUGAUUAAAAACCCUCUAAAUUUAAAUUUUAUUAUUUUUAUUAGAGUAAUCAAAGUAGGAAAAAUUAACUCAUUCCUAUAUGUUUGACCGUGGAGUACUCCAAGUGAAUUAUUAUUUCGAUCAACCCUAUACAGUUAUAGAAAUUCAUCGAUCACACAGCAACUAAAAAAAAAAAUUAACGCACAAUAAUGUCAUGAGCACAGUUCCCAUCUUAGUUGUUCAACAUUCACGGUGGAUUUCAAUUAGUGGUAAACAGAUAAAGGCAUCGAAAAAAGUAAUCUAAUUACUAGAUAAUUGAAUUUAUACUACAGCAUAUUUCUUUUUUCUACUGCAAAAACUUAACUAAUUUAAGACAAUGUAGUCCAAGCUAAUUGAAGAUUAAUUUUCCCCAAAAAAUGUUCAUGAUAAAAACUCAGACAAAGAGAUAAUACAACAACUUAUUGGAGGUGAUCUUAUACGGUUUUUAUUAACAAACUAAUUAGCCACUUAAGCCUUUUUUUUUUUUGGGACAGUACAUGACAAAAUGAGGAGUAAAUCAUUCACUUAGCAUCUAAAAUUUUCCCUCCAUAUAAUUAGUUCAACCUGAUUUAAGACUAAAAUUUUUACUAUAGGAAUGUUCGUGAUUCAACAAUGAAACACCAUAUAAACUUAUUUUGGGAGAUUUUUCCUCGAAGACAAAAAAUGAGCAACCAAUCAGAAAGUCAUACUUACAUAUCAAAAUCGAUACAGUCUACUUAAUUCACCAGCUAUGUAUAUUUCAUCCAUUUUCACAUGAUAGAAAGAACAAUAAUGCAUGGCAUUAUCGAUCAUAAAUUGCUCAUAUAAUAUGCGAUCUAUUAUGCAUCUAAGGCUUUGAAUGGAACUUAACUCAAUUAUACGAUCAUAGAAAAUGAGCUUUUAGUAGUUAUUUUUGCCUUAGAAAAAUUUCAUUCUUAUUUAUUAGAAGAUAAGUGAUUGUGUAUUCUGACUAUGCAGCGCUACGGUACUUAAUGACUAAGAAGGAUGCUAAACCAAGAUUGAUAAGAUGGAUUUUGCUUCUAUAUGAGUUCAAUUUGAAAAUUCGUGAUAAAAAGGGAGAAGAGAAUUUAGUUGCCGAUCAUUUGAGUCGAUUGUCGAUUGUCAAGGAUGAUUUUAUAUUGAGGAAAACUUUUCCUAAUGAGCAACUAUUUUCUGUUAAUCCCUCUCUUCCUUGGUAUGCGGAUAUUAUUCAUUUCUUGACCACUAAUCAAUUGCUUGCACAUUGGUAAAAAACAAAAUGAGAUAAGCUCAGAUGUGAUGCUAAGUAUUACUUAUGGGAUGACCCCUAUUUAUAGUGGCAAUGUGCAGAUCAAGUACUGCGCAGAUGUGUAAGUAGAGUGAAUUUAAUUCUAUUUUACUAUUUUAUCACUCUUAUGCAUGUGGACGCCAUUUUAGACCACAAAGAACAGUUCGUAAAGUAUUGGAAAGCGAUUUUUAUUGGCCCACAAUUUUCAAAGAUACAUACUUGUUUCGUAAGUCAUGUAAUAGAUGUCAAAGGUAGGAAAUAUUUGUCAUAAAAAUUAGAUACUAAAAACCCUUAUGAUUUUUUUGUGAAAUUAUUGAUACAUGGGAUAUUAAUUUUAUGGGUCCAUCUCCUUCAUCUUUUGGUUUCCUUUACAUCUUGUUGGCCGUAGAUUAUGUGUCCAAGUAGAUAAAAACAAAAGCCACCCAAGCUUAUGAUUCUAUAGUGGUUACAGAUUUCAUUCAAUCACAUAUUUUUGUUCAUUUUGGGGUACCACGAAUUAUAGUAAGUGAUCGAGAAAAACACUUUUGCAAUAAAAUGAUGGCGGCUGUAUUUCGUAAAUAUGGAGUGACUCAUAAGGUAUUUACAUCCUAUCACCUCCAAACAAAUGGUCAAGCAGAGAUUUCGAAUAGGGAAAUUAAAUAUAUAUUGGAGAAGAUGGUUCGCUCUGAUAGGAAGGGUUGGAGUUCACGAUUGAACGAUGUACUCUGGAUUUAUAGGACAGUCGAUAAGAGUCCUAUAAGUAUAUCUCCCUAUAGGUUGGUAUUUGUGAAGCCGUGUCAUUUACCGGUUGAGCUCGAGCACAAAGCAUAUUGGGGGAUCAAGAAAUGCAACAUGGAUCUUGAUGAGGCUGGAAUACAUAGAAAACUUCAAUUACAAGAAUUGGAAGAGUUGAGGAAUAAUACUUACAAGAAUGCAACACUAUAUAAAGAGAAGAUUAAGGUUUUUCGUGACCAAUAAGUUGCAAGGAAAUCAUUUGUAGUUGGGCAAAGAGUUCUUCUCUAUCAAUCUCGUCUAAAGCUCUUUCUAGGUAAGUUACUUACGCUCUCGUUGGGCUGGUCCAUUUGUUGUGAUUAAUAUUUUUCACUAUGGCGCAGUGAAAAUUCAGAAUAUGCAAAUAGCUAAGAAAUUUGUGGUUAAUGGUCAUUGUUUUAAACCCUAUUAUGAAAGUGUUUCAAUGGAGAAGGUGGAGAUAAUAAAUCUUGAAGAUCCCACUUAUGCUGCUUGAACAAUAUUCGACCAUGUCUAAUCAAAAACAUUAAAGCAAGACGCUUAUUGGGAGGCAAUCAAAUUUUUUUUUAUUGUUUGUUCACUAAUAUUAUGUGUUUCACUAUGUUUAUCUUAGGUUUUUCAAAUUUGGUAUUUUAAUUUUAAUUUUUAAUGUUUUAUUGGUUAGGUGACUUUCUCCCAACAAGGCGUGCCCACGCCUUAAAGGCAUGUGGUAAUGCACAAAUAUCCAAUUCCAUCAUUAGAAAACUAUGGACCAACAUGACAUGCCCACGUCUUGAGGGUAUGUUGUAACUCGUAAUUAGCCGACUUUAUCAUCAAAAGAGUUUCAACCAAUAAGACGUGCCCGCGUCUUGUCCUAGCAAGGGAAAAAAAACCAAUUGAACCCAAAAGAAUUUUCUUUUCUCUUCUUUUUUUUGCUUUCCUUUUUUUUAUUCUUUCCUUUGCCUUUUCCCUUUUCUAUUUCUUUUCCUUUCCUUCUUUCUUUCUUUCUUCUUUCUUUUUUUCUUUCUUUAUUUCGCUCUUUCAUUUCCUCAACUGCAUGGCCAAAACUCUACAUGUUGCUUGCACGCCGUUCAUCGCCCCACCGUCCAUUGCUGUCGCAAUUCGCUAGUUUGUCUCUACUACCUUUGCUGUAUUCGCUAUUCGUCAAAGCCUGUCACUGGUUUUGCCAUUGCCCAUCUCUAGUUUCGUCGUUGCUCGCUAUUGUGCCAUUCACCGCUGCUUGAACCACCAUGAACGUCCAUCCUCUGCCAGCGACAGCCAUCGCUCCGCACUUUCUCUGUUGUCUUGUUUCUACUGACCCAGUUUUUGGUAUUCUUGUCCUUCUCUUUUAAAUAUUGUUGGGUUGCUACUUCGGAGUUUAUUAGAAUUUCUUUUUGCAGGGUUGAUUUAAUUUGUUGAUUGGGUAUUCCUCGAAUUGUUGGAUUGGCACUACCUGACAUUUGCUUGUUUUCUGAUGAUGACCACUAACUUGCACUACUAUUUUGCAUCCAUGGGGAUUCAAUGCUGAUUGGAGGUUAUAAACUGUGGUGAAAUUGCCGCUACUUACUUGCCAAUUGCUAAUUGUUGAUAUUGAUAGGAGGUAUUGUUCUUACAUUUCUAGUUUUGUUAUUAAAUAGUGUCACAUCUCUUGGCUCUUUACUGUACACUUUGAUUUGAGAUUGCUUGGCUAUCUUUAGUCGUUUGGCAAACAUUAGAGGCUCGUAUUUCGCCAUUGUCUGAAUUGUUGUUUAUAGCUAUUUUUGGAUUUAGUUAUCUAAAUGGCUAAGAAAAAAAAGACCACCAAGGCCAACACCCCUAUGACUAAAACCACUCCCCCAUCCCAACCAACUAUACCCAUGACAGACCCUUCUACCAUCCUUCUUUUUCGGGUAAAUGGGCAUGCUUAGGUAGGGACAAGGGGGUCUAUAUCUCCUCACUGUCCCACUUUGGAGGUAAUUUGGCUCUCACCAAAGCCGUCGAUAAGCAAAGAUACUCUAAUUAUUAUGAGUGGCAAAUUAUUCCUUGUAAAUAUCUUGACCCUCCCAUCAUGGUUUCUUUGAAUAUCUUUGAGAAUAUUGCACAAAUGUUUACUGCCAUAGGCUGGCCUUCUUAUGCCGAAAUACAAUGUCCUACUUUUGUUGAAUUGGUUAGAGAGUUUUACGCCACCUUUGAGUUUGAUCAAUCCAUGGGGUAUUCUGUCACAACCUCGAAUGUGAUUCAAUUUUGAUUGAUGGGUAGGGAGUUUAAGUUCUCCAUUACCAAGUUUAAUUUGGUAAUGUGAUCCCAUUACCUAUGUAAGGUCACAAUGUUAGAGAUGUGAAAUUAUAUUGCAAUGGUCCCUAAAAUCCAACUUGAUCGAUAGGAACACUAAUUAGGUGAAUACGAGGACUCUGAUUCAACUCUCAUUUUUCCUCUCAAAUUACACUAAUAUUUUUAAUCAUACACUCAUCCCCUUACUAACUUCCUAUGGGCCCAAUAUGUUGAGUAGAAUUCGAUUGGAACAACCGAAAGGAAAAGAAAACAAAUACAAAACAAUGAAAUAAACACUUAGUCGAGUUGGAACCUCAGAGGAAGUGAGGAGCACAAGUGCGAACAGAUCACCAAGGAAAAAGAAACAAGUUUUUCGAGAAUGAAAUUUGAUUUUCAAGCUCAAUCAAAUUCUAAGAGUCAAUUGAUAGAUCGAAAAAAAUGUGGAACCAUUGUUAAGAUGUAGAUGGAGAUGGUUGCUUAUUGAGCGUUGGAAGUAUUUCAUAUGCAAGUUGUAAUUAUAUCUCAACUUGUUUUUUUUUUUUGAAAAACAGGUCAUGGAUGCGUCAAACGUACAGUGGUUCAGGCAAACAAUAUCCAAUCAAUCUAUUCAAAGCAACAAAAACAUCCGCUGCUCAUGCGACAGUAUGCACAAAGUGCUAUAUAUCAACCAAAAGGGAAUUUAUUUAUUCAAGAAACAAUGCAUAUUCCUGUAUAUAGUCUUGGCUUUAACGAGUUCAGUCCCUUGUGCUAUUCUUUAUCCAUUCAAGAUAUUGGAGGUUGCCACCGGUUAUGGGCAAGGCGAUCACUUCUGGCACCUCGUAUUCGUGAUUCGCCUUGACAUGCUCUGUCUGAGCAUCCAAAAGUGAUUCCCUAGUCUUAAUUAUUAGCAACUCUUCAGGAUCUGUCUGCACCUCCCCUUUCCACUCAUAAACAGACUCUAUUCUGGAACUCGGUUUACACAGGCUGCAAGCUUUUCUUUAACUAUGCUUUCUGCCAGUUUUUUAUUUGGAACAGUGACAUAGACAACAAUGCUGGGAACAGUUCUGCUGCUUGCUUCCAUCCUUAUCCUAUUUGUACUAUGAACACUACUACCAACUUUUGAUCCAAGAUUGGGAGAAAGUGGAGGAUUGAGCACAACCCGUUUUAGAGGAGGAUUAAAAGAGGGGCAGAGAUUGGAAAGACCGAAGCUUAGGACACAGAAAGUACCUACUAGUGGUAAUCGGCGACGAACUACUGAAGGUGAUACUAAAGAUGAGAGCUUUAAUGCCAUCUAAGAUUGGAAUUUGGUGGGGCUUUAUAGUACACCAACUACUGUUUCCUUAGUGGAUGAUUUAUUCCCAACCGACGAGGUUGGGGGAUGGCUCUCAACUUGUAUAAUUUUAAUUUAAUAAGAUUAAAUUAAUGACCAUGCCAAUGAUUUCUGCGUCAUGCAUGACAUUCUUUUUUCUUGUACUCUCCAAAAGCUGAAAAUUCUCAUCUCAAUCUCCUCCUCAGCGAUGGCUGCAUGUCUGUACAUGUUCCCCCACAACAAGAAUAAUGAAUCAAUUGCCAUAAUUGCACGCAUUUAAAUUUUUUGAGCUGGUGAUAAAUUGCAUAGUUUUGAUUUUUUCUGUUUCCGGUUCCCACUCUAGCUACUUCUAGAUUUAUUAAUUGGGAAAAAAAGAAGAAGGAAUAAAUUAAACCUUAUUUAAUUACUUUUUUAGUUAGGAUAUCUAUAGCGGAUGUAAUUAUCUCUAUAGAAAUGAAUGAAGCAUCCUAGCUUGUGAUCAUUAUCCUCUGUUGCAAUUCUCUUGUUCAAACUUCAAAUUACGGUUUUGUUUGAUAACCUAAUUCAGCACUUAAAUUUAAUAGAUUCAGAUUUUAACAUGUUCAAACACGUUUGAUAACCAAAAUUUGAAUAUUUGAAUAAAUUAAGUGGUACUAAAUUUUCUAGAUAAAACUUGUCCUAAAGACAAGUGAUAAGUUAUUCACUUAUCACUUAAUAUGAUAUAUACUCAAAUGUAUCAGAUUUAAUACAUAACAAUUUAAUAAUUUAAUGAAUUCAAAUUUCAAAUUUUAGAUUUUAAUUUUAUCAAACGCAUCAAUGCGAACUGAAUAUGAAAUCCAAAGUUGAAAAUCCAAGGGGUUAGAACUUUGAAACAAUAGUGCCUCUAGGCAAAUUCAGCAUUUUUACAUUCUACUGAUUUAGGGCAUCUUCAAUUAUCAGUUUCAACUCCAUGGUAAAAUAUAGAUAUUACCUCUAAUAGUUAUACGCACUUACUGACGGGCUUUUGCUAUACGUACAAGUUAAAAAAUCCGAAAUACACCCGUUUCACUGCAAGUAUAGAGGUCAACUAGUAGUUAAUGGUAUAUAUCGGGUUGAUCCCACGAAAAAGAUUGAACAAUUACCGGCACUACUAAAGCUUCUCUAUUAUUUAGACUAUUAAUGAAUUAUAAGAAGUAAAACCUACUGAACUUAUACAAGAAAAUAACAAAUGAAAGCUCCUUAGGUUAUGGUAUUCCCUAAUUACUCAUGCAAAUGUUAUUUUUAGAUCAUUGAGAACUACUAUCUUGGCUAGCUAUGGUGUAAUUUCCUUAUGCAUAUGAAUCCUACUUUCGUAGUGAAUCAAUUAUACUCAUAAUUAAUCCAUACAUAUUCUCAUGGUUAUGAAAUUAGCUACAAGUUCAUUUCUUUUGUGAAAUUAUAUGAAAUGAAUCACUAAAACCACAUAGGUGCACCUCUAUUCUCAUGUGAGUGUACUCCCCAUGUUUAGCACUUCUUGAACCAGUGUUAAAUCUCAAUUUUCAUUGCAGAAACAACACCUUAGGUAAUCACAAUUAAUGACACUAGAUUAAUCAUGGUUUAAAGAGCUAAAAUGCUAAAUAACUUGCUCAAAAUAAUAGCAUCAAAUAGCCAAAUAAUAAACACUAGCAAUUAUAGAAAGUUCAACCAAAACCCAAGACAUAAACUUUAGAAACACAUAAUAAUAUAUAAAUCCAUAACUUGUAUAUUAACUAAACUUGGAAUGAAGUACAAAAGAUAAAGAGUUGGAAAGGAAUGUAACCCUUGUCACAUGAGUUCAUCUCCUCGCCUUCUUCAUCCUCCAACCUCUUCUUCAUCUAGCAAAUAAACAAGAUGGAUGAACUAACUAGCUAACUAUCUUAUACUAUACUAACCUAACACUCAUAAAAUGGAAGAACUACAUUUCUGCAGACUCCAAACUUUCUCCCGUAUGUCCCUCCUUGAAUCUUGUAAGUUUUGGCUAUAUAAACAUGAAAGUGGUCAAGAAAUGAGGCCUACACUUUUUCCCUUACAGUUGGUAAUGUUUGUCACAUGUCUAGCAUUACAUGUAACUUAUUGGAAGAGAAACCAAGUUGUCCGCGUACAGAGCAGCCUUUUUUAACAGAAAUCUGGCCAAGUUCCGACCAGAUUGCUACAAUGACCUUUUGUGCAGUUUCUGUUCAAUUUCCAGCUCUGGUCCGAUUUUCCUCAACUUCAACUGAACUUUUCUUGAUGAUAGAAGAUGAUUUAACUCUUGACCAAAACAUAAAACUUGUAUCACUUUAAGUUAGCUUUCCAAUGCAUCAAGAAUCACCUCAUUUGGAUUUGUGUAGGCUAAGAAAUGAUUGAAAUACCCUUAACUGCUCAAUGUCCUAUUUCAGUUUCGACUAAUAGAAAUUAGCUACUGUAAUUUGGAUUUUUGACCUGGAAAACCUUAGAAUUGGAUUUUGAUGUCUUCACCAAAGUUGUAGAUCUAUCUCUUAUCGGUUCAAGAAUCAUCUCAAUCCGAUCACUGUAGCUCAAGUUAUAGCCAAAAUACGAAAAUAUAUCAAAACUGUAAAAAAUGCACAAAAUGCAAGUUAAAAGUGAUAAAACCUCAUUUAAUCACUUAAAAACAUUUUUCACCAAUUAUAGCCAAAAUGAUUCAUUUUCUUCCAAUAAUAUAACCAAAGUGACUAAAAAUGAUAUAAAAUGUCAUUCAAUUAUUACGUAAAUUAGUCACUUAUCACUUACACAACAAAUACAGAUUGUGAAAUUAAUUGUAUAAUUUGAUAUUUUGUAGGUUUUUUGGAUAUAAUUUUCACGUUUAGGAAAAAGAAAAUAUGUUAGUAAGUAAUAAUGUGAUACCCCUUGUCCCACGUUGGAAGUGGGAGGCGAAAAGGAUUGAUAUAUAUAAGAUUUGGUCUCAUAAGUUACUAGUUAUUUGGAAUAACCAUUUCGGGACAGUGAAUUUCGACACAAAAAAUUACUUAGGCCAACCAUGGGCUUGGAUGGUGACAAAUAACUUACUAGAAGCUAGGUAUAUUUAUGUUUAUAUGUCCUGAAAGCAGAGUAGUUCAGAAUCUAGAUAAUGGUAACGAUAUGAUGAAAAUGAGAAGUUAUAUGGUAAACUUUAUAGAUUAAUAAUUUCAUCAAGGCAUCAUAUACAAGCAUGAUGACACAAUCCCAACUUUCAUUCUUUUGUUAAAUCUUAGUGUUUUUGUCUUAGAUUUUUUUCAAAUAAAGGAAGGAUGGAAUUUAAGCAAUAGAGGGGUGGAAGGGGAAUUUGAAUUCAAAAUCUCUAAUUUCUAAGUUUUUCACUAAGCAAUCGUCAAAACCAAAAAAUAAAUAAAUAAAAAGCAAAAAAAUGAGGACCUUGUGGUCAAUGCUCCUGUUCGAAGACAUCAUCUCCCUCUAUUGAAAUCUAAGUACCCUUGGUUGACAAUUUGUUUCCCUGAGCAUCCAUCAACACUUUUAUAUAGUAUUAGAUUAGAUUAGAUUGUCAAUGCACCAUCAAUAUCCUUAAAUAUAAAAGCUAAAGUAUAGUAAUCAAAAUACUGUUAGUAAUCUGUAUGAUUAUUUUUUAUCCUUUAAUGUUUUAGUUUUAGGAAGAUCACAAAUGCUGCGUAUCAAGCAUGCCCUAGGCUAAAUUAAGGUAAAUUAAGUACAUUGCUAAAAUGGAGAGCAUUGCUAAAUUAAGUACUUUAAGAUAAAGACUUAAGCAGCCAGAUCCAUUUGAUGUCAGCUGCUUCAAUAUCCACCUCAAAAUAAAUUAGCCUUUGUUCUAGAUUUAGCUUAAUGCUAAGUCCCUUCACCAUUCUUAGUAAUAAUUCAAUUCUGCCUCAAUUUUCUUCUGAUCUUCAAGGUAAAUGUACAAUAAAUUUCAAAAUAUAUCCCAAAUAUAUGAAUUUCUUGAAACCAUCCUUCAAUCUCAUUACCUACUCAACAAAAUGUUCCAUAAACACAAAUAUAUUAAUGAAUUUGGAGUUGAUUCGAAGAAUUGACGAGAACAACAGGGCUCCUUAGAUUUAACAAUUUCAAAUAACCCCAAGCUAGAAUUUUUCAUAUAUUCAAACAAGAAAUUGGAAAAAUCUGACUAGCUUGCAACGAGUACUACAUCUCAAGACAAGGGAUCUUUUCAGUCAACUCUUUUAUUGUAUCGAAAACCUACUUGCAUCUAUGAAUAAGCAAUGCUGAGUGAUGAUAUUUUUAAGGGCAGUCCAAUUCACUCAAUACAAAAAAUAUUUUUAAAUGAUGAUAUUCACAGGAACGUCUAUCUUACUUAAACAAACAAUAAAAAGGAGAUUGAUUGAGAAAUGGCCACAUUAUCUUAUCAUUCUUAAUUAUCAUUAGUUCAAUAAUCAACUUUAGCAGUCCGGAGACUUGUUCAAGGCUGCAACUUGUACAAGGACAAUAAAUUCUUUAUUCCUGCGUCCGGAGACUUGAGACGUGGACGCUUCAUUAGUCAAUAAUAAUAAAAGUGUGGAAUUCGACGACUAUUCUUAGCUCGUUCAAGGAAACAGAGAAAAGACGCUCUUGUACAAGCAACAGGCACAGCUACUUAAACUAUUGGAUAAUUUCAUAGACCUUUCCUGAAGUUUUGGACAAUUUCAGCUAGUACCCCUCUUAUUUUCAAUAUUACGCUGACCACUCUUACUUUAACUAGUGUUGUGACCAAUUCAGCCCAUAUAGAAAGAAAUGGAAUAAAUUGACAAGAAAUGGUAUCAUCACAUUUUAUUCCACAUUUACCCUUGUAGACCCUAAAAGAAAUAUUGUAACAUAGGACAAACUUCACUUUGUCCUCCGAAGUUGAAUCACUUUUCUAUUCUAUACACUGAACUUCAAUUUUGGAUGCUUUGCAUGUGGUUGGAGGCAAAAGCAUAGCAGAGCCCUUUUUGAGUCUCUGAUCGUUAUUAUCACAUGACCAUUGCUAAUUAUACUAUUGCUUUUGAAUGGAAAUAGCAUAAAAGUCUUAGUGAAUGAACAAAUUGAAUAGACCAUUUCGCAGAGCAGUGAAAUAGUCCAAAGCUGUGAAGCACAGUGAUAAGCUACAAAUUAUAGUGGUUUGUAUUUAUUAAUUGUCAAUGAAUGGUUGUAUUUGAGCUAUAAUUUGAAUGGAUGUUGCCUAAUUUAAGUAUAUGUUGGUUUUUGUGGGAAAAGCACGCGAUUGAGGAGGAAAUGAAUCGAAAACGCAACAAAAGGGGAAGAAUGCCAAGACACAAGGAUCCGUGGGUGGAUCCUAUGUCCAACGCCAAACAUUGAAAGGGACUUUGCGAGGACUUCUUCUAGUUCUAAUGAUUGGAAAACCCACUCAAACUCGAUUUUGGUAAGUUUUCAAGACCCAUUCUUACCAUAUUUCGGAUACAACUUUGAGAGACUAUAAAUAGGACAUUCUAGGAUGUUUUUAGAUUAGAAAGCAUUUGGCUAACGUUAGUUCAUCAUUUUUAUACCUUCUUUUCUUGAGAGAUCACAAUGGAAGUGUUGAAGAAUCAAAGGAAGUUCAAGAUGGAGAUUGAAGCGGGGAAAAAUUGAGAAGUUUUCUUACUUUUAACUUCUUAUUUUGUCUUUCAUUUGAAUUCUUGGAUUUAUCUAUGAAUAUGUUGAACUCAUUUAUAUCUAAAGUUAGGAUUUUGUGAAGGAGAUUUAAUUAGAUAAAUUAUUUGCUUUUGCUUAGAUUUAUUUAUCUUGCCUUUAUUACAUGUUUAUGUUUUGCCACUAUAGAUAUGCUUUUAGGAUUUGUAUUGAGUUAAGAAGUGAUGUACAACCGUACAUUAGAUAGAUAAACAUACUUAAUAUAAUCAUGAAAGUGGGUUAAACAUUGUAUGGCAUAAUUAUAUCACCUAAUAUUGUAAAGGAUUUAAUUAUAUACUUAUGAUCUCGAGAGCAACGUGAGAUUUCAUUAGACAAAUUUAGAAGUAUUGAGAGAUAAUCUAAAGUACUUUUCCGUGAUACAUCUUUGACUUGUUAAGAAAAUAAUUGGAUAUAUAAUUCCAAUUCGAAAUCAAAAUUUAAAACUCUAGUUUUGCUAAUGUUUUCUCACCUAUAUCUUGUUUGAUUUGAUUAUUUAUUUAAUUAGUGAUUAAAAACCCUCUGAAUUUAAAUUUUGUUAUUUUUAUUAGAGGAAUUAAAGUAGGAAAAAUUAACUCACUCCUGCAGGUUCGACCCCUGGAGUACUCCAAGCAAAUUAUUAUUACGAUCGACCUUGUACAGUUAUAGAAAUUCAUCGAUCACACAGCAACCAAAAAAAAUUAAUGCACAAUAAUGUCAUGAGCAGAAACAGUUCCCAUCUUAGUUGUUCAACAUUCACGGUGGAUUUCAAUUAGUGGUCAACAGAUAAAAGCAUCCAAAAAAGUAAUCUAACUAGAUAAGUGAAUUUAUAUUGUACAACAUAUUUCUUUUUUCUACCGCAAAAACUUAACUAAUUUAAGACAAUGUAGUCCAAGAUAAUUGAAGAUUAAUUUUCCCUAAAAAAUGUUCAUGAUAAAAACUCAUCAAAGAGAUAAUACAACAGCUUACUUUUGCAGGUGAUCUUAUACGGUCUUUAUUAACAAACUAAUUAGCCACUUAAGCCUUUUUUUUCCUUUUGGGACUACGCAUGACAAAAUGAGGAGUGAAUCAGUCGCUUAGUAUCUAAAAUUUUCCCUCCAUAUAAUUAGUUCAACCUGAUUUAAGACUAAAUUUUUACUAUAGGAAUGUUCGUGAUUCAACAAUGAAACACCAUAGAAACUUAUUUUGGGAGAUUGUCCUAGAAGGUAAAAAAUGAGCAACCAAUCAGAAAGUCGUACUCACAUAUCAAAAUCCAUUCAGUCUAAUUAAUUCACCAGCUAUGUAUAUUUCAUCCAUUUUCACAUUAUAGAAAGAACAAUAAUGCAUGGCAUUAUCCAUCAUAAAUUGCUCAUAUAACAUCAAGAUAUUCAUGGUGUGGACCUCAAAUGACUCGUCAUGUCUACUGGCUACAUUUAAACAUAUCUUAUGGCCAGAAUGUUCAUCUUAUCAACUUGACGAGUUUAUUCAUGGUACCAUACCAUUAAAUUAAAAAAUUUUCCACCUUUUACCUUUCAUAGAUAUCAGGGAAUAUAGCUAAUAACGCACUUUUGGCAGCAAUAUUCCUUCAACCAAUUAAAGAUUUUCGGAGCUUAAAGUUCAGCUCCUAAAGCUCUUCUCCACCAACCAACAGAGAAAUUACUUUUAGCAAAGUUGUUAAAUUUUGGCACCAGGUUUUGAUGGUAUCUUGGUAAGAUUGGAAGAUUAUAUUGCGCUUCUAAGAUAAUUUUUAAAAAAGAUAUUUUAGUGAGAGCAUUAUGGUCAAUUUGCCCCUAAUGAUAUUGACAUUAGGUCCCAUCAACAUCAGAAGGGAGCUCAUUGUAUUAUUGGAUAUAACAAGGGUGCGAGUGAAAUUAUGAAAACCCUCAAGGGAGGAUUUUGAAAUUAACCCUAAAAUACUCAUUCCACGCAAGGCGUGGCGUUCCCCUCCUAGUUCCUAUAAAUAGGGCACCAACUCAAUGCACUAGUCACUCGAUAUCAAUAAUUUAGCACAUUAUUUACAUUUUGAGUGAGAUUGUGAUAAAAUGGCAUCUUCAAAAAAUUUGCCCUUUCUUAUUGGCGUUCUCUUUGCACUUGUGCUCCUCAUUUCCUCUGAUGCAACAGCUGCAGGUACCUAGUCCCUUUUUUUUUCCUUUCAUCCUUUUUUUUUUUGCUGCACCUAAAUAUUUAAAUGAAUGGAGAUUUGGAGACUCAUUAUUGGGAUGUGAAUUUUUAUGGAAGGCUAUUUGUAUAUUAUCAAGCAAGUCAUAUUAAUGUGCUAAUAUCCUUUUCAUUGUUUAGCAAAAGUAAAAUUGGGUUGCUUCUAUCAAUGGUUAGUGGCACAUCUGAUUUUUCAUGCAUCCUUAUAGUAUUGCUGUAAGGAUACACGUUCCAUAGUGUCGCACCAAAGCUUAAACUAACGUCGAAACCAAAUUAAAUGCUUCUAAUUAUAAUUUAAAGCAAAAUAAUUCAUAUCCAAGUCGCACCAUCUUAUAUGCCUGGACUGUUUUGUUUAAUCCAUAGUAUUCUUUUCUUUGCAUAUAUCUUGCAAAUUUUCAGCCUAGCCGGUCACCUAACGUUCGCAGCUUAAGAUAAAGCUCCAAAUAUUUAUGUCUCCUUGUGUCUUGAAACAGAUCAGAAAAGCGUGAAAACCACUGGUGUCCACGAUUCCAGUUCAGGCGAAGAUCGUUGCACAUAUGGUUGCUGCCACUGGUACAAUGGACAUUGCCAAAGAUGCUGUCCACCUGCUGAGGAGACUUGCAGAUAUGGUUGCUGCUACUGGUACAAUGGACAUUGCCAAAGAUGCUGUCCACCUGCUGAGGAGACUUGCAGACAUGGUUGCUGCUACUGGUACAAUGGACAUUGCCAAAGAUGCUGUUAACCUACUGAAGCUACAUCCGGAGAUGAGGUCAAAAAUUAAUGCUAAAUAAAUAAGGGUGUGAGACAGGAUCCGUGACACCUAUAUUAUUACGUUAAUAUGUUAUGUUGUGUUUGCGUUUGAUGGUUGAUUUCCUAUAUGUGUAAAAGACUUGUGCGGCUUCUCUUUGAAUUGGUGUAGAAUCAACAGGGGAAGCAUGUAAUGAGUACUCAGUUCGAGUGCUCUUCUUAUGUUGUUGUCAUGUUGAAUAAAUAAAUCUACGUGAUCAUCUACUACAAUUGAUGAUCUCUAUCUCAGUUACGUCAGAAACUUCUGUACCUUGGACCUGCUAGAAUUUAGCGUGAUUGAUAUAAGACGUGCAGAAUGUUCAAUAUAUGUAUAUAUGUGCUUCUUCAUCGUGCCAUGCCAUUACAAUGUGAAAGAAUUCAGCAUCGACGGAGUGAAACGUACCCAAUCCUGCUCCUGAGAAAGGAAACAAAGUCCCUCAAAAAUGGAUAUUUUGGAUGCCAUCAAGAUUUUGAAUUGAAUGCCAUUUGGAGAUCUGAAUGUUGUUUUUUUCCCCUUUAUCUUCGUUCAAGAUUUUUUUUGGUGGAAAUGCUUCAUUUAUGGACAAUGCUACAGUGCCUAUAGUUAUGGUAACGAUAUUAGAGAAACCUACUAUUACAGGUUUCUAUUACCUUUAGUGACAGAUCCAAUUUUUAGCGACUUUUGAAAUAUUAUAUUAAAAUAAUUAAUAUUAAAUUUAGUAAGUUUUUAAUUAAAACUAGUAAGUUUAUGCCUGAAAGAUAAGUUUUAGUCAGAAAUAGAAAUUUACACUUUGAGUAAUUUAAUUUACUUAUUAUUUGACGAAAAUUACUUAUUUUUGAAUUAAACUUACUAAUACUGCAAGUAAAAAAUGUUCAUAUUUAAGUAAAAAAGUUACCAGUUUCUAAAAAUGGUUUUGGGUUCCUGAACCACUUUCGGAUAUUAUCUUGUUAAAGUCAUCUCCCUUCUUAUUACUUAGUUCUCAGUUUCAACAUACGAUUGAAUUCCCAGGCAAAGGUUUCCACUUUGGUCCACACUUUCUCUUGGUGACAAGUGAAUAAAUUUUCCCACUUCAAAUUUUCAUCUUCAGUUCCCACUUUCCCUCUAUCCUUUCUCAUCGAUCGGUUGUUUUUGGGUGCUGCCAUAUGCAGACACAAUAAAAGGGUUAGCGACGGUGGUAGCCAACCAAAGAGCAUAUGAAAAAUAGCAGUGACGAGGUUAGCCUAUCAUGUCCUCUUGAAAUCGUUUGAUUAUAUUGCUGUAAUUUAUUUAUAUUUCAUUUGUUUUGUUUGUCAAGAUUUUCUUGCGAAAUCAAGGCUGAGAAUUUGAAGAUUUUAUUGCAAUUUUGGGGCUGAAAAUGUCCACUGAAACAUCUAGCCUUGAUUUGGUUGUAGUUUUGAUUGUCUGCUGGUAAAAUAUACUUAAUAGCCAUAUGAAGCAUCUAGGAAAGGACUUGAGACUAGGUGUUUAAGUUAAAUGUGAUUAAUUUAUGAAUGCAUAUAAGAUGUUUGGUGAAAUGUCAAAGAGAAAUCUGUGUGUUAUGAUUGCUGCUCUGUGCUCUUCAGCAGCCAGAGAUGAGACCAGCUCUUAAAGAAAUCACCCUCGUCAGUCGACAACAGCGCUCAAGAUCACCCUUGGGAUUGUAAAUUGUAUAAUCUUUUAUACAAUAGAUUAUAAGAUGUAUAAUCUAUUGUAUAAUUUAAAUUAAAUUUAGUUCACCUAUAAAAUGGUCCUAAAAUAAUUAGUACACUAUGAUAAAUGUUAUUUUAACAACAAAAUAUUUUUUUUUACUAAAAGUCGGAAAUAUCCAUGACAUAUGUAUGAGAGAUAUUUUACCAUAUUUAUAUCUCACAUCUAAUCAUGAAAGUUAAUUUGAGAAAAACUAUUUUUAACAAUAGAAUUAUUUUGAAUUUAACCAACAAGUUGAGAUUUUUUAAACAAUAAAGUGAAAUAUUUUGGGAACUUUUUUUUUUUUUUUUUUUUUUUACAUAAAUAUGGUCUUUAUUGGCAAAGAAAAGAGAAAUUACAUAGAUCGUGUGACUAACCUACCCUGAGACCGUACAGACUCUCACAUACGGAGUUGACAACCUAUCUAACUGCAAAAGAGCCCGAACUUAGAAGGGAGAGCUCUUUCACUGAAAAAUCGGGCAUCCGUUCGUAGGUCCGAGGAGGCCAAAGCGUCGGCGACCGCAUUAGCCUCUCUGAACGUGUGAACCAGAGACACCCCAAUUUUGCCACCAAGCACCGAAUAUGCCUAAUUGUGUUGCAUAACGGCCAGCCAGCCGUCAUCUUAACGGACACGAGAUGCACUAAAGUACUAGAAUCCACUUCUGCUAUGACUCCCGUGAGAUUGUUGUCCUGGCAAUACCGAAGACCCUCCAGCAAAGCCAACGCCUCUGAGGAGAGAACGUCUUGCUCUCCAAACUCCUUAUAAAAGGCAAACACUAAAUUACCCUCACCCGAGCGCACCACCCCUCCACCACUUGACCGCCGCUUACCACACUAGCAUCAGUGUUGAGUUUCACCGCUUGCCCUGUAGGUUUUACCCAAGAAAAGGCUCGAAGCUGUAUCAAUUUGUUCUUGGCCUUACCGAAUUUCACCCAGUCGCAAUCUGUGUCCCCUUUGAAGAACUCCAACUUGAACAGGCCCCCCCUACCCAACUGCUCAACCAAUGCGCACACCUGGUUGGUUACCUGAUCUGACGACAUACUCAUCCCUCAAAGCGGGCCUUGUUACGGCCCUUCCAAAUAAACCACAAGAUCAAGAGCGGGAGGAUGACACGAAUAUGAUUCUGUGAGACAAACCGGUGAGAAAAGAGCCAACAUGAAAGCCUCGAUGCCACCCCACUCCUGGAGUACCAGCCCAAAGCGCAGGAGAAGUGCCGCCAAACCCUGCUCGCUAAAGGGCCCGAGAAAAAAGAUGGUCUCCUGUUUCUGGCGCUAGGCCACAACAGUAGCACUUUGACGCUAACCUCACCCUCUACCUUGAAGGAGAUCAUCCAAGGGGAGCCAACCACGCAACAACCUCCACACAAAGAAGGAUACCUUCAGAGGACCACCGAGCUCCAGACCAGCGAAUCAAUAACAGAUCGAUUACGCUUUGACCGAAGAACGUCCCAAGCUGAAGACACAGUAAAGCUCCCCGAAGGUGACGCCGCCCAAAUCAUUUGGUCUUGCAUAUUGGGAAAAAUACGCAGCUCCAAGAUCUUCGACACUAAGUGCCCCGGAAGCAGCCUUCUGAGCCACUGCUCAUCCCAACCAUCAGAAAGAAAAAAUUCCCCUACCAACCUGUGAGACUUAGGGCCUGGCACCAACCUGGCGAGCGGAACAUCAGUACACCACCUAUCCUGCCAAAAGUCAACUAAGCCCUCCCAGACACCACCGGAUAUUCCCCUCCGUGAGGUCCCUCACCUCUAUCAAACGGCGCCAAAUUGGGGACGGGCGGUCAACUGAAACUAGAAGAGGAUGCCCCCUCUGACAUACUUAACGUGCAUGAACUCUGCCCAAAUGGAUGCCCGUUCCCUCAACUUCCACCAAAGCUUACAUGAGAAAGCCUUAGCGACAUCCUCAAAUGGGCGAAACCCCAGGCCCCUUCCUCGACCGGACGGCACACCUUAUCCCAAGCCGCCCAGUGGAUCCGUUUGCUUUCAAUAGAGGUAUCCACAAGAAAGCAUUGCACAGACGCCUAACUGCAGCAGCACAGCCUUCGGCGGUUGAGUACCUGGAGUAAGUAGACCGGAAGGGAACACAGGACACUUCGUAAAAGGACAAUCUUCCCCCCAUAGAUAGCAUCUUUGAGCUCCAAUGGAAUAACUUUUGGCGAACCUUGCCAGCAACGCAUCAAACACUGCACAUGUGACCCUACGCGAAUCAUCGGCACCCCUAGAUACCUGAACGGAAAAACCUGGCACUGGUACCCCAGGGUCGUGCUUACCAGGGCCCGCUGGGUGUCUGUAGCCCUAGCCGAAGCGUAAAAAGCACUCUUUAGCAAUAUUCACCUUCUGACCAGAACAACUUUGGUAGAGCUGCAAAAAAUCCUUAAUGGACACCAACGCAUCCUGCGAGCACCGAGUAAAGAUGACCAUAUCAUCCGCAAAGGCUAAAUACGGCACUUUCGACCCAGCAGAAACGAAGUAUCUACUGUCCUUGGAAUCAAAAAUCCUUUGCAGCCCUCUCCCAAGAAAAUCCGCCACGAAUAAGAAAAGCGCAGGAGAAGAGGGUCACCCUGUCGCACCCCUUGAAAUGACUUCACAAAACCCGUUGGUUCCCCAUUAACUAGGAUCGAGAACCAAGUGUUAGAAAACGUUCGAAAGAGCAAAUCCACUACUACCUCUUCAAACCCAUACUGCCUAAGCAGAAAAAGUAGAAAGGACCAAUCAACCCGAUCAUAUGCCUUCUCCAUGUCCAGCUUCAAGAUCAAAUUCGGGUCAAUCAACCUCCUAUCCAAGUCUAAAAUCAGCUCCUGUGCCAAAAGAACAUUGUCCACUAUCCACGCCCGGAACAAAACCUGUUUGCCAUGGUGAAAUGAGCUUCGGGAGGAGCUUGCUGAUCCUGAUGGCCAAUAUCUUAGACACAACCUUAGAGGUUACAUUACAAAGACUAAUAGGCCGAAAAUCCGCCAGUGGGAUGCCCUCCACUUUUGGAUGAGCACCACCAUAGAGUGGGACCAGCUCCUGGGUUGCUCCAUACCCUGGAAGAAGUCCUGGAUAGCCAUAAGCAAGUCAUCCUUGACAAUGUCCCAGCAGCUUUGGAAAAAACCUGCUCCAAACCCAUCCGGACCCGGAGCACUCUGUAUCUCCAUUCCAAACACUACCUCAUGGAUUUCCUCCAUCGUAGGAAGACGUUUCAUAAUCUCAUUAUCCUCCUGGUGGCUCUAGGAACCUCAAAAGGAAGCUCAGUGAGGGCCUGUACCUGACGGUUGGAUGCGAACAAGUCCGAAAAAAAGGAUAUCGCUGAGUCCUUAAUCUCCUGCAGGUCUUCAUGCAUCCCCCCUCCUCUUUCCUAAUACGGGAAAUGAAAUUCGAGUUCCGACGCUAGCGGACCCAAGAAUGAAAAAAUGCAGUAUUAGCAUCCCCGCCUGUAACCAUUUAAUACCUGCCUUCUGAUGCCAAAACUCACACUCCAUGGAAAGGGCCCGAUUGUAUCUCGCUCUGGCCUCAUGAAGAUGAAUCUUCGACUCCUCACUUCUAACCAAAUCGUACUCCACCUCCCUCUGUUUUACCUCCUGAUCCGCCUCUGCCACCUGAGAAGAGACAUUGCAAAGACCACACGGUUCCAUUGCUUCAAUGCAUCUCGCACCGUUUUGAGCUUGUUGUAGAAUCUAACCAUCCCCAUGCCAUAGACCUCCUUACUCCAUGCGGCGAACACUAUCUCCCGGAACUGGGGUGCCCGCCGCCAAACAUUAAGAAACCGAAAGCAAGACGAUGUAGCCCUAUAGCCUGCACAUCGAAUCAACAACGGACUGUAAUCCGAUCUCCCUCUGGCCAUAUGGGAAACCCUAGAAAGCGGAUAGACCUCGGACCACCGCCUAUUCCCCAACGCCCGAUCCAAGCGCUGCCAGACUGACCCAUUAGUCAUGUGAAUCGAGACCAUCAAAAUCAAUUGUAGAUAGCCCGCAUUUGAACAUGGAAGCAUUAAAUUCUUCUAUGUUCCGAACAUUAGCUGGAGCCCCCCUUCACGCUCCGCUGCCGAAGCUAUGACAUUAAAGUCGCCUGCUGCUACCCAGGGUUGAUUGUGUGAGACGAGGAAGCCACACUUUCCAUUGCCUCCAGAGUGGCCUCCGCCCAACCUCGUGCACUUGGCAUAUAUCGCAGACACCCAAAAGGAUGCCCCAGAGCCAAAGGAAACGUGAGCAUGAAGCAUUUGCUCAGCGUACUCGACACAGCUAAAUCGUAAGAGGCACGACCAAAACACCCAUAUUUUACCACCAAUAUAAAGAGCUGAGAAAUCAAAAUUUAAAACCUCCGAACCACCUCCAACUGACACUCGCAGACAUUGGUUCUAAUAGAAAUAAUAACCUAACCUUGUUAUCGUAGCACAGCUUCUUCAGAUAGCGCAAAGAGUCCCUUCGGGAAGCCCAUCUGAUAUUCCAAACUAGCAUAUUAAUCGGAUCUAACAUGAGACCCAAUGAGUAUGAAGCUUGCGCCAAGGGUACACACAUGCCCCCUUCUUGGUCUCCCCCGUUUCCGUCUUAGAACCGUGGCGGCAUCAUCCUCCUCCAAGUCAUUACUAAAUCCCCUUCAAGAAGAGUUAAAGAGUCCAAAACAGUGUCAACACCCUGGACUGGUUGCGCCUUAGCAUUGAAAUCCCGUUGAAACGCCUUCAAUUCUUCAAGCGAGACUGAGACAGCUCUCACGCUAUCCACUGAACGCCCUCGGUGAUGGCAGUCCCGUUUCCAACCUCUCGACGCUGACCGUACAGGGCUCCUGUCUCGCUGCUCCUCAUCUGCGGAUUCACCUUCCAACUCUCCUAGAGCAGCGAAAGAAUUUGUCACGCGUAUGCUUCCCUCCUCUUCGGCGCCUAUACGAGACCCGCCCUGCAGCUCAAUCCCAGGUGACCAGCACUCCUGUGGCCGCACUUGUCAUUCCCCAUUCCUUCCGACUGAAUAACUAGCCUGCUCCUUCCCCUUAUCCCCAUUACUCCCAGACCCAAAGUCUGUACCAUCUUAUUGUCAUCUGCAACAGGCUCCAGAGACGCUGCACUCACUGCCGCAUCAGUCUGUUCCAAUGCUCCUUCCGACUGGAGCAGCGCACAACCAGUACCAGCACCAGUCCUUGUUCACCGACAGCAGCCGCCUGCACACUCUCCGCGACACCUGGUCCUGGCCAGGUGCCACCGAACUCCUUCCCAUUCACCACUUUCGGAACGUACACUUGCCGAUGUUUCAGUGUUUUUGCCUGGGCAGCGCGAGGCUGCGGAUCCGGGCGCAAGGAAGGAUUUCUAUGAAAACACUGCUCCUCUGUAUGGCCGAAUCUGCUGCAGAACCACAGUAGUCUGGCCACCCUCCAUCUCAACAGGCUGCCAGAAACCGAAGUGAUCAUCACCUAUCCAAAUACGACGCACAGGGGUCGACACUACGUUUACCUCCACCAAUACUCUGGCAACGGACGGACGGCGCAAAUCACACGUUGAUGCGUCAAUCUUGAGGGGCUGCCCAACGUAGAAGCGAGCUUGAUUAACUGGGAUCUCUGGAAAAAAGGAAUCGGCAAUUCUGGGAAGCAAACCCAGAUUGGAGCUAUGGCUAACUCCUGAUCUGCCUUAAAUUCCAACGACCACUUGGAAAUCGACAUUGGCGAGCUGCUAACAUACCAAAUCCUCCGCGCAAAGAGACGGGUGUAGUCUUCCUCCAGAACGGGACGAAUGAGAACGUGUUUCUGGUCGAGGAGGCCAACCUUACAGUCCCCUCUGAGACCAGCGACAGAAAGAACUUUCUGAUGACUUCCAUGGGUGGUCUGUUGAAGGAGAAACGCCCACCAACGAAUUCUGAAACGGUUCCGAAAGCUGCUCAAUUUCCCUACGAGAGAUACGCAAAGCAGGUUCUCCUCUGAAGGUAGAGACCUCCCCUAAAGCUAUGGCAUCAGGUUUAUCCGAAGCGCCUGCCAGAACGAAGCAAAGGACCUCUGAACCGGAGACUGACUGGCCUGUGUGUGUGACGGCCCACAGGCCGCCAUGUCCGGUAAGAAGAUCUAGCCGCACCCUCAACCCUAGCCGACCCUCAAACCGUCAAAAGUCGGUAUAUUCUAUAUUUUGGGAACUUAGUUGUUUAUUUUCCCGUAAUAAAAAAUUUAAAAUAUGAAAAUUAUUCUUACAUAUUUUAUAAGGUCAUAUGCAAAAAAAAAAACAGUUUAUAUAUAUUUAAAAUGCUUCAAACAUAUAACAUUUAUAAAUGAUACGUACAAUUGUAAGUUUCUUUAAGUAAAAUAGUAAAUUUAUGCCACAAACUAUUAAGUUUGAUGAUUAACCAAAUUUACUAAAUCUAUCAACAAUAUUUACUAUUAAUCUAUAAAAACUUACUAUUACUUGAACUAAACUUACCCUCCAAAAACUAAGUUUCAGAUAUAGAGUAAUAUUUUAUUUCAUAAAAACAAAGUUAGUUCCAUAUUUAUUCAAAUUUACUUUUUGAGACAUAAAAGUUACUAAUAUAUUGAGUUAACUUACUAUUCUUUAUGCAAAACUUACUAACCACCAUUUUAGGUACUAUUUCAUUUAGAAUGACCAGUAUAACAGGUCAUCAAAUGGUCGCUAAAAGUAUUUUUACCUGUUAUAUCAGGUAAAAAAAUUUCGUUACCAUAACUAUCGUUACUUCAGUUUUCCUUCAUUUAUACGAAUUUUCCUAGUUAGUAAAGGCUUCUAUUACACUUGUACAAUACACAUUUAAAAGUAUAACACAAUAAAAGUUGUGUAGUUCAUAUAUUUCAAAAUAUUCAUACUUUCAACUAAACUAUAAAAAUACGUAAUAUAUUCUUGAUACAUUAUACUUUACGAACUAUACUUUAAAUUUUAAAAAUAUUUAAUACUAUCACUUAUUAAUAACUCCACAUGUUAGUUUGUCUCCCAAUUCAAUAAAUUAUAGUAGCUAAUUCUCAAAGCUAUUACACCAAAAUUCCCUUACUCGUUCACUCCUAGUGGAUUAUUAUUAAUUACAUUGCAUUUAUUUCCUAAGCAUGAGUUUUGUAACCCCUCAUAUUAAAUCUCAAUGAUUAAUUUUAACGGUUACCAAGGCGUCUAGUAAUUGGUUUGCUAUUUUAAUUUGAACUAGACAUUUAUUAGGUCUAGUAGAAUUUAUUCCUUCUUAUCACUUAGUUCGUAAACCUUAUGAAUCGUUAAAAACCAGCUCUAACAUUAGGUAACAAGACUUCUACAAUUUCGGGUUUUGCUUAGAAAUCAGUCUGAUAGUUUAACUUGCUUUCGUCCAACUUUAUGAGUUGCUUUUUUUUUUUUCAUUUGGCAUUUCAUCUGACUUUAAUACGGGGACCAAGUUAGUAUUGUUGGCAUUUCAUAUCUAAGACUUCUUAAUUAAUUGAUUUGUUAUAAGAACUAUAACGUAUGCGUGUUUUGUGAGCUUUCAUGUUUUUUUUUUUUUUUAUUCUUGUGGACCAGCAAUGGAUAGUUUCUUCUAGUGCCAAGUUCCUUUGAAUUCUUUAUUUUUUUUUUGCGUGUCCAAAUGUAAAUUAAAAGAACCAACAACUUUGAACAAGUCUAUAUCUAGUAAAGAUAGAUAUAAAGAGGGAUACGUAUACACAGAUUAUAUAAUUUUUUUCAAAUGUAUGAUUAAAAGUUUAGUAGUAAAAAUACGAGUUUAUCAUUAUUAUGGAUAUCAUAUAAAUUCAUAUAUGAAUAGUAUGAAUAAAUAUAAAUGUUAUAGAAUUAGGUAUACAAGUGAAAUUACUAUAAUUUUGAAUGAUUAUGCUAUUUAUAUCAAAUUUAAUGCUGAUCUGUAUAUAUGACAUCAGAUUUAUUAAAGUUUUAUCACUUUUUUACAUUUAUAUUAUAAUCCAUCUAAAGUUUGUUAUUUGACAAUACAUUUGAUAUAUACCUCAAAAGGUACGUCAUUAUCUUGUCUCACUUUUUAAAAUUUAAAGUAUAAAUCAUAAAGUAUAAUGCAUCCAAAAACAAGUUAAAUGCAUCAAGAAUUUAUUAUAUAUUUUUAUAGGUUAGGCGAAAAGUAUAAAUAUUCUUGAAAUACACGAACUAUAGAACCUCUUUUGUGCUAUACAUAUAAACGCGUAUUGUAGAAGUAUAAUAGAACUAUUUACUAGCUAGGCAAAUUCGUAUAAAUGAAGCAUUUCCACCAAAAAAAUCUUGAACAAAGAUAAAGGUUCAGAUCACUGAAUGCCAUUCCAUUCAAACUCUUGAUAGCAUCCAAAAUAUCCAUUUGAAGGACUUCGGUUUCUUUCUCAGGAGGGAACGGAGUUGAGUUUGACUCCGUCGAUGCUGAAUUAUUUUACAUUGUAAUGACAUGUAUAUAAAUAUUAUUGAACAUUAUGAACGUCUUAUAUCAAUCACACUAAAUUCUAGUGUUCCCAAGUAGGGAUGAGCAAAUUCGGUUCUUACCGAAUUCAUAACCGAUUUCAAAUUCAAUUCGGUAAUUUGAAAUCGGGUAUUUGGUAAUUUGGUACAAAUUCUGUGAGAACUCGAAAAUUUUCUUAUUUUUAUAGAAUAUUACUGGAAUAUUUAAAUGAUUAUUCACUAAUUUUCUUCGAAUUAUUUAUUUCGACCAUUUUAAUUCAUUUAUAUGGAAUGACGCCUCUUUAUAUUUUUAAAGCGUUUUGUUGAAAAAUUCGCUUUUCGAAAAUUUGUUUAGUCCGGAACGACGGGUGCACGUUUUUCUAGGCCAUACUUGAAUCGGGAGUGUAUUAUUUAUUGGAGAAUUAAGAACGAUCAAUAAUAGAUUAAGAAAGGUUAAUGGAGGAAUUAAUACUCAAUUCACGUGAGGACUCGUAAAAUUAUUAUUUUAAAAUCCCUAAUUUUGGCUAAAUUAAUUACUUAUUUAGAUUUUUGCCACGAAUAAUAUUUUCUAGCCUUUUAGACCUAAGUACAUGGUUUUAUAGUUUCGUUAUAUUUUUAAAGUGUCUCAUUUCAAAAAUUAUUUUCUUAUAAGCUUGUUUAGUGAAAAGGUGAAAACGUGUCCAAACACUUUAGCCAAUUGGGAAUAAAAUAAGUUCAAAAAUUUGAGACAUAUACAAUGGUUCUAAAAUAGACAAUUUUAGAUUUAAGCACACAAGUGAUAGCUAGUGGUACGAUCGUUAUAAGAAUUUCUCGAAAGUUUCAUUUUAUUGCGCCUAAAUUGGAAAUACGUGUUUUCACGUGCGCGCUUAAUUGAGGGACUUUGGACAAUUAUUUUGGGACAAUUAAGAAUGAAUAAUAUUUAUAUGAAUGUAAGUGCCCUAGAGGUUUAGUGCACUAGUGUAACAAACUUAAGGAAAAUUGAACACAAAACGCGCGAGUAGGGCACUAGUUGCAAUUAAAUUUUUCAUACUUAAAAUAUUAGACGGUCGGCGUUCUUUGUAUGCAAAAAGGAAAUCAGACUAACAUUCAUAUCUGCAAGCUUUAUGGACGGCUAGCAACUGCAGCAAAGAGCAACCGAAAACUUCCACAUUUCCUCUACAAACUCACAAAUUCAACCAAAACUUCACACACACUUAGCUCUUCACUUGGACAAUCACUUGGACAAAGAACGAGCUGCACAUUCACGGUUUUUCUUGGGCUUUUGGACACCAAAAAUCUGAUCUUUUAGCACACAAGUAAGGUAACCAUGAUCCACUCUUCAAAUCUUGUUCGUUGAAGGCCAACUCACACUUAAGAGCUUGAUUAUGCUUAUGGGUAGCUUAUUAUUGUUAGAGAAUUGUUAAAUGUGGCUCUAUGAACUCCACCACUUUGAGUUGAUGUGUGAUGAUUUUGAUUGAUGUUUUAUUGUUGAAUUAGUGCUUAAGGGAGUAGAUUAAAGGUGCAUUAUCGCCAGAAACUUCAUUGAGCUCUUGAAGCAAAAAGUUCCCCUGCUCCGUUCGGUGGCAGAAAUUUGAGAAUUUAAUGGCUUGAUUGUGUUGUUUAUAUGUUGUAAAUUUUCAUUGAAAACUGAGUUUUGGUUGGUCAAACGAAUUUAUUCCCAAGCUAGUAAUCUGGAAAACGGUUUUCAUCGUAAUCCAGACCAGUGUUCGUAUUUCGUCCAUAACUCCGUACUCCGACGUCAAAAUCAAGUUCCGUUAGCGGCAUUUGAAACUAGACGUUCCCAUACUUUCCAACGGUAUAUAAUGCACAUUCUGGUUCCAUGUGUGUGAACCGCACCACUCAUCUGAAUUCAGCUGCCCUGUUUCGCCGUUCUGCCGAAAUGAUUUGAUGAUGCUGCAACUUUAGGCUUAAUUUCGAGCUAGUUGCAUGCUGAAACAUAAAAUGAUUUCUUCUGUGAAAUUAUAGUCCUAUGCAUGUAUUUUCUAACACUAUCAACCAUGCUCAAAUCCGAGUUAAAUUGAGUGAGUUAUGAUCAAAAUACGGUGACUGUUUUGUUCUUGAAAGCCUUGGAUUUGGACAGAUUUGACGUGACAUUUGUGGUGGUCUUACUAAAUGAAUUUCUUGAUACUAAACACCUACCACAUGUACCAUGAAUGUUUCUUAAACUUUCCUUUCGCAUAUGAACCAUGAUUGGAGGAUUUUCUUAGCCAAACGAUUGGAUUUGGGAAGAAAAGGAUUAAGGACAGAUUGUCUUGAGAAUUUUUUCAAACUUUGGUUGAUUGGUUAACCACCUUCCCGAAGGUAUUUUUCCACGAAAUUUUGUAGAGAGAUACCCUUCAUAUAGUAGUACCAUACUACAAAAUUUGGGGUCAAUUCAAGUCCGUUUCGACACUUAACAAAAGUUCCAUAGUCGGAACCAAUCUGGAAAUUUUGUAACAGUCUUGAAUUUUUCCCAACUUUGAGCUACCAUAUCUUGGUGUUCGAAACUCCGAUUCUCGAUCCGUUUAUUCUACCCUAAACCUUAGUUGCACCUCUAAUUGAGCUAUAAAUUUUAAGGGCUGGUUUGCAACGAGUGAAUUCUGCCGAAUUUCCAAAGUUAGCGAAAAGCCAACCCCGGGUCAAUCCUGGGUGAUCUGGGAUAGCAACUUUAAACUCAUUUUUGAAUACCUUUCAUUUCGAUUCGUGGAACAGUGUCUUCUAAGAACUUUUAGUAAUUUCCAAGAGGUUUCCAACGGUAUAAAGUUUUCCAAUUUUAGACUUGUAUCGAGUGAGAUACGAUUUUUCAAAGAUCCAUAUCAAAACUGAAAAUUUUCCAACUUUCAAGGAAAUAGAGAUUUCCAAGAACUUUUUAUUCUUUCGACAUUAUGCAAACAUUUUAACCUCAUUUCCAAGAUAAAAACCCAAAUGCUCCUGUACUUUAAGAAACUCUAAUUGAACCUCGAUUUACGAGUAAUUGAGGUUCGAUUUCGUGAAUUUCCUUAGAUUGUACUAGUGUACAAUCUUCCUUGAUAAUUGGGAUAUAUGAAUGAUAAUACGUUAUUUUUGCCCAGGCGCACACGAGGACCUUCAAGAGGAUCCUACCGUGCACACUUGAACUUCCAGAAAAUAUUUCUUCUUGAUUUGCUCGGUGAGUGUCAAGUGUAUGACUACUUGAACACUAUGGACUUGAUUCAUGCUUGGCUUACCUGAUUACAUGCUUAGCCUACUUGGUUUUGAAAAAUGGAGUCGAGUGUGUACUUUAUCGCACUCGUUCUCAUUUGAAACAAAUGACUCAUGCUUAACAUGGUUUGCCUGAUUUACAUGACCUGAAAUACAUGCUUAGACCUGUCAAAUGCUUGAAUACAUGAUAUGGUAUGCUAUGGCUGCAUACGUCGUUGGAGUGAAUCUCUCGACACUUACAUGACACAUGGGGGACGCCAAACUCAUAGGCCGACCUUGGAACUCGAGCCGGCAUGGGCUUGGUCGGGAACCUCGUGAGCCAUGAGAUUCACAUGAUAAGCUUGAUCUAUUGGAGAGAUCUUGCUUGGCAUACUCGUGGAGUAUCGCCUCAUAAAUGUCGUGCGGCCCGAAGCGGUGUAUGGUGGACGGAUGAGAAGUAAGUGGUGAUCUACGGUUUGGAAAUAUCAACCCGGUUGACGGAGAGUCAUCACGGGAAGAUAUACGAAUGAACUGGCAAAGCAAGUGGAACUUAGCUCUUGAGAGCUACCAUAUCCUUGAAUCGUUUCUGUUUACAUUUUGUUGGCAUUGUUAAUUACUUGCAAGUUAUCACUUGAACUGUUACUUGGGUUUGUUACCUGAACUAUGUGCCUGCAUGUGUGUUCUUGGCCUCACGAGCGUUUUGCUCACCCUAUAGAUUUGUUUUCCUUAACAGAUUUGAACUCGGAGGCGUACUGGAAAAAAACCUCCUGAUGAGCUUUUGUUUAGGAUUUCUAUUAAUUUUGGCUAUGUCUUGGUUUUGGGUUGUACUUUUGGAAUUGAAAUGUAACUUUUGGGCGUGAUGUAUAUUUGGGAUUAUAUGAUGUUUUGAAACCCGACGUGCGGGUGGAUAAUGGAUGACUUUUUAUUAACUUGAACGCUUCGCAUUUUUGUAUUAAGUUAUUUACGUGUAUUGUGGUCGAGAUAAGCUUGAAUGGAAUUGCUUGAGUCCUGGCGAGAGUUAGGCAGGCGUCCGCGGAUACCCUUUGGUUCGCCUUAGGGAGAAGUGGGGCGUCACAGUUGGUAUCAGAGCAUAGGCUUUAGAUCUUGUAGUGUAUCCUAGGUUUAAAGUUUAGGAUGCCUGACUGUGGGAUUAAUUUGAAUAUUAUGUGAACUAGAGGGUCUAUUGUAUCCUACGGGUUAAAAAAUUGGUUACUUGAGAGUUUCUUACUUGGGACUUGUAGAAAUAAAAAUUGAGGAAUUAGCUGAUGUUAUAUUGAAGGAAAAUAUGGGAUGAGAGAUUAGUAGUGAAAGAUUGGACGAAUUUGAAUUAUUAUUAUUCUUGUAAGUGUGGAAAGAAGUGAGACAAUUAUUAGUGCUGGCUAAAGCGAUAAGAGACCGAGAUUUGAUGGUCAAACUCCAUGUAUCGUGAUUGUGAACCAGAUGAAAGAGUUUCAAAUAUAAAAUGCAUUUUCCUGCUCAUUUACCUCCUAGAGAAAUUAUGCUUUGAAAUUCUAAAGGAAAAAUGGAUGUACUAGUUUUAUUUUCAAACGAUAAUUGGAAAUAAUAUAUAUAUGCUUUAAGUAUGUGUAAUUCUUCGAUUUUGGUAAAUAUGUGAAUUUUACUUGAAUUUCAAUUUAAAAAUUUGUGAAUAACUGAUGAGUUUGUUGAAAUUUUGUAUGUGAUGGGCUGAUACAAGGUUAAAAUUUUCUAAACUAGAUUUUCCCCCUUGAUUGUAUACUGGUGUAUUCUCACACUUGAAUUCAUCUAUGCUUUACAAAAAAAUAAAAAAAAUAAUAAUAAUAAAAUAUCUUGAAUUUUCGGAAGAACGGCGAACUUAUGUUUUUAUAAUGAAAAUCUUGAACUUGAUAAGAUUUUUGUUACUUUAAAUACUCUUCUUAUCUUUUAAAAUUCUUGGUUUUCAAGAAGGGUGAGCCUAUCUUUAGGUGUACGGAUUGAGGAACUUUGAGAUAUAGAGUAACCGCAUUCAAGAACACGCAGUUAGUGUGAAUUGACUUGGUUUCCAUUUGACACGUAAGUUAGCAAGUUGUACUUAUUUCUUGGGUUUGAACUUGGAGCUUGAACUUUAACUAUAAAACCCUAAGACUAGUUAUUCUUGGAGAUGAUGGUGCUCUGGUUGGUGGCUUGCUUAUUAAAGAUUUUGAAUUUCGAAUGGAUAACCUUUGGUUUCCGCUUGUGUUAUGGUUUGAUUGGAUCUAAUUUCGUAAAGGCAUGUGAUCUGAUUGGAAUUAGUGAUAUUCGGACCCAUUGGUUUAAUUAAGGACUUAGGAAGGGUGGUGCACGCCGUGAGACCUUUUGUAUCCCGCUUGCAUAUACUUCUACAUUUUGUGACCCUUAAUUGCCUAUAUACAGUAUUUGACAUAUUGGGCUUGUUUUGUGACUUCUUAACUCGUACUAUAACCUUCGAUACAUGUAAAGAAUCAUGUCUUGAUUCUAAAUAUUUUUGCAACUUGUAUAUGCAUUAAGUUCUUUUAUGAUUAAUUAUUCCUUUUCUUGCGCUUAUAGACUCCUAUUAAGUAUGGUAGCAGGAAUAGGAAAAAGGGGUCGUGGCCGAGGACUUAGACAACCCUGUACUCGUGAGAAAAAUUGAUGGAUAGUCUUAUAUAAUUUAAUGAGAUUCUAGUACUGAAUAUGAAUCGAGAAAAAAAACAGAAGAUUAGAUCUACCAGUGUAUAAUGGAUUAACCUAGUUGGGAACUUAGUGAGAUUUUCCUGUGUGAAAUUUUAAUAACUGCUUUAUACGUAUAUUAUGAUUGGUCCUGUGGCCAUAUUUCAACUUUUGUGAAAGUUUGAACUCCAAAAGUAUUUCGUGGGUUUGGUGAGAUGACCUGAACUCAUUACCAAUUUGUUCUACUUGAACAAAAGCGCUUUCAAUUUUACUUGACUAAUACUAUAUCCAGAUUCACUUGUUUUACUUUUCACAAAAUUUAUAUAUAUAUAUAUAUAUGUAUGUAUACACAUUUUGAACUCGUUUGAGACUCGAAAUCAGAUAGAGUUCAAGUUCGAAUCUUUCUUAGGAACAUGAAUGCCUAUUUGUUAUGAAUCAGAUAUUAGAAAUGAUCGGGUUUUAUGUACCAGUAGAGUUAACUCUUGGUUGGAUAAAAGGGUGGUAAAGGUAUUGGAUCACAGGUUAUGCGAAUAUGAACCUACAUGUUUACCUAUCUUUCUUAAAGGUAUUUUCUAAAAUAUACGCCUUACUCGAACAUAGAUUUAACUCGAAACUUUGAGGAAAAGUGUUGGAACACCCUCCAUGUAUAUGUUAUGAUUAUUAUGUAUAUGUUUUAAAAAUCAUGCAUUAAGUUGCAUGAUUAAUAUUCUUAAAUCUAUUUGAGAGAUUUUAAAUAUGUAUUGAUGAUUGUGGUUAAACAUUAUUUGAAAUCUCUUACUAAGAAAAUUUAGUUUUGGGUCGUGAAGAAAAAUUUGUAUCUUUAACUCUAAUUUUGAAAAUUUUGAAUCGCAUUUUGCCACAGAUACAUUCAAAAUACAUCAAAAGUCUUGACCUUAUCUUGUAAGUCAUGAUUGGUUUGAUUUAGACAAAAUUUUGAGGAAAGGGAUUUUGGUCCUGCUAGUGCGUAACAGUUUUUUUUUUUUAGGAUUUGGAACUUGUUUCAUAUGGCGUGUAAUUUAUGGUUUCACUACACACGGGAGUAAGACCUUAGAAUGGAAGUACAUAUCAUUAUAUCAAGAGGUAUUACUUUAGUCGUGUGUGUGGAUUUUCUUAAGUAUCAUUCGAGGAGAGGGAAGAGUAAAUAUACCUGGAUGACUUAGAUGCGUGAGAAUUUACAGGUUGUGGAUAGUUGAGUUUCAAUUCUGAUUUGCUACUUAUUUAGAUGCUUGAGCUGUUGAUAGGCUAACAGUCAGGAUUAAGAAAAUGGAUGAAUGAAAAGUUUGGAAGAGAUGCGUAUAGAAAUAGAAAUUCUUCACAAGGAGUUGGAAUUCCAAACUAAAUUGGCUGAAUUUGGGAAGAAAAAAAAAAGUCGAGAACUUAGGGUUGAAGAUGGGAUCCAAUGUUUAAUCGCCAAUUUGAGAUAUUAAAAGUUGUGAGAUUUGGGUGAGUGAAAGGAAAUAUUUGAUGGCUUGAAUGAGCUAACGAUUAGGGACCGGAUGUUAUAUUUGGAAUGGACGCUUGAGGCUAUAUAUACAUAGAUUAUUGAGAGUUGAACGAUGAGACUAUUAAGAACAAAUGCUCCAUAGCCUCACAUAAACGAGAAUUAUAAUCAAGGGUCAGGAGCAGCGAAUAAGGGAUUUAAAGUAGAGUUACUACAACCGGAAUCCUAGAAACUGAUGUGCUUAAAACCACUUCCAAUUCAAGAUGGGGAUGCUUGAAUUUUCAGUUAUGCCAAUUGGGUUGACUAAUGUAUUAGCAGCAAUUAUUGCAUUAAUGCAUCAAGGUUUUAAAUCGUAAUAGGAUUAAUCUGUGAUGGCAUUUAUUGAUGAUGUAUUGAUAUACCCUAAAGUUUGAGAAGAUCAUGAAAAAAAAAUACCUGAUGGUAGUUUUACAAACCCCAGAGAACGCUAACUUUUGUUAAGUUCAAUAAAUGUGAGUUCGAUGGGAAGAAAUAGCCUUUCUAAGUUAUAUAAUAUCUAAGGAAGAAAUUGUUGUUAACUCAGCUUAAGUGGAAGCUGUUUAAGAGGAAAUGACUAGAAAAUCCUACCGAAAUUUGGAGUUCUUAGAGGUAGUCGAAUAUUACCUUGGUUUGAUCAGGGACUUCUAAGGAUACGAGACUUGGCAAGUUAUUUGAGAUUUUAAAUGUGAGGAAGAAUUUGAAGGUGAAAAUCGUUUAACCAGUGCACUUGUGUUGGCUUUACCGAGCGGAUAAGGUGAUUUUGUGAUUUAUACAGAUGGUUCAAAGGAUGGUUUAGAAUGUAUAUUAAUAAUAUAUGAUGAGGUGAUUGUAUAUGCCUUCUGAAAGUUAAAAUCUUCCGUAAGAAAGUAAUCAACUCAUGAUUUGGAGUGAGUUGGAAAACGUAAGUCAAUGAUUGAUCUGAUAGGUUUAACCAUGAAGGGAAUGAUAUUGUUCUAAGUAUGAAUUUCGAGGACGAAAUUCCUUUCAAGGAGGGGAGGAUGUGAGAACCCGAAAAUUUUCUUAUUUUUAUAAAUAUUACUGGAAUAUUUAAAUGAUUAUUCACUCAUUUUUUCGAAUUAUUUAUUUCGACCAUUUUAAAUCCAUUUAUAUGGAAUGACGCCUCUUAUAUUUUUAAAGCGUUUUGUUGAAAAUUCGCUUUUCGAAAAUUUGUUUAGUCCGGAACGACUGCACGUUUUUCUAGGCCAUACUUGAAUCGGGAGUGUAUUAUUUAUUGGAGAAUUAAGAACGAUCAAUAAUAGAUUAAGAAAGGUUAAUGGAGGAAUUAAUACUCAAUUCACGUGAGGACUCGUAAAAUUAUUAUUUUAAAAUCCCUAAUUUUGGCUAAAUUAAUUAUUUAUUUAUUUUUGCCACGAAUAAUAUUUUCUAGCCUUAUUAGACCUAAGUACAUGGUUUUAUAGUUUCGUUAUAUUUUUAAAGUGUCUCGUUUCAAAAAUUAUUUUCUUAUAAACUUGUUUAGUGAAAAGGUGAAAACGUGUCCAAACACUUUAGCCAAUUGGGAAUAAAAUAAGUUCAAAAAUUUGAGACAUAUACAAUGGUCCUAAAAUAGACAAUUUUAGGUUUAAGCACACAAGUGAUAGCUAGUGGUACGAUCGUUAUAAGAAUUUCUCGAAGGUUUCAUUUUAUUGCGCCUAAAUUGGAAAUACGUGUUUUCACGUGCGCGCUUAAUUGAGAGACUUUGGACAAUUAUUUUGGAACAAUUAAGAAUGAAUAAUAUUUAUAUGAAUGUAAGUGCCCUAGAGGUUUAGUGCACUAGUGCAACAAACUAAGGGAAAUUGAACACAAAACGCGCGAGUAGGGCACUAGUUGCAAUUAAAUUUUUCGUACUUAAAAUAUUAGACGGUCGGCGUUCUUUGUACGCAAAAAGAAUCAGACUAACAUUCAUAUCUGCAAGCUUCAUGGACGGCUAGCAACUGCAGCAAAGAGCAACCGAAAACUUCCACCAUUUCCUCUACAAACUCCACCAAAUUCAACCAAAACUUCACACACACUUAGCUCUUCACUUGGACAAUCACUUGGACAAAGAAGGAGCUGCACAUUCACGGUUUUUCUUGGGGCUUUUGGACACCAAAAUCUGACCUUUUAGCACACAAGUAAGGUAACCAUGAUCCACUCUUCAAAUCUUGUUCAUUGAAGGCCAACUCACACUUAAGAGCUUGAUUAAUGCUUAUGGGUAGCUUAUUAUUGUUAGAAAUUGUUAAAUGUGGGCUCUAUGAACUCCCACUUUGAGUUGAUGGCUGUGAUGAUGUUUGAUGAUGGUUUUAUUGUUGAAUUAGUGCUUAAGGGAGUAGAUUAAAGGUGCAUUAUCGCCAGAAACUUCAUUGAGCUCUUGAAGCAAAAAGUUUCCAUUUUACCCCUGCUCUGUUCGUCACUUUAAUGCAGAAAUUUGAGGAUUUAAUGGCUUGAUUGUGUUGUUUAUAUGUUGUAGUAGUUGUGUAAAAGUUUUCAUUGAAAAAUACUGAGUUUUGGUUGGUCAAACGAAUUUAUUCCCAAAGCUAGUAAUCUGGAAAACGGUUUCGUCGUAAUCCAGACCAGUGUUCGUAUUUCGUCCAUAACUCCGUACUCCGACGUCGAAAUCAAGUGCCGUUAGCGGCAUUUGAAACUAGACGUUCCCAUCUUUCCAACGAUAUAUAAUGCACGUUCUGGUUCAUGUGUGUGAACCGUACCACUUAUUGAAUUCAGCUGCCCUGUUUCGCCAUUCUGCCGAAAUGAUUUGAUGAUGCUGCAACUUUAGGCUUAAUUUCGAGCUAGUUGCAUGCUGAAACAUAAAAUGAUUUCUUCUGUGAAAUUAUAGUCCUAUGCAUGUAUUUUCUAACACUAUCAACCAUGCUCAAAUCCGAGUUAAAUUGAGUGAGUUAUGAUCAAAAUACGGUGACUGUUUUGUUCUUGAAAGCCUUGGAUUUGGACAGAUUUGACGUACAUUUGUGGUGUCUUACUAAAUGAAUUUCUUGAUACUAAACACCUACCAAAUGUACCAUGAAUGUUUCUUAAACUUUCCUUUCACAAUGAACCAUGAUUGGAGGAUUUCUUAGCCAAACGAUUGGAUUUGGGAAGAAAAGGAUUAAGGGCAGAUUGCCUUGAGAAUUUUUCAAACUUUGGUUGAUUGGUUAACCACCUUCCCGAAGGUAUUUUUCCACGAAAUUUGAGAGAGAGAUACCCUUCAUAUAGGAGUACCAUACUACAAAAUUUGGUGUCAAUUCAAGUCCGUUUCGACACUUAACAAAAGGUCCAAAGUCGGAACCAAAUCUGAAAUUUUGUAAUAGUCUUGAAUUUUUCCCAACUUUGAGCUACCAUAUCUUGGUGCUCGAAACUCCGAUUCUCGAUUCGUUUGUUCUGUCCUAAACCUUACUUGAACCUCUAAUUGAUCUAUAAAUUUCUACGGGCUGAUUUGCAACGAGUGAAUUCUGCCGAAUUUCAAAGUUAGCGAAAAACCAACCCCGGCUCAAUCCUGGGUGAUCUGGGACAUCAACUUUAAACUCAUUUUUGAAUACCUUCCAUUUAGAUUCGUGGAACAGUAUCUUCUAAGAACUUUUAGUAAUUUCCAAGAGGUUUCCAACGGUAUAAAUUUUUCCAAUUGUAGACUUGUAUCGAGUGAGAUACGAUUUUUCAAAGAUCCAUAUCAAAACUAAAUUUUCCAACUUUCAAGGAAAUAGAGAUUUCCAAGAAUUUUUAUUCUUUCGACAUUAUGCAAACAUUUUAACCUCGAUUUCCAAGAUAAAAAUCCAAAUGCUCCUGUACUUUAAGAAACUCUAAUUGAACCUCGAUUUACGAGUAAUUGAGGUUCGAUUUCGUGGAAUUUCCUUAGAUUGUACUAGUGUACAAUCUUCCUUGACAAUUGGGAUAUAUGAAUGAUAAUACGUUAUUAUUUGCCCAGGCGCACACGAGGACCUUCAAGAGGAUCCUACCGUGCACACUUGAACUUCCAGAAAAUAUUUUUUCUUGAUUUGCUCGGUGAGUGUCAAGUGUAUGACUACUUGAACUCUAUGGAUUUGAUUCAUGCUUGGCUUACCUGAUUACAUGCUUAGCCUACUUGGUUUUGAAAAAUGGAGUCGAGUGUGUACUUUAUCGCACUCGUUCUCAUUUGAAACAAAUGACUCAUGCAACAUGGUUUGCCUGAUUUACAUGACCUGAAAUACAUGCUUAGACCUGUCAAAUGCUUGAAUACAUGAUAUGGUAUGCUAUGGCUGCAUACGUCGUUGGAGUGAAUCUCCUCGACACUUACAUGACACAUGGGGGACGUCCAAACUCAUAGGCCGACCUUGGAACUCGAGCCGGCAUGGGCUUGGUCGGGAACCUCGGUGAGCCAUGAGAUUCACAUGGUAAGCUUGAUCUAUUGGAGAGAUCUUGCUUGGCAUACUCGUGGAGUAUCGCCUCAUAAAUGUCGUGCGGGCCCGAAGCGGUGUAUGGUGGAUGGAUGAGAAGUAAGUGGUGAUCUACGGUUUGGAAAUAUCAAUCCGGUUGACGGAGAGUCAUCACGGGAAGAUAUACGAAUGAACUGGCAAAGCAAGUGGAACUUAGCUCUUGAGAGCUACCAUAUCCUUGAAUCGUUUCUGUUUACAUUUUUUUGGCAUUGUUAAUUACUUGCAAGUUAUCACUUGAACUGUUACUUGGGCUUGUUACCUGAACUAUGUGCCUGCAUGUGUGUUCUUGGCCUCACAAGCAUUUUGCUCACCCUAUAGAUUUGUUUUCCUUAACAGAUUUGAACUCGGAGGCGUACUGGAAAAAAACCUCCUGAUGAGCUUUUGUUUAGGGUUUCUAUUACUUUUGGCUAUGUCUUGGCUUUUGGGUUGUAUUUUGGAAUCCGAAUGUAACUUUUGGAGCAUAUGUAUAUUUGGGAUAUAUGAUGGUUGUUGAAUACCCGAUGUGCGGAUUGGAUAACGGAUGACUUUUAUUAAAUUUGAACGCUUCCGCAUUUAUUAUAUCUAAGUUAUUGACUCGUAUUGUGUGGUCCGGUAAUAAGCUUGAAUGGAAUUGUUUGAGUCCUGGCGAGAGUUAGGCAGGCAUUCUGCGGAUACCCUUUGGUUCGCCUUAGGGAGAAGUGGGGGUGUCACAAAUUCGGUACAUGCCGAAUUCACCGAAUUCUAAUAUGGUAUGAAAUAGGUAAUAAGAUUGUGAAUUUGGUAAUAACCGAUUUCGCAUUCAAAUUCGGUAAUUGAAAUCGGGUGCCGCAUUACCACAUUCGAAUUACCAAAUUGAUAUAUAAAAUUAUAUAAUAUAUAGAUAAAUGCUAUUUAGUAUUAGUAUAUACUACUAAUACUUUAUUAUAUUAUAUAGGUAAAUGCUAUUAAUAAUAAUUAGUAUAUGGUAUUAUCAUCAUAUCAUGUACUUAUAAUAAUAAUAAUAUAUAAUAAUGUACAAUAUAUUCUUUUAGUAUUUAUUAAUUGUUAUAUGACUAUAAUAAUAUAAAUAUAUAGUAAUACAUAACAAUAUAAGAUAACUAUAAUACUUAUUAUUUUAUACAUGAGUAACAUGACUAGAAUUAGAUAAUAAUUAAUACAUAUAUGUAUAAUACUAAAUAUUAAACAAUAAACAUAAUUCAUAAUUAGAAUUUAGAUAUUGGUAAUUUGAUAUAUCAUUCAUGUUUGAAUUAUUGAAUAUUUGAAUGCGUAAUCUGUAACUUGCAAGUAUUAGUGUACUCUACAUAUUUAACAUAAAAAUUCAUAUUAUCUAUUCACUAAUCUUAAUUCUUAAGGCUUUAGCCUUUAAGUAUAUAAGACAACUAAGCAGUUAGCAGUGUAAGUGAAUGCAUAUGAAUUGCAAAUCAAUGUAUUAGUGUAUUGACUUUCACGAAUAACAUAUGUAAGUAAAUAAGUUUUAUUUUGAUUUGAAAUAAAUUAUAAGUUUGUAACUAAUAUAACUUACCACUAAUCAUUGUAAUUUGUAAGUUUGUAACUAAUAUUACUUAUUAUUAAUCAUUGUAAAUUAUGAAUUCAUAAAUUAUCACUAAUCAUUGUGUUCCUUAAAUCAUAGACUAAGGAUUCUAGGUAAAAGUUAUCAAAUAAGUUAUAAUUCAUAUUAUCUAUUUACUAAUUUAAGGUUUUAAGUAUAGACAAGACAACUGAGCAGUGUAAGUGAAUGCAUGUAAAUUGCAAAUCAAUGUAUUAGUGUAUUGACUUUCACAAUAACAUGUGUAAGUAAAUAAGUUUUUAUUUUGAUUUGAAAUAAAUUAUAAGUUUGUAACUAAUAUAACUUAUCACUAAUCAUUGUAAUUUGUAAGUUUGUAACUAAUAUUAUUUAUUAUUAAUCACUGUAAAUUAUAAAUUCAUUGUAACUACUAACUAAUAUUACUUAUUAUUAAUCAUUGUAAAUUAUAAAUUCAUAAAUUAUCACCAAUCAUUGUAUAGUCUAAGGUUUAUUCUAGUUUAAAUUAAUAGAUAAAUUAUUACUUUUUUUUAAUAGAUGAAUUUGGUUAAACCGAAUUCAUUACCGUUUUCGAAUUUGAAAUCGGUUGCGGUAUGAAUUUGGUUAUGGCUAAUUCAGAAUUGAAAACGGUUUAGAUUUCUAUAUGUAGAAUAACCGAAUUCACCGAAUUCAGUGCACCGAAUUACCGAUUUUGCACCGAAUGCACACCCCUAUUCCCAAGUUACAGAAGUUUAUGAUGUGUAUUAGGGGUUUCCUCAGCAAUUCGACAGCAUCUGGUGCAUCGUCCAUGGAACCAACGACAGCAACCAAAUCUGCAACAAUCCACGGUUACGGUGUCCUCAUCUCCAAAUUUAUUCUCACGGAUCUCCUCAGCUGUUUGACAGCAUCUCGUGCAAUAGAUGAGGUACCAGCGGCAGCACGAAAUCUGCAACCAGUUAAGUGAUCAAUCUCACCUGAACUGGCAUCCAGCGGUCUUCAUGUUGUCGUGAUCUGUUUCAAGACAUAAAUAUUAGGAGCAUCGUCUUAAACUCCAAAACGUUAGGUGACUGGCUAGGUUGAAAAUUUGCAAGAUAUAUGCAAAGAAAUGAAUACUAUGGAUUAAACAAAACUGUCUAUAUAUGAGAUGGUGCAACUUGGAUAUGAAUUAUUUCGUCUUAUAAGCUACUAAUUAAAAUUUAAUUUGGGUUUUGACGUUAGUUUAAUCUUUGUCCUGUUAAACAAUAGUGUGACAUUUUGGAACGUUUAUCCUUACAGUAAUACUAUAAGGAUGUGAAAAAGAUAUUAGCACUUUAAUAUAACUUCCUUGAUACUAUACAAAUAGCCUAUCAUAAAAAUUCACGUCCCAAUAAUGUGUCUCCUAAGCUCCAUUCAUUUAAGUAUUCAGGUUCAUCCAAAUAAAUAAAUAAAGGAAGGAGGAAAAAGAUUAGGUGCAUUCAGUUGUUGCAUCAGAGGAAAUGAGGAGUACAAGUGCAAAGAGAGCACCACUAAAUUUGUUGAUAUCUAGUGACAAUUGCAUUGAGCUAAACAAUAUUUGUUGAUAUCUAAAUGACCUCAUUUUUUAUGUUGAUGGGACCUAAUGUCAAUAUCGUCAAGGAAAAAUUGACUGUAAUACCCUCAUUUAGAAGCAAAAUAUCAUAUUCCAAUUUUACCAACAUGCCAUCAAAACUCGUCACCAAAAUUUAACAACUUUACUAAAACUAAUUUUCAAAGGCUGGUGAGCUUUGGAGAAGAUCUGAACAUUAAGCUCCAAAAUAUUUCAUUGGGUGAAGGAAAAUUGUUGAAAAAAGUGGCUUAUUAGCUUUAUUCUUUGAUAUUUAUAUAUAAUAAUUAAAAGAUGAAAACUUUUUUAAUUGAAUGUGGAUAUUCACAACAAAAUGAGGUACCGAAUGGAAGUUUAUGGUCUUCAUGAUUGAUGUGGUUCCAUGAAUAAACUCGUAGAGCUGAUAAGAUGAACAUUCUGGCCUUAAGAUGAGUUUAAAAUGUAGCCAUGGUAGACAUGAUGAGUCAUUUAAGGACCACAUCAUGCAUAUCUUGAUAUUAUAUGAGCAAUUUGCGAUGGAUAAAGCCAUGCAUAUGCAUGCAUGUGCUUUAUAUAAUGUGAAAAUGGAUGAGUUAGAUAAAGCUUGGUGAAGUAAAGUUAGUAUACCGAAUCGAUUUUGACGUGUGAGUAGGAUUUUCUGCUUGGUUGCUCUAUUUUAAGUGAUUAUCACUUUGUUGACAAAGAUCUUGUCGGACAAUCUCCCAAAAUAAGUUUCUAUCGUUUUUCUUUACUGAAUCACGAACAUUUCUUUAGUGAAAUUUUAAUCUUAAAUUAGGUUGGACUAAUUAUUUGGAGGGAACAUUUUAGAUGGCAAGUGACUCAUUCACUCCUCAUUUUUGCAUAUAUAGUUGAAAGAAAAACAUAAGUUUAAGCAACUAAUGACUUUGUAAAUAAAGAUUGUAUAAGAUCACUUCCAAAAGUAAGUUUCUAUACCAUAUCUUUGUUGAGUCUUAUCAAGAAAAUUUUGGAGGGAAAAUUAAUCUUCAAUUAGCUUGGACUACAUUAAGCUACUACUUGGUUGAUUGUCAAUUUUAUCAUUUUUAUUGUUAUUAAAAAAUCCAUAAUGUGAACACAAAAGUAAACGAGGAUAUCACAAAAAUUGAUUAUCUAUAAUCAAAAUCUCUAAAUAGUUAAAAUAGUCAAUAAAAACAAGCAUGUUGUAGUAUAAAAUUUUUUAGGUAGACUACUUUGUCUGUACCUUUAUAUGUUGACUACUAAUUGAAAGCUACCAUGAAUUUUGGAUAAAUAGGACGGACCUGAUUCUACUCAUGGCAUUAUUGUGUAUUAAAAACUUAUUUUUUUCCUUUUAGCUGCUGUGCUUCAUGCCAUUUGGAAUAGUUCACUCCUCAUUUUAUAUGUUUUUUCUUUUUUUCUUUUUUGGAAAUAGCCCUUUUUACAACAUAAAUAUGUUACAAUAUUUCUUUUAGGGCCUAUAAAGGUAAAUAUGGAACAAAGUGUGCUGACAUCAUUUCUUGUCAAUCUAUUGCAUUUCUUUUGUGGACACGGGCUAACUUGGUUACAAAACUAGUUAUAAGUAAGAGUGAUCAGCGUAAUAUCGAAAACAAGAGGGGCACUAGGUGAAAUUGUCCAAACAUUCAGGGGAAGUUUGUGAAAUUAUCCCAAUAGUUUGAGUACCUGCCCUGUUACUUGCAUUAGAGUGGCCCUUUAUUAUUGACUAAUGCAGACGUCCAUGUCUGCACUCUCAGGACGGAGGAAUAAAGUAUUUGUUGUCCUUGUGCGAGUUAUACAUAGUCUUUCUUGACUGCAAAAGUUGAUAAUUGAGCUAAAGAAUCGAAAGAUAAUGUGGCCAUUUUUCAAUCUCUGAUAGGAAGGAUAUCAAUCUCCUACUUUUCCGUCUUCAUGUCUGGAUUGUAUAUCAAUUUCUUUUUCUUUUUCGUUUGUUGGUUAGGUAAACUUUCAUUUUCAUCAGUCUAAAGGCCUAAAGGUCCCUGCCCAUUUCAGAAAUUUACUGAUUUUAAGUGGGCGUAAUAGAGCUUUAAUUAACUCUAUCAAGAUCUUUAUACAUUACGAGCAACUUUCCUGUUAAAAUACUAAUUCAAACAAGCUGUGCAAAUUCAAGGAUGGAACUAGAUGUUGAAAAGGAAUAGUUUAUACUUCAUAAGAAGUACUGAAUUCGUGGAUUAAUUUUCUUGUGCUAUUGCUUUAGAGUUUUAUUUACAUGAGUAGAUUUGAAUGCGCGAUAAGUAAUUGUGAUUCAAACUUGAAGUCAUAUUUUUGCACAUGAAAGAAAUAGUCCAAAAUAUUUUUUUUCUUUUUAGAACUCUACAUGUAGCUUUAACUUGACCAGUCCUAUUACUAGUCGUUGACGAGCACGAGGUAUACAUACAAUAAUUAAGUUCAUUUUACAUUUAUAAAUUGCUAAAUGCUUCAUACACGAUUUUUUGCAAGCAUAUAGAUCGAGAUUGAGUAUAGGGUUUUAAAUGUCGGACUCAUAGGAAAGAUUGUCAAUUACCGAUGAUUUUCGAAUUAUUUUAUUAUUUAGACUAUCACAAGUACAAGAAAUUAAAUCUACGUACACUAUAAACAUGAGAUAAAAGUAAUAAAAAUAACAAUAGAAAGCUCCUAAAAGUAUGAAAUUUCUAACUACUCUUGCAAGUGAAGUUACUGGUUAAGUAAAUAUUAUUAUUUUAGCUAAUUAUGGCGUAAUUCCUAAUGUAUGUGAAACAUAUUCUCGUAGUAAAUCAACUAUACUUGUAAUUAAGCCAUACCUACACAUUCAAACAACCUGUGCAAAUUCGAGAAUGGAACUAGAUUUUGAAAAGUAAUAGUUUAUACUUCAUAAGAAGUACUGAAUUCUGGGAUUAAUUUUCUUGUGCUAUUGCUUUAAAGAUUUAUUUACAUGAGUAGAUUUGGAUGCGUGAUAAGUAAUUGUGAUUCAACCUUGAAGCCAAAAUUUUGCACAUGAAAGAAAUAGUCCAAAUUUUGUUUUCCUUUUAGAAUACUACAUGUAGCUUUAACUUGACUAGUCCUAUAUCUAGUCAUGGUUAAGAAGUUUCAGAAUAUUAGUAAGGUUAUGCAUGAUAAAUUCUGUAUUUAUCCAUUACUUUGUUAAGCCAAUCUCUAGAAAGGUUUGUACUUAUUAAUUCCUUUCGCCAUCUAAACUUAUUGAUAGAACGUAGUAAUUUGUGUCAACACCAGAAACCAGAAAACUCGACCACUAGCUUAUCGAACUGAAUUUAGGUCAUUAAUUUUUUAUGCCCGUCAACUUAAGAAAAACAACAUAUCAUGCAGAUUAAUAAGUGCAGUUCAGUCCAUAGGGUAAAAUAUAAUGCGAAUAGAAUUAAAUCUCUAAAUGUAUAUCCAAGAUAAAACGCGUAUGAUUGAAAUGAUUUGUACUAAAUUUGUUUGAAAUUGCAGUGCUAUAAGUCGAAAAUGUUAAGAGUGCAUGAAAAGCAUGGAAGACUAUGUACUAACUUGACAAAGUGACUUAUUUGAAUAAUAAUGAUAACAUUUUAUAAUUUUUGUGGGUCAAUUUUGUUUUAAUCUCUUACAGUAACAAGCAUGCUUUGAUUUUUUUUUUUUUUUUUUUUGGGCUUGUUUGGAUCAUGGCCAGUCCGUAAAUACAAUAAAACCCACCAACCUUUACUCAAAAAAAAAAAAAAAAAGCACUUCCACCUCAAAAUUUACAAAAAAAAUGGAAGAAAGAAGAAACCCUACUCGUUCUCUUCCAGUGCUAUACGUUUAUCAGAAUAAAGGUCGAAACUUGCAAAAUAUCAUUCUUGAAAGCAUUCAUUAUUCAUACUUUUGUCUUACGUCAAAGUUAGACAUCUUGCAAUUCAUAAUUUUCAUGCUUGACAACUCUUUUGAUAAGAUUGAUGUUCCUCUGAAUAUCAACAUUAAAAUUUUUUUUUUCGAGUAAGUUGUACCGUCGAUACUGAAGAACUUUGAUUCCUUUCUCAGGAAGGAAUAGGAUUGGGUUUAACUCUUGUCGAUACUGAAUUUUUUUACAUUGUAAUGACAAGGAACGAUGAAGAGCACAACACACAUAUUGAAUAUUCUGCACAUCUUAUAUCAAACACAGUAAAUUCUAGCAGGUCCAAGGUACAGAAGUUUACGAUGUAACUGAGAUAGAGAUCAUCAAUUGUGUUGAUGAUCAAGUGGAUUUAUUUAUUCAACAUGACAACAACAUAAGAAGAGCACUCGAACUGAGUACUCAUUACAUGCUUCCCCUGUUUAUUCUACACCAGUUCAAAGAGAAGCCACAUAAGUCUUUUACACAUAGAGGAAAUCAACCAUCAAAAGCAAACACAACAUUACAUAUUAAGGUAAUAAUAUAGGUGUCACGGAUCCUGUGUCACACCCUUAUUUAUUUAGCAUUAAUUUUUGACCUCAUCUCCAGAUGUAGCUUCAGGGGUCUCCUCAGCGGUUGCGCAGCAUCUUUGGCAUUGUCCAUGGUACCAGCUGCAGCAACGAUAUCUGCAACGAUCUGCAGAUAUAGCUUCAGGGGUCUCCUCAGCGGAUGCACAGCAUCUUUGGCAUUGUCCAUGGUACCAGCUGCAGCAACGAUAUCUGCAACGAUCUGCAGAUAUAGCUUCAGGGGUCUCCUCAGCGGAUGCACAGCAUCUUUGGCAUUGUCCAUGGUACCAGCUGCAGCAACGAUAUCUGCAACGAUCUGCAGAUAUAGCGUCAGGGGUCUCCUCCGCGGAUGCACAGCAUCUUUGGCAUUGUCCAUGGUACCAGCUGCAGCAACGAUAUCUGCAACGAUCUGCAUUUACGGCAGCCUUAUCUCCAGAUGUAGCUUCAGGGGUCUCCUCAGGAGAUGCACAGCAUCUUUGGCAUUGUCCAUGGUACCAGCUGCAGCAACGAUAUCUGCAACGAUCUUCACUUAUCUUAUCCUGAUGAGCCUCACCAGUGGUCUUCACGCUCGCUGAUCUGUUUCAAUACACAAGGAGACAAAAAUUUUAGGAGCUUCAUCUUAAGCUGCAAAAGUUGAGUGACCUGCUGGGCUGAAGAUUUGCAAGAUACAUGCAAAGAAAAGAAUAUUAUGGAUUAAACAAAAUAGUCUACUUAUAUAAGAUGGUGCGACUUGGAUAUGAAUUAUUUUGCCUUAUAGUCCACUCAAUAAAUUAGAAUUAGUAUUAAUUAAUUUGGUUUUCGACUUUACUUUAAUCUUUAUCGUGAUAAACAAUAGUGUGAUAUAAUGUAACGUGUGUGCUUGGAGUUAUACUGUAAGGAUGAAAAAUCAGCUGUUCCACUUACCGUUGAUACAAACAACCAAAAUUUACUUUUAUUAAAAAUGAAAUAGAUAUUAGGAAACUAAUAUAACUUCCUUGAUACGAUACAAAUAGCCUACCAUAAAAAUUCACGUCCCAAUAAUGAAUCUCCUAAUCACCAUUCACUUGAGUAUUUAGGUGUAGCAAAAGAAAAAAUGGUAAGUAAAAAAAAGAAAAACUAGGUACCUGCAGCUGUAACAUCAGAGGGGAUUUGGAGUGCAAGUGCAAAGAGAACAACAAAAAGAAAGAGAAAUUUUUUGAAGAUGCCAUUUGAUCACAAUCUCACUCAGAAUGCAAAUGACGUGUUAUAUUUGUUGAUAUCUAGCGAUAUGUGCAUUGAGUUGCAUCCCUAUUUAUAAGAACUAGGAGGGGAAUACUGUACCUUGUGUGGUGGAAAUAUUUUAGGGAUAAUUUCAGAAAUCCCUUUCAGGUUUUAAUAAUUUUAAUUAGCAGCCUCUUAUUUCCAAUAAUAUAUGGGGUAAUUUUAGAGACCUCCCUUGAGGUUUGUAAUGAUUGCACCUACCUCCCUUGAGGCUUGAAAAAUUAUAAAAUCUCCCCUAUAAAGUAUGUUUUGGUAACAAAUGGUGAUGCAAGUAUAAGAAGUCUAACGAACAUCCUAUAUUGCCCCUAUUUAAUUUACAAAACAAGUUAAUGCCAAAAAAUCAAAUAUUAGUGUUUCUUACAAAGUAAAAAAUUUUAAGAUAGUUCUUUGCAAAAAAAAAAAAAACAUUUAGGCUAUAUUUCAAAGAUUCCUUUUUAAUAUUUGGACAUCUAUUUUCUUUGCUAAGUAAGUUGUGAGAAACUAUUUUUAACAAAUGCAUUCCUACUAGUCAGCUUUUUAUAAAACUAAGUAAGAAUUCCAUUUAAAUGACCUAAAAGUUGAAUAUAAUGUAUUAGGAGAGAUGAGAUUAAAACUUUUGGAUAAAGAAAUAUUUGCAAAAUGCGAUUUCCUUUUUUCUUUAUACUCACUUUUCACUUAGGAUUUGUAGAGUUAUCAAAGAUAUUAUAAUCUUGUUAUAACACCAAGGAAAGUAAGUGUAAUUUUUUAAAUUUCAAGGGAGAGCAGCAAUUGUUAGAAACCUCAGGGAGGUUUAUGAAAUUAUCCCAUAAUAUUGACCUCCCUUCUGAUGUUGAUGGGACCUACGGUCAAUAUCAUCAAGGAAAAAUUGACCAUAAUGGUCUCACUAAAAUGGCUUUUUAAACAUUAUCUUAAAGCAAAAUAUCAUCUACCAACAAGCCGACAUGCCAUCAAAACUUGGUGCCAAAUUUUAACAACUUUACUAAAAUUAAUUUCUCUGCUGGUUGGUGAGCCUUGGAGAAGAGCUUUAGGACCGGAACCUUAAGCUCCAAAAGUAUUUCAUUGGGUGAAGGAAGGUUGCUGCAAAAAGUGUGUUAUUAGCUAUAUUCCUUGACAUCAAUAAAAGGUAAAAGAUCGAUGGAAACUUUUUAACUGGAUGUCGAUAUUCACAACAAAAAUGAUGUACCGAUGGAAGUUUAUGGUCUUCAUGAUUGAUAUGCUACCCUGAAUAAACUAGUUGAGUUGAUAAGAUUGAUACGGUACGAUGAAUAAACUAGUUGCGUUUAUAAGAUGGACAUUCUGGUCUUAAGAUAAUGUUUGAGAUAUAGCCAAUGGACAUGAUGAGUCAUUUAAGGUCACAUCAUGAAUAUCUCGAUGUUAUAUGAGAAAUUUAUGAUGGAUAAUGCCGUGCACGCUGGUUCUUUAUAUAGUGUGAAAAUGGAUGAAGUAUACAUAGUUUGGUGAACUAAGUAGGCCGAAUCGAUUUUGAUACAUGAGUAGGACUUUCUGAUUGGUUGCUCAUUUUUUCAUAUGUAGUUCCAAAAAAUUAUUUUGACUGAUUACUUCGUCGAUAAAGAUAUAGUAGGACAAUCUCCCAAAAUAAGUUUCUAUGGCGUUUCUUUGUUGAAUCACAAGAAUUUCUAUGGUGAAAAUUUUAAUCUUAAAGUAGGUUGAACUAAUUAUUUGAGGGGAAAAUUUUAGAUAGUAAGUGACUGACUCACUCCUCAUAGUCGAAAAAAGAUAAGUUUACGUGGCUAAUUACUUUGCUAAUAAAGACCAUUUAUACUACUUUUAUCUGGUCUUGGGAGUUCUGUUCAAUAAAUUGGAAUUAUUAUAAAUAAGAAUAAGCUAGCUCUAGCAAGAACUAAAUCAUUAAAGUACUUUCCCUAGGGGCUUUGGGCGGAAGGGGGAACGUAGCGAUUUGAGCCUAGAUUGAGGAUGGAACUCCUAUAGUAUACCAAUUGAUGUGAAACAAAGGCUACAGCUGGAUACGAUCAACUCCAAAAGUAAGUUUCUGUACCAUCUCUUUGUUGAGUUCUUAUGAUGACAUUUUUAGGGAAAAUUAAUCUUCAAUUAGCUUGGGUAACAUUAUCGUGAGUGAGUUAGUUUCUACAGUAGAAAAAGAAACAUGUUGAUAGUAUAAACUUAUUUAGUUAGAUUACUUUGUCUAUGCCUUUAUAUGUUGACCACCAAUUCAAAUCUACUAUGAAUGUGGAUGAGAACUAUUUCAGCUCAUGGCAUUAUUGUGCAUUUUUUUUUUUUAGCUGAAGUGCAUAUUUCACUGCUCUACAAAAUUGCUUCCAGUUACGAAGAUUUUAGUGAAAAUGGUCUCUUCAUUUUGUUCAUUCACCAAGACUUUUACGCUAUUUUCGUUCCAAAGCAACAGCACAGUUAGCAAUGGUUAUGUGAUUCUAAGUGUCAAAGACUUAAAAAGGCUCUGUUGUGCUUUUGCCUCCAACCACAUAAAAAUUAAACCACUUUUCUUCUUCUUUUCACUGCCCUUUUUCAACUUAAAUAUGUUACAUAUUUCUUUUAGGGCCUAUACCAAUAAAUGUAUAUGUGGAAGAAAAUGUGAUGAUAUACGUUUCUUUUACUGACAUGGGCUGAAUUUGUUACAAAACUAGUUAAAGGUGGUCAGCCUAACACUGAAAAUAAGAGGGGUACUAGGUGAACUUGUCCAAAACUUCAGGGAGGUUUAUGAAAUUAUUCCAAUUGUUUAGGUGGCUGAGGCUGUUACUUGUACAAGAGUGACACUCCUUCUCAUAUUCGUCGUCAGAAUUCCCCACUUCAUUCGUCAUGUAGUCCUCCAUAUGUCUCGAAGUCUCCGGAUUUAUUGUCCUUAUACAAAAGUUACAGUCUUUCUUGACUAUGAAAGUUGACGAUUGAGCUAAUCACAAUUAAGAAAUGUGGCAAUUUUUCUAACUCUGGAUACUGGAUAGGAUAUCAAUCUCCUUUUUGCUGGAUGGCUUGCAUUUUCAUCUGUUAGUAUAGGUCACUCUCCACUUCCCACGUUCAAUGAUUUUGAUUAAGUUGCUGUCAUAGAGCUUUCUCAUCUCUAUCAAGAUUAAUGUAUAUCAUAAGCAGUCCAUUCAAAUCUGUUGUGCGAGUUAGGGGAUGGAACGAAAAGCAAAAAGCAGUCCAUUCAAACUCGAAAUCAUAUUUUUGAACAUGAAAGAAGUAGUUGCGACAAGUCUUUUUUUAAAUUUGUUUUUAAAUUCUGUUCAAGAAUUAUCACAAUCAGAGGCAUUGUCAAGUUAAACUUCAAUGGUCUAACUAGGCUACCUACAAAUUAUUGUUAAGUUUAGAAAUGGGGCCCUUGGUUGAUUUUUUCAGAUCUUAUCUAGUUCAGUGUCCUGUAGGGAAAUUUUGAAUGGGUGAGAAGAUCAUGUAAUCUUGGAAUUAUUUAGCUCGGCACAUUGUUUAGCUCCCGCGGCACAUUGUUUGGCUCGGCAAUAUGGGAAUUAUUCAUCUCCUCAGUUUUGGAGGCAUUUGCCUCAAUGUUUUGUCCAGCCUUUAUGGUUGAUUUAAAUCAUGAAUCAAUGAAAUUUUAUGUCUUAUCAGAUAUAUAUAUAUAUAUAUAUAUAUAUAUAUAUAUAUAUUCAUGAAUCUUGUGGCAAAGUUUAUAUUUUACAUUGUUUGUAUUCGUAAUGAUUUGUACCACAUUAUCAGAAACAAAGCCUCGCGUGUUGAAUUCUAUUCAAUUCAAACUGACUUGAUUUGGUGUAAAAUUAUAUAAUUUGAGGGUCUGUUUGUUUGGACUGAAAAUCUUUUCCAGAAAAUAUUUUCUUCAAUUUCUGGUGUUUGGCUGCAAAAGAGGUCAGGAAAAUUUUUUCUGGUAGAAAAUCUUUUACAUAACUUGGUGUAAAAUGACUUCUGGAAUUAAGAUACGGAAGUUAAUUUCUGACAACUAUCGCGACUUAUCAGUUUCCUCGGCACUUGGCUAUUGUACAAAGCCAUCAAGGACUAUACCACAGAGAUCAAAUCAAGAGCUAUUUUCCUGCACUUGCUUCUGCAAAUCCCACAACUUUGCACCUCUUCGAGCUCUCCUCUUUCUCAUGUUCCUCUCUACUGUUCCGUAAUCUUGCGCCACACAAACACAUUUAUGGAUUAUACAACUCUAGAUCUAGAUUGGGCUUGCAUUGAGAAGUUUUGAAGAAAGGAAAAAAUGUGAAGCCAAUGGAGGCAGGAGGAACAUUUUUAGAAGAAGAGUUAGUACAAUAAACAUCAAAUUUCAAUUGCUAAUUUCUUAUAAUGGUUCAAUCAGCUGUAGGCAUAUAAUUUAAACUUUUUAUUACAAAUGGCACUCAACUGGCUUGGGGAGAUUGUGAAUUCUUGGUUCUGGUCUUUGAUUUAUUUUUUGAGACUUGAAAGGAUUUGGAUUGGGGAUUGUUUGUGGUGGCUGAUGAGGUGGGUAGAGAAAAUGAUAAUCAGUAGUAGCAAUUAGCAAAAGAGAAAUUCGGGAACGAUAUUAUCGUUGGAGGAUUUUAAUUUUUUUUAGAACAUUUUCUUAGAAUUGCACCAAACACCAGAAAAUGAAGGGAAAAUUAGAUAUUUUCCAGGAAAGAAUUUUCAUUGAAAAUGUUUCUUAGGGAAAAUAUUCUACAUUGAAACAAACAGACCCUGAGUGUAAAAUUAAAUUUGUCAACUCAUAUAACUAAAUUGGUGUAAAAUUCGCGAUCACACUAAAACUAUACGAGUUUACACUAACUUUAGUAAAAAUUCUAUAAACUAAUUUAAAUUAGACAGUACCGGAUCCCACAUCAUCCAUUAGCUCAUGUUCCUUGAGUGCAUGUCAUGGAUUGUGGGAACGCAACAAUGGCAGAGGCGAAUGUCUUGUUGGGAUUGUAAUGUGGAAGGAAUCCUAUAAACAGUCAAGGGGUAUUUGAUUAUAAAAAGGAACAAAUUUACAAAUCAAUACAGUGAUAAUAAUAUGUAUGAUUAAUUUAACUUCUUUAAACUUUAAGUUGAAAAGACUAUAAAGAUUUUGUGCAUCAUGCGUGCUACAGGCUCUCAAAAAAAAAAAGAAAAAGAAAAGAGAACUCACUAAAUUGAGUCUUUUAAGACACAGAAAAAAUCAUAGCAAUGAACAGCUUGUCAUUUUUGUAAAGAAUUACCAUUUUGAAAUCAUAAUUUACGCUCACAUAUAGAUAUAUAUAUAUAUAUAUAUAUAUAUAUAUAUAUAUAUAUAUAUAUAUAUAAUAUAUAUAUAUAUAUAUAUAUAUAUAUAUAUACUUAAUUUGUCACAGGCUAUAAGAAUUUGUAAAUGCACCAUACUUAUCUAUGAGUGCAUUUAAUAGACUAAUGUAAAAGUAUGUUCUCUCAUCCAAUGAAACAUUUUCAAUCUUCACCAGCCUCUGCAGCUUUUCAUGUAUAAGGUCCUGCAAUCCUCUGCUGAAGUUUUACUUUCAGAACCCUGGAAGGAUCUACCUUCCUUACCUUCUUGAAGGUUUUCAACAACUACUGGAGAUAAGUUGGAAGCUUUCAUUGUGAAGGUUGAAGAAUAAGUCAGAAGAGAUACAACUAAAGAUAAUCCUGAAAAGUAAAUUUUUAAAGAAGAUUAAUAAUAUUAAAGCAAAUGGGAGCAAUGGAAGUAGUUAAAGACGCACUAGAUAAAGCAAAAGCUGUGAUAAUGAGAUUUGUACAUAGCCAGGUGGCUGUUCUGAAACUUCUUGGAGAUCAUAUAUUUUCUGUCCACUAACUAGUUAGACCAUCCAAGUUCAAGUUGUUUGAGCAUUUCCUAAAGGGCAGAGGCUAAAGUUCCGUUGGGUUUGUACCUUAGAAAUAGUUAUCUAAUUAGUUCGGAGGCUUUUGGUUUGUAAAUGAAUAAAUUUUACAAAUCAAUCUAUAAGUGAUAGUCUAUAUGAUAACUUUAAAUUCUUUAACCAUUUGGUUUCAAAAAUUCUAUAAAGGGUUCUUAUAAUAUACGUGAAAUUAUGAACAAUUAUAGCCUAUGAACAAUUAUAGGCUAUAAUACUGAUGGUGAUCCUUGUCAUUCUUAUAAUACGUGAAAUUAUGAUCCUUGCUAAUUGUUCAUAGGCUAUAAGUUUUUACAGAUGCACCAUCAGUAUAUUUUUCUAUAAGUGAGUUUAAUAUACGGGCAAAAAAGCAGAAUGGCCCUCAAACUCUAUAGGUGGUUGACUUUUAACCCUCCAAAUAUUAAGGACAUAUGUUUGCCCCUCGAACUUAUAAAAGGGUAUACUCUUCAUCCUUUUGACUAGAGAUAUUUUCAUAAACCUCUCCUGAGAUUUAUGUUGAUAUCGCUUGACACAUUUGAAGUUUUAGAUAUGUCACUCAAUUCCCACAUUAGUGAGAUGGGACCAUUAGUCAUUAUGAUAACACAAAUUGUUAAAAUUAUCUUCACUACUGUAACAAUUUUGAGGUAAAACAUUAUGAAAAAUAAAAGUUUUAGGCAAAACAUGUAAAUAUUAUAUUAUCAUCAACUUGGUAGAGAAUUCAAUAUUAAACAACACAAAAGAGUAGAAUUGGAAGAAAAAUAUAUCUGUCUCAUUAAAUGAUUAUUUUAAUGAUACAAGGGUGAAAUUAUUAUAAAAAAGUAUGGUUUUAAGGGAGGUUAAUGAUGUUUUUGAAACUCUAGGAGUGCCAAGUAAUAUUUACAUGAAUCUUGGGGAGGUUUCUAAAAUUAUCUCUAGUCAAAAAGGUGGAAAAUAUACUUAUUUACAAGUUGAAGGGGCAAAAAUAUACACUUAAUAGUUUGAGGGCCAAAAGCCAACUAACUUAAUAGUUUGAGGGCCAUCCAGAUUUUUUGCCCUUAAUAUAUUAAUCAACACACUUACGUUGAAGAAAAUGGAAAAAAUGGAAGUAAUUAAAGAGACACUGGAAAAAGCAAAAAUUGUCACUAGAUUUGUGCACAACCAAGCGACUGUUCUUAAAACUUGUUAGAGAUCAAAGUUCCAUCCAUUACCCGAUCAGACCGUCCAAGUUCUAGUUGACAGAGCCUUUUUUCUAACUCUUCAGAAUUUAGUCUUAGUAAAAGAGAACUUUUAGAAGUGUUUCUUUCUACUGUAUGGAAGAGCUCAAGAUGUGCUUUCUCAACAGACGGGGAAAAUAUGGCUGACUGGUGGCUGAUCGCACGUUUUGGACUGGAGCGGAAAUGGUUGGCGCCUGUUACGGAAUUGAUAAGAACGCUGAGCCACAAAUCCAUAUCUAUAUAUGUAUUACAGAAUAGGUUUUUAAGGAGGAGCUACCACGAGCGUAAGAAAUCUGAAUCCCUUUUUACUAUAAUUUUAGAUAUAUUUUAAUUCAAUAACUCUUAUCUUCUCCUUAUCCCUUUCUGCUCCUCAAUUUAAGUGACCACUAACCUACAAAAUUGAAACUCCUAAAUUUUAACUAACAAAUAAUAACCACCCCUACAAAUGGAUAUCUGCAAAUUUCAAUUCACAUCUCACGUCUACUGCUGACAACUACUAUAUCACUGAUAACAAUACUCACACUUACCACAUCACACUUAAAUUAACAAUUAGCAAUAACUAAUUGUUAAUUUAAGAAACUUUCAAUUACGAAAGUCACAUAUCCAAAAUUUAGGAGCAUGUUUGAAUUAUAAUUUUCACAAUUCUACAUAUCUUAUUGUCAUAAUGUAUUUUACUCUCAUAAUCAUUCAUAAAACUGAUAAUCACUAACCCAUUUUACCCAUUUUUCAUUUGUCAUCACACAAAUUAAAUACAGUGAAAAGAAAGACUAUGUAUCAUACUCUCACCAUAGAUGAAUCCCACUUACAAGCAUUUCAACUAGUGACGAAGCCAAGAUUUUUUUUCUAGAGGGGCUAAAAUUUUCCUAACAUAAUUAUUUUUAUGUGUUGUGUUCAAAAUAAUUUUCAUCUAAUUAAAUAUAUGACAUCUAAAAAUAUCAAAUUUUAAUUUUAAUUAUAAAUGGAUUAAAAAUAAAUAAAAUUUUUAAUAAAAAAUUAAUUCAAUUGUAAUUAAGCAUAUGUAAUUAAGUAGAUUUUAAGUUUUGCAUGGUUUAAGGAAGAGUAUAUUUGUUUAAUAAAAUUGUCAAAGUAGUGUUUGUGUACUUCUGUUUACAUCAUUCAACACAAAUAUGUUGAAAUUGUAAAUUACAUUGCCUAAUUUGUAUAAUUUAAUCAUGUUGAAGAAACAUCGUCUUGAAAAGGUAGAGAAAUUUUCCAGUAAAAAUUAGCUAAACAAACAACUCAUUAUCUUAACCUCGUAACUAAUCAUUAUACCCUCAAUACAUCCGCUAUAAAGUUAGGUUAGUGAUACUGGCAAAGUACAAAAUUUUUCACCAGAAUAAUUUGCAGCUUGACCGUCAAUAUCAAGUUCUCCAACUAUGCAUGGGACAGUGUCACCACUCUGAAGGUCAAUUCUUAUACGUACGUCAAAAUUUCUGGAGUUGCCGAUUAUAGGGGUGCAAACACAAAAUGAGGUAUCCUUUGUGGCUCAAUGGGAUUAUUCCUUCUUUUUGCGAGUCAGUCCUCUGCAGAGCUCCUCUCCCGCUCUUAGUAUACACACCGUCCCGUACGUGUCGCAUCCGAGCAACCGGAAGGAAUGGCUGAAUUAGUAAUGCAUUAGCACGAACAGUUUUAUGCAUAAGAUUUGUCCUAGGAAUCAUAAUGACAGAAAGUGUCAUCCAGUUUUAUGCACGAACAGUUUGGACAAUUGGAACGGAUCGGUUAACCAUAAACUCGAUCUGAUUUAGUGAUCAAUUGAAAAAUUGAAUUGAAUUGGUGAAAACUAGAAUAAGAAUCGAUUGGACCAAUAAAAAUGGGACGGUUCAACUGGAUUUCACUAAUUUUUUAUUCUUUAAAAUAAAUAGUUCAAUUUUGUUCAAAAUUUUUAAUACUAAAAUAAAUUAAAAAAAAUGAUUAAAUCUUUGAACUGGUCGAACUAGUCAACUUGUGAACUAGUAAAAUUCUUUUGAUUCACUCUUUGAUCUGAGUUUUAAAAACAUUACUAGUAAGGAUAUUAAUUAGGUGAGUGUGAGGACUCUUUUUCGACUCUCAAUUUUUACCUUUUUCUUUUUUGUCUUUUGUAAUACAUGGUAUCUCCUUUUGACCUUAAAAAAGGAAAUGACGUAGUAACGUUUAUCAAUAGUAAGUUGCUAUGAUAUGGAACAGCUCACAGUGCAAGCUUUUGAAUCAUAUACACUCAUGCACUUACUAAACUCCUAUGGGCCUGACAUGUUGAGUAGAAUUAAAACGGAACAGCCAAAAUGAAAAGGAAAAGUAUAAGACAAUAAAAUGGACACUAUAUCAAGCUGCAACCUCGGAGGAAAUGACAGGUACAAGUACAAGUACAACUGCAAGUGCAAGUGCAAACAGAAAAAGAGUUUUUCAAAGGGAUACCUUUAUGGUGGGAACCUGCCUAUGGUAGGAAUGCUGGCAGGGAGCGACACGUGUUGGGGGCAAAACGGUCCAAACGGAGACGUUAAAGUGAUGGUGAGCGCGUGGAGAGGAAAUGAAGCAGACACAGCGUGCGGAAUGAAGCAAACANNNNNNNNNNNNNNNNNNNNNNNNNNNNNNNNNNNNNNNNNNNNNNNNNNNNNNNNNNNNNNNNNNNNNNNNNNNNNNNNNNNNNNNNNNNNNNNNNNNNNNNNNNNNNNNNNNNNNNNNNNNNNNNNNNNNNNNNNNNNNNNNNNNNNNNNNNNNNNNNNNNNNNNNNNNNNNNNNNNNNNNNNNNNNNNNNNNNNNNNNNNNNNNNNNNNNNNNNNNNNNNNNNNNNNNNNNNNNNNNNNNNNNNNNNNNNNNNNNNNNNNNNNNNNNNNNNNNNNNNNNNNNNNNNNNNNNNNNNNNNNNNNNNNNNNNNNNNNNNNNNNNNNNNNNNNNNNNNNNNNNNNNNNNNNNNNNNNNNNNNNNNNNNNNNNNNNNNNNNNNNNNNNNNNNNNNNNNNNNNNNNNNNNNNNNNNNNNNNNNNNNNNNNNNNNNNNNNNNNNNNNNNNNNNNNNNNNNNNNNNNNNNNNNNNNNNNNNNNNNNNNNNNNNNNNNNNNNNNNNNNNNNNNNNNNNNNNNNNNNNNNNNNNNNNNNNNNNNNNNNNNNNNNNNNNNNNNNNNNNNNNNNNNNNNNNNNNNNNNNNNNNNNNNNNNNNNNNNNNNNNNNNNNNNNNNNNNNNNNNNNNNNNNNNNNNNNNNNNNNNNNNNNNNNNNNNNNNNNNNNNNNNNNNNNNNNNNNNNNNNNNNNNNNNNNNNNNNNNNNNNNNNNNNNNNNNNNNNNNNNNNNNNNNNNNNNNNNNNNNNNNNNNNNNNNNNNNNNNNNNNNNNNNNNNNNNNNNNNNNNNNNNNNNNNNNNNNNNNNNNNNNNNNNNNNNNNNNNNNNNNNNNNNNNNNNNNNNNNNNNNNNNNNNNNNNNNNNNNNNNNNNNNNNNNNNNNNNNNNNNNNNNNNNNNNNNNNNNNNNNNNNNNNNNNNNNNNNNNNNNNNNNNNNNNNNNNNNNNNNNNNNNNNNNNNNNNNNNNNNNNNNNNNNNNNNNNNNNNNNNNNNNNNNNNNNNNNNNNNNNNNNNNNNNNNNNNNNNNNNNNNNNNNNNNNNNNNNNNNNNNNNNNNNNNNNNNNNNNNNNNNNNNNNNNNNNNNNNNNNNNNNNNNNNNNNNNNNNNNNNNNNNNNNNNNNNNNNNNNNNNNNNNNNNNNNNNNNNNNNNNNNNNNNNNNNNNNNNNNNNNNNNNNNNNNNNNNNNNNNNNNNNNNNNNNNNNNNNNNNNNNNNNNNNNNNNNNNNNNNNNNNNNNNNNNNNNNNNNNNNNNNNNNNNNNNNNNNNNNNNNNNNNNNNNNNNNNNNNNNNNNNNNNNNNNNNNNNNNNNNNNNNNNNNNNNNNNNNNNNNNNNNNNNNNNNNNNNNNNNNNNNNNNNNNNNNNNNNNNNNNNNNNNNNNNNNNNNNNNNNNNNNNNNNNNNNNNNNNNNNNNNNNNNNNNNNNNNNNNNNNNNNNNNNNNNNNNNNNNNNNNNNNNNNNNNNNNNNNNNNNNNNNNNNNNNNNNNNNNNNNNNNNNNNNNNNNNNNNNNNNNNNNNNNNNNNNNNNNNNNNNNNNNNNNNNNNNNNNNNNNNNNNNNNNNNNNNNNNNNNNNNNNNNNNNNNNNNNNNNNNNNNNNNNNNNNNNNNNNNNNNNNNNNNNNNNNNNNNNNNNNNNNNNNNNNNNNNNNNNNNNNNNNNNNNNNNNNNNNNNNNNNNNNNNNNNNNNNNNNNNNNNNNNNNNNNNNNNNNNNNNNNNNNNNNNNNNNNNNNNNNNNNNNNNNNNNNNNNNNNNNNNNNNNNNNNNNNNNNNNNNNNNNNNNNNNNNNNNNNNNNNNNNNNNNNNNNNNNNNNNNNNNNNNNNNNNNNNNNNNNNNNNNNNNNNNNNNNNNNNNNNNNNNNNNNNNNNNNNNNNNNNNNNNNNNNNNNNNNNNNNNNNNNNNNNNNNNNNNNNNNNNNNNNNNNNNNNNNNNNNNNNNNNNNNNNNNNNNNNNNNNNNNNNNNNNNNNNNNNNNNNNNNNNNNNNNNNNNNNNNNNNNNNNNNNNNNNNNNNNNNNNNNNNNNNNNNNNNNNNNNNNNNNNNNNNNNNNNNNNNNNNNNNNNNNNNNNNNNNNNNNNNNNNNNNNNNNNNNNNNNNNNNNNNNNNNNNNNNNNNNNNNNNNNNNNNNNNNNNNNNNNNNNNNNNNNNNNNNNNNNNNNNNNNNNNNNNNNNNNNNNNNNNNNNNNNNNNNNNNNNNNNNNNNNNNNNNNNNNNNNNNNNNNNNNNNNNNNNNNNNNNNNNNNNNNNNNNNNNNNNNNNNNNNNNNNNNNNNNNNNNNNNNNNNNNNNNNNNNNNNNNNNNNNNNNNNNNNNNNNNNNNNNNNNNNNNNNNNNNNNNNNNNNNNNNNNNNNNNNNNNNNNNNNNNNNNNNNNNNNNNNNNNNNNNNNNNNNNNNNNNNNNNNNNNNNNNNNNNNNNNNNNNNNNNNNNNNNNNNNNNNNNNNNNNNNNNNNNNNNNNNNNNNNNNNNNNNNNNNNNNNNNNNNNNNNNNNNNNNNNNNNNNNNNNNNNNNNNNNNNNNNNNNNNNNNNNNNNNNNNNNNNNNNNNNNNNNNNNNNNNNNNNNNNNNNNNNNNNNNNNNNNNNNNNNNNNNNNNNNNNNNNNNNNNNNNNNNNNNNNNNNNNNNNNNNNNNNNNNNNNNNNNNNNNNNNNNNNNNNNNNNNNNNNNNNNNNNNNNNNNNNNNNNNNNNNNNNNNNNNNNNNNNNNNNNNNNNNNNNNNNNNNNNNNNNNNNNNNNNNNNNNNNNNNNNNNNNNNNNNNNNNNNNNNNNNNNNNNNNNNNNNNNNNNNNNNNNNNNNNNNNNNNNNNNNNNNNNNNNNNNNNNNNNNNNNNNNNNNNNNNNNNNNNNNNNNNNNNNNNNNNNNNNNNNNNNNNNNNNNNNNNNNNNNNNNNNNNNNNNNNNNNNNNNNNNNNNNNNNNNNNNNNNNNNNNNNNNNNNNNNNNNNNNNNNNNNNNNNNNNNNNNNNNNNNNNNNNNNNNNNNNNNNNNNNNNNNNNNNNNNNNNNNNNNNNNNNNNNNNNNNNNNNNNNNNNNNNNNNNNNNNNNNNNNNNNNNNNNNNNNNNNNNNNNNNNNNNNNNNNNNNNNNNNNNNNNNNNNNNNNNNNNNNNNNNNNNNNNNNNNNNNNNNNNNNNNNNNNNNNNNNNNNNNNNNNNNNNNNNNNNNNNNNNNNNNNNNNNNNNNNNNNNNNNNNNNNNNNNNNNNNNNNNNNNNNNNNNNNNNNNNNNNNNNNNNNNNNNNNNNNNNNNNNNNNNNNNNNNNNNNNNNNNNNNNNNNNNNNNNNNNNNNNNNNNNNNNNNNNNNNNNNNNNNNNNNNNNNNNNNNNNNNNNNNNNNNNNNNNNNNNNNNNNNNNNNNNNNNNNNNNNNNNNNNNNNNNNNNNNNNNNNNNNNNNNNNNNNNNNNNNNNNNNNNNNNNNNNNNNNNNNNNNNNNNNNNNNNNNNNNNNNNNNNNNNNNNNNNNNNNNNNNNNNNNNNNNNNNNNNNNNNNNNNNNNNNNNNNNNNNNNNNNNNNNNNNNNNNNNNNNNNNNNNNNNNNNNNNNNNNNNNNNNNNNNNNNNNNNNNNNNNNNNNNNNNNNNNNNNNNNNNNNNNNNNNNNNNNNNNNNNNNNNNNNNNNNNNNNNNNNNNNNNNNNNNNNNNNNNNNNNNNNNNNNNNNNNNNNNNNNNNNNNNNNNNNNNNNNNNNNNNNNNNNNNNNNNNNNNNNNNNNNNNNNNNNNNNNNNNNNNNNNNNNNNNNNNNNNNNNNNNNNNNNNNNNNNNNNNNNNNNNNNNNNNNNNNNNNNNNNNNNNNNNNNNNNNNNNNNNNNNNNNNNNNNNNNNNNNNNNNNNNNNNNNNNNNNNNNNNNNNNNNNNNNNNNNNNNNNNNNNNNNNNNNNNNNNNNNNNNNNNNNNNNNNNNNNNNNNNNNNNNNNNNNNNNNNNNNNNNNNNNNNNNNNNNNNNNNNNNNNNNNNNNNNNNNNNNNNNNNNNNNNNNNNNNNNNNNNNNNNNNNNNNNNNNNNNNNNNNNNNNNNNNNNNNNNNNNNNNNNNNNNNNNNNNNNNNNNNNNNNNNNNNNNNNNNNNNNNNNNNNNNNNNNNNNNNNNNNNNNNNNNNNNNNNNNNNNNNNNNNNNNNNNNNNNNNNNNNNNNNNNNNNNNNNNNNNNNNNNNNNNNNNNNNNNNNNNNNNNNNNNNNNNNNNNNNNNNNNNNNNNNNNNNNNNNNNNNNNNNNNNNNNNNNNNNNNNNNNNNNNNNNNNNNNNNNNNNNNNNNNNNNNNNNNNNNNNNNNNNNNNNNNNNNNNNNNNNNNNNNNNNNNNNNNNNNNNNNNNNNNNNNNNNNNNNNNNNNNNNNNNNNNNNNNNNNNNNNNNNNNNNNNNNNNNNNNNNNNNNNNNNNNNNNNNNNNNNNNNNNNNNNNNNNNNNNNNNNNNNNNNNNNNNNNNNNNNNNNNNNNNNNNNNNNNNNNNNNNNNNNNNNNNNNNNNNNNNNNNNNNNNNNNNNNNNNNNNNNNNNNNNNNNNNNNNNNNNNNNNNNNNNNNNNNNNNNNNNNNNNNNNNNNNNNNNNNNNNNNNNNNNNNNNNNNNNNNNNNNNNNNNNNNNNNNNNNNNNNNNNNNNNNNNNNNNNNNNNNNNNNNNNNNNNNNNNNNNNNNNNNNNNNNNNNNNNNNNNNNNNNNNNNNNNNNNNNNNNNNNNNNNNNNNNNNNNNNNNNNNNNNNNNNNNNNNNNNNNNNNNNNNNNNNNNNNNNNNNNNNNNNNNNNNNNNNNNNNNNNNNNNNNNNNNNNNNNNNNNNNNNNNNNNNNNNNNNNNNNNNNNNNNNNNNNNNNNNNNNNNNNNNNNNNNNNNNNNNNNNNNNNNNNNNNNNNNNNNNNNNNNNNNNNNNNNNNNNNNNNNNNNNNNNNNNNNNNNNNNNNNNNNNNNNNNNNNNNNNNNNNNNNNNNNNNNNNNNNNNNNNNNNNNNNNNNNNNNNNNNNNNNNNNNNNNNNNNNNNNNNNNNNNNNNNNNNNNNNNNNNNNNNNNNNNNNNNNNNNNNNNNNNNNNNNNNNNNNNNNNNNNNNNNNNNNNNNNNNNNNNNNNNNNNNNNNNNNNNNNNNNNNNNNNNNNNNNNNNNNNNNNNNNNNNNNNNNNNNNNNNNNNNNNNNNNNNNNNNNNNNNNNNNNNNNNNNNNNNNNNNNNNNNNNNNNNNNNNNNNNNNNNNNNNNNNNNNNNNNNNNNNNNNNNNNNNNNNNNNNNNNNNNNNNNNNNNNNNNNNNNNNNNNNNNNNNNNNNNNNNNNNNNNNNNNNNNNNNNNNNNNNNNNNNNNNNNNNNNNNNNNNNNNNNNNNNNNNNNNNNNNNNNNNNNNNNNNNNNNNNNNNNNNNNNNNNNNNNNNNNNNNNNNNNNNNNNNNNNNNNNNNNNNNNNNNNNNNNNNNNNNNNNNNNNNNNNNNNNNNNNNNNNNNNNNNNNNNNNNNNNNNNNNNNNNNNNNNNNNNNNNNNNNNNNNNNNNNNNNNNNNNNNNNNNNNNNNNNNNNNNNNNNNNNNNNNNNNNNNNNNNNNNNNNNNNNNNNNNNNNNNNNNNNNNNNNNNNNNNNNNNNNNNNNNNNNNNNNNNNNNNNNNNNNNNNNNNNNNNNNNNNNNNNNNNNNNNNNNNNNNNNNNNNNNNNNNNNNNNNNNNNNNNNNNNNNNNNNNNNNNNNNNNNNNNNNNNNNNNNNNNNNNNNNNNNNNNNNNNNNNNNNNNNNNNNNNNNNNNNNNNNNNNNNNNNNNNNNNNNNNNNNNNNNNNNNNNNNNNNNNNNNNNNNNNNNNNNNNNNNNNNNNNNNNNNNNNNNNNNNNNNNNNNNNNNNNNNNNNNNNNNNNNNNNNNNNNNNNNNNNNNNNNNNNNNNNNNNNNNNNNNNNNNNNNNNNNNNNNNNNNNNNNNNNNNNNNNNNNNNNNNNNNNNNNNNNNNNNNNNNNNNNNNNNNNNNNNNNNNNNNNNNNNNNNNNNNNNNNNNNNNNNNNNNNNNNNNNNNNNNNNNNNNNNNNNNNNNNNNNNNNNNNNNNNNNNNNNNNNNNNNNNNNNNNNNNNNNNNNNNNNNNNNNNNNNNNNNNNNNNNNNNNNNNNNNNNNNNNNNNNNNNNNNNNNNNNNNNNNNNNNNNNNNNNNNNNNNNNNNNNNNNNNNNNNNNNNNNNNNNNNNNNNNNNNNNNNNNNNNNNNNNNNNNNNNNNNNNNNNNNNNNNNNNNNNNNNNNNNNNNNNNNNNNNNNNNNNNNNNNNNNNNNNNNNNNNNNNNNNNNNNNNNNNNNNNNNNNNNNNNNNNNNNNNNNNNNNNNNNNNNNNNNNNNNNNNNNNNNNNNNNNNNNNNNNNNNNNNNNNNNNNNNNNNNNNNNNNNNNNNNNNNNNNNNNNNNNNNNNNNNNNNNNNNNNNNNNNNNNNNNNNNNNNNNNNNNNNNNNNNNNNNNNNNNNNNNNNNNNNNNNNNNNNNNNNNNNNNNNNNNNNNNNNNNNNNNNNNNNNNNNNNNNNNNNNNNNNNNNNNNNNNNNNNNNNNNNNNNNNNNNNNNNNNNNNNNNNNNNNNNNNNNNNNNNNNNNNNNNNNNNNNNNNNNNNNNNNNNNNNNNNNNNNNNNNNNNNNNNNNNNNNNNNNNNNNNNNNNNNNNNNNNNNNNNNNNNNNNNNNNNNNNNNNNNNNNNNNNNNNNNNNNNNNNNNNNNNNNNNNNNNNNNNNNNNNNNNNNNNNNNNNNNNNNNNNNNNNNNNNNNNNNNNNNNNNNNNNNNNNNNNNNNNNNNNNNNNNNNNNNNNNNNNNNNNNNNNNNNNNNNNNNNNNNNNNNNNNNNNNNNNNNNNNNNNNNNNNNNNNNNNNNNNNNNNNNNNNNNNNNNNNNNNNNNNNNNNNNNNNNNNNNNNNNNNNNNNNNNNNNNNNNNNNNNNNNNNNNNNNNNNNNNNNNNNNNNNNNNNNNNNNNNNNNNNNNNNNNNNNNNNNNNNNNNNNNNNNNNNNNNNNNNNNNNNNNNNNNNNNNNNNNNNNNNNNNNNNNNNNNNNNNNNNNNNNNNNNNNNNNNNNNNNNNNNNNNNNNNNNNNNNNNNNNNNNNNNNNNNNNNNNNNNNNNNNNNNNNNNNNNNNNNNNNNNNNNNNNNNNNNNNNNNNNNNNNNNNNNNNNNNNNNNNNNNNNNNNNNNNNNNNNNNNNNNNNNNNNNNNNNNNNNNNNNNNNNNNNNNNNNNNNNNNNNNNNNNNNNNNNNNNNNNNNNNNNNNNNNNNNNNNNNNNNNNNNNNNNNNNNNNNNNNNNNNNNNNNNNNNNNNNNNNNNNNNNNNNNNNNNNNNNNNNNNNNNNNNNNNNNNNNNNNNNNNNNNNNNNNNNNNNNNNNNNNNNNNNNNNNNNNNNNNNNNNNNNNNNNNNNNNNNNNNNNNNNNNNNNNNNNNNNNNNNNNNNNNNNNNNNNNNNNNNNNNNNNNNNNNNNNNNNNNNNNNNNNNNNNNNNNNNNNNNNNNNNNNNNNNNNNNNNNNNNNNNNNNNNNNNNNNNNNNNNNNNNNNNNNNNNNNNNNNNNNNNNNNNNNNNNNNNNNNNNNNNNNNNNNNNNNNNNNNNNNNNNNNNNNNNNNNNNNNNNNNNNNNNNNNNNNNNNNNNNNNNNNNNNNNNNNNNNNNNNNNNNNNNNNNNNNNNNNNNNNNNNNNNNNNNNNNNNNNNNNNNNNNNNNNNNNNNNNNNNNNNNNNNNNNNNNNNNNNNNNNNNNNNNNNNNNNNNNNNNNNNNNNNNNNNNNNNNNNNNNNNNNNNNNNNNNNNNNNNNNNNNNNNNNNNNNNNNNNNNNNNNNNNNNNNNNNNNNNNNNNNNNNNNNNNNNNNNNNNNNNNNNNNNNNNNNNNNNNNNNNNNNNNNNNNNNNNNNNNNNNNNNNNNNNNNNNNNNNNNNNNNNNNNNNNNNNNNNNNNNNNNNNNNNNNNNNNNNNNNNNNNNNNNNNNNNNNNNNNNNNNNNNNNNNNNNNNNNNNNNNNNNNNNNNNNNNNNNNNNNNNNNNNNNNNNNNNNNNNNNNNNNNNNNNNNNNNNNNNNNNNNNNNNNNNAAUCAAAAAUUGACCAAAAUUCACCCUUAUUUUCAAGCUUCUUGGCCGGCCCUUUCUCAAGGAAAAAGAAGAAAAACUACUCAAUUUUCUUACCUUCAAUCUUGCUCAAUCUUUCAUUCCAACCGGUUAAUCUUCAAAUUACUCCAUACAACCUAUUAGUUUAGGGGUAUUUAGGUGAUUGGUGAAGUUGUUUGGAAGCUUAAGGUGCUAAGUGGUCUCUUUUCUUUGGUUACUAAGGUGAGUAGUGAAGGUGUGACGACCCCACUUCUCCCAAGGGCGAACCCAAGGGUAUCGGCGGGCCGCCUGCCUAGCUCGCGCCAGGACUCAAAACUUAAAACAACGAAAGCUAGCAAAAUCCAAAAGAGUACUAUACAUAUAUAUGCAAUCCCAAAAGAGUUAUAAGUACAUUCCCCAAAAGUACCUGCUCAAACUAUUACAUGCUUAUAAUUACAACCAAAACCAAAAGGUAGACCCUAAGAAGGGUCCUUAUACAAACCACCACAAUAAAAACAAACAUCCUAAUUGUUCGCUAUUACAAGCAAGUCUAACUAUACUAUACUAGUGUAAGUGCCCAAACGUACCCGCGUCGGCCCCUGCUAAGGAAAACAAACGGAAUGGGGUAAGCUAAAAGCUUAGUAAGUAAACAGGGGCAAAAGCGUAAAUUUCACGUAGCAACAUUUACACAGUAAGAGUAAAGCAAAAGCAGAAAAGUAACAUCACAUAAUAAGGAUACGGUGGCUCCAAAGCCAAUUCAUUUGCCAUGCUUGAUCUCCUGUCGACACUCCGUCGACCAUAAAUAAGGUCCGUAGAACUUCACUUGUACACCCACCGACACCUUAUCACCCUCACUGGCCAGUCACCUCACAAACUUGCCCAGGCGAACGAAAUCACAAACUUGAGCUUUGAUCAUAAGCUCGGGUCACAAACUUGGUGACCUCAAACCAAGUUGGACUGACUUCGACCAAGCCCUAACCGGCUCGAAUAGUCCAUCUAGGUAUUGAGUUCAACCGCAAACUCACAAAAUUCACAAAAGUAUUCAAAAGUCACCCCGAGCCACAAGCUCAAGGGUUUUUGUUCCAAAAUUUCUCACAUACAUAUGUCAUGUACAAAUUGGUGCGUAAAUUAGGGUCUAGAUCGAGUGCGAUAAAGUACACCCUCGCCUAGGUACCCUUUUUACACAUAACGAAACACAUAAACAACUAACACAUAAGAGCGGCCUGAAUACUUACUCAAAAUACCAAAAGUAGUAUAAAGGCGGAAUUCACUUUGUGUGUUGGCUAGUAGUGGGCCCCACCGGCACCGCCUAGCUCACCACUGUCUGAAAUCGAAUAUUAUGUCACAAUAUAUCACAAACGGCAACUAACGUACUUGAAAUAAGCCAAACGGCAAAAUUGGCACGCGCAAGUGCGGAAACGGCAAAACGGCCGCACACGUCCGCGCAGAACGGCAAACGGAAAUGGCCAAAUCGGCCAUCUCAAACCGUUUUGGUCAAAAUUUAGGCUAGGAAUAUCGGAUCAAGGUACAUGAGGUACCGUUACGAAGCUAAGAGGAAGGGAUACAAUGUUCAUGAAGACAUCGCAACCCAGAUCUCAAAGGGUAUAGGUGAAAAUUGCGUGAAACAGUUCCAGCUGUUUCAUUGCGAGUUACCAAACAGGCCCUGUUUGCAAGGCCGUAACUCACGGCUCAGAAAUCGAAAUUAAGAAAUUCCAAAGGAAUUAGAAAGCUGAGACAUAAGGAUAAAACUUUCAUGUUUUGGCCAAGACCUGAAUCUAUUCAGAACAAAACAAAAUUCGAGUGCCAAAGUACCCGUCAGAACUGUCCAAAUACAAGGCAGUUCUGACGAGCGAUAUUGUUUUGAUCAUAACCGGAGCUACGGAACUCGGUUUUCGACGUACUUUAUACCGUUUCGAAGCUCAGAUCAAGAUCUAAACUUCUUAUGAAGGAGUCGGCACCCAGAUCGAACUCUAUAAAAAUCGAAAAGUCAUGGGCAGAAACAAAAUCAGAAAACGCGUAGAACCAGAGGGUCAAAACAGGCUUGAGCAUUUCGUCGAUAACUCAGGCUACGCUAAUCCGAUUGACCUGAAAUUUUGCAGUCAUACUCAGGACUCAAGGGGAUACGACUUUCAUGUUUUAUGAAACUUCUGAAUCAGCACGGAACAUUAAGAAAAAUGGAGCUCAAGUUCAGGUUCUGGGUUGCCCUGUUUACCCAUUUUGCCGGUUUCAAAUGUCGCAAACAUAUGGUUCGUUUUCAUGGUUCUUAUGCAGGUUUUUCAACCACUUUUGUACCAAAUAAACACACAUACACUAACAUCUAAAUGGCCUACAAAUGGUCCGAAAUUCCCCUCCCAAGUCAAUACCAAAUUUAACAAUCAUCAACCACAAUCCCUAACCAAAUUUCAUUUGCACCAAUGAACUUAAUCCAACCUCUCACUAACCAAACUCUAUCUCACUAACCAUAAGCUAAGCUAAAUUAGCCUAAUGGAGUUUAGGGUUUCUUAACCCAAAUCAGCUUUUUGCAAGUAACCAACCAAAUCAAGUGAGGCAAUUCAUCAAACAUAACCACUACAAGUCCAUUUCUCAACUAAACAAGUAAGGAAAGCAUUACAUUAAAAAGCCCUAAUUCUCUUUCUCUUGACCGAAAUUUCCAGCAGCAUAAAUCACCAAAAAUUAACCAAAGUACUCCAUAAAAACAAGUGAUAGGCAUAAGAGGUACCACAAUCAAGCACAACUAAGGUCCUAUGCCAAAAUAACCACUAGUUCAUCAAACAAUAAUCAACUUAAGUCUUCAAAUAGACUUUCUUACCUUUGAUUCAAGCUUUGUAGAUGAUCACCCACAACAAUCAAGUGCUCAAGUUGUUUCUCCAAGAUCCAAACUCAAGAUUGAAGAGCAAAAUUGAUGCACCAAAGCAAGCUUUCCUUUUCUUUUUUCUUUCUCUUCUCACGGCUCUCACUCUCUCUUAUUCUCUUAGUUUUUGUUUUGUUUUGUUUUCUCUUGUUUCUUAUAAGUUGUAAGACAACAUAUAGUCAAAGCUUUGGGAGAUAUUUCUUAUAGCUAACCAAUCACAAAAAUGCUUUAUUUGUUGUUUAAACCCUUGCACUUUAAUUUUCUCUUUCUUAUACAUUUUCCCUCAAACAUUUGAUAACCUUUCAAUUUACUCCAUAAGUCAUAACUUAAUCUAAUCUAAAACAUAUAAUCACGCUUAAUUAUUUCACUAAUCACUUUCUCAUCUUAAUCACUUACACUUAAGCAUGCUUUAUCCCACAUAAAAGUUAAUUAAACAAUAACCUUUUUGUCAAGGGCAAAAUUAGGUUUAAACCCACUUAAAACUUCUAAUAAAUCAUAACAUUAGGGAUUUUGCUCACUUAAGGUUUCUAACCUUCUUCUUAAAAUUAAUUAACCUAUACCAAAUGGAUUAAAUCCUAUACCUUCCCACACUAGUGGGUCCCACAUCCGAUAUACGUUCUUAAUUUCUCAAAAACUAACUACUACUAGAAAAAUCAUCUAAGAACUAUAUUUACUCAUAAAACUUAUCUGGGAAACUUUUCUAAUAAAGAAAAUGUAGAAAAUGCGGGUUUUCAAUCUUAGGGUUUUCUUCUUAGCCCUAACCCUAAUAUCAACUUACGAACGGUCUGGGUCCUCACAGAAGGAACCCCUCUCCUCUAUCUAAUGAUGGUUAAUUCAUGACUUGUGGUAGCCUAAGGGAUGUGAUUAGGUGUUAUUUCUUGAUUUUGGUUGAGAUUGAUGGCAUUUUCUAUUUAAUCAUUUUUCUGAUUUAAUAUGGUUCAUAUGGUGUGGCUUUGUAUGAUGAUGGGAAUUGAUCUAGAAUGAAGCUAGAAGGUGUAUAUUGUGGUUAAUUGCAGGAAAUUUCUGUUUUUGAAGGAAAUUGUGGAAAUUAGGGUUUCAUUCCCCCUCAUUCUGCCCGGCACUGUUCCUCAUAGUUAGAGACCGAAUUGGCCUUGGGUUAAGACAUGAAAGUUGUAGGGAAUGAUAUUUUAGAGAUGCCUACAAAAUUUCAGGUCAAUCGGAGUAGCGUAGCUUAUGAAAAGACUGAAAUACCCCUGCUGCCCUGUUUCUACCCGAACUUGGUAUUCAGCUUUGGUAAUUGGUUAAUUUGGUUGGGAAUGCUUCUGAUUUGGUUGUUGAUGUCUUCUGAAGAAUUGUACCCUUGUAUCUUAGCUUUCAGAUGGCUUUAGAAUCACUUGAUUUGGACUUAGGUAGCCUGACUUAUGAUGUUUGAACCAGAAUGCGGUUUGUUAACCUGUUUUUGCGGUUCUGGUUUAGUAUAUUGAAUUUUUGACCUGGUUGCACUAGAAACUAGACUGAGUAGCCUUCUUCAACAUUGUAUCCCUACCUCUUAGCUUCGAAACGGUGUAUAUUGCACCUCCAUCCGAUAAUCGUAGUGCCAAUGGUGCCAAAACCGCAAAAUGAUGUCAAAAACUGUUUUUAUGGUUUAGAGCUUAAUUCCAUUUCCGGAUUUCCCUGGUUUACUCUAGUGCUUAUACAUUCUUAUGGAGCCCUAUUUGGGUAGUAUGUGGAAUUGGUUUAUGACUUGUAAUCGAGUCUUAUUUUGCUUAUUUGAAUUUUUUAGGGCGUGACGGUGAGUAAAGACGCUCUUUGGGUGGAAGUUUACGAAAUUCCACUUGCUUGCUUGGUGAGUAUACUACUCACUUGUUUGUUUACAAUGUGGCUUUAUUAUAUUGAACUUGAUGCCUUGAAGGCUUAUUUGCACUGUUGAAACUGAUUAAAGUGAGGGUGUACUUGAUCGCCCUCACUCCCUUUUGUAUUAUACACGACUGUCUACUGUUUCACUGUGGUACUUGAAAUGUACAUGGAAAAUUGGAUUUGGUGUCGUUUGGACGAGGAUCCAACGGCUUUUACAGUUACUACUGAGCUCAACCCCAUUGGUAGUCGAUUGAAUCGAGCCAGCGAGGGCUUGGUCGUGAAAGUUGACUACAGCCAUGGGGACUGUUAUAUGGAAUCUUGUAGUAGUGAGACUCUUGAUUCCGGUAUACUCGAGUAUUACCAAAUUUCUACUGUUUGGAGUUCGGGCCCGGAAGGGGUAUGUUGGUGGAAGGAAUGGACGUAAAGUGGAGCCUACGGUUGGUUACUCUUAAACAUUGACGGAGGUCAAUGAGGUCUGAUCAAGAAUGCAAGCGAGGAAAGGGGCUCUUGAGAGCCGCCCGUAUCCUUUUAUCAACACUAUUGAUGUGUGUCUUUGCUUACUUUUGAUGUAUUGGAAUGAGAAACUUGAUGCUUAUAUGAACUUUGCUGCUUGAGUGAUAGUAUAUCACUGGGCGUAAGCUCACUCUGUUCCUUUUGUUUUCCUUACAGGAAAUUGAUUACUUUUGGAAAGGUUGUACAUGUUGGUUGCCGAGUUAAGCUUAUGUAAAUGUAUUUUUGAAUAGCUCCUUUUGGGCAAAACCCUAACUGUAUUUGGAUCUAAUUAUCUCGCUUUUGUUUUGUAAAUUACAAACGUAUGUAUAUAACACUGCUUAACCCUAUUUAUGGGUCUUAUUUGGUUUGGAAAUAUUUUUCCGAGUUAUAUGACAUGGCACCCACUAUUCACCGACGGUUUAGUUUGCGUUUGGCUAUUUUACGAUUUCGGCUUGUGUGAGCGCGUAUUAUUUUCCUGAAACAUUUUAGAUCGUGUUUGUCUGCACAGUUAGUCCUGGCGAGAGUUGGGCAGGCAGUCCGCUAACCUCUUUGGUUCACCUUAGGGGAAAGUGGGGCUGUCACAGUUUUCUUGAUGUAUAAACCUGUUUUAGAUUCUUUUAGUUAGAGUUAACACUUGGCAUGUUGGUUAAGAGGAAAACAAUGAAAGGAUGAAACAAGAAAAGUAGUGGUAUGCACUAAUAGCCCAAAUUCCAUAUUUCUGGAAAUUCAAGCUUCAGUUCUGCCCGGUUCCAGUUCGUGAUGUUAGAGACCGAAUUAGCCUUAGCUCAAAAUAUGAAAGUUGUAGAGAAUGAUGUUUUAUAGUUGCCUGUAAAAUUUCAGCCCAAUCCGACCUCUGUAGCCUGUGAAAAGACAAAAUUACCCUACUGCCCUGUUUCUGUCAAAAAUGAUAAUCAGCCUCUGUAAGUGGUUAGUUUGACCAGGAAUAUUACUGAAUUGAUUGUCGAUGUCUUCUUAAGAAUUAUGCCUUGUAUCUUACUUUCAAAUGGCUUUGGAAUUACCUGAAUCGGAGUUGUGUGUGCUAGAUAUGCUUGAAUGAAUCAGGACUGCUAGGUAAAUUUCACAGUGAGUUUCGAACUAGAAAAUCUGGGGUUGUUUUGGUGAAUUUGACCUAGUUAGGGUGAGAACUGGACAAAGUAGUCUUCAUCAAAGUUAUAGCCCUUGAAACGGUAUAACUUGCACUUCAAUCCAAUAAGCGUAGUUUCGGUUAUGUCCGAUAUGCUAAGUAGCGGUGAAUCUGCCUUUUUGGUUUCCAAGCUUAAAACUCAUUUCCGGACAUUUUCCUAGUUUGAUUUCGUACUUGUAUGACUUUGAGCCUAUUGAACGGCUAUUGAAAUGAGAUGAUUUUGUGUAUGACUUUGGGGCUUUAUUGUGAUUGAGUUGAGAUGUGAUUUGUAAUGUCUUGUAGGAUGGAAAAUAAGGAAUUUAAGGGGAAGUGCUGUCCAAUCUUUGAGAACGUUUAACCGCUGCGAGUUUGGGUUAAUUCUUGGUAGAAUGAAGAGCUUGGACUUGAUCGAGGAAAACUGUCUAUGAUGGAUGAGGAUUAAGAGCCGUGGUUGGUGAGUGACCCAAACUAUUUCCAAAGCUAAUUAUGAAUUGUUUCUUGCAUUAUUUACUCGAUUGCAUAUCAUGUGUGCUUGCAUAUGAAUUCAUGACAUGAUUUGGCUCCAAUGAGUUCUUGGGAAGUCUUGUGCUGAACACCAACGUCUCCACCACUAUUUACUUGGAGCAAAUGGCUCCCUAUCACUGUUUCACUGUUACUGGAUCAAUUUGAGCGUUGGAUGUUUAGGUACAAUGAUUUCACAGGCUCACAAGAGCAAUAAACGUAUAUUUGAUUACUGAUUCAUGAUAUCAUUGAAAUGAACUAUUGAGAAACUGAUUUGAUGACUGCUUUUACUGGUUACUCGCUGAGCUUCUAGCUCACCCAAAACGUUUUAAUUCCCCUCCACAGGGCUCGAGGCGAAGGAAGCGCUUGUAUCACGUUAUUCGUGUGACUGGAUGGCUUAUAUCUUGUAUAGUUUAGAUUUGGACUCAUUUGUGUAAUAGUUGGGCCAGUGUGACUGUUUGGAAUUGAAGUGGAUGUAUGUGUACGUUCCACGCUUAGAAUUAGUUUCCGCUUCGCUUAUGAUAUGUUAAUUUGAGAACAUUUGAUGUAUAGAGAUGUAUAUUGUAUUUGAAUUGAGGAUUGUUGUGAGUGAGUGAGUCCCGGCGAUAGCUGGGCAGGCGGUCCGCCGAACUCUUUGGUUCGCCUUAGGGUGAGGUGGGGCCGUCACAGUUGGUAUCAGAGCUUAGGUUUCCGAUCUCUGAAGUGUAUCCUAGGCUUCAAGUUUAGGAUGCCGGACUGUGGGUCUGAUGAAAUAUCAGUGAUUUCUUGUAGGAAUGAAAAUCAGACAAGUGGGAUUAGGCUUGCUUGAAAUGCUUGUUUGACUUUUGCGGAUCUCUUGACUUGAUUCGUACAAGUUGGAAUGUCAAGAACGAUAUUCUUUUAAGGAGGGGAGAUUGUGAUACCCCGAAUUUUAGGACAAUGUUUUUCCCUCGUUCUUUUAAAAUUUCGAUUUCUUUCUUUUGUCUUGUUUUAACACAUUGUUUUUUUUAAUUGGACACUUUAAAUUUAAAUCAAAACCCUAGUUUUUACUUGUGAUUAACCGUUUUCUCAAAUUUCUCAUAUUUCAACCGAAACCCUAAAUUCAAUUUAUGGAAUUUUAAAAUCCCUCACGUUUUUCUUAAAAAUCCCCUUUUAAUUGGAAAUUAUGAUUUUAUAAUAACCCUACCACCCAAUCACCCCAACAAUAAUGCAAAUGAACAUGAAAGUAAAGGUUUUCCUUUUCGUUUUUAAGUUAGCGCGAAUUAGGAUUUUCCGUUUUUCCGUAGUGUGACUAUUCGGUACGGAGUGAGGAUCAAAAUUGGUGAGAACACCGCGUGGGCAUGCCAAGAUUAUAAAACAUCCACUGACCUCAGGAGAGACAAACAUCGCGUGGGCACGCCAAGAUUACGAAACGUCCUCUGAUCUCAGGAGACACCAACACCGCGUGGGCACGCCAAGAUCUCACUUCCUGAUUUCAGUGAAGGAAAUAUUAAUACAGAUACUACCCAACGAGUAAAUGACCCACUGCAAAAGAAGAACAACUACAAAUAACAAAACUAAUAUUCGGGUUGCCUCCCAAACUAGCGCCUUUCUUUAGUGUCUUUGGCUAGACACAGCCCAUAAUUUGCUUAAACCAAGCAAAUUGGGUCCUCCAAAUGCAUUAUCUCUACCCGCUCAACUGGAACCUCAUCAUAAUACGGCUUGAGACGAUGACCAUUCACCACAAAUUUCUUCUCCGUCUUCAGACUCUGGAUCUCCACUGCACCAUAAUCAAAGACAUUAGUUACAACAAAGGGACCAAUCCAACAAGAACGUAACUUACCCGGAAAUAACUUCAACUUCGAGUGAUACAGUAGAACUUUUUGUCCACAUUCAAACGUCUUCCUAGAGACCUGCUGGUCAUGAAAAAUCUUAUUUUUCUCCUUAUAAAUCACAGCAUUUUCGUAGGCUUCAUUGCGAAUCUCCUCCAAUUCUUGUAACUGUAGCUUCCUUUGAAUUCCGCCCUCUUCGAUAUCCAUGUUGCAUUGCUUGACAGCCCAAAAUGCUCUAUGCUCGAAUUCGACAGGGAGGUGGCAUGGCUUCCCAAAUACCAAACGGUAAGGGGACAUGCCGAUCGGUGUCUUGUACGCCGUUCUAUAUGCCCACAAGGCAUCUUCAAGUCUCACACUCCAGUCCUUCCUGUCAGGUCGAACCAUUUUUUCCAAAAUCGACUUGAUCUCCCGGUUCGAUGCUUCCGCCUGACCGUUUGUCUGCGGAUGGUAAGACGUGGAGACUUUGUGCAAGACACCGUACCUCCUAAAAAGUGCAGCAAUCGUCUUGUUGCAGAAAUGGGUACCCCGAUCACUUACAAUUGCUCGUGGCAUCCCAAAACGGACAAAGAUAUUAGAUUUAAUGAAUUCUGCAACCACCUUAGAAUCAUUAGUGCGGGUGGCUUUUGCUUCCACCCACUUUGAGACAUAAUCUACGGCAAGCAAUAUAUACAAAAAACCGAAAGAUGAAGGAAAAGGGCCCAUAAAAUCAAUACCCCAAACAUCAAAAAUCUCAACAAAAAUCAUUGGGGUCUGGGUCAUUUGAUCCCUUCGAGAAAUACUACCUACUCGUUGACACUUAUCACAUGACUUACAAAAUAAAUAGGUAUCCUUAAAGAGGGUUGGCCAAUAAAAUCCACUCUCUAGAACCUUACGAGCAGUUCUCUUUGGUCCAAAGUGACCUCCACAUGCAAAAGAGUGACAAUAAGCUAAAAUAGACUGGAAUUCAUUUUCACUCACACAUCUGCGAAUGAUUUGGUCGGCACCACGUUUCCAGAGGUAAGGAUCAUCCCAGAUGUAAGAUUUUGCGUCACUCCUUAACUUAUCCCUUUUUGCCUUAGGCCAUCCUGCAGGAAACUUGUCAGUAACUAGAAAAUUAACAAUAUCUGCAUACCAGGGCAAAGUUAAAUUAGCAGAAAAUAAGUGCUCGUCAGGGAAGGUUUCUCUCAACGGGAUAUCGUCCUUGGUGACUUGUACCCGACUCAAGUGAUCUGCUACCAAAUUCUCUGCCCCUUUCUUAUCUCUGAUCUCCAAGUCAAACUCCUGUAGCAACAAUAUCCACCUUAUCAGUCGCGGUUUUGCCUCUUUCUUGGUCAACAGAUACCGCAGGGCUGCAUGAUCAGAGAAAAUAAUAACUUUAGUACCAAGUAAAUAGGAACGAAAUUUUUCUAAAGCAAAAACUACAGCUAGGAGCUCUUUCUCGGUGGUCGAAUAGUUCAAUUGGGCUCCGUUCAAGGCUCGAGAUGCGUAGUAUAUAGCGUGGGCUGCCUUUCCCACUCUUUGACCUAGUACCGCACCCACUGCGUAAUCGCUGGCGUCACACAUGAUUUCAAAUGGGAGAUUCCAGUCAGGGGGUUGGAUGACAGGUGGAGAAGUGAGUAAUUUUUUCAACUUCUCGAACGCUUCUUCGCAUUUCUCGUCGAAUUCAAAACUGACAUCCUUUUGUAAAAGCCUGAAAAGUGGUGCCCCGAUCUUUGAGAAAUCCUUGAUAAAUCUGCGAUAGAAACCUGCAUGUCCUAGAAAAGAACGAACUUCCCGUACAGUUACGGGGUAAGGUAAAGCAGAUAUCACAUCUAUUUUAGCUUUAUCAACUUCAAUUCCUCUAGAUGACACUACAUGUCCUAGAACUAUCCCGUGCUCAACCAUGAAGUGACAUUUUUCCCAAUUCAGCACCAGGUUAGUCUCAAUGCAUCUUUUUAAAAUCAAUGUCAGGUUAUCUAAGCAAUCGUCAAAGCUAUCACCAUAGACACUGAAGUCAUCCAUGAAUACCUCAAUUAUCCUCUCUACAUAUUCAGAAAAAAUGCUAAUCAUGCACCUCUGGAAUGUUGCAGGGGCAUUACACAAUCCAAAAGGCAUUCUUCGAUAGGCAAAAGUGCCAAAGGGGCAAGUGAAAGUUGUUUUCUCUUGAUCCUCUGGCGCAAUUGCUAUCUGAAAAUAACCAGAAAAACCAUCUAAAAAACAAUAAUAGGCACGACAGGCUAACCUUUCAACCAUUUGAUCAAUGAAUGGAAGGGGAAAAUGAUCCUUCUUGGUCACUGCGUUCAAUUUACGGUAAUCGAUGCACUGGCGCCAACCCGUAGGCUUUCGAAUUGGAACAAGGUCCCCUUCAUGAUUUUCUUCCGCAGUUACCCCUGCUUUCUUUGGCACCACUUGGACCGGACUUACCCAUGGGCUGUCUGAGAUAGAGAAAAUAAUUCCUACGUCCAGAAGCUUGAUUACCUCUUUUUUGACCACUUCCAUCAUGAUGGGGUUCAAUCUCCUUUGUGGUUGCCUUAUCGGCCUAGCAUCCUCUUCCAGGCGAAUUCGAUGCAUGCACACAGACGGGCUUAUACCCUUGAUGUCUGCAAUUGUCCACCCUAUAGCUUCCUUAUGCUCCCUUAAAACCCGCAGCAGUUUGUCCUCCUCCGUGGGUGAUAAUUUGGAUGAGAUUAUCACUGGUAACGUCUCUUUUUCACCUAGAAAGGCAUACUUUAAAUGCUCGGGAAGGGGUUUCAACUCCACUUCAGGUGCCUGCACGAUAGAAGGUAACAGCUUUAGGUGUGGUUCAGGCACAAAUAUAGGAGCAACAUCAUACCUUAGAGGACUUUGGCCUAGUGAAUGCAAGGCUCCAACCAUUCUUUGCAAAUUGAUGUCUAACUCCAUUUCGCAGGCCACUUCCAGAUCCAAAUGUUUGGUGAUUGCUACCUCCAAUUCAUCCCUGCCAUUAAUCUCAAAUACUUCUUGCACCAAAGGGUCAAUUAUACUCACAGCAAAAACAACAUUAGAAUGACACGGAUAUUUCAUGGCCUCAAAUAUACUAAAAUGAACUAUUUCUCCAUCAAAUUCCAUCGUUAGGGUGCCCUUACUAACAUCAAUUUUUGUACGAGCCGUGCUCAAGAAGGGUCUCCCCAACAAAAUUGGUGAUGGAUUUGGAGAACGUUCAUCACCCAUAUCAAGAAUAUAAAAAUCAGCAGGGAACACUAAAUUGUUCACUUGUACUAACACAUCUUCUAUCACCCCAUCAGGAUAAGCAUUAGUCCUAUCAGCCAAUUGAAUUAUAAUGCCAGUUUCCUUUAAAGGGCCCAAAUUCAGAGAAGUAUAUAUAGCCCUGGGCAUCACAUUUAUAGAGGCUCCUAAAUCUAACAUGGCAUUCCUAAUGCUAGUGUUCCCUAUUUUGCACGGAAUAGUGAACAUACCUGGGUCUCCGCACUUGGGUGGAAGUUUUCUUUGAAGCACUGCAGAUACGUUCUCUCCCACAAUUAUCCUUUCAUCUCCCCUCAGUUUCUUCCUAUUGAUGCAUAGGUCCUUCAAAAAUUUGGCAUACCGGGGUACUUGCUUAAUUGCGUCAAGUAAGGGGAUAUUUAUCUCCACUUUCCUAAACAUCUCCAAUAUUUCCUUUUCCUUGUCUUGCUUUUUCGGCCUUUCCAACCUGCUAGGAAAAGGUGGUGGGUUAGGCUUAAUCGGAACCACAGGGUUACGUAUUACCUCUUCAUUUGUGCCAGGAGUUCCUUCUUCCUCAAGCUCCUUCUCAAUACGGUCCUCAUUCUUGUCCUUCGGAGCCACUGGGGCUGGACCUUCAACCUCUUUCCCACUCCUGAGGGUCAUUGCACUUACAUUCUUGGGAUUCACCUCAGGUUGGGAUGGGAGUUUUCCCUUCCCCUGGGAGUCUAGUCGGUUGACAAUGGAGGCUAAUUGACUCAUCUGAUUUUCCAAGUUUUGCAUACGUGCUUUCAUCUCUUGAUUGUUGGCCUCAGUGUCCUGUUGAAAUUUCAUAGUAUUAGAGGCUAUGGUUUUAACCAUGUCUUCUAGGGACAUACCUGAGAUAGAGGAGGGUUGAUUCCUUGUUUGAUAUUGUUGCUGGAAGCCCUGCUGUCUAUUGGGGAUGAAAUUUUGUUGCUUAUUUCCCCCAUAGCUUAGAUUUGGAUGAUCCCUCCAACCCGGAUUGUAUGAGUUGGAAUAGGGGUCAUACUGUCUACGUGGCAUGGGCAUGUUACCAGCCAUAUUUGCUUGCUCAAUUCCCUCUUCAUGUAACUGUGGGCACGAGUCAGUGGUAUGACCAAUAUUCGUGCAAAUCCCACACACUUUGGCCUGCUGUGCAUUUCCUACAGCUAUCUGUCGAACAAAUGAGGUUAAUUCAGAUAACUGCUGUUCGAUGGAAGAUGAACUUACCUCGUUGACCUUUCUCGUAGGAACAUCUGCUCUCGUACCAAACUGCUGGCAAUUCUCUGCCAUUCGCUCAAUUAAGUCCCAUGCCUCCUGGGUAGUCUUAUUUACCAGUGCACCACCACUUGCUGCAUCAAUGAUAUUCCUAUCGUUCAUCAGUAGCCCCUCGUAGAAAUACUGAAUCAGCAGUUGAUCACUUAUUUGGUGAUGUGGGCAUCGGGUACGCAGCCUGGUGAACCUCUCCCAAUAUUCAUACAAGGAUUCCCCGUGAAAUUGCUUGAUUCCACAUAUUUCCUUUCGCAAGCUAGCAGCUCUGGAUGCAGGGAAAUAUUUUUCAAAAAAUUUUUUCUGCAUCUCUGGCCACGUGGUGAUAAUGCCUGCAGGUAGACAGUAUAACCAGUCCUUUGCCGAAUCCUUGAGAGAGAAAGGGAAGGCCCUUAAUUUAAUUUGUUCAUCAGUUACUCCCGAAGGUUUCAUACUCGAACACACCACAUCAAAUUCCUGCAUGUGUUUGUGGGGUUCCUCUCCUGGCAGACCAUGAAAAACAGGCAACAAAUGUAUUAAACCAGGUUUUAAUUCAAAAGCUGCAUUCUCACUAAGGCGAGGAAAAGUUAUGCAAAGAGGUUGUUGGGUCAAGUUUGGAGCAGCCAACUCCCUUAAUGUUUGUGUGUUUGCCAUGUCGACGCUCUCUUGGCAAAAAUCACUUGAAGUGUCACCAAACGAAUCUGCUGGUUCAACUUCGGGCUCAGGUCUCUGAGAUGUAGCCCUGGAGUGCUCCUCUCUGAGCUGUCUGGUUUCUUUCCUUGUUCUACGCGCGGUUUUCUCUACUUCAGGGUCAAAAAUCAAUUCACCUGCACGAGAAGACCUAGGCAUACACUAGAAAAAUACCAGAAAAUUAGAGCAAAAAUGAAAUUUAAAAAGAAACAAAUAAUAACGCCAGUCCCCGGCAGCGGCGCCAAAAAUUGACAGGUCGUCAACCUGUGCAAUAAUAAUAAUAAUAUAGAACCUAGAUACCACUAAGAGCUGUCAAUAAUUAAUCCUAGGUACUGGAGCAGGGACUCUAGGUGUGCAAUGGGUUACUUGAUUCACCCUGUUCCCGAAAAGUUUGCUGAACCCGAUAUACCAGAAUUAAUUAGUUGGCAAAAAUAGUAGGCAGUGGCAAGUAAAGUCGUCUCCUCAGGGACUGGGGAUAUCUGUCUCUUUUUAAAGUCCAAUUGAUAAGGGGGGAUUUCACCGGAAUGGAACUAAAAAUAAUUAAACAAUUUAAUUAAAAAUAAAUAAAUCACUAGCACAAGUAAAGCAGGAAUUAAAUCAAGAAUAAAUAAGUUCUAGCCAAGGAUACAACUACUCAGGCACAGUCCAUUUAUCCGAUCAUUGAUGCAGGAGAGGUUCACUUAAUUUAUUAAUAGGUUAGUUAUAGUCUGACGACCAAUUUUUCCUUAAAUUAUUGAUAACCAAGGUACGACCAUUGAUCACCCCUAACCAGAAAAUACUCCUAGGUACGACCGUAGGAAUUAAUUUCCCAAUUGCAUUAAUAUUAGAAAAACCUAGCCCUAACCAAUAACACGCUACGAGGGUUAUUUAAAUUAGAUUGCACGUUCCCCUAAUGUGUAAACACACCAGUUGCCACUAAUAUUAAUCAAUCAAACAAUUACGGAUUUAAUUGACUAAAUUGGCACGAGACUAAUAAAUCACAUUGAACAUCGGGCCCUUGACAUCCAAUUAAUAAAAUAAUCCCAUGAAAAUACAAGCAGGCAACGUGCAAUUAUUAAUAAAUUAAGGAACGCGUGAAAACUAAUUAGAUCUCACAGGUUUUCGGGACUGCGCCGUCGAGUUGAUCCUUGACUAGAUGGAAGAUUUAGCCACGCCGCAUAAUUAAAUCACCACACGAAUUAAUGGAUUGCAAAGGCAUAGCGUUUUCUAUUAAGAAGCAAGGAAUAAAAGGUGUUUUUCCCGUUGGGGAAUUUUGUCGAACACCUGGCGUGCCAGAGGCCAGUCAAAAGAAGGAAAAAGUAAAGCUACACUAAAAGACUAAAACCAGAGAUAUUCCUCUGCUACUCUCCGUUCCCUAUUUAAGCCACAAAAGAAAGAUAACUCAAGGCUCUCUACGUGGUCCCCACACAUGUGGGCAAAGCCUUCAAAGUACUUCUUGCCCCAAGUCUCCUUCCGUAGCUUUCUUUUUAGAGUCCAAAUGACUAGAUGCCUUCCACUAGCUUGUGGUCCCCACAAAUUCAAGGACCCAAGCAUUGAAGCCCUUAGAAGUCUCCAUAUUUUCCAUAAAGUCCCUCCUUUUGGUAGUUUUCUGCUUUAUUCCUGAAAUUACGUCCACAUACCAAAUAUGAGUAAAUAUCAGCAAUUAACACAAUAUUUGUCAGGGAUAAAAGGGAAAAUUAAUAAUAAAAUUACUAACAAAUUGUACCCUAUCAACAAAUUAUAGUAAUUUAUAUUUAUUAAUUGUCAAUGAAUGGUUUUAUUUGAGCUAUAAUUAGAAUGGAAGUUGCCUAAUUUAAGUAUAUUUUGGUUUUUGCGGGAAAAGCACGCAAUUGAGGAGGGGAUGAAUAAAAAACGCAACAAAAGAAGAAGAAACGUUGAAAGGGACUUUGUGAGGACUUCUUCCAGUUCCAAUGAUUUCUAAAGAAAUUUCUAAAAUUAUGAUGAAUUUUAAAAAAAUUCUACAAAGGGGCCAUUUUGAGUAUGGGAUUCCGUCCAAGGGGUCUUCGCAUUCAGCAAAUGCGAGCUUCCUCAGCUCGCAUUUGCUGAAUGCGAAGUCUCUUGAAUUUGCAACCAACGAAAUCCAAAAAAAAAAACAGACCUCGCAUUUGUAAACAGUACGUAGGCCUGACCUCUUAUCCUGUUUCUGAGCAACAAAGCAUAGCCACGAAUUUGAAAGCCAUUUGCCAAGUGAAAAGAAAAUGUGCAGUGCAAAUGGGACACAAAAUUGAUUGGGGAGUCCUGUUGAGGUAGUACAAGUGGCAAAUUGGGAGGGGAGAGAGAGGCGCAGCUGGCUAGCUUCACAGAAAUAGGUUCCGAAUAGGGGUCCAAGCUCUACAAUGGCGCAGAGCUUCCAACGAGAAAGAUGUGAGGGAUUUCGUCUGCCGAUCCUGGAAGCUUGGACUGGUGUCUAGCUCAGCAAAAGAGAAGAGAAAGUGAGCUGGAUGGAGAGAGUGAGCUCCAAUUUCUGCAGGUUAGGAGACAGAUUAGAAUGCCGUAAUUAUGAGCUCUGCCUUUUUUUCAGAUUGAGUACCUCGCAUUCGAGAAAUGCGAGGUACCUCAGCUCGCAUUUGGCAUAUACGACCUUUGUUGUUUUUUACUUUUUCUCAAAACCUUUCUCUUUUUUCUUGAAACACUGACCUCGCAUUUGUGAAAUGUGAAGUCUUUGAACUAGCGUUUCACAAAUGUGAAGACCAUAAUCCUAGAAUUAGCUUCAAAAAUUACCCCCCUUGUAAAACAACUUUUUUUUCUAUCACAAUUUAAGAAUUUACUCUGAUUUUUGAGCAUAACAAGUUUGCGGCCAGAGUUAGAGCCGGUCUUCGGGCCGAACUUUAUUGGAAAACCCAUUCAAACUCGAUUUUUGGUAAGUUUUCAAGACCUAUUCCUACCACAUUUCGGAUGCAACUUUGAGAGACUAUAAAUAGGACAUUCUAGGAUAUUUUUAGGUUAGAAAGCAUUUAGCUUACAUUAGUUCAUCCUUUUUAUAUCUUCUUUUCUUGAGAGAUCACAAAGGAAGUGUUGAAGAAUCAAAGAGAAAGUUCAAGAUGGAGAUUGGAGUAGGGAAAAAUUGAGAAGUUUUCUUUAUUUUUAACUUCUUAUUUUGUCUUUCAUUUGAAUUCUUGGAUUUAUCUAUGAAUAUGUUGAACUAAUUUAUAGCUAGACUUAAGAUUUUGUGAAGGAGAUUUGAUUAUUUGUUCUAGAUAAAUUAUUCAAUUUUUCUUUGAUUUAUCUAUCUUGCCUUUAUUACAUAUUUAUGUUUGGCCACUAUAGAUAUGCUUUUAGGGUUUGUAUUGAAUUGAGAAGCGAUAUACAACCAUAUAUUAGAUAAAUAAACUUACUUAACCUAAUUAUGAAUGUGGGUUAGGAUUUGUAUGGCAUAAUCAUAUCACCUAAAAUCUUAAAGGGUUUAAUUAAAUACCUAUGAUCUUGAGAGCAAUGUGAGAUUUCAUUAGACACAAUUUAGAUGUAUCGAGAGAUAAUUAAAAUACUUUUACGUGAUACGUCUUUGACAUGUUAAGAAAAUAAUUGGAUAAUGAUUCCAAUUAUGAAUCAAAAUUUGAAACUCUAGUCUUUUGCUAAUUGUUUUCUCACCUAUAUCUUAUUUGAUUUGAUUACUUAUUUAAUUUCUUAAUUAGUGACUAAAAACCCUCUAAAUUUAAAUUUUAUUAUUUUUAUUAGAAUAAUUAAAGUAGAAAAAAUUAACUCAUUCCUAUAUGUUUGACCCUGAAGUACUCCAAGUGAAUUAUUAUUUCGAUCAACCCUAUACAGUUAUAGAAAUUCAUCGAUCACACAGCAACUAAAAAAAAAUUAACGCACAAUAAUGUCAUGAACACAGUUCCCAUCUUAGUUGUUCAACAUUCACGGUGGAUUUCAAUUAGUGGUAAAUAGAUAAAGGCAUCGAAAAAAGUAAUCUAAUUACUAGAUAAUUGAAUUUAUACUACAGCAUAUUUCUUUUUUCUACUGCAAAAACUUAACUAAUUUAAGACAAUGUAGUCCAAGCUAAUUGAAGAUUAAUUUCCCUAAAAAAUGUUCAUGAUAAAAACUCAACAAAGAGAUAAUACAACAGCUUACUUUUGGAGGUGAUCUUAUACGGUCUUUAUUAACAAACUAAUUAGCCACUUAAGCCUUUUUUUUUCCUUUUGGGACUACACAUGACAAAAUGAGGAGUGAAUCAGUCGCUUAAUAUCUAAAAUUUUCCCUCCAUAAUUAGUUCAACCUGAUUUAAGACUAAAUUUUUACUAUAGGAAUGUUCGUGAUUCAGCAAUGAAAGACCAUAUAAACUUAUUUUGGGAGAUUUGUCCUAGAAGACAAAAAAUGAGCAACCAAUCAGAAAGUCGUACUUACAUAUCAAAAUCGAUACAGUCUACUUAAUUCACCAGCUAUGUAUAUUUCAUCCAUUUUCACAUAAUAGAAAGAACAAUAAUGCAUGGCAUUAUCCAUCAUAAAUUGCUCAUAUAACAUCAAGAUAUCAUGGUGUGGACCUCAAAUGACUCGUCAUAUCUACUGGCUACAUUUUAAACAUAUCUUAUGGCCAGAAUGUUCAUCUUAUCAACUUAACGAGUUUAUUCAUGGUACCAUACCAUUAAAUUAAAAAAAUUUCCACGGUUUACCUUUUAUAGACGUCAAGGAAUAUAGCUGAUAACGCACUUUUGGCAGCAAGCUUCCUUCACCCAAUUAAAGAUUUUCGGAGCUUAAAGUUCAGCUCCUAAAGCUCUUCUCCAAGGCUCACCAACCAACAGAGAAAUUACUUUUAGCAAAGUUGUUAAAUUUUGGCACCAGGUUUUGAUGGCAUCUCGGCAAGAUUGGAAGAUUAUAUUGCGCUUCUAAGAUAAUGUUUAAAAAAGCUAUUUUAGUGAGGGCAUUAUGGUCAAUUUGCCCCUGAUGAUAUUGACAUUAGGUCCCAUCAACAUCAGAAGGGAGCUCAUUGCAUUAUUGGAUAUAACAAGGGUGCUAGUGAAAUUAUGAAAACCCUCAAGGAAGGUAUUUGAAAUUAACCCUAAAAUACUCAUUCCACGCAAGGCGUGGCGUUCCCCUCCUAGUUCCUAUAAAUAGGGCUGCAACUCAAUGCACUUAUCACUCGAUAUCAAUAAUUUAGCACAUUAUUUACAUUUUGAGUGAGAUUGUGAUCAAAUGGCAUCUUCAAAAAAUUUGCUCUUUCUUAUUCGUGUUCUUUUUGCACUUGUGCUCCUCAUUUCCUCUGAUGCAACAGCUGCAGGUGCCUAGUCCCUUUUUUUCUUUUCCUUUCUUCCUUUUUUUUUGGCUGCACCUAAAUACUUAAAUGAAUGGAGAUUUGGAGACUCAUUAUUGGAAUGUGAAUUUUUAUGGAAGGCUAUUUGUAUAUUAUCAAGCAAGUCAUAUUAAUGUGCUAAUAUCUUUUUCAUUGUUUAGCAAAAGUAAAUUUGGGUUGCUUCUAUCAAUGGUUAGUGGCACAUCUGAUUUUUCAUGCAUCCUUAUCGUAUUGCUGUAAGGAUACACGGUCCAUAGUGUCGCACCAAAGAUUAAACUAACGUCGAAAACCAAAUUAAAUGCUUCUAAUUAUAAUUUAAAGCAAAACAAUUUCCCUUAUAAAUGGACGAAAUUCCCUGCCAACAAAUCCAAAUUCAAGAAAAAAAUUUUCUUAAGGAGAAACUCUGCCAAAAUUUUCUUAAAAUAAAUAAAAUAUUUAAUUAAAAAAAUAAAGCAAAAUAAUUCAUAUCCAAGUCGCACCAUCUUAUAUGCCUAGACUGUUUUGUUUAAUCCAUAGUAUUCUUUUCUUUGCAUAUAUCUUGCAAAUUUUCAGCCUAGCCGGUCACCUAACGUUCGCAGCUUAAGAUAAAGCUCCAAAUAUUUAUGUCUCCUUGUGUCUUGAAACAGAUCAGAAGAGCGUGAAAACCACUGGUGUCCACGAUGCCAGUUCAGGCGAGGUUCAUCAGGAUAGCAAAAGCGAAGAUCGUUGCAGACAUGGUUGCUGCCACUGGUACCAUGGACACUGCCAAAGAUGCUGUCGAACUGCCGAGGAGACCCCUGAAGUCACAUCUGGAGAUGAGGAUACCGUAACCGCAGAUCGUUGCAGACAUGGUUGCUGCCGCUGGUACCAUGGACAUUGCCAAAGAUGCUGUCCACCUGAAGAUCGUUGCAGACAUGGUUGCUGCCACUGGGACCAUGGACAUUGCCAAAGAUGCUGUGCAGACAUGGUUGCUGCCACUGGGACCAUGGACAUUGCCAAAGAUGCUGUCCACCUGCUGAGGAGACCCCUGAACAUCGUUGCAGACAUGGUUGCUGCCGCUGGUACCAUGGACAUUGCCAAAGAUGCUGUCCACCUGCUGAGGAGACUUGCAGACAUGGUUGCUGCCACUGGUACCAUGGACAUUGCCAAAGAUGCUGUCGAACUGCUGAGGAGACCCCUGAAGCUACAUCCGGAGAUGAGGUCAAAAAUUAAUGCUAAAUAAAUAAGGCCGUGACACAGGAUCCGUGACACCUAUAUUAUUACCUUAAUAUGUUAUGUUGUGUUUGCUUUUAAUGGUUGAUUUCCUAUAUGUGUAAAAGACUUGUGCGGCUUCUCUUUGAAUUGAUGUAGAAUCAACGGGGGAAGCAUGUAAUGAGUACUCAGUUCGAGUGCUCUUCUUAUGUUGUUGUCAUGUUGAAUAAAUAAAUCUACUUGAUCAUCCACUACAAUUGAUGAUCUUCUUAUGUUUUUUUUCACUUUAUCUUCCUUCACGAUUUUUGGUGGAAAUGCUUCAUUUAUACGAAUUUUCCUAGUUAGUAAAUGCUUCUAUUACACUUGUACAAUACACAUUUAAAAGUAUAACACAACAAAAGCUUGUGUAGUUCAUAUAUUUAAAAAAUAUUCAUACUUUUCAACUAAACUAUAAAAAUACGUAAUAAAUUCUUGAUACAUUAUACUUUACGAACUAUACUUUAAAUUUUAAAAAUAUUUAAUAGUAUCACUUAUCAAUAACUCCACAUGUUAAUUUGUCUUCCAAUUCAGUAAAUUAUAGUAGCUAAUUCUCAAAGCUAACCGACACCAAAAUUCCCUUGUUGGAUUUAUAUUAAUUACAUUGCAUUUAUUUCCUAAGCAUGAGUUUUGUAACCCCUCAUAUUAAAUCUCAAUGAUUGAUUUUAACGGUUACCAAGGCGUCUAGUAAUUGGUUUGCUAUUAAUUUGAACUAGACAUUUAUUAGGUCAAGUAGAAUUUAUUCCGUCUUAUCACUUAGUUCAUAAACCUUACGAAUCGUUAAAACCAGCUCUAACAUUACCUAACAAGACUUCUACAAUUUCGGGUUUUGCUUAGAAAUCAGUCUGAUAGGUUAACUUGCUUCGUCCAACUUUAUGAGUUGCUUCUUCUUUUUUUCCCAUAUUUGACAUUUCAUCUUACUUUAAUAUGGGGACCAAGUUAGUAUUGUUGACAUUUCAUAUCUAAGACCUCUUAGUUAAUUGAUUUGUUAUAAGAACUAUAACGUAUGCGUGUUUUGUAAGCUUUCAUUUUUUUUUUUUCAAUUCUUGUGAACCAGCAACGGAUAGUUUCUUCUAGUACCAAGCUUCCUUUGAAGUUCUUUAUUUUUUUUUUGCGUGUCCAAAUGUAAAUUAAAAGAACCAACAACUUUGAACAAGUCUAUAUCUAGUAAAGAUAGAUAUAAAGAGGGAUACUAUAUCACUGCAACAAAAAAGGGAUUUGGCGAGGAGCAAAAGUCCACGCCAAAAGUUUUGACUUCCUGGCCAAUUAAUUUCAGCAAGAAAAAUGCUUCCUCGUCAAGUUUCUUGCUAGAUGCUUGUCGCUAAUAAGUUAUUAGCGAGGAUGCUGCUGCUUUUCUCGCUAAUGAAACAGAUCAAUAGCAAGGGUUGACCUCCUCGCCAAUCUGAUUCAAAUACUAUGGCGAGAAAAACUUUCCUCACCACUAAAGUUAAAAACUCCCCACAAAAACCAGUAGUUCCUGAUAAGUGACUAAUUUACAUAAUAAUUAUAUGAUAUUUUAUAUUAUUUUUAGUUACUUUAGUUAUAUUAUUGGAAGAAAAUGAAUCAUUUUGGCUAUAAUUGGUAAAAAAUGCUUUUAAGUGAUUAAAUGAGGUUUUUAUCACUUUUUAGUGGGAUUUCGUGCAUUUUGACAGUUUUGACACAUUUUUGUAUUUUGGCUAUAACUUGGGCUACAAUGAUCGGAUUGAGAUGAUUUUUAAACCAAUUUGAAGAUAAGAGAUAGAUCUACAACUUUGGUGAAGACAUUUGAAUCCAGUUUGAAGGUUUUCAAAGUCAAAAAGCUGAAUUACAAUAGCAAAUUUCUACUGGUCGAAGCUGAAACAGGGCAAUGAGCAGUCAAGGGUAUUUCGGUCAUUUCUCAGCCUAAACAGAUCCAAAUGAGGUGAUUCUUGAUCCAUUGGAAAGAUAAGUCAAAGGGCUACAAGUUUCAUGUUUUGGUCAAGAGCUAAAUCAGCUUUUAUCAUCAAGAAAAGUUCAGUGGAAGUUGAUGCAAAAUCGGAGCAGAGCUGGAAAUUGAACCAGAAGUGACCAAAUGGUCACUGUAGCAAUCCGGCCGGAAUUUGGCCGGAUUUGUGGCUAGAUUCCUGGCCGGAUUGUGGUCAGAAAAGGCUGUUAUGUACGCGUAAAACUCAAUUUCACCUCCACCAACUCACAUGUGAUGCUAGACUUGUGAGAAACAUUCCCAACUGUAAAAGAGAGGUGUAAACCUCAAGUCUUGACCAAUCUUUCAUCUAUAUAUAGCCAAAUUCAUUGCAAGAUUGAAGGAUAUAGAGAGACAUAUGGGAGAACUUGGAGAGUGCAGAAAUGUAGCUCUUUCAUCUUCCUAGUGUUAGUUUAGCUUAGUGCAGAGUAGUAUCGAUCAUCCAUUCUUGUAUCUUGGCUAGAUUAGGAUGAAGAUGGAGGAGUUGAAACUCAAGUGACAUGGGUUAUUUCUUCUCCAACUCUUUAUCUUUUGUAUCAGAUUCUUAAGUUUGGUUAAUAUACAAGUUCUGGAUUUUGUGUUUAUGACAGGUGCCGAACCUGUGCAAUAAUAAAUACCUGCUCAAACUAAAAAUAAUUUCUGUAGAUAGUGGUGAGCAGGGUCGAAUCCACAGGGACUGGGAGUAAUUGUUUCUUUCCAAAUUCACAGUGACAAGGGGGUGUUUUUGUGCAGAAAGUGACAAUCAAACAAAUUCAAAUAAAAUCUAAGAAACUACUAAAAAUUAAAUAACAAAUUACUAAAAUCAAAUGAAUGAUAAUUAAGAAUCUAGCCAAGGAAUAACUUCAGCAAUGGUUCACCUAAUUGAUCAUCGAUAAGCAAAGGCAAUUCUAAUUAUUUACUAAUAAAUAGGUUAUAACUACCAAACAAGCAAUGGCAGUCAAACCCUCCUUACUGUGUCGGUGAUCAAGGUACGCCCGUUAAUCACUGCUCUAAUUGAGAAAUAAUUCUAGGUACGCUCGUAGAAUUUAAUUCCCCAAUUGCCUUACGUAUUAAAGGAGCCCUAUUCUAACCAAAUAACGCACUACCAGGGUUAUUUUAGAUUAGCCCGCGUAUUCCCCUGACACAAACCUAAUCAUGCCAGUUGUCACUAUUUUAGAGCAAUUAAACAAUUACGGAUUUCACCCUAAUUGACAAUAGAUUAUCAAAUCAAUUAAUUAUCCGGAUCCAAGACAAUCAAUUAAUCAAAUAAUCAUAAGCACUGCAACCAAGGAAUAUGCGAAUAUCAAUAAAUAAAAGAAAAAGAUUAAAUUAAAUCGAUCUCACAAUUUUAGGCGACCCAAAACAUCCGUUGCUCCUUGACUAGAAAAAGGAAUUUAGUUCAUAGUUAAUGAACAAAAUCCACAGGAAAUAAAAACAAGAGUCGCGGCCAUGGUCUGCGUCUUGGAAAAGUCCAAUUCGCUUCAGGAAAGGAAAACGAGGCUACAAAAGGUGAUUGCUUGUUACUAAUUCUUCCUGACAUACGCAGGGGAAAGGAACUACUACCAACCAAAAGAAAAGUCAAAGCUCAAGACUAUACUACAAGACGAAAAAACUAAAGAAGACCAGAGGAUAGUGCUCUCCUCCUGCAAUCUUAAUUCCUAUUCUAUUUGCUACUCCUCCUGUGCGGCGUCCGCCGCACCAGAGAAAAAGAAGACUCUGAGGUUUGCUUUCCUUUCCCUUUUUCUAGUUGCUGUUUUCGGUCAAAAUUACCAAAAAGGUCAUGCAUCUCCUUGUUCCAAGAAUGCCCUUGAUUGCCUGCUAUUUGAACUCUUUCCCGAUGACCGUCAAAUUGGCCUUGAUUGUGCCAUUUUUAUUCUACUCCCUGAAAUAAAUGAAAAUUACGAAAAGUGAGUAGAAUCUAAUAAUUAAUUCACAUUGGGUUAAGUAAUAGGGGAAAUUAAUUAUAAAAUAAAUGAUAAAAUUACAACCUAUCAAUUCCCCCCACACCUAAACCAUGUUUGUCCUCAAGCAUGAGAACAAGAAACAAACACCAAUAUUUGAUAGUGGCUAUUGCUCUAUCCAACAAAUUGCCAAGAUACCAAGAAAAAUAAUAUUCAAGCAUCAAUGGUCAAGUCCAAGAAACAUCACUCCGGUUAGCUUCUAAAUCAUAAACUCUUCCAAUUUCAGGUUAACUAAUCUAAGAAAAAGGAAUGUCGCAUAACAUUUAUCAGCAAAUGGUCCAACUAUUAACCAAAAUCUCAACAUUAAAUCCAUAAUUCGGCAAGCUGACUUUUAUUACACACUAACACAACCUUGACUUUUUUUUCACGUUUUUCUACUUUUCUUCUUUUCUUUUUUUUUCCUUUUCUCAAUAGUAACAAAAGACUUAGUCGCUAGCCAUUAGAGCCUUUUGACGCGAACUCCAACAUUGGCCAGAUGAAGGAGCCCGGUUACUCAGCUUCUAUCGCCACGUGACCACGUACUCAUAGGAACUACUACCUUUUGACGCGAGAAUCAACACUUGUAGGUGCAGAUCCCCGGUUACUCAGUAGUAACUAAUAGCGGAGUACAGUCAAGUUUAUUCAUAGCUAAAAAUCACAAAAACUCAAUAUAACACAAGAACCAAAAGAAAACUUGCAUCAGCUAACCUCAUUUUCAAACAUGGAGAACUAAAGUUAAUAACCGGACCAAUUCACAUGAAAAUGCCAAUAAUCAUUCCCUAUGCCUAGGAAAGUUAACCAAAAAUUAUAAGAGUAAAACAAUCAUUGAUAUUCACCCAAGAGAUGUUUUUGGAUUACCACAUUAACUUGGUACCCCUUUAUUAUUAAAACUUGGCAAAAGUAGAAAUAGAAGCAAUAAUCCAACAUCAAACCCUGGCAUGCACUUACGAGCCAAUCACUAAAAAGAAGAAAAAAUGAACGAGAGGUGGACAAAUAACAAACUAAAAAUAAAGAACUAGUAUAGCCGUCCCCCCCACACCUAGAUUCUACAUUGUCCUCAAUGGAGGAAUUAAAGCAAUUAAAGUGAAGAGGACAACGAAACUUCCCUCUUUGAGUGGCCACGAGGUAGGCGGGGACGGUGGAGGAAACCAAUGUGGUGGAAGUACGCGCCCAAGUUCUGAGACAUCAUACUCAAUUCAACCAGCAAAUGCAAAACUCUGUCCACCCAAAAUCUCAACAAAUAGCUCCAGUUGGCCAGUUAAUGCCUUAACUCAGAAUCAGCAAUUUCAACAUUGAGAGUUUAGGUAUUUGACAAUAACAAUUCAGUCACAAGUUCUUGGCUGUCAAUUAGACAGCCAAUCAGAUAGAAUUACCAAAUCUAGUCAAAAUACCCCAACCAGUACCAUUGGUGCACCCCACAGAUAAUGAAGCAACUUAAAUGGCAAACCCAAUCAACAAAAUGUACAUGUGAGGCACCCAAGGUCUAUACAAAUGUCCCAACAAAGCAGCGAUUGCAAUCAAUAAUCAGUAGUGGUCCUAAUUUACUCAAAUGCAGAAUUAAUGCAGCCCAACAAUUCAAUUGGAUGUACCCAACCUUGACAAGCAAAGCAAGUGGCACAGGUUUCCCAAGUCAACAGGCAAUUCAGAGAUAACUCAACCGAAAUCACAGUAGAAACUUCAAUUAAAUACACUCAACAUGAAUAAGCCAAGCAAGUGUCAUAGAAACUCCCCAAUUCAACAAGCAAUCACAGUAUUUCAGCUCACCCAAAAACUCAACAAUUCCACCCAAAAGUUGAACAAAGGCCCCCAGCACUGACCCGUAGCAGGAGCCCCAAGAAGUGAACAAAUCAAGCAAUAGUAUUGGAAAACUCUGACAUUAACAACUGAAUCUCAAACUUCCAGCUUCCAAUCAGUUAGCCAAUAGAGUAGAAUUAAUCUAGUGGAGUCAAAACACCCAUAGAGUUGAUGAAACAAUUCUAACGGCUGACCCAAAGUAAUGAAAACUCCAACUUACAGUCAAAAGUAAACUCGGUCCAACUAAAAUUUCAACAAAUAUCCCCAGAAAUUUCAACAAAUGCUAUAGCAGAUCAAAGCAGUAGUAAAGCAAUAGUCCCAAGUAUGUACUAAUCCACCAGUUGGGAACCCCGGCCACUGAGGUCACAAACAAUGGUCCCAAAAAUAGCAAUAUUAACCAAUCAUCAGGAUGUGCCCAACAAUUAAACGAAAUUCUACCACCCUCACCAAGCAAAUCAAGCAGCACAGGCUCCCGAUUCAACAAACAAAAAAACAGGAUUAAUCAACUCAAAGUCCCAACAGAGAGUUCAAUUGAUUCCAAUCAUCAAUCCCAGCAACAUACGUUCCAAAUAAGCAAGCGGGUGUUAAGGAGAGGAGGUACCAAAUUUCAAUUUCAGUUACUCCACCAGUACCACUGGUGUAGCAAAUAAUGGAAGAGGAAUCGCACACGACCAAUACCAAAUCACCGGUAAACCAAAAUAACAACUAACACUGCCAACACUUGAGAAUCGUAACAAUCAAAACACAAGCAAAGCUGCCUCCCAAUGAGCAAAUGACAAUUCACAAAUCCAGCCCACCCAAAAACUCGACAAAUGUACCCAAAAGUUCAACAAAUAUUCUCAAGAGUAUGGCAAACUAGGAAUGAACGAGAUCUGGGUCAAAUAUCACAACCAGUACCACUGGUUUACCACACAAUUGAAGAAAUAACCCCCAACGGCCAACAAUACCAAUUAUUGAGAAACCAGACAGCACCAAUGAAUAUUAAGAAAUUGGGGAAUAAAUUCCAAAUACCUCCACCGAAGAGAGUAGCGUGCGAGGUUGGCUGGGGCUGUUGGCAGCGUCCAAGUGCUUCGGUGGCGGCGUUGGCUCGCGAUGGAGUUGCGACGGAGCUGGCUAUACGAGCAGAGAGGGACCAGCGAACUAGAGUGGCGCGCGCAGACAGCGGAGGGAACUUCAGCAGCGGCUGCGGUGGAGAGGCGGGUGAGCUGUGAUGGCGGCGCGAGGGAGAUGGGCGGCGCUGCUGCGGUGAGAUCGAGCUGGUGGUGGCGCAAUCUGGCGUGCGGUGGUGGAGCUUCGUGCGCAGAGCAGCUGGGUUGCGCGCGAGGUAGAGCUCGGGUGGAGGUGGCGGCGGUAGCUCACGGUGGAGCUGUGGGCAGAGUGAGGGCCGCAAGGAGAGAGAGAGAGAUGGGAGGGGUUGCGGUUGAAACGAGGGUCGGCGGCGUCGCGCGUCGAGGUGGAGUGGCUUGCGGCGCGACGCUGGUCGCGCGAGGGGGUGUCGAUAGAGCUAUGGUGGAGAGAGGGAGGCGCGCGAGGGAGUCUCGGUCGACCCAGAGGAGAACUGGGGAGAGGAAAGAAAGAAGGAAGAAGAAGAAAGAAAGAAAGAAAAAGAAGGAAAAAGAAAAGUUUUUAUUUUUUUUUUUCAGGGAAAGACUCCCCUUUUUUUUUUCUCCUUGUUACUUACUUGAAAAAAAUUUUUUUUUUUUAAAAAUUUUUUUUCAUAUAUCAUCUUUUUUUUUUAUUGACAAAAUUUAUUUUUGGAAUUCAAAAGUAGAGAUUAACAGGAAAUCAAUAAUCGUUCUUGAGUUUCUUUGAAUACUUACCUUUCCCAUGAACGUGACGCGGGCGCGUCAUGAGGGCAAGAGAGCUCCCAGAAGUUUCUGGUCGGGAGCUUCAUGCACGUCACCACGCGGGCGCGUCAUGACUGAAGGGCACCUAUAAAUCAGCAAAAACGAAAACUGAAACCCAAAAUCAGUCGAAUUCAAGGAGAGCACAUCUAAACUACCACACGAAAAUGAACAAACAAUUAAAAGGAACAAUUGGGUUGCCUCCCAAGGAGCGCCUUUCUUUAAUGUCUUUGGCUAGACAUUAUCGUGUUUUGCUCAUGGAGGAUAAAAUCUUGUGGCUCGUCUUACUGCUUCAUCCUCUAUAUAGUCCCGAUAACCCUCGUAAAUAGAAUAAUCCUUGAGCACACGAGCUACGGGCUUCCAUGGACUAGUGAAUGACGCCAAACGAGUCGAUGAUAAUUUACAUUCUCCAUUCGCUCCUCCCCCACUUGCAUUUAUUGGUUCAAGAUAUCUCACCAUCGCCACUCUUAAUUUAUUCCUGUCAUGAAAUUCAAAAUUGUCUGGUAUAAUAAAGUCAAUUUCGUUAACAGGAAUUGAAGAGUAAGAGUCAGGAGAAUAUUGAUGAAGGAGUGGAGGAGAUGUCACCGCAUUUGGAGAUUGUUCACUGGAUUCUUUCACUUGAAUGGGUUGCGGUUGGGGUUCCAUUUCUUCUUUUUCAGCUUCUUUUUCAACUGCAUCUGUAGAUUUCUCAUUUUGACACUCUUGCAUCUCCUCAUCACUAGUCAAGCAAAUUGCACUCUCACUUUCUUCUAGAUCAACAAUGGUUUUCGAGGGCAAUUCUUCCAUUUAAGAAGCCAAUUGAUUCAUUCUGGAUGUCAAUAGGCAUAGUUGAUCUGCCAGAUAACUCAUUGCAUCUUUCGUCAUCUCAUUCCUCAUUUGUGUCUCCUGUUGGAAUUUGUAUGUAUUAAUAAAUAAUUCACCCAAUUCCUGAAAAGACAUACCUGACAUGGACGAUGGUUGUUGAGACUCUUGCUGUUGAAAAUCCAUUGGCCCUGUUGUAUAAUCAUAACUGGAGUUAUCCCACCAUCCUUGAUCAUACCCGUUUGGAUUAGAGUUAUACCACGUUUGAGACCAGGGUGAAAAAUCUCCAUAAUUUUUGAGUGGGACACUCAGAUUAUCCUGAUAUUCGGGGCACAUACCUGUUGAAUGAUCCCUGGCAUAACAAAUUUUACAGGUUGCAGCAGCCAUUCUUUUUCUAAUAGAUUUUAGUGCCUCUGUAUAUGCAAACUCAGGAAAAAAACAAAUCUCAUCGCCUUGCCCGGAAAUAAAAUCCAAUACAUCACCAAAAUACGGAGUGUUAGAAGCCAUGAACUAUAUCAAAAAAAAAAUAAGAGAAAAAAUAAAUAAAAAAUGAAAACAAAAUGAACUCAAAAGGAAACAAAUUAAUCUGACACCAGUCCCCGGCAACGGCGCCAAAAAUUGACAGGUGCCGAACCUGUGCAAUAAUAAAUACCUGCUCAAACUAAAAAUAAUUUCUGUAGAUAGUGGUGAGUAGGGUCGAAUCCACAAGGACUGGGAGUAAUUGUUUCUUUCCAAGUUCACAAUGACAAGGGGGUGUUUUUGUGCAGAAAGUGACAAUCAAACAAAUUCAAAUAAAAUCUAAGAAACUACUAAAAAUUAAAUAACAAAUUACUAAAAUCAAAUGAAUGAUAAUUAAGAAUCUAGCCAAGGAAUAACUUCAGCAAGGAAGCGCUUGUAUCACGUUAUUCAUGUGACUGGAUGGCUUAUAUCUUGUAUAGUUUAGAUUUGGACUCAUUUGUGUAAUAGUUGGGCCAGUGUGACUGUUUGGAAUUGAAGUGGAUGUAUGUGUACGUUCCACGCUUAGAAUUAGUUUCCGCUUCGCUUAUGAUAUGUUAAUUUGAGGAACAUUUGAUGUAUAUUUGGGAUGUAUAUUGUAUUUGAAUUGAGGAUUGUAGUGAGUGAGUGAGUCCGGCGAGAGCUGGGCAGGCGGUCCGCCGAACUCUUUGGUUCGCCUUAGGGUGAGGUGGGGCCGUCACAGUUGGUAUCAGAGCUUAGGUUUCCGAUCUCUGUAGUGUAUCCUAGGCUUCAAGUUUAGGAUGCCGGACGGGUCUGAUGAAAUAUCAGUGAUUUCUUGUAGGAAUGAAAAUCAGACAAGUGGGAUUAGGCUUGCUUGGAAAUGGUUGUUUGACUUUUGCGGGAUCUCUUGACUUGAUUCGUACAAGUUGGAAUGUCGAGGACGACAUUCUUUUAAGGAGGGGAGAUUGUGAUACCCGAAUUUUAGGACAAUGUUUUUCCCUCUUCUUUUAAAAUUUCGAUUUCUUUCUUUUGUCUUGUUUUAACACAUUGUUUUUUUAAUUGGACACUUUAAAUUUAAAUCAAAACCUAGUUUUUACUUGUGAUUAACCGUUUUCUCAAAUUUCUCAUAUUUCAACCGAAACCCUAAAUUCAAUUUAUGGAAUUGUAAAAUCCCUCACGUUUUUCUUAAAAAUCCCCUUUUAAUUGGAAAUUAUGAUUUUAUAAUAGCCCUACCACCCAAUCACCCCAUAAUAAGUGCAAAUGAACAUGAAAGUAAAGGUUUUCCCUUUUCGUUUUUAAAUUAGCGCGAAUUAGGGUUUUCACGUUUUUCCGUAGUGUGACUAUUAGGUACGGAGUGAGGAUCAAAAUUGGUGAGUAAAAGCGACUUUUGAAUGCGAAAAAUAUUAUAUGAUUAGAAGUGAUAAUAAUAAGUUAGUGAUUUUAAGUUAAAACUCUAGUAUACGCGAUUAAAGUAUUUCCUUGACUUAGUAUUAUUUUAUUUCGCCACAUACUUUAUCUCCAAAUAUUAUUUUUCAUGUGGUUAGGACUUUACAUGAGAGUUAAGGGUGAUAGUAAGAUAAGGGAAAGAAUUGGAGGAUAGGAGCAUGAUUUGGCAAAGAUUAGUGAGAGAAUGGCCAAGAUGGUGCCAAGUGGCAAGACACCAACCAUGCAACUUAUUUGACCAAAGAAUUUGAUGAAUUAAAACCAUUUUUUUGCUCCAUUUCCUUCAUAAGCUGGCCGGCCAUCUUGGAGCAGCAAAGGAGAAGAAGAAACUCCAUUUUCUUGCUUUUUACUCUUAGUUUAAUCUUAGGAAAAAAAAUCAAAAGUGAAGGAGUGAGUUAGUGAGUGAAAUCCAUCCAACUCUAGUGUGUGAUCUUCAAGCCUUGAAUUUUUGGUUGGUGGUAGUUUUGGGUGACUUAAUCAACUUGUAAGAGAGGUAUGUGAUCUUUAAUCCUUGCUUUUAUGGUGUUAUAUUAAGUAUUUAAAGGUUUGAGGCUAAACUAGAAGUUGUAUGGAUGCUUCCUAUGGCUAAAUCUCUUGAAUUAGUGAAGUGGUAGUUGGGUUGGUUAAGUGGCCUACCAUGUGUUUGAUUAAUUGUUAAAGCUUUGGUUAAGUGGCUCCCAAACCAACUCAUUUGUCGAGCUUGAUCACUGGUUGACCCUUGAGAUCCUGAGCCACGCAGCUCGCUUCUCUUAAAGGAUCCCACAUAGAGAGGCCAUGAGUCUCAGCUCAAGUCACGAGCAAUAAGUGCUCUAAAAUAUUUUUUUCAAGCAAUAAAUGCUUUAAAAUCGUAGUUCAAGCAAUAAAUGCUCUAGUUUAAGCAAUAAAUACUCCCAAAUUGCGUCACAAGCAAUAAAUGCUCCGCAAAUGUUUCACAAGCAAUAAAUGCUCCAUAACAAAUCACAAAAUCAUAUUUCACAGGUAUCAAUAGUAACUAAGGGGUUUUGAUCGAGUGCGAUAAAGUACACCCUCGCCUAAGUGCUCAUUUUUCAUAGUAAACUCAUAUUAGUAUUGAGUUACACAGAAACCCUGAUUACUCACCUAAAGAGCAAGUAUAACGAGAGAAAGUACGGAAAUGAAUUCAAGUCGUCAGUUAGUGGGCCCCACCGGCUCCGUCUAGCCCGUCACCGCCUGUAGCAGAAGGUUGAGCCAUAUCAUCACACAAACAACUACUAAAGUGCAUAAAUUAAGCAAAACGGCAAAAUUGGCACAUGCAUGUGCGGAAUCGGCAAACAGAAAUGGAAACGGCCGGCAAACGAAAAUGGGCAUAGUUACUGUCCCAAACUGUUUUGACCAUAAGUUGGGUUAGGAAUGUCAGAUUAAAGUGUAUGAGAUACCGUUGCGAGGCUAAGAGGAAGGGCUACAAUUUUCAUGAAGACACCUUAAUCUCGAUCUGAAUGGUAGCAGGUCGAAAUUAUGGAGAACAGUACCAGAAGUUUGCACUUUAGGGUGACGGACAAGGUAUGUUUGCCGAACCAUAACUCACAGCUCACAAACCCAAAUCAAGAAAUUCCCAAGGAAUUGGAAAGCUAAGACAUAAGGCUAAAACUUUUAUGUUUUGGCCAAGACCUGGAUCAACUCAGAACAGAAUGAAAAAUGAGUGCCAAAUUACCUGUCAGAACUGUCCAGUGUUCAAGGCAGUUCUGACUCACGAUCUUGUUUUGGCUAUAACGGGAGCUACGAAGCUCGGAUUUGGACGCACUUUAUACCGUUUUGAAUCUGAAACAAAGCCCUACAUUUCUUAUGAAGACACCAACACCCAGUUCCAUCGUUAUCCAUGCGAACUAAGCAUGGUCAGAAGCUAAUUUACAAAAUGUGACCAAACUAGAAUUUGAAAGCUGAGUGAGGGUUUUGGCUAUAACUCAGCCUACACACUUCCGUUUGAAAUUUUCCGUAUUUAGCUACAAUUUACGCACUAAAGCUUCAUUCUAGACUAUCCCAAGCCAUCAUCCAUGGCCACACAAUUUAAAACAUAUAAAAACAGAAAAAUCAAGAAUAAAUAUAAAAUUCAUCAAAGCUUCACUUCCAACCAUAACACACCAUAAAUCAUCUUAUUUAUCCACCAAUGCCACUAAUUUACCACUAUUAAGAACAAAGAGAGGAUUUCCUCACAACUCACCUUACAACUUAAGAAAGAUAGCAACUUAGCACUCCCUCUUGCCAAAUCACUCCACCAACCACUUCAAUACCACUUAGCAAAGGGAUUUUAUGGAGAGUUUUGGAGUAUAAACGGUUAAGUUGUGAGAUUGGGCAAGAUUAAGAAGAAGGAAGUUGGAGAUUUUUUUUCUCUUUCUUUGCUCAAGAAGUUCGGCCAAGGGGAGGAAAAAAAUGAAGAUGUUUUUAGUCAAUUUUUUGGUUAAAUGGUAAAGUAAGAAAGUUGGUCAAACCAUCCUCAAGUCACAAGGUGACACUUGUCACCCCUUUUUGUUUGAACUUAUCCUUUUGUCUUCCAAGGUUAAUCCCUCUAUGCAUCCUCUAAUUGGCUCAUAAUACCAUGUAAUAUAAGCUCUGUCUAUAUAACUUAACCUAAUUGGCCGCAUUUUAUCAAACUUACCGCACUAGUGGGUCCCACAACCGGUAUACGCUCUUAAUUUCUCAAAAACUAAUUAAUACUAGAAAAAUAAUUUUAAACUACAUUUACUCAUAAAAAUUAUCUAGAAAAUUUUCCUAAUAAAGAAAAUAUAGAAAAGGCAUGCAAUUAAAUAAAAUAAAGUCUAGAAAAUAAGAAAAUCCGCGGGUUCUCACACUCUCUCCCCCUUAAAAGAAUUUCGUCCUCGAAAUUCCUUAUCAUCGCCUUCUCCGGGAUACAAAAAUUUUACUACUUCCUUCUCACGAUUAAAUUGAGCAUCAUACUUAGCUAUCACUGGCCAGGCUCAUUAAAUUCUUUGGUAUAGUUUCUUCUUUCUUCCUAAAUUGUAAUUCUGAUAUACCAUUCUAAUGGGCAAACGGUGGAAUACCAGAAUCUUACCUUCCACGUCCUCUAAUGGGUCAGAGACUUGAUGUUGUUCUAAGGAGUACACCCGAGCUGACACUUUCGAUCCAUUCUUGUCCCCCUUCGACUGGUCAGGGUUGGUCGUGGUUGGCUGUUGGCUCCUACUCCCUUCUCGAGAUUGGCCUGGGCAACUUGCGAUUUGAUGAUCUGCGUUCCCACAACGCAGACACUUUCUUCCUUUCUUCCAGCAGACAUCCUCCGUGUGAUUCGACUUCCCACAGUACCCGCAGGGACCACGAGAAGCGGAGACUAAGCCUCUCUGUGAGGCACCACUUGAUAUCCUCGGUAAUUGUACUCCCCCGUUUCCCCUUCCAAUCUUAGGAGGCGUACCCUUAUCCCCUUGCUCUGAGCUACUUCCAGGAAAUCCCCUUUUCUUAGCUUGAAAGUUUCUAACUUGAAAUCUCGCGCUUUCAACUCGUUGAGCUUUCUCCACCGCAUCACUAAAGGUAUUGAGUUGGGCUACAGCCAGGUCCUUCUGAAUCUCAACGUUUAAUCCUUGGACAAAACGCCUUAUCCUCAUUUGCUCAGUCACAAUUAUCUCGGGAGCGAACUUGGACAACCUGGUGAACUGGCUCUCAUAUUCGGCGACGGUUUGAGUUCCCUGGCGGAGCCUAAUGAACUCAUCUUCUUUCUUUUCCUGGAUCAGAGGUGGAAAAUACUUCGUGUUGAACUCUCUCAUGAAAUUCACCCACGUCCUUGGGGUUUGUUCUCUUUCCCAUUUCAGUCUUAUGAUAUUCCACCAAGAACGGGCUGCUCCCUCCAGUUGGAAGACAGCAAAUAUGACCUAUCGCUCCUCAGUAUAAUGUAACGUGGUAAAUAUAUCAAUCAUCUUCUCUAGCCAUCUCUCGGCCACGUCAGGGUCUGGUCCUCCCAGGAAUUUCGGUGGCGAGAACUUCUGAAAUCUUUCGAGAGCUUUAUCCUCACCCUCUAUGUGAUUACCAGGGUUUCCCGACUGAUGAUUAGGAUUUUGGCCCUGAUGUUCUACUACGUGAGCCAAAAGGUCAGUCAUACGUUGGAUAGCAGCAGCCACUUAAAUGCUAGGAUCCAUUCCAGGUGUUGGUUCCCAGUUUUCUCCUUCAUUUGAGAUUCCACGCCUCCGGCCCCGUCCACUACGAGUACCCUCCAUUUGACUUAACCAGUCUAGGGUUGAAGCGCGAAUACCAUAUUAAAACAAAGUAUGCAGGUACAAGUAAUUAAAGCAGACAUUAUACAUAUAGCAUAUCUUUAGCAGAUAAAUCACACAGUAACAGUCAGUCAGAUACAAGCAGAAGGAAUCGCAUGAAAGUCAUUAAAAGAACUAUAUACUAACUAGGCCAAUGGUACACAAGCGACCAACCAACAGCUUUCUCUCUCUAGGCUCCGUCCACAAUCAUCCCUAGGCAGGGUCAAUCAUCCUUAAUGAUACCCUAACAUAUCAUAUCAAGUUCCGUAGAAUCAGAUUUCUAAUUCGCCCAAGUCAUUUCUAACUACGCUUUCAUCCCUUUUCGUAUUCAGGCACAAGAAUCCAAAAUAAGAUAAUUCACCACUCGAACUGGCCAGUCCCAAAGUAAAUCAUCUACAUUUGUAAUUCCUACCUGACAUACGUAUCUAUAGUCUCCAAGUACCAGAAUAAUGUUUUGAACCCUAUAAUACACCGUGAUUCAUAGCUUAUGCUCAAAAGAGUACUUAGUCCCUUAAACUCAUUCACAUGAGCGAGACCACAACACCACUUGGCUCCAAGCUCACUCUACGCAGAGACCACACGAAGCGGCUCUGAUACCACCUGUGACAGCCCCACCUCACCCUAAGGCGAACCAAAGGGUUUGGCGGACCGCCUGACCAGCUCUCGCCGGGACUAUGGAUCCGAAACAGACAUAAACCCUUCCAAACGCUCAAAGAACUUCAAAAGGUAACAUCCAGAACCAAAUGAGCCAAAGUAAAAGAUACAAUCAAUCUUUGGUACAGCAUUCCCACGAAAAUCAAAACGAAAUGGAAGAGCCGCCGCUACAUCACAAUCCAUCCCAGUACCAGUACACUUUGUUAGAAUGUACGUGCCCAAAUAUAUGUCACAUAAACAUGAGGAAACACUUCAAAAUAUACAUAGUAGUAAGUUUACAAACCAAAAGGAAACAUUGUAUUAAGAUACAUUUAGGGUUUCCAACUUCCACGGAGCUAUACAAAAGGGUGUUUAUACAAGCUUAAUUCAUUCUUCAAAAUGAUCAUUGGUCCAAAAGAUGGUUCCCUGUAAGGAAAACAAGGAUAACGGGACGGGGUGAGCUAAAAGCUCAAUGAGGUACCAAAAGUAUAAACGGUAGGAACAGUAGAACUCAUGAAAAAUCACUUUUAAGGCACAUAUUCACAUCAAAUACAAGAGAUGAAAGAACACCACAAUGUAAAGGAUACAGGUGGCUCUCAGGAGCCAAAUCCCCGUUGCAAUACUUGAUCCAGCCUCAUUGACCCUCCGUCAACGUUCAAAUGAAGGAACCAGUCCCGUAGAACACCACUUUAACGCCAAAAUCCCGUUCACCAAACAUACCCCUUACCGGGCUCGAACGCCAAACAGGAACAGGAAUGGUAAUACUCGAGUAUACCGGAAUCAAGAGUCUUAAUACCCAAAGAUUUCCCAGGAACAGGCACCCAUGGAUUGUCAAUUAUCUCGACCAAACCCUUGCUAGCUCGAUUUAAUUAACUCCCCAUGAGGUUGAGCUCAAGUUAAUAGGAAAAUCGUUGGACACACUUCCAAAUGAUCUCAUAACAAGCGCAAGUAACAAGUUCAAGUUCAUAACAAGUACAGGUAAGAGAUUCCAGGUCAUUCAGUUCAGGCAAGAGAAUGAGUGUGAUAAAGUACACCCUCGUCUCAUUCAGAAUAACAGAAUUCAUAGUUAUCCAUGUCACACAUUUCAAGUAUAGAUGAACCAAUCAAACAACAAUUCAGGGGAGUGGUACACUCACCUAUUAAGGCGAAAUAACGUCCAGAAUAUCUUUCCGGGUAACACUUUCAAUCACCGAUGAACCCUAAGGUUAAUCAAGAGAAAAUAUUACAGUUCCUCCAGCAAAAGUUAGGUGAAUCGAAGACAAUUCAAAUACUACAAGUAUUUUGGACAUAUGAUUUUGGAAGUGAAAAGAGUACAUUUAAACCAAAGGACAUGAGUAAAAUAUUUGGAAAACUCAUGCUCACUCGUAAAACUUUGAAAUAUCCAUUUGAGUCGAAGAAAUGAAGAAAACGUAUUUCUCUUAGUCAUAAAUUUCAUUUUUUCCAAGUGUACAAGUUUCGGCCAGAUUCGACCAUAUAUACAUCGAUAAAAGAGGACGCAAAUAUCCUAGAUGGUUCAUAUGGUAUUUGCUCUCAAAUCGUUACCUAAUCCUCGAGUGUAAAUUUGGGCAGCACGCCCUUUGUAUUUACCUAUUUUCCAGCCACUUAUGGCUUCAUUAUUUUCCUCAAUCAAUCCAAAGUCAUACACAACAUAAAUUCAUCACAACAGCCGUUCAAUAGGCUCAAAGUCAUCCAAGUACAAGAUUUAGUUAGGAAAAUGACCGGAAAUAAGCUUUAAGCUAAGGAACCAAAAAGGCAGAUUCGCCGCUACUUAGCGUAUCCGACAUAACCGAAACUACGCUUAUUGGAUUGAAGUAAAAAUUAUACCGUUUCGAAGCUAAGACAGAGGUCUAUAAUUUUGAUGAAGACUACUUAGUCCAGUUCUCAUUCUAACUAGGUCAAAGUUACCAAAACAACCCCAGAUUUUCCAGUUCGAAGCUCACUGUGAAAUUCAACUAGCAGUCCUGAUUCAUUCAAUCAUAUCUCAUCACAAACAACUCCGAUUCAGGUAAUUCCAAAUCCAUUUGAAAGCUAAGAUACAAGGCUAUAAUUCUUAAGAAGACAUCGACAACCAAAUCAGUAGUAUUCCUGGUCAAACUAACCAAUUACAGAAGCUGAUUAUCAGUUUCGGAUAGAAACAGGGAAGCAGGGGUAUUUCGGUCUUUUCAUAGGCUACAGAGGUCGGAUUGGGCUGAAUUUUGCAGGAAACUAUAAAACAUCAUUCUCUAAAACUUUCAUGUUUUAAUCUAAGCCUGAUUCGGCCUCUAACUAGGGUAACAGUACCGGCAAAAUAGGGGAAAUUGAAACCCUAAUCUGGAAUUUUCCGCACAACAUGGAAAUUUUCCGCAUUUAGCUACAAUUUACGCACUAAAGCUUCAUUCUAAACUAUCCCAAGCCAUCAUCCAUGGCCACACAAUAUAAAACAUAUAAAAAUAGAAAAAUCAAGAAUAAAUAUAAAAUUCAUCAAAGCUUCACUUCCAACCAUAAACACACCAUAAAUCAUCUUAUUUAGCCACCAAUGCCACUAAUUUACCACUAUUAAGAACAAAGAGAGGAUUUCUUCACAACUCACCUUACAACUUAAGAAAGAUAGCAACUUAGCACUUCCUCUUGCCAAAUCACUCCACCAACACACUUCAAUACCACUUAGCAAAGGGAUUUUAUGGAGAGCUUUUUAUGUGUGCACGAGCCUCGCCCACGCAAUGACCCAGUCCGAGUCCCAUUCGACCCAGUCACACGUGCACGGGCCAAGCUCUUCAAAGAAUCACUCCAAGCUCUGGUUGGAGUUGUCCAAGACCAACAUGGAGUUCACAAAGAUAUUGAGGGUUUGGAGAGAGACAAUCGAGUCAUUUACACCAUGAUCCAAGCCCAUGAGGAGUCAAAGCGGGCCACCAAGAGAAUAAGGCCUUAGGCCCCAUCAAUUAGUUAGCAAUUAGUUAAUGAUUAAGUAAGAGCAUGGGCCGGCCCAUCUUGUUCCAAGAGCAUGGGCCAAUUUUUUCCUUUUCCUAGCCCUCUAGGGUUUUAGUCACUUUAGCCUAUAAAUAAGCUUGCUUUGUAAGGUUUAAGGGGUCAGAACUUUCAUCAAUAAAAUUGUUUUAUUUUCGUUCCUUCUUCUAAGAAGAGUGUUCGAGCCUUUUACUUGCUUUGGCAAGGGUUUUGAGCAAUCUUGCGUCUCGUCCUAGAUUGUUCUACCGACCUAUCCCGUGGAGUAGCCACCUUCAUUGGAGUCGUCGUUCUAACCGUCUUGAAUCAAAUCGUGUCGUCCGUUUGGUUCUAGAUCCCGCAAUUCAAGCGUUGACAACCUCGCUAGAUCCUUGGGCAAACGUGCUACGUGUCUCGAAACAAGUUGAUCGAGAAACGUAUCAGUUGGCUUCAGAGCUUAGGUUGAGGUAUCUUUCGUUAUACCCAUUGUUUUUUUGGUUAGUUUUCGUGUUUUCCGCUGCCUUGUCUUACAUCAAAAAAAAAAAAUUCUGUUCGUUUAAGUUGUUAUUCUUGUUGCACCGUUUUCGUUAAAAAAAAGGAGAACAAAAUUCUGUUUGUGUCGUUUGUGUUCUUGUCGUUGAGUCUUGCUUUAAUCUGUCCGCAAUUUUGUUCUUGGAGUCGUUGUUGCGUAACAUUCUGGCCGUAAGUGUUGCUCCUUGUUUGUGUCCAAUCUGUCCGUAUCUGUGUUGUGUCCCUUCAAAAAAAAAAAAAACAGCAAAACAGAAAUUUCUGUCCGUUAGUUGUUUCUUCCAUUGUAGCGUCGCGUAUUGUUCCAAUGCUGUCCGCAACUUGCUUGUUGUGUUGCAUCGUAGUUGUUUGCAAAUCUGCCCAAAGUUCAAGUCGCGCGUAGUGGAUACCCCAAUCUGCCGUGGUCAUCAAGGAACAAAAGUUCUAGGGGGCGGCUAGGGUUUCUAUCCUUGCGGCUAGGGUUUUGUUGUUUGUCUCAAAUCUGUCCAAGUGUUAUGUGUUUCGCCCAAGUUGUUUUUAGUUAGUUUUCUAAACUGAUUUAUGGUUUAAAACUGGUUGGUGUUGUGAAUCUUGAAGGAAAAUUACAAGAAUUCUAGGUUUCUUGAGUUUCUUGAAAUUAAUCUUGAAGCUCUUGAAAGUUCUUGAUAAGAUCUUGGAGUUUGGGGCUGACCAGAUUUGAUUUUGUUAUUUCGGCCAAGUUGUUGGAUUGUUCUUGGGUUAAAAAAAAAAGAAAAAGAAAGGAGAAACGGAAGAGAAAAGAGAAAGGCAGUCGGGUAGCAAGAAAACCAAGAAGGAAAACCGCACUUUCUAUUGCCCAAAUCUGUCUUAUUGCAUCUUAUACCACCCAAACCAGAAAUUACAUCAAGAAGGAGAAAAACAAAACAAAACAAAAAAGAAAAGAAAUUCAAAAGUUUUGACCUACUCUUCUUGAAAUUCUUGAUCACUUGAACAACCCUUUCUUGAGGUUCUUGAUCAUCUUGAGCCUUAAAGACUUGCACCUCCCUUCGAAUAAAAAGUUUUUUGUACGCUCUCGCAUCCAUACGUGGUUUUCUUGGCUUAGGAAUAAACUUCUGGGAGGAGCCUUGAGCAACUUGUGGGAGUGUAGUUUGCGUAAGGUCGCUUGAACUUUCUUGCCGCGAAGCCAUAGCCAAAUCUGUCUUGGUUAUCUAGUGAAGAAAGAGGGCCGAAUUACCUUGUCUUGAGGGAGGAAAGGGGGGCGGAUUUGUUGAGAAGAGAGUGCGGCUGGAGAGAGGAGUUUUAAUAAGAGAAUAGCCGACCUUGUGAGAGAAUUUUGGAGAGAGAAAGCUGGAAAUUUUCGGUUGGCAUAAGGGGACUCCAAAUCUGAUUUGCUAGCCUACUUGGGAGGGGAUUUGGAAGUUUCCAAAGGUUGUGCAAGAAAGGUUUUCCAAAGAGUUUUCAAAACCAACUUGUUUUCCAAAUCAAUUUAGGAAACUAAGUAAAAUACUUGGAUAGCUCCUUGUUCCGCUUGGACACUUCCCUAUUUUAUCUCUUUGCUUUAAGGAACCAUCCCUACUUUCCCUCCUAUGUUUUAGGAACCACUCCUACAUCUUAGGAAAUCUAGGGUUUCCUUCCUUAGCAAUAUUUCCAAAUCUUCCCGCCGCCCAUAACCUCUCAAUUUUCGUCCACUCCAUCUACAAAUCUCACCCGAAUUAAGUCUUGCAUUCUUGAAAACUCGUGUGGAUACAUUGGUGACGAUUAUUGGACUUGAGUAAGAUUUCUCAACUACCUAAUCCAACAGGUAAAGGUACUUGGUAAGUCUACUAAGAGUGUUUUGAGUGCUAUAAACGAGCGUGAGUGAUACACUAACGGAGUGAAGUGAGGACACAUUUGUACUAUUCUUUGUACUACUAACCUUUUGCAGGGCGUAAGGAGAGACAUGGAGCAAGAUCAACAACCACCUUCCAAAGACUAUUCUCUGUUGUUCACCGCCAUGAGGCAUGAGCUCAAACGCAUUAGUGAGCAACAAAUGGAGGAGUUGCACACCGCGGUUUGACGAACUCGCCAAGAGUCUCACCCCAGGCUCUCGUUCUGGAUCACGCAACCGGAGUAGCCGUGGCCUCAAAGGAGCACCCAGUGAGAACUACUCCACCAGUGAAUACGACGAGCAACCCGAGAAGCCUCGACGGGACAUGCCUAAGAACGAACUCAAGGGGCUUAAGAUUCAAGUCCCCGCAUUCAAAGGCAAAAGUGACCCUGAAGCUUACUUGGAGUGGGAAGGCCGUAUCGAGAUGGUCUUCGACUGCUACGAUUACAGCGAGGAACAAAAGGUUAAAGUUGCCACCGUGGAGUUCACCGACUAUGCACUAGUCUAGUGGGACCAAGUAAGAACCCAUAGGAGGAGGAUGGGCGAACCACGUUUCCGGACUUGGCGAGAACUCAAGGCACUGAUGCGCAAGCGAUUUGUUCCUAGCUACUACAAUCGCAAUCUCCACUCUAAGCUUCAAACCCUCACUCGAGGCAACAUGAGUGUGGAAGACUACUACAAAGAGAUCGAGAUGGCCAUGAUGAGGGCCAACAUUCAAGAGGACAAUGAAGCCACGAUGGCUAGGUUUCUUAGAGGUCUCAAUCCUGACCUUCAAGAAGCCUUGGAGCUCCAACAUUACUUGGACAUGCACGACCUUCUAGAACUCGCUAUUAAGGACGAGCGGGGGAAGAAAUCAAGACGAGGAGCACGAACUUUCCAAUCUUCUAACACCACUUCAUGGAGGGGCAACCAACCACGAAGAGUGACCCACGAAGUUGGAAGUGCAGCGACACAAACCUCUUCUAACCGAAUCCAAGGUAACGCCUCUAACCGCAAUUCCUAUUCUACCCCUAACAAGGUUUCCGAUCCAUCCAGGUCCACUUCGAAGGCACCGCAUGAGACUCCUAAGACUAGGAGUAGGGACAUCAAGUGCUUCAAAUGCCAAGGGUUUGGACAUAUUCAGUCUUAGUUUCCAAACCAACGGGUCAUGCUCAUCACUCACAAUGGCGAGAUCGUGUCUGAUGAUGACGAUUGUGAGGAGAUGCCCGAAUUGGUCAAAGACGACUGCCUGGAAGAAGAGUCAGCUGAGGAGGAUUGCUCGCCUACCUAAGGAGAAGUAGGGUGCUUGGUGGCACGACGAGUGCUAACAGCCCGAGUUAAGGAGGACGAGCAACUGCAACGCGAGAACCUGUUUUACACCCGCUGUAAGGUAGGAGACAAGGUGUGCAGCCUCAUCAUCGACGGUGGGAGUUGCACGAAUGUGGCAAGCCUACUCAUGGUUGAGAGCUUAGGGCUCCCCACUACUAAACAUCCACACCCUUAUCGCCUCCAAUGGCUGAGUGAGGAUGGAGAGGUACCGGUCUUCAAGCAGGUACGCGUUCUGUGACAGCCCCACCUCCCCCUAAGGCGAACCAAAGGGUUCGGCGCGCCUGCCCAGCUCUCACCGGGACUACGGAUCCGGAACGAGCGUAAACCCUACCAACCGCUCAAAGAACUUCGAGAAGAUAACAUUCAUUGUCCGAAACCCAACUAAGCACAACAACUUUAGAUAACCCUAGAAAAAACAUUUCCAAACCCAAUCAACUUAGGAACAUGGUUAAACACUUUUAUAUACACAUGGUUGCAAAUUUACAAUUCAAAAGGGAAUUGUUUGGUUAAAAUACAUUUAAGGUUUUCCAACCAUCGAGGAGCUAUACAAAAGAAUACUAAACUAGCUCAACUCAUGCUUCAAAACAUCAUAGUCUUCAAAAGGUGAUUUCCUGUAAGGAAAACAAGGAUAACGGAACGGGGUGAGCUAGAAGCUCAAUGAGGUACCAACAGUAUAAACAGUAGAUCAGUAGAAUUCAUGUGAAAGCACUUUGGAGGCACAUAUUCACAUAAAAUACGAGAAAUGAAAGAAUAUCACAAUGUAAAGGAUACAGGUGGCUCUCAGGAGCUAAAUCCCCGUUGCUAUACUUGAUCCAGUCUUGUUGACCCUCCGUCAACGUUCAAAUAAAGGAACCAGUCCAGUAGAUCACCACUUUUACGCCAAAACCCCGUACACCAAACAUACCCCUUACCGGGCCCGAACGCCAAACAGGAACAGGAAUGGUAAUACUCGAGUAUACCGGAAUCAAGAGUCUCAAUACCCAAAGAUUCCCCCAGGAACAGGCACCCAUGGUUUGGCAAUUAUCUCGACCAAGCCCUCGCUGGCUCGAUUUAAUUAACUCUCCAUGAGGUUGAGCUCAGGUUUAACAGGAAGGUCGUUGGAUACUCUUCCAAACGACAUCAUAACAAGUGCAAAUAAAAAGUUCAAGUACAUGACAAGUACAAGUAAUAGAUUCCAGUUUGUUCAGUACAGGCAAGAGAACGAGUGUGAUAAAGUACACCCUCGUCUCAUACAAGAUAAACAGUCAGGAAAGACAUUCAACUAGCAAUUGGCAAGUACAGGAAACCAAUUUAGCAAUAAUUCAGGGGAGUGGUACACUCACCAGUUCAAAUAAGGAUAACUUCAAAAGUUUCCUUCCCAAGUGUGGCUUUAAUCGUCGGCACCUCCAAGAACAAUCAAGGCAAACACUUAAGACUCUACUCCAAGACCUAGUAUGAAAUUCGCAAGUGAGACUCGGUUACGAGCCAUAUGCCUAGUCAAAAGAACCAUUAACGCAAAGCAAAGAGGUGACCUCGGAGUGAAAAGGUAACAAUUAGUCUUAAAAGCAUGAACAACCUCAAAGCCCUACCUACAAUGACUGACCAAUUCCAAAUUUGAAGUAGAUAAUGAAAGCAAGAUCAAUACUAGGAAAACAGGAUUUUUCAGUUUCGCGCAACCCUAUAUGAAAAAUCAUAUCUCAAGUUUUGUAAGUCCAAAAUUAGUAAAAGUUAUACCGUUGGAAAAUACAUUCAAAGGGCUCUAACUUUCCAGAAAACAUCCUUAUAAGAUUCAGAACGCAAAUCAGUCAAAUUCAAGCUUCAAAUUGCUGCUUUAUCCAGUGAAAGACAGAACAGGUACAAUAUUUCAGUCAACUUUAGUUUUUGAGAAAUUAAGAGCGUAUACCGGACGUGGGACCCGCUAGUCGAAAAGUUGAAAAAAUUCGGCCCGUUAGGUUAGGUUUUGGAUACUGGGUUUAAUUUACCGGGUGUUAUGAGAUAAUUAGAGGUUGUUGUAUGGAUAAGAGUGGAGAGACAAAAGGAUAACCUAGCAUUAAAGAGAGGGACAAAUGUCACUUUGCUAUUGGACUUGGAAUUUGACCAUAAGACCAUCUUACCACCUUUACCAAAUAAUAAAACCAAAAACUUGGCCAAAAAUCCUCUUAUUUUUCCCUCUCUUGGCCGAAUUUCUUGGAGAACAAAAGAAAGAAAAGCUAUCAAAUUUUUUCUACUCAAUCUUGCUCAAUCUCACAACUUAACCGAUAAAACUUCAAAUCACUCCAUAAAAACCCUUAGCUAGGUGGUAGUGAAGUAAUAGGUGAAGUGGUUUGAAAGAUAGUGGUGUAAGUUGCUUCCUUUCUUGAGAUUUCAAGGUGAGUAGUCAAGAAAUUCCAUCUUUGGCUUUGAUAAUGAUAAAUUCAUGACUUGUGAAGGUUAGUGGAAAAUUUCUGGGUUUGAAGCAAAAAAUUCCAGAUUAGGGUUUCUAUGAAGCCUGUUCUGCCCGGUACUAUUUGACUAGGUUAGAGGCCGAAUUAGCCUUGGGUUAAAACAUGAAAGUUGUAGAGGAUGGUAUUUUAUAGUUUUUUGCAAAAUUUCAACUCAAUCGGAGCAACGUAGCCUGUGAAAAGACAGAAAUACCCCUGCUGCCCUGUUUAUGUCCAAACCUGCUAAUCCGCUUCUGUAAUUGGUUAGUUUGACCAGGAAUAUACUGAUUUGGUUGUGGGUGUCUUCUUAAGACUUAUAGCCUUGUAUCUUAUAACCAAAUCAGCGAGGGCUUGGUCGAGAUAUGUCAUAAACAAAUCCGGACUGAAUGAUUUGGUUGUCUGUAAAGCUUGUAUCUUAGCUUUCACAUGGCUUUGGAAUCACUUGAAUUGGAGUUGUAUAUGCUGAGAUAUGACUGAAUGAAUCCGGACUGCCACAGUAAACUUCGAAUUGGAAAAUCUGGGGUUAUUUUGGUAAAUUUGACUUAGAUACAUUGCAAACUGGACUGAGUGGCCUUCUUCAACAUUGUAGCCCUUUCUCUUAGCUUCGAAACGGUGUAAAUUACACCUCAAUCCGAUGAGGAUAGCUUCAGUUGUGUUAAUUCCGCUAAGCAACAGCAAAUCUGCCUUUUGUUUUCCAACCCAAACUUUGUUUCUGCAUAUGUCCUAGUUUGAUUUUUCACUUAUACACAUGGUUGCAAAUUUACAAUUCAAAAGGGAAUUGUUUGGUUAAAAUACAUUUAAGGUUUUCCAACCAUCGAGGAGCUAUACAAAAGAAUACUAAACUAGCUCAACUCAUGCUUCAAAACAUCAUAGUCUUUAAAAGGUGAUUUCCUGUAAGGAAAACAAGGAUAACGGAACGGGGUGAGCUAGAAGCUCAAUGAGGUACCAACAGUAUAAACAGUAGAAUCAGUAGAAUUCAUGUGAAAACACUUUGGAGGCACAUAUUCACAUCAAAUACGAGAAAUGAAUGAAUGUCACAAUGUAAAGGAUACAGGUGGCUCUCAGGAGCCAAAUCCCCGUUGCUAUACUUGAUCCAGUCUUGUUGACCCUCCGUCAACGUUCAAAUAAAGGAACCAAUCCAGUAGAUCACCACUUUAACGCCAAAACCCCGUACACCAAACAUACCCCUUACCGGGCCCGAACGCCAAACAGGAACAGGAAUGGUAAUACUCGAGUAUACCGGAAUCAAGAGUCUCAAUACCCAAAGAUUCCCCCAGGAACAGGCACCCAUGGUUCUUCCUUCCCAAAUUGCAAACAGUGGCAAAUGGUGGAAUCCCAGAAUCUUACCUUCCACGUCCUCAAAUGGGUCAGAGACUUGAUGUUGUUCUACUACGUGAGCCAAAAGGUCGGUCAUUCGUUGAAUGGCUGCGGCCACUUUUACGUUCGGAUCAACCCUAGGUUCAGGGUUUGGUUCAGACGUAGUUCCUCUUGUAUCCCCUUCAGUCGUGGGUUGUCUAAUUCCGCGACCACGACCACGUCCACUAUGGGUGCCUUCCAUAUCGCUUAACCAGUCUAGGGUUGGACCACGAAUAUGGUAUUAAAACCAAAGUAUGCAGGUGCAAAUGAUAAAAGUAGGCAAUAUACAUAUAACACAUCUAACACAAACAGAUCACACAGUAGCAGUCAAUUAGAUACAAGCAAAAGGAAACAUCCUUCAUGAUACUAACUAAGCUAAUGGUACAAGAGCAACCAACUAAAAACUGCCCUCUCUAGGGUUUCGGGCACAAUCUACAAGAAUAAUACAAUUUAUAUCUUAGGCAUGGUUAAUCAUCCGUAAUGAAACCCUAACACAUCACAUGACGUUCCAUAGAAUCGAAUUUCGAGUCCGCCCAAGUCAUUUCUAACCUCGGCUCUCAUCUAUUUAGUAGUCGGGUACCAGAAUCCCAAAAUAAGAUAAUUCACAACUCGGGCUGGCCAAUCCCAAGAGUAAUUCAUAUACAAUCGAGAUUCUUAUCUGACCUACAGAUCUACUAUCCCAAAGCACCAUGAUAAAGGUUUAAAACCUAUAACAUUUCAUGAUCCAAAGCUUAUGCUCAAAAGAGCACUUAAACAUUCGUACACAUUCACGAAAUUGGGACCAUAACACCACUUGGCACAAGCUCACUCCGCGCAGAGACCACGCGAAGCAGCUCUGAUACCACCUGUGACAGCCCCACCUCCCCCUAAGGCGAACCAAAGGGUUCGGCGGACCGCCUGCCCAGCUCUCGCCGGGACUACGGAUCCGGAACGAGCGUAAACCCUACCAACCGCUCAAAAGAACUUCGAGAAGAUAACAUUCACUGUCCGAAACCCAACCAAGCACAACAACUUUAGAUAACCCUAGAGGGUGUACUCUCCAUGAGGUUGAGCUCAGGUUUAACAGGAAGGUCGUUGGAUAUUCUUCCAAACGACAUCAUAACAAGUGCAAGUAACAAGUUCAAGUACAUGACAAGUACAAGUAAUAGAUUUCAGUUUGUUCAGUACAGGCAAGAGAAUGAGUGUGAUAAAGUACACCAUCGUCUCAUACAAGAUAAACAGUCAGGAAAGACAUUCAACUAGCAAUUGGCAAGUACAGGAAACCAGUUUAGCAAUAAUUCAGGAGAGUGGUACACUCACCAGUUCAAAUAAGGAUAACUUCAAAAGUUUCCUUCCCAAGUGUGGCUUUAAUCGUCGGCACCUCCUAGAACAAUCAAGGCAAACACUUAAGAGUCUACUCCAAGACCUAGUAUGGAAUUCGCAAGUGAGACUCGGUUACGAGCCAUAUGCCUAGUCAAAAGAACCAUUAAUGCAAAGCAAAGAGGUGACCUCGGAGUGAAAAGGUAACAAUUAGUCUUAAAAGCAUGAACAACCUCAAAGCCCUACCUACAAUGACUGACCAAUUCCAAAUUUGAAGUAGAUAAUGAAAGCAAGAUCAAUACUAGGAAAACAGGAUUUUCCAGUUUCGCGCAACCCUAUAUGAAAAAUCAUAUCUCAAGUUUUGUAAGUCCAAAAUUAGUAAAAGUUAUACCGUUGGAAAAUACAUUCAAAGGGUUCUAACUUUCCAGAAAACAUCCUUAUAAGAUUCAGAACGCAAGUCAGUCAAAUUCAAGCUUCAAAUUGCUGCUUUAUCCAGUGAAAGACAGAACAGGUACAAUAUUUCAGUCAACUUUGAAAAAUCACCAUAAAUGGUACAGACAUAAACAGGGUCCAAAAUUUAUACAGUUUAUAGCCCUAUGAAUCUAGUUUAAAACGCAAUAAAUGGAAUUCAAUUCCGACAUUCCUACAUCAAGAUAUAGCAAAUUUCCCGAGACUGUGCAGAAACUCCGCGAAAAUUUUGACAGCAUUUCCCUUGUCUUUCUUUACUUUCCAACCAAACCUCAACACCCACAAAUCACAAGCUAUCAAACACCUUUAAUUAGAGCCACCAUAAGGCUCGAAUACGAGUCAUAAACCAAAUCCACAUAUCACUAGAGUAAAAUCAUAUGGAACGCAUAAGUGAAAAAUCAAACUAGGACAUAUGCGGAAACGAAGUUUGGGUUGGAAAACAAAAGGCAGAUUUGCUGUUGCUUAGCGGAAUUAACACAACUGAAGCUAUCCUUGUCAAAUUGAGGUGUAACUUACACCGUUUCGAAGCUAAGAGAAAGGGUUACAACGUUGAAGAAGGCCACUCAGUCCAGUUUGCAAUGUAUCUAAGUCAAAUUUACCAAAACAACCCUAGAUUUUCCAAUUCGAAGUUUACUGUGGCAGUCCGGGUUCAUUCAGUCAUAUCUCAGCAUAUACAACUCCAAUUCAAGUGAUUCCAAAGCCAUUUGAAAGCUAAGAUACAAGGUUAUAAGUCUUAAGAAGAAACGGACAACCAAAUCAGUAGUAUUCCUGGUCAAACUAACCAAUUACAGAAGCGGAUUAGUAGGUUCGGACAUAAACAGGGCAGCAGGGGUAUUUCGGUCUUUUCACAGGUUACGUUGCUCCGAUUAAGUUGAAAUUUUGUAGGAAACUAUAAAAUACCAUCCUCUACAACUUUCAUGUUUUAACCCAAGGCUAAUUCAGCCUCUAACCUAGUCGAAUAGUACCGGGCAGAACAGGCUUCAUAGAAACCCUAAUCUGGAAUUUUUUGCUUCAAACCAGAAAUUUUUCACUAAUCAUUACAAUUAUCAUACCAAAGCUUCAUUCUAACCCAUACUAGACCAUCAUACAUGGCCAAACAACAUUAAACAUAUAAAAAUAGAAAAAUUUUGCAUAAAAUCAAAAAUUCAUCAAACACCACCAAAAGUCAUGAAAACCUCCACAAAAUCACCUAACUAACCUUCACAAGUCAUGAAUUUAUCAUUAUCAAAGCCAAAGAUGGAAUUUCUUGACUACUCACCUUGAAAUCUCAAGAAAGGAAGCAACUUACACCACUAUCUUUCAAACCACUUCACCUAUUACUUCACUACCACCUAGCUAAGGUUUUUAUGGAGUGAUUUGAAGUUUUAUCGGUUAAGUUGUGAGAUUGAGCAAGAUUGAGUAGAAGAAAUUUGAUAGCUUUUCUUUCUUUUGUUCUCCAAGAAAUUCGGCCAAGAGAGGGAAAAUUAAGAGGAUUUUUGGAAAAUUUUUUGGUAUUUAUUUGGUAAAUGUGGCAAGAUGGUCUUAUGGUCAAAUUCCAAGUCCAAUAGCAAAGUGACACUUGUCCCUCUCUGUAAUGCUAGGUUAUCCUUUUGUCUCUCCACUCUUAUCCAUACAACAACCUCUAAUUAUCUCAUAACACUCGUUAAAUUAAACCCAGUAUCCAAAACCUAACCUAACGGGCCGAAUUUUUCCGAACUUUUCGCACUAGCGGGUCCCACGUCCGGUAUACGCUCUUAAUUUCUCAAAAAUUAAUCGAUACUAGAAAAAUCAUUUAAAAACUAUAUUUACUCAUAAAAAUUAUUUUUAAAAUUUUUUUGAAUAAAGAAAAUGUGGAAAAACGUGCAAUUAAAAGAAAAUAAAACCUAGAAAUUCAGAAAAUUACGGGUCCUCACACGUUCCCUUUUCCAUUGGCACUUACACUGAUGAAGUUGUUUGUGACGUCGUGCCUAUGCACGCAACCCAUGUCAUCCUAGGGAGACCCUGGCAAUUUGACAAACACGUCACAUUCGACGGAAGGGCAAACAAGUACACACUCUUGCAUGAUGGCAAGCGCAAGGUCCUCACCCCACUUACACCUGCACAAGUGUAUGAGGACCAACUUAAGUUGCAAAGAGAGUGUGAGCAAGACCGUCAAAGGAGGAAACCAAAGGCAGUCGACCCUGGCAACGGCUCCACUUCUGCAAGUGAGCCAUCGACCAAGGGUCAAGGAAGCACACCUAGGGUUACACGUGACAAAUCACCCACGACACAUACCACUAGGAAGCAAAACAUGAUUAUUAAGGCUAAGGACCUUAGAAAAGUUGUUAAUUCUGACCAGCCUGUACUUCUCAUGAUUUGCAAAUACGUGCUCUUGGAUGUUGCUGAGCUCGAUAAGGCAUUGCCUGCGAGUAUGGUAGCUCUCUUGCAGGAAUUUGAGGAUGUUUUCCCUGACGAGGUCCCUGAUGGCUUACCACCCAUUCGAGGGAUUGAACACCAAAUCGACCUCAUUCCUGGAGCACCACUACCCAACAAACCUGCUUACCGCAUAGGCCCUGAGGAGACCAAGGAGCUUCAAAGGCAAGUUGAUGGCCUCUUAGGUAAGGGUUGGGUGAAAGAGAGUCUAAGUCCUUGCGCUGUGCCUGUGAUACUUGUCUCCAAAAAGGAUGGUACUUGGCGUAUGUGCACUAACUGUCGGGCUGUAAAUGCUAUCACUGUCAAAUAUCGUCAUCCCAUUCCUCGACUUGAUGAUAUGCUUGAUGAACUCGAUGGUGCUAUUAUUUUCACCAAAAUUGACUUAAGGAGUGUGAUACGUUCCUCGAUCAACACGUUUCGAGACACGUAGCACGUUUGCCCAAGGAUCUAGCGAAGUUGUCCAACGCUUGGAUUGCGGGACCUAGAAUCAAACGGACGACACGAUUUGAUUUAGGUGGUAGACGACACUCCGAUGAAGGUGAAUACUCCAGGGGAAUAGGCGGAUGAACAAUCGAGGACAGGACGCAAGAUUGCUCAAUAACCCUUGCCAAAGCAAGUUAAAGUGCUCGAACUCUCUUCUUAGAAGAAGGAACGAAUUAAACCAAUUUUAUUGAUAAAACGACUACCUAAAACCUUACAAAGCAAGCCUAUUUAUAGGCUAAGAGUUACUAAAACCCUAACGAAAAAAAGGAAGGUAAAUUCGGCCAUCUUGGGGUCAAGAUGGGUCGGCCCAUGCUCUACUAAAUAACUAAUCCAACUCUAAAUAACUGCACUCUAACACCAAGGCCUAAGGCCCUAUUCGGCCAACUCACUUGGAGGCCCACUUAACUCUUCAUGGGCUUGGAUCAUGGUGUAGAUAACUUGAUUGUCUCCUUCCAAGCCUUCAAUAUCUCUAUGGACUCCAUGUUGGUUUUGGACAAUUCGAACAAGGGUUUGGAGGGAUUCUUUGAAGAGCUUGGCUCGUGCACGUGUGACUGGGCCCAAUGGAACUCGGACUGGGUCAUUACUUGGGCUAAGGUCUGUGCACACAUCAGUCCCCUCCACUUGAGCAGGAUUGGUCCUCAAAUCGGGAUGGAAAUGAAUGACACGAACAAGGGUUGGUAUCAUGGCUCCAGUGGCUCCUCUUGUUCGUAUCAUUCCCCCCUCUUGAAAGCAAUUUGCCCACAAAUUGAAGCACGAAUGGUGACAAGACGAGUUACAUGCCUUCGACUCAAUCUUGUUAUGAUGGCUACAGAUGGCAUCCAAUGCAAAGCCCAUGUGCUAAGUUGGAAAAUAACCCUUGUCGAACCUUGAAUCUCACAAACCAUCUUCAAUGUAUGCUCAACUUGAUCGCUUGUGGUCAUGAGGUAAGGGUCCUCAAAGUGGUAUGAAGUGUAUCCAUGAAAUCGAACUCCGGCUCGAACACACUUGCAAGGCACCAAGGCGGAUUUGGUGAUGUUGGAGCUUCAUGUGGACUAAGAGCAAGACGAAAAUCAUAAUGGUCAUUGAGGUACUUGUUCUUUAAACGAACCCUUGGUACACAACGAUCUCCAAAAUGUGGAGUGUUCCUAUCAAGACGAGCUCGAAUCAACUCCCCUUUGGUGUGGACUGAUUUGAGUUGACAUUGUUCCAUGAAUGGAUACCAACGGGGUUUAACUCUUGGAGUGCCAACUCCAUGGAGGCUUGCAAAGUCUACAAUUGAUUUUGGAAUGGAACACACCAAGAUCAACUCAACUUGCCUUUCCUUGAUCUGUAUAAAAGUAGAAACCCUUAACAAAGCGAAGGUAAGUUCGUUAGGAAAAUAAUAGGCCUUCACCGGGUUGCUCAAGAUCAGCCCACUUUCUCUCUUUUCUUCCUUUUUACCACCCAUCUCAUUAGAUUUUUCCAUCUCUUUUUCUAGUUCAGCAGCUGACCCUUUCAUCUCAUUACUUUCAACUCCCUCGGGUUUUACCUCUUCAGGCACAAUUCCCUCAUCUAGCUUUUUCUCCAUUCUAUAACGCUCAAGCUCACUUUUCAUGCAUGCUAGAUCAAUACAAAGUUGGUCAUAAGUAAGUGAUACAAGUGCAAGACGACGACUAUUAAAUAAGAAGGAAUACUUAUUAGUAUGUCCGUCAUAUUUAAUUUCUCGCCUCGACAUCCAUGCUUUGCCCAACAACACAUGUGUCACUUGAAUUGGGACUACAUCACACAGCACCUCAUCCACAUAUUUACCGAUGUGAAUAGGUACAAGUGUGUGCUUAGUAACCCAAACAUCACCAUGAGUGCUCGUCAACUUGUACGGUUGAAGAUGAUCAAUGGUUGGAAGAUUUAAUUUCUCAACCAUGAUAGCGCUUGCAAGGUUGACUUCACAACUCCCAUCAAUGGCCAAGCUACAAAUUUUAUCUUUGACACCGCAACGGGUAUAAAACCAACCAAGCAACUGAGAUUUGACGAGGUCCAAUUGCUCAUCUACACCACGUAAUGCCACUUCUUUGACUCCCUUAGGAUCAGGAAGACAAUGUUGUGGGCUAGCUUUUAUGCGUCUUGUAUUCACCAUGACGUAUGAGGGAACCUGCAAAAAGUUAGCAAUGACACCGAAGAUAUUGCCUUUCACGCUCCCUUACGUGUAUCCACUCGCACUCGUGUAUAUGGAUGUCACUCUAAUGGACUUACCAAAACCUUUACCUGUUGGGUUAGGUAGUUGAGAAAGGCGCGCUCAAGUCCAAUAAUUGUCACCAACUUUUUCCACAAGAGUAACCAAGAAGGUAAGACACAAAUAUGGGUGCAAAAUGAAGUGGAAAUGGACGACUUUGAAAGGCCAAUAAUGGCGGACAGAAAUGGAAGUGCGCCAAUGAGGACACAAAAGAAAGAAACCCUAGCUUCCUAAAAUGUAGGAGUGGGUUCCUAGAAUGUAGGAGAGUAUUCCUAAAAUGUAGGAGAGUGUUCCUAAAAUGUAGGAGAGAAUGUAGGAGAGUAUACCUAAAAUGUAGGAGAGAAUAUAGGAGAAAAUGUAGGAGAGUGUUCCUAAAAUUUAGGAAAAAUGUAUGAAAGUAUUCCUAAAAUAUAGGAGAGGAUGUAGGAGAGUAUUCCUAAAAUGUAGGAGAGAAUGUAGGAGAGUAUCCAAGUGAGACAAGAGUAAUCCAAGUGCUUUACUUAGUUUCCUAAUUGACUUUGGAAAGCAAGUUAGUUUUGGAAAAUUUAUUAAACAACUUGGAUGAAGCAAGCAACACUUGGACAGAUUUGAAACAAAGGAACCCUAGCGCAAAUGAAACCCUAGCCGCAAGUAGAAAACUCUAGCCGCCAAGGAUAACCCUAGCAAGAGAAGGAAACCCUAGUAGCCGUCAUGUUAUUGUUCUUGCUGCCGAAGCGACAACCAACUAACGAGACAGAUUUGGGAGCAACGUUGAAACACCAACAACCAGAAUUUUGAUGCAACAAACGACUCAAACGCAAGAAACAAGUUGUGGACAGAAAUUAUCAACAAACUAGACACAACACAAAGGAGAUAACACACCAACAGAUUUUGCGUUCGGAUGAACAGUAACGUGAACAGUGUCGUAUGAAUAGUAACGGUGAACAGUGACUUUUUUUUUUUUUUUGUAAGACAAGGCAGCGGAAACAAGGAAAACUAAGACAAAACUACGGAUAUAACGGAAGAUACCUCCACCAAAGCUCUGAAGCCAACUGAUACGUUCCUCGAUCAACACGUUUCGAGACACGUAGCACGUUUGCCCAAGGAUCUAGCGAGGUUGUCCAACGCUUGGAUUGCGGGACCUAGAAUCAAACGGACGACACGAUUUGAUUUAGGUGGUAGACGACACUCCGAUGAAGGUGAAUACUCCAGGGGAAUAGGUCGGAUGAACAAUCGAGGACAGGACGCAAGAUUGCUCAAUAACCCUUGCCAAAGCAAGUUAAAGUGCUCGAACUCUCUUCUUAGAAGAAGGAACGAAUUAAACCAAUUUUAUUGAUAAAACGACUACCUAAAACCUUACAAAGCAAGCCUAUUUAAAGGCUAAGAGUUACUAAAACCCUAACGAAAACAAGGAAGGGAAAUUCGGCCAUCUUGGGGUCAAGAUGGGCCGGCCCAUGCUCUACUAAAUAACUAAUCCAACUCUAAAUAACUGCACUCUAACACCAAGGCCUAAGGCCCUAUUCGGCCAACUCACUUGGAGGCCCACUUAACUCUUCAUGGGCUUGGAUCAUGGUGUAGAUAACUUGAUUGUCUCCUUCCAAGCCUUCAAUAUCUCUAUGGACUCCAUGUUGGUUUUGGACAAUUCGAACAAGGGUUUGGAGGGAUUCUUUGAAGAGCUUGGCUCGUGCACGUGUGACUGGGCCCAAUGGAACUCGGACUGGGUCAUUACUUGGGUUAAGGUCUGUGCACACAUCAGUCCCCUCCACUUGAGCAGGAUUUGUCCUCAAAUCGGGAUGGAAAUGAAUGACACGAACAAGGGUUGGUAUCAUGGCUCCAGUGGCUCCUCUUGUUCGUAUCAGAGUGGCUAUCAUCAAAUUAGGAUGAAAGAGGGCGAUGAGUGGAAAACGGCCUUCAAAACCAAACAUGGUCUCUAUGAGUGGCUAGUCAUGCCUUUUGGCUUGACUAAUGCCCCUAGCACCUUCAUGCGACUAAUGAACCAUGUUUUGAGACAUUUUAUUGGCAAGUUUGUCAUUGUUUACUUUGAUGACAUCCUGAUCUAUAGUCGUAGUGAGCAUGAGCACUUAGAGCAUGUGAGAUUAGUUCUUGAGACACUUCGACAGGCGCGUCUAUACGCUAACCUCAAGAAGUGCACCUUUUGUACUAACGAGCUUGUGUUUUUAGGCUAUGUGGUAAGUUUGCAGGCCAUCAAGGUGGACAAAUCCAAGAUUGAGGCCAUCGAGCAAUGGCCAACUCCCACAUCCGUCCCUGACGUGCGCAACUUUCUUGGAUUGGCGGGCUUUUACCGGCGAUUUGUCAAAGAUUUUAGCACCAUUGCCGCCCGUUGACUGCCGUGAUAAAGAAGAAUGACAAGUUCCAUUGGGGAGAAUCACAAGAACAAGCAUUUCUCGCCCUCAAGGAUACACUCACACAUGCACCUGUGUUAGCAUUACCAAACUUUAACAAGACUUUUGAAAUUGAAUGUGAUGCUUCUGGUGUAGGUAUUGGAGCAGUCCUCAUGCAAGACAAGAGGCCUUGUGCCUUCUUUAGCGAGAAGUUGGGAGGAGCUGCAUUAAACUACCCCACGUACGACAAGAAGUUGUACGCAUUAGUGAGGGCCUUGGAGACUUGGCAACACUAUCUUCGCCCUCGGGAGUUCGUGAUACACACUGAUCACGAGUCAUUGAAGUACCUCAAAGGGCAACCCAAGUUGAGUAAGAGACAUGCCAAAUGGGUAAGCUUCAUUGACACCUUUUCUUUUGCCAUUAAGUAUAAGACUGGCAAAACGAAUGUGGUAGCUGAUGCCUUAUCACGUAGACAUUCCUUGCUUGCCUUUCUUGAUGCCAAGUUACUAGGGUUCGAAAUGGUUAAGGAACUCUAUACAAAUGAUCAUGACUUUGGUAAUAUCUAUGCUGCUUGUGUUAAGAACCCGCAUGGGAAGUACUUUUUGCAUGAUGGAUUUCUAUUCCAUGUCGAUAAACUGUGUGUGCCUAAUUCUUCCAUUCGUGAUCUUUUGAUUCGAGAGGCACAUAGUGGUGGUCUCAUGGGCCACUUUGGCAUUGCCAAGACUCUGGCCAUGUUGCAAGAGCAUUUUUACUGGCCACAUAUGCGUAGAGAUGUUGAACGCAUGGUUGGUAGGUGUGCUACUUGUCACAAGGCAAAGUCUACGACUAAUCCAUAUGGCUUGUAUACCCCGUUACCUAUCCCUCACCAUCCUUGGGUUGACUUGUCUAUGGACUUUGUACUAGGUUUGCCUAGAUCACCAAGGGGUAAUGAUUCCAUAUUUGUGGUGGUUGAUAAAUUUUCUAAAAUGGCUCAUUUUAUUCCUUGUCACAAAACUGACGAUGCAUCUCAUAUUGCUAAUUUAUUCUUCAAAGAGAUUGUCCGUCUGCAUGGCAUGCCUAGGACUAUUGUUAGUGACAGAGAUGUGAAGUUCCUGAGUUACUUUUGGAAGACUUUGUGGUCCAAACUGGGCACUAGGUUAUUAUUCUCCACCACUAGUCAUCCACAAAGUGAUGGACAAACUGAAGUUGUCAAUCGCACACUUGGCACUUUACUUCGGGCCUUGAUUAAAAAGAAUCUUAAGUCUUGGGAGGAGUGCUUACCUCAUGUUGAAUUUAUUUGCAAUCGAACUGUGCACAGUGCAACACAAUAUUCUCCCUUUGAGAUUGUUUAUGGUUUCAACCCCCUGACCCCCCUUGAUUUGGUGCCCUUACCUUCCUCUGAGCACACAAGCUUAGAUGGGAAAAAGAAAGUUGAUUUUGUGCGCAGGUUACAUGAAGCCGUGCGAGCAAACAUUGAGAAGCGUACGCAGCAAUACAUCCAGCAAGCCAACAAGUACCGUCGCCAGAUGAUUUUCGAGCCUGGAGAUUGGGUUUGGCUACACUUGAGGAAAGAGCGAUUCCCCAAGCAGCGUCAAAGCAAAUUAUCCCAAGAGGUGAUGGACCAUUUCGAGUGCUCUAACGAGUCAAUGACAACGCAUACAAAUUGGAGCUACCUGGGGAGUACAAUGUUAGUGCAACCUUCAACGUCGCGGACCUAAGCCCAUUUCUUGACGAGGAGGAUCCAGAUUUGAGGGCAAAUCCUUCUCAAGAGAAGGGGACUGAUGUGUGCACGAGUCUCGGCCCACGCAAUGACCCAGUCCGAGUCCCAUUGGGCCCAGUCACACGUGCACGGGCCAAACUCUUCAAAAAAUCACUCCAAGCUCUGGUUGGAGUUGUCCAAGACCAAUAUGGAGUUCACAAAGAUAUUGAGGGCUUGGAGAGAGACAAUCGAGUCAUUUACACCAUGAUCCAAGCCCACGAGGAGUCAAGCGGGCCACCAAGAGAAUAAGGCCUUAGGCCCCAUCAAUUAGUUAGCAAUUAGUUAAUGAUUAAGUAAGAGCAUGGGCCGGCCCAUCUUGUUCCAAGAGCAUGGGCCGACUUUUUCCUUUUCCUAGCCCCCUAGGGUUUUAGACACUUUAGCCUAUAAAUAGGCUUGCUUUGUAAGGUUUAAGGGGUCAGAACUUUCAUCAAUAAAAUUGUUUUAUUUUCGUUCCUUCUUCUAAGAAGAGUGUUCAAGCCUUUUACUUGCUUUGGCAAGGGUUUUGAGCAAUCUUGCGUCUCGUCCUAGAUUGUUCUACCGACCUAUCCCGUGGAGUAGCCACCUUCAUUGGAGUCGUCGUUCUACCGUCUUGAAUCAAAUCGUGUCGUCCGUUUGGUUCUAGAUCCCGCAAUUCCAAGCGUUGGACAACCUCGCUAGAUCCUUGGGCAAACGUGCUACGUGUCUCGAAACAAGUUGAUCGAGGAACGUAUCAGUUUUGGAGUAUAAACGGUUAAGUUGUGAGAUUGGGCAAGAUUAAGAAGAAGGAAGUUGGAGAUUUUUUUUCCCUUUCUUUGCUCAAGAAGUUCGGCCAAGGGGAGGAAAAAAUGAAGAUGUUUUUAGUCAAUUUUUUGGUUAAAUGGUAAAGUAAGAAAGUUGGUCAAACCAUCCUCAAGUCACAAGGUGACACUUGUCACCCCUUUUUGUUUGAGCUUAUCCUUUUGUCUUCCAAGGUUAAUCCCUCCAUGCAUCCUCUAAUUGGCUCAUAAUUGCAUGUAAUAUAAUCUCUGUCUAUAUAACUUAACCUAAUUGGCCGCAUUUUAUCAAACUUACCGCACUAGUGGGUCCCACAACCGGUAUACGCUCCUAAGAAUUUUAGUCAUUGCAUUAAACACGAUUUCUUUCUAGAUAUAUAGUGGCAUGGUAAGAAAAAUUUCGAGGACGAAAUUUCUUUAAGGGGGAGAGAGUGUGAGGACCUGUAAAUUUUUCGUAUUUUAUAUUAUUUUAUUUUAUUCUUUCACAUGCAUUUUCUUCAUUAUACCUAUUAUAUUAAUUUUUCAGAGAUUUUAUAAGUAAGUAUAGUUUUAAAAUAAUUUUUCUAGUGUAAGUUAGUUUAUGUGACAUUAGUAGUGUAUCUUGGACGUGGGACCCGCUAGUGCGGUUAGUGCGAUAAAAUUUUGACCCCUAGUUGAAGUUUUCUGUUAAGGGAUAUUAUUUUACAAGGUGCUAGGAGAUUAUUAGAGGUUAGUUAGAUAUAUUAACCAUUGGGAGAAAGAAAAUAAGCUUGAGACAUCUAAGGUGCCACGUGUCGCGAAUCCAUUGGAAGUUGGACUUGACCAACUCUUAUUUAACUUUACCAAAAUCAAAAUUGACCCAAAUCUUCUUCAUUCUUGCCCUCUCUUGGUCAAAAAUUUGGAGCGCAAAAGAGAGAAAGAUAGCUUCAUCUUCCACUUCAAUUUCUUGCCUAAACUUUGAGAUUUCACCGAUGGACUUGCAAAAUACUCCAUAGAAAUUGUUCUCUAAGGAAGCUUGAGGGUUCCAAUGGAAUGAUUUGGGAAGAGAAAGGUAUGGAUAGCCUCUUUGCCUAAGGUUUAAGGUAUUUAUGCUAAGAAUCUUUCUCUAUUUCAGAUAAUUUCAAAUUAGUGUCUUAUGGAGGCAACUUUGGUAGUUUUAUGCAAAAUUUCAUGGUUGGAAGUGAUAUUAUGGAAAUUUUCAGUUUUAUCAUGAAUUUUCUGUCCAAAUAUGAAGCUUGAAGGUUAGUUAGGAUUUCCUAGCUUUGACAUGUGUAAAAUCUAGUGUUUAUGUGUUAUUUCACUUUGCUUAAAGAAAUUUCAGCUUUGAUGCAUAAAUUUCAGGUUUAGGGUUUCUAAUUUGGACAUGAUUAGAGUUACUUUUGGAUCUACAAAUUGGUUGUAUAUUAAGGGUGUUUGAUAGCUUGUGAUUUGUGGGUAUACUUGUGGUUGAAAUUGAGAAGUGAUUGGUGUUAAUGUUUGGAUGGAAAAGUAAAGAAAAACAAAGGGAGGUGCUGUCAAAAUUUCCGCAAGAACUCCUGAGCAGUCUCGGAAAAUCUGUUAUAACUUGAUGUAGAAAUGUCAGAAUUGAGUUCCGUUUGUUGCGUUUGAAACUAGAUUCAUAGAACUACAAACCAUAAAAUUUUCAGAUCCUGGUUCUGUCUGUAUGAUUUAUGGUGAUUUUUCAAAUUUGACUGAAAUAUUGUACCCGUUCUGUCUUGUAUUGGAUAAAACAGCAAUUUGAGGUUCGAAUUUGACUAACUUGUGUUCUGAAUCUUAUAAUGGUGUAUUCUGGGAAGUUGUAGCCCUUUGAAUGUAUUUUCCAACGGUAUAAAUUUUAUCAAUUUUGGACUUAAGAAGCUUGAGAUAUGAUUUUUCUUAUAAUGUUGCGCAAAACUGGAAAAUUCUGUUUUCUUAACCUUGAUCUUACUUUCAUUUUCUACUUUAAAUUUGGAGUUAGUAAAGCAUUGUAGGUAGGGCUUUGAGGUUGUUCCUGCCUUUAGAACCAACUGUUACCUUUUCACUUCAAAUCCACCUCUUUAAUGGUUCAUUUGCAUGGGCAUACGACUAGUAGUCGAGUCUCACUUGUACAUUCUGUUUACUCUGUUUUGGAUGUAGAAACUUCAAUUGUUUUACUUUGGUUAUUUUUAGGGUUUCUUGGCGAUUAAGCCACUUUGGGUGAAAACUUUUGAAGUAUCUGUACUUGAACUGGUGAGUGUACCACUCCCCUUAUUUGUUGCUUAACUUGGUUUCUGCACCUGCAAUCUGUGAUUUGAACGACUGUACUAUCUGUUUAUUCUGUUUGAGACGAGGGUGUACUUUAUCACACUCGUUCUCUUGUCUGUUUGUAUGCCUAUUUACCGUUUGUAAUCUGUUAUCUGUAUCUGAGUCUGUUCGGACGUCGUUUGGAGGCUGAUAUCCAACGACCCUUUUAUGACCUCUGAGCUCAACACCUGUGGCAAGUUACUCAAGUCGAGCCGGCAAGGGCCUGGUCGAUUAGAUAACGAACCACAGUAGUCUGUUCUAGGAAUCUUUGGGUAUUGAGACCCUUGAUUCCGGUAUACUCGAGUAUUACCAUUUCUGUUUCCUAUUUGGCGUUCGGGCCCGGUAAGGGGUAUGCUUGGUGAACAGGAUUUGGCGUAAAUGGGGUCUACGGUCAUGUUUGUUUUUUCGAGCGUUGACGGAGAGUCAACGAGUUGGGAUCAAGUACUGCAAAUGGGGAAAUUUGGCUCCUGAGAGCCACCCGUAUCCUUUCUAUUUAAGAUGUUUGUUCAUUUCCUUGGUACUUUUACUUGGCCUGAUGAACACGAGGUGUAUUGCUUGUUAAACUUUCAAAUUCUGGUUUGGUCACAUUUUGUAAAUUAGCUUCUGACCAUGCUUAGUUCACAUGGAUAAUGAUGGAACUGGGUGUUGGUGUCUUCAUAAGAAAUGUAGGGCUUUGUUUCAGAUUCAAAACGGUAUAAAGUACAUCCAAAUCCGAGAUUCGUAGCUCCCGUUAUAGUCAAAACAAGAUCGUGAGUCAGAACUGCCUUGAACACUGGACAGUUCUGACAGGUAAUUUGGCACUCAUUUUCGUUCUGUUCUGAGUUGAUCCAGGUCUUGGCCAAAACAUAAAAGUUUUAGCCUUAUGUCUUAGCUUUCCAAUGCCUUUGGAAUUUCUUCAUUUGGGUUUGUGAGCUGUGAGUUAUGGUCCGGAAAACAUACCCUGUCUGUCACCCUAAAGUGCGAACUUCUGGCACUGUUUUCCAUACUUUCGACCUAUUUCUGUUCAGAUCCGGAUUUAGGUGUCUUCACGAAAGUUAUAACCUUUUCUUUUAGCUUCGAAACGAUAUCUCAUACACUUUAAUCCGACAUUCCUAGCCCAACUUAUGGUCAAAACAGUUUGGGACAGUAACUAUGCCCAUUUCCGUUUGCCGGCCGUUUCCAUUUCCGUUUGCCGAUUCUGCACAUGGAUGUGCCAAUUUUGCCGUUUUGCUUAAUUUACGCACUUUUGUAGUUGUUUGUGUGAUAAUAGGGCUCAAUAAUAUGGCUCAACCUUCUGCUAUAGGCGGUGACGGGCUAGACGGAGCCGGUGGGGCCCACUAGCUGACGACUUGAAUUCAUUUCCGUACUUUCUCUCGUUAUACUUGCUCUUUAGGUGAGUAAUCAGGGUUUCUGUGUAACUCAAUACUAAUAUGAGUUUACUAUGAAAAAUGGGCACUUAGGCGAGGGUGUACUUUAUCGCACUCAAUCUAAACCCCAUUAGUUGUUAUUGAUACCUGUGAAAUAUGAUUUUGUGAUUUUUGAUGGAGCAUUUAUUGCUUGUGAAACAUUUGCGGAGCAUUUAUUGCUUGUGACGCAAUUUGGGAGCAUUUAUUGCUUGAACUACGAUUUUAAAGCAUUUAUUGCUUGAAGAAUAUUUUAGAGCAUUUAUUGCUCGUGACUUGAGCUGAGACUCAUGGUCUCUCUAUGUGAGAUCCUUUAAGAGAAGCGAGCUGCGUGGCUCAGGAUCUCAAGGGUCAACCAGUGAUCAAACUCGACAAAUGAGUUGGCUUGGGAGCCACCCGUAUCCUUACCAUGUGGUGUUACUUUUCUGCUUUUGCUUUGCUCUCACUAUGCAAAUGUUGACAUGUAAAAAUUAUAUUUUUACCCCUGGUUAGUCACUAAGCUUAUAGCUUACCCCCCUUUCUUUUGUUUUCCUUAGCAGGGGCCGACGCGGGGAAAUUUUGGCACCAUCACUAGUAUAGUUGGGUUUUGUUUGUAAUAACCGAAUAGUUAAUAUGUUUUUCCCUAUUAUAGUGAUCCGUGUAAGGACCCUUCUUAGGGUCUACUCUUUGGUUUUGGUUAUAAUCAUAAGGAUGUAAUGGUAUGGGUAGUUACUUUUGGGGAUGUAAAUAGAACUCUUUUGCCGAUGUAUAUAAUAUGAAUAGUACUCUUUUGGUACUUUUAGCUUUUAUUUGCUUUUGACUUCGAGUCCUGGCGCGAGCUGGGCAAGCGACCCGCUAAGCCCUCUGGUUCGCCUUAGGGGAAGGUGGGGUCGUCACAAACCAGUUGGUCAAUCAUGCACCUUUGGGUUGUCAUUUCCAUGCUCAAUUCAUUGAAUUUGUUUAACAUCUCGCUCAACUGAACUCCCAAUUUUGUAGUGUCUGCUGGAGGUGCCGUGGUGGACUUGUCAGAUGAUUCCAGAUGUGUACUCAUGUUUACACUAUUUCUCGAAACUCGGCUAUGUGAUCGUGUAAUGAUGGGGUUUCUUUGUGAAGUUAUAUUUACAAUUACCUGAAAAUUUAGGAAAAACCUUAUUGAAAUUCCUCUAUUGACCAGCUGUUGACAAAGCAAGAAAAGAAAGAAAAAGAAAAAGACACGAGUUAGUAUAUAUUGAGGUAAUUCAGAUGCAUGUCCUAUUGUGGGACUCUUUUAUCCCAAGGGUUGGCCUAGCAUGAAAAUGAAAUCCUUCAGAGCAGGCACUAUACAUUACCUGAUGGACCCGAUCAAUUUAUUGAUAUUCGAGUGAAAAGUAAUUUGAAAAAAAAGGUCGAUUGGUGUGGCAAGAGACAUCUAUCCUCACAAAUUGAGAACGAAGUCCGAAUGGAUUGAUCACUUUGAUUAACACAAAAAAUGAUGUGUGAAAGAGCCUACUCUUGAAAGGAUUGUAAUGUCUCAACUAGUUUAUUCAGUGACCCUUAGAUCGAAACCCUAAAAGAAAAUAAAUGGAUUAAAUGGAUCGGAUAAAAUUGAUGAUUUAUUCAAAAAUUGACUGGAUCGCCCUAAAAAUGGGUAAAUUGGUCAAAUAGUUUGAAUGAAAUUGAUGAUUUAUUCAAAAUCGAAUAGAUCACCCUAAAAAUGGGUAAAUUGGUCAAAUAGUUUGAAUGAAAUUGAUAAUUUGUUCAAAAUCGAAUAGAUCACCCUAAAAAUGGGUAAAUUUGUCAAAUGAAAUUGAUGAUUUAUUCAAAAUUAACUGAAUCGCCCUAAAAUGGGUAAAUUGAUCAAAUAGUUUGAAUGAGAUUGAUAAUUUGUUCAAAAUCGAAUAGAUCACCCUAAAAAUGGGUAAACUGGUCAAAUGAAAUUGAUGAUUUAUUCAAAAUUGACUGAAUCGCCCUAAAAUAGAUAAACUAGUCAAAUGAAUUGAAUGAAAUUGAUGAUUUAUUCAAAAUUGACUGGAUCACCCUAAAAAUGGGUAAACUGGUCAAAUGAAUUGAAGGAAAUUGAUUGAUCAUAUAGAUCGGAUGGAGUGAUGAUUUAUUCAAAAAUUGACUAGAUUGUUUUAAAAAUGAAUAAAUUGGUAAAAUCGAUUGGAUGGUAUUGACGGUUUAUUCAAAAUUGGUUGGAUUGUCCACCGAUAUGUAGUUUCAAAACUCACAAAUUUUGUUGCAACGCAUUAGUCUAUGAGUUUUCUAAAUUCAAGAUUUGGCCUCAAUAUAUAUCAUCUCAACAAUGAGGAAUUAUUUAUGAAUUUCUUCAACUUAAUGUCCUUUACACAAGGAAUUUUUAUCAAUUCUGAUAAAAUGGCCAAAAGAUGAUUGUUAGAUGCUUCUAUUCUAAUGUGCAAAAGUUGCUCUAUUAUCUUCGAGGCCAAUGUCACCAUCGUGAAAGGGAUCAGAUCCAACCUUACCUUGUGCACUACCCCUUUGGAUGAUACAAAACUAUAAACAUGCAAGUCUCAUUGGAUUACAUAUCUGAGACACAAGGUGGUUUAUUCCUAUCGUGGGAUCCCCUAUGCAGCAUUCCCUUCUAAGGUUUAUGCAUGAUGCCAAUUUAUCAAAGCAAUUAAAUAUGCAAUUUGAAAUGAAAACAUGACCUAAAGGGACCCUUUGUAUGCCAGGGUGGGCCUAAAAUGAUGUGCAAUUAUUAACCUACAAAUGCAAUAUAUUGGAAUUUAAACGUGCAAUAACCUAUCUAAGAGAGUAGGUUCUAAAAGAGUAUCAUACCAGAGCUCUUAUUUCUAAGGCUUAUGAAUGCAAUAGAACAAAGAAAGGUUAGUUCAAUUGAUAUAUGACACAUAACACAUUGGAGCAAACAAAAAUAAUAUGAAAAAAUAGAAGGCAAUUAAAUAAAGAAGGGUGCAAUCCCUCCCCUCAUGCCUAGUGUUCCUAUUUGAGUAAGGUUGACUCUAUCUUAGGUAAUUUCUAACAUGGAUGCAUGAAGUUGGGUUCACUAAUGCAUCUAGACUCAAUAAGGUUCAGGUCCUCAAACUUUCAGACCAAAGGCGAAGGGUCAUCAUCCAAGACCUAAGAGUCGAUGGUUCGAAUAAUCCUUGGACAUUGCUACGCGCACGUCAUGCCACGGCCACAUGUCCAAGUAGAUCGAUCCUAAUCCUAAUCGGGUAGAGUGGUGUGACAACUAUUAAAAGUAAAAGAAAUGAGGGGUUAUAAAGUAAAACGUAUGCACAUAUGAAGUGCUCCUUUUGAAGGGAGGGAUUAAAUACCAUCAAAUGCGGGUGAAGGUUCUAGGAUGGUUAUUCCCCAACAUGCAAGCGCGAUAUACAAACAUAAGUGAAUGAAAGAAAAUAAACACAUUAUUUAUCACAUACACGAAUAUCGAGAUGAUUUGUACGUGAGAAAUGCAAGAAAAACCCUGAAAAGGAAAAAUGCAACCUAAAACCACUAAAUGUCAUAUAUAAAAAGGUUAGAAAAAGAAAAGCAUUGACGAAAUCAAAUGCUCGGACUCUCUAAGUCCCAGUGGAGUCGCCAAACUGUCGCCGCCCCAUUUGUGAUUGAAAAUAACGUGUUUAUAAAAAUGGAUUUUUGAUUUAUUUUGAAUGAAAAUUGGUUUUGAUUUUUAGAGAAUAAAUAAAGAAAAAGUGCCUAAAAUGGGACUCAAAAAGUGCGACGAUUUUCGUCCAAAAUAAUAGUUUAAAAAGGGUUUUUAAGAAAAUAUAGGAGUCGCACUUGGUAUUGAGUUAAGGUGUACAAGUCACCUAAAAAUGAAUUUCAAAUAAAAAGUAGAGACAACCUUUUUUAAUCGAUUCCAAGUCUUCGAAAAUCAGAGCAAAAGUCCGGGAGUCACGAUUGAAGAAAGGGAAGGCAAGGAUAAAAUCCAAGGCACCCUUUCAACCUAACCAAAGCUAGUUGCGUGAUUUAGUCAAAAAAUUUUCUUAUUUUAACCUAAAAAUUUAUUACAUUUGGAUGUCGCUAUAUGGAUGCAAAACCUAAACUUAGGAGGAUUCGAGGGGUCGGAAUAUUCUUCAAAUCUUAUUUGGUGCAAAUCACAUUAAUUGUGAUGCCCAAGAGUGACUCUUUGAAGAGGGACGAAUAUGCAAAAAUAUGAGACUCGGAGAAAAGAAAAGAAAAUAAUAAUUAUACAAAUAUACAUGAUCUAAAGGAAUGCAUCAUAACGGGUGCGGGGGGGAGGGGGGCUAAAAUUCGUGACUUUAAUUUUUCCUUUAAUAGAGGGAAUACGAGCGUGCUAAGACUAGAAAGCAAUACUCGUCCAUAUCCCAUAUUCGAAGGGUAUUUUCUAUCUAAUUAAGCAAAUGAUCUAAGCUAGUUCUAAUUCUUAAAUGGAAUGCAAGUCUAAUGUCAUGUUUUCACACAUAGGGGUAAGGGAUAUACAUAUAGGGGAAAUAUCAUGCAAAAUGAUAAAAAAUCCUAAGAAGUAGAAAAUAUGCAUGAAAUGUAGUGAUUUUGUCACAACAACAUGAUCUAACACGUGAACGGUUCCUAAGGGUCUAGCGUUGAACUAGCCCAUGUCUACAAGUUCUCACCAGCGUUGGACUAGUGAGAAAUUGAAAAGGACCACAACUAGCGUUGGACUAGUGUGGAGUCGGGAAAAAGGCCACAACUAGCAUUGAACUAGUGUGGUGACGUCAUGCACUUAUUAAAAUCAAAUAAUCAAAUAAACAUAAUAAAAAUAAUUAAACACAUAAUAUCACAUAAAACAUAGCACAUAAGCAUGAUAUCUAAAUGUAAGACCUAAGAAAGCGAGUAACAUGUAACACACAAGCAUGCAAAACACACAAAGCAAAUAAAACAAAUAAAGACCUAACUAUUAUAUUUGGGGGGCCCUAACUACAAUCUACGGGGGGGAAAAGAAUAAAAUAAUAAAACAACCACCUAACUAUUACAUAUCUAAAUACAUGUCUUGAACCCCCUAACUAUUACAAUUUGACAUUUAAAUGCCUCUUAAAUAAUCAAACAUUAAAUUAAAAUGAAUAUGUGAAAUUAAAAGAAACAAAUAAAGUGAAUAAAUAAACAAAACAAAAUAAGUAAUGAAAGUAAAAACAUUCAAAAUCAUGCAAUUACACACAUAGAUUCACAUAUGGUCAAGUAAAAUCCAAAUAAAGGAGUAGAGUGUAUUUCCCUUGAAUUGGUGACCUAAUAAAAUGAAAUUUCUCUUAUUUACCCUCCAAAACAAUAAAAUGGUUAAGGCAUCACUUUAAUUAACAAAUAAUCAUAAAAGAUGGAAAUAAACAUGAAUUUGAACAAUUAAACAUUUAAAUGAAAGUAAACAACCCAUAUUCAAGAAAUUAAAGCAAAUAAGGACCUAAUUGAAACAAUUAAAGAAGUUUUAGGGGUCAAAUCAUUAUUACUACAAAUGUAAGGGUCUAAAUUAAAAUAAAAUAAAAUUAAGGGUUAAGAUGAUGUGACGCCCCCACUUCUCCCUAAGGCGAACAAAGGGUAUCCGGGACGCCUGCCCAACUCUCGCAGGACUCAAGACAAUUCGAUUCAACUUAACGAUACAUAACCGUUCAUACAAGUCUAAUAAAGAAAAAUCGCUUCCAUAACCAAAUAUCUCGUCUUACACCACGAGUUCCAAAAUACAUCAAGUUUCCAAAAUAUACAAAUGCCAAAGGUCUAGUCGAUUACAUUUGAAACCCGAAUACAAAAGUACAUCCCAAGGGUUUCUUCGAGUUUCACUCCAAGGUCGUUCCUGUUAAGGAAAACAAAUCUACUGGGUGAGCAAUUGCUCGUGAGGCCAAGAAACACACAUGCAAGCACGUUGUCCAAAUAACAAUCCCAAAUAACAAGAAAACGAUAAUAUUCGAGUAAUUAACAAUUCAAGUGAUAUAUAACGGAAACAAUUCAAGGAUAUGGUAGCUCUCAGGAGCUAAGUUCCACUUACUUUGCCAGAUCUCAAUCGUAUACCUUCCUGUGAUGACUCUCCGUCAACCGGGUCGGUAUUUCCAAUCCGUAGACUCCACUUUACUUCACAAGUCCUUCCACCUUACAACCCCCUACCGGGCCCAAACGUCGAUAAAGGCGCUACUGCACGAGUAGGCCAAGCAAGAUCUCCCCAAUAGAUCAAGUUUUAUUUCAUUCCCAUGGCUCACCAAAGUUCCCGACCAAGCCCACGCCGGCUCGAGUCCCAAGGUCAGCCUAUGGGUUUGGGCGUCCCCUUUAACAUUUAUGAGUCGAGGAGAUUCACUCCAACGACGUAUGCAGUCAUAGCAUACCAUUUCAUUUCAUUCAAUCAUUCAAUAUCAUUCAAUCGUUCAUUUCAUUCAAUCCAUUCAAUACAUUUCAUUCCAUUCAUUUCAUUUCAAUCAAUUCAAUCACGAUUCAUUCAAAUGAGAAUGAGUGCGGUAAAGUACACACUCGACUCCAUUUUCAAAAUCUCCAAUCAUUAAUAACAAUUAAGCAUGUAUCAAGUUUGCAUACACUUGAUACUCACCAAGUAAUUCAAGAAGUAAAGCACAAGCAGUUGUUUAGGCGUCUCCGGUGAUAUCCUCUUGAAGGUCCUUUGAGUGCUUGAGCAAUAAUAUUGAAUUAUUACACACUAUCACUUAAAACUACUUAUCGAGAAAGAUUGCACUCAUGUACAAUCUAAGAAGAUAUCAUGAGAAUGAGCCUUAAUUAGUCGUAAAUCGAGACUCAAAAGUAGGGUUUAAAAAUACAAGAAAAAUCUGAUUUUCAUCUUUGAAAUCAAGUGUAAAACGGUCAAACGAUAUCGAAGGAAAAUGGAGAGUUCUAAAAACUCAAUUUCCUUUAAAUUCGGAAAUUUCAGAUUUGACAAGCAAUCUUUGAAAAUUUGUAUCUCACUCUCUGUAGGUCCAAAAUUGGAAAACUUGGUACCGUUGGAAACUAAUUCCAAGUACUAAAAGUUCCUAGAAGACACUUUUCCAUGAUUCAAAAUGGAAGACAUUCAAAUUUUGGCCUCAAGUUGCUGAUUUGGGCUCCCCGGACAGAUUCGGGGUUGGUUUUUGACAAAAUUUGGAAAUUCGGCAAAAUUCACAAAUUAUGAACUAGCCUCUCAAAUUUGAAACUCAAUUAGAGUUACAAUCAAUGUUUAGAAUCCAACAAACGGAACAAGAAUCAGAGUUUUGAGCGCCAGGAUAUAGCAGCUCAAAGUUGUUGAAAAUUCCUCACUGAACAAGGAUUUUCCAGAUUUGAAACAUAAACUUUGGGACUUCAGUUGGGCCUCGAAAUGGACUUGAAAUGGCACCAAAUUUGGUAGUAUUACCCUACCAAUAUAAGGGAUAUUCCUCUGUGAAAUUUCAUGCAAAAUUCAUACGGAAGGUCAGUUAACAAAGCCACUAAAGUUCCAAGAAUUUCCAAGACAAACUUGUCUUGUACUUCCGUUUUCCUUUUUUUUUCUAACUUUUCCAAUGAAAUCGACUCAAAUCCAGUUCAUUUAUGAAGACAAGAUCUAAGAAACAUCCAAAAUACAUUUGGUAGGUGAUUGACACCAAAAUUUUCAAAAUAACAAGUCCCAAUUCGAAAUAAGCCAUUGGCUAACCCAAAAUUAGGGUUUUCAAUCACUGAUGCAGUUCUGUAAUUCAGCCACACCUCACUCAAUUCAACUUGGAAUUGGGCGUGAUUGGUGGCGUUGGAAACUAAUUUAUAAGACUACAAUUUCUCAGAAGAAAUCAUUCCGAAAUUUUGUCCAUAACUAGCUCAUAUUCGAGCAACAAGUCACAGCACAUAACUGGUUUUCUAACACGGCAGUGAAAUAGGACAGUUAAUUUUGAAAGGCUGUACGGUUCACUCAAGUUGAAUUAGGGGAUGCAUUUUAUACCAUUAGAAAACUGGAAGUGUCUAGUUUCUAAUACAGCAAAUGAACUCGAUUUUGACAUUGGAGCAAAGAGUUAUGAUCGUUUAAAGUUCGCUGCCAGAGUAACUCUGGACACGUUUUCCAGCAAUGAAGAAAUUUCGAAAUUCAAACAUUACCCAACCAAAUCAAGUGAUUUUUGUGAAACUUUCCACACAACCUAUACAACAUAUCUACAUCAAAAUCAAGACAAUUUGACCACAAAAAAUCACACCAAAAGGCCCGGUAAGAACAGGGCAGAACCGGCCCUUCUUCCUUUGAGUUUCUUUCUAUUCUUUCAACUUAAAUCCACUAGAUUAACACUCAAUCAACAUAAAUAACAUUCAAAAUCAUCAAAUCAGUCAACAAGUCCAUUGUGGGAUUUCAUAUAGCCCACUCACAUGAUUUUGACAAUCCAAAGCUACCCACAUGAAGCUACAAGCUUCUAAGUGCAAUCUAACUUAUAAAAGCUAAGAUUCAAGGGUUGGAUGAUUAACUACCUCCUUAGAUGAUGAACUCAGAAAUUUUCGGUCCUUUGAGCUCCAAGAAACCAUGAGGAUGAAGCUUCUUCCUAGUCCAAGAUGAUCUCCAAGUGGUUUUGAGUUUGUGGUAGAAAUUUGAAGUGAUUUGGUGCAAGAAAGUGAGGUGAAAUGAUGAAGGUUUUGCUCCUUCUUUUCCUUGGUGUUGUUCGGCCACAAUGAGAGAAAAGAGAGAGAGUGUUGUAGCUGCAAAAGCUUCUUGAGUAAGCUUGAUAGGUGAGAGGUUUAAGUGCUCAAACGUCAACCCUCCAAUAGUGCGUGUACGCGCGUGUUCGUGCUCGUUUCCUCUCGGGUUUGUUUCACUUGUGCACUAAACCUCUAAUGCAUUUCCAUUAACACUAUUAUUAUUCACUCUUAAUAGUCUAAAAAUAAAGGUCUAAAGUCUCUCAAUUAAUAGCGCGCGCAAAAUGCGUACUUCCGAUUUGUGCGCGAUAAAGCAAAUUUCUAAGGAAUUCUUAUAACGAUAGUAUAACUAACUAAUACUUGGGUAAUAAAUCAUGAAAAUAACUAUUUUGGAGCAAACCAAUAAAUAAGUGAAUAAAUAGAUAAAAUAAUUAAUAAAAAUAAAUGAAAAUAAAAUAAAUUAUGGGUCCUCACAUCCUCUCCCCCUUAAGAGAAUUUCGUCUCGAAAUUAUAUCUUGAUUUACGAACAGGUUUGGAUAUUUUCCUUGAAUUUCUUCUUCAACUUCCCAGGUUACUUCCUCCAGUCCAUGGUUCCUCCAGAGAACUUUCACCAAUGGAAUUUGCUUGUUCCUCAAUUCUUUCACCUUACGAUCUAGAAGCUUCACCGGUUUCUCCUUAUAAGUCAGUGUCUCAUCAAUUCCUAUACUUUCCGGUUGCAAGAUAUGAGAAGGGUCCGGAUGAUACUUCUUAAACAUGGACACGUGAAAAAUGUUGUGAAUCCGAGACAAACUCGGUGGUAGUUCCAACUUAUAUGCUACAUUUCCCACGCGUUGGAUAACCUUAUAAGGUCCUACAGAUCUCGUUGUAACUUCUUUCCUUUUCCAGACAUUAAACUUGCUUUCAGAGGCAUAAUCUUAAGAAAUACUCGAUCUCCAACUGCAAAUUCCAAGUCCUUCCUUCGGUUAUCUGCAUAACUCUUCUGACGACUUUGCGCGGUUUGAAUCCUCUGGCAUACUAACUUCACUUUUUCAUUGGCCUCCUCAAUCCAAGGCACUGUAGUCGGGUCUAAGAUUUUUCGUUCACCUACUUCAUCCCAACAAAUAGGAGAUCUACACUUCCGACCAUAAAGUGCUUCAUACGGGGCCAUUUGAAUAGAAGAAUGAAAGCUAUUGUUAUAAGCAAAUUCCACCAAUGUCAAAUACUUACUCCAACUCUCCCCAAAAUCCAAAACACAAGUUCUUAACAUGUCCUCAAGGGUUUGAAUUGUCCUCUCAGACUGUCCAUCGGUCUGGGAAUGGUAUGUAGUAUCGAAAUUCAAUUUAGUCCCCAAUAUUUCUUGCAUCUUUUGCCAGAAUUUUGAAACAAAUCUAGAGUCUCUAUCAGACACAAUACUUACAGGUAUCCCAUGUAACCUGAUAAUCUCAUCCAAGUACAACUUGGCUAACUUUUCCAAUGGGUAUUUCAUGCUAAUCGGUAGAAAAUGAGCCGAUUUGGUUAAUCUAUCCACUAUUACCCAAAUGGCAUCAUGACCUCUUUGUAUCCUAGGUAACCCUGAUACAAAAUCCAUAGUGAUGUUCUCCCAUUUCCACUCAGGUAUCUCUAAAGGUUGUAGAAGUCCUGAGGGUUUUUUAUGUUCAGCUUUAACCUGUUGACAAACAAAAUAGGUCUGGACAAAUUGAGCAAUCUCCUUCUUCAUGCUCUCCCACCAAUACAAACUCUUCAAGUCUUGGUACAUUUUAUUCCCUCCAGGGUGUACCGUAAAUUUCGAUCGGUAUGCCUCUUCCAAAAUCUCUCUUUUAAGCUCUUCAUUGUUUGGCAUUACUAUCCGAUUCCGAAAUCUCAAUAUACUAUUCAUUCCCAAGUUAAAAUCCGAUUUUUCUCCCUUUUGGACUCUUUCUAACCACUUUUGUACUUCAGUGACCUUUUCCUGGAAUUCUUUAAUAUGUUCCAACAAAGUGGAAUUCACUACAAUAUUCCCAAGAAUUACUUUCCUCGGUUCGAGUCUAGGAUUCCAAUAACUAAAUUCUUCUAACAAGUGUAAUUCCUUAAUCAUCAAUCCGGCCACUUGCACUUGACGACUCAAAGUAUCGGCCACUACAUUGGCUUUCCCUGGAUGGUACUUUAUCGUGUAAUCAUAAUCUUCCAAAAAUUCCAUCCACCUACGUUGCCUCAAAUUUAACUCCUUUUGAGAAAACAAGUACUUAAGGUUUUGUGGUCAGUAAAAACCUCAAAUGUUAUUCCAUACAGGUAGUGUCUCCAUUUCUUUAAAGCGAACACUACAGCCGCUAACUCUAAAUCAUGAGUCGGUAAUUUCCUUCAUGCGGUUUCAACUUCCUAGAUGCAUACCCUAUCACUUUAUCAUUUUGCAUUAAUACACAUCCCAAGCCUUCCUUGGAAGCAUCUGUGUAGACCAUAAAACUAUCCUUUCCAUUCGGUAGAGCUAAUACAGGUGCUCUUGUCAAACGUUUCUUCAAUUUCUGGAAACUUUCUUCACACUUAGGACUCCAUAUAAACUUCCCACUUUUCUUGGUUAAUUCAGUCAUAGGUCCAGCAAUUCUAGAAAAAUCCUUAAUGAAUCUCCGGUAAUACCCUGCUAACCCUAUAAAACAUCGAAUCUCAGUAGGGUUUUCCGGUCGUUUCCACUUUGAAACAGCUUCAACUUUAGCUGGAUCCACCUUAAUCCCAUCCUUAGAAAUUAUGUGACCCAAGAAUGUUACUUCCUUCAAGCAAAACUCACACUUGCUAAACUUAGCAUACAAUUGGUGUUCCCUCAGGUUUAGUAAAAUAAUUCUCAAGUGCUUCUCGUGAUCCUCCACAUUCUUAGAGUAUACUAGUAUAUCAUCAAAUACCACCACAAAUUGGUCCAGAUAAGCUUUAAAGACCCUGUGCAUUAGAUCCAUAAAAGUAGCAGGUGCAUUGGUCAGUCCAAAUGGCAUUACUAUAAACUCAAAGUGUCCAUAUCUCGAGUUAAAAGCAGUUUUGGGUAUAUCUUUCUCCAAAAUCCUCAAUUGAUAGUAACCCUGUCUCAAAUCCAACUUCGAAAAUACUACCACCUCUUGCAAUUAGUCAAACAAUUCAUCAAUGUGGGCAAUGGAUACUUAUUCUUAAUAGUGACAUCAUUCAAGUCUCGGUAAUCUAUGCACAACCUUAAACUCCCAUCUUUCUUCUUAACGAAUAAACCGGAGCUCCCAAUGGUGAAUCACUCUCUUUUAUAAAACCCGUUCCAACAAGUCCUGCAAAUGUAACUUCAAUUCUUUCACUCAGCUGGAGCCAUUCUAUAUGGCGUUUUAGAGAUAGGUGCUACACCCGGAGUCACAUCAAUCUUAAAAGUUAUUUUCCUUUUCGGGGGUAAAGACUCUAACUCUUCAGGAAAGACAUCUAGGUACUCUUUCACUAUAGGCAUGUCCUCCAGUCUCACUUUAUCACUAGGAGUGUUGAUUAGAAAAGCCAAGUAUCCCUGAGCUCCCUUACUUAACAUUUUCCUAACUCGAAUCCCUGAGAUAAGUGCAGAUGAAGCUAAUCUGCCCCUUACAUCCAGUUUCAAAGUCGUCUCUCCCGGAAUGCACAAUUCUACCAUUUUCGUCUUACAAUUCAAUUGGGCAUUGUAACGGGCUAACCAGUCCAUUCCUAGGAUCACAUCGUAUCCCUUAAUCUCUAAGCCUAUCAAAUCGGCCAGUAGUUUCCAUUCUCCAACCCAGAUCUCACAAUCUCUGUAUACCAAGUUAGCGAUUAGACUUUGGUCCCCAGUAGGUUUCCUAACCUCCAAGUCAUAAGGUAACUUAAUUGGUUUCAAGUCUAUUCCACUCAUGAAAUUAGGGUUUACAAAAGAAUGUGUUGCACUCGGAUCAAUUAAAACCUUAGCUAAACGGUGAAAAUAGGGAUUGUUUUAACCACCUCAGUCGUAUCGGGUAUCUGUUGAUGGUGCAGUGCAUAAACCCUAGCAGGUACCUUAGAUCGACUUCCCCCAGCACUGGUCUGCUUAGAGGUUGACUUUUCGGGUCGUGCUACCUCCCACCUUCAGCUUAUUUGGACAAGUCGCGAGUGGGUGCUCGAUACUACCACAAACCAAACACUUCCCAGACUUUCUCCAAUAAUCAUUCUCAGAAUGGUUGGGUUUACCACAAUACCCACACAGUAACUUAACUUAAGGUGUCACUGCCGAACCACUAGAAGGCACUCCUCUUGCUUGAACCGGCCCACUACAACCUCCUCUAGAUAAAGCUCCCCUUGAAGCUCCAGCGGUCCUUAUUCCUUCCAUUCCUCUUCCCAUUUUGGAAGGCUGUGUAUUCUUACUAGUCUAUCCAGAAGUAUGACUAGAAAAGUUCCCCUUCCUAUUGUGGAAGUCCCUAACUUGCAUUAUUGCACUCUCGACCCUUUGUACUUUCUCUAGAGUCUCAGUAAAUGUAGAGAUUUGGGCUGCGGCCAAGCCCUCCUGGAUUUCUACAUUAAGCCCUUGUACAAACCGUCUUAUCCUUUUCGUUCAUUGAUUACCAAUUCAGGGGCAUACUUAGAAAGCUUAGUAAACUUCCCUUCGUACUCCGCUACACUAAGAGUUCCUUGUUUCAACUUGAUGAACUCAUCCUCUCUCUUUUCUUGGAUUAAAAGCGGAAGAAACUUUUCAUUGAACUCCCUCGUGAAAUUCUCCAAGUCCAAGGAGUUUGGGCUCUCUCCACUUUCCCCUUAUCACGUCCCACCAAGCAGCGAGCCACUCCCUCAAAUUGAAAAGCAGCAAAGUUCACUCGCCUAUCCUCGGUAUAGUCUAAAGCGGUGAAUAUGUUGGUCAUUCUCUCCAACCAAUUCUCCGCUACCUCCAGGGUCAGGUUCACCAAUGAACUUAGGCGGGUUAAAUUUCAGGAACCUCUCCAAGGCUCUAUCUUUCCCUCUAUCCUGUCCCCCUGUUUGAUUAAGUGGUCCAAGACGCUGUUUCUCAGCUAACCGUUCGAGAAUAUCAGUCAUUCUAUUAAUGGCAGUAGCCACUUGGUUACCCUCUAUGUUCCAUUGUCCUUGGGUAGGUCCAGUUGCCGAUCCCUGGUCCUCCCCAUGAGGUUGGGCCUGUCUAGUCCCUCGCCCAAGGUUUCGACCACUCCUUCGUCCUUCUAUUAUCCUAGUUGUGCCUAGUGCAAGAAAUGAAUCAAUUACGCGGGGAAAAUACUUAAAACAAGGACCAAUCACAAAAAACAUUGAAAAUAGCAAUAAUUUACAUUCAUUAUCAUGUCAAGAUCCAUACAAUUAGCAAGUCAUGGAGGAGUACAAAAAUAUAGCACAUAGGUGACACAAAAGUACUUUUAGUCACAUAAGACUAAAGUCAAGUCAAGUGCCUCAAAAGUAGGCCACACAGUCAUACAAAAUACAAUGGCCUCAGCACUAGUAUCACCCCAGCUAAUUCUUACUAUAUCAGUCAAAAGGGUCAAAAGGGUCAAUCACUCUGGGUCUAGUCCACAGUAGGGCUACCAGGUGGAAUCUCCUCCUCAGGAUCCUUCUCCGGAUCCUCCUCCUGAUCUGGACUCUGGAUAAUAUCCAUCACCUCAUCAAUCAACCUACCAGUAUCCGUUAGGAUCCAGAAAUCCGAUCUCGGACCUCCUCACCUAACAUAGUAAGUCGAGCCCUAGUCCUCUGAAGCUCCUUGCAAGUGACCUCAGCCGUAGCUACCUCGCCAGCUAAUACCCUCAAGCUCAGCGAUUCUCUCACCCUGAGCACUAACCAUCUGUCUCAACUCAUUCACCUCCUCAAGUAAAUCUCGGUUGGUGUUCACCAACUGACGACGCUCGUCGUCCAGAGCUAGUACAAGGUGGUUCGGGUAGGCAAACGUCAACCUACACGAACAUCGAGAAUACCUAGUAGAGGGCGAAUAACGCACAGGUGCUCCCCACCUAGAGCUCAGUAGUAAAUAGGCCUAGGAGGCUCUACAUGGCCAUUAGCAUGGUCAUUCCCAUUAGUUGCAAGGGUCCCGUUCCCAUUCUCCAUCCCUGUAAAACAACCACACUUUUCGGAUUAGAAACUUAGUCACUAGCUCUCGCUCAGAUAUCACUUAAAAUAUGACUAAGUCAUCCUAUCUCAAAUUUUAAGGGUAAGGUUUCUAGUAUAUCUCCCAAAUAGAUCUAACCUAGCGCUCUGAUACCAACUGUGACGCUUCCACUUCUCCCUAAGGCGAACCAAAGGGUAUCCGCGGGACGCCUGCCCAACUCUCGCCAGGACUUAAGACAAUUCGAUUCAAGUUUAACGAUACAUAACCGUUCAUACAAGUCUAAUAAAGAAAAGUUGCUUCCAUAACCAAAUAUCCCGUCUUACACCACGAGUUCCAAAAUACAUCAAGUUUCAAAAUAUACAACUGCCAAAGGUCUAGUCGAUUACAUUUGAAACCCGAAUACAAAAGUACAUCCCAAGGGUUUCUUCGAGUUUCACUCCAAGGCCGUUCCUGUUAAGGAAAACAGAUCUACGGGAUGAGCAAUUGCUCGUGAGGCCAAGAAACACACAUGCAAGCACGUUGUCCAAAUAAUAAUCCCAAAUAACAAGAAAACGAUAAUAUUCGAGUAAUUAACAAUUCAAGUGAUAUAUAACAGAAACAAUUCAAGGAUAUGGUAGCUCUCAUGAGCUAAGUUCCACUUACUUUGCUAGAUCUCAAUCGUAUACUUUCCCGUGAUGACUCUCCGUCAACCGGGUCGGUAUUUCCAAUUCGUAGACUCCACUUUACUUCACAAGUCCUUCCACCUUACAACCCCCCACCGGGCCCGAACGUCGAUAAAGGUGCUACUGCACGAGUAGGCCAAGCAAGAUCUCUCUAAUAGAUCAAACUUAUCAUUUCAUUCCCAUGGCUCACCAAAGUUCCCGACCAAACCCAUGUCGGCUCGAGUCCAAGGUCGGCCUAUGGGUUUGGGCGUCUCCCAUUUAACAUUUAUGAAUCGAGUAGAUUCACUCCAACGACGUAUGCAGUCAUAGCAUACCAUUUCAUUUCAUUCAAUCAUUCAAUAUCAUUCAAUCGUUCAUUUCAUUCAAUCCAUUCAAUACAUUUUAUUCCAUUCAUUUCAUUUCAAUCAAUUCAAUCACGAUUCAUUCAAAUGAGAACAAGUGCGGUAAAGUACACACUCGACUCCAUUUUCAAAAUCUCCAAUCAUUAAUAACAGUUAAGCAUGUAUCAAGUUUGCAUACACUUGACACUCACCAAGUAAUUCAAGAAGUAAAGCACAAGCGGUUGUUUAGGCGUCUCCUGUGAGAUCCUCUUGAGUGCCUGAGCAAUAAUAAUGAACUAUUACACACUAUCACUGAAAACCCCUACUUAUCGAGAAAGAUUGCACUCAUGUACAAUUUAAGAAGAUAUCAUGAGAAUGAGCAUUAAUUACUCGUAAAUCGAGACUCAAAAGUAGGGUUUAAAAACACAAGAAAAAUCUGAUUUUUAUCUUUGAAAUCAAGUGUAAAAUGGUCAAACGAUAUCGAAAGAAAAUGGAGAGUUCUAAAAACUCAAUUUCCUUUAAGUUCGGAAAUUUCAGAUUUGACAAGCAAUCUUUGAAAAAUCGUAUCUCACUCUCUGUACGUCCAAAAUUGGAAAACAUAGUACCGUUGGAAACUAGUUCCGAAGUACUAAAAGUUCUUAGAAAGCAUUUUUCCAUGAUUCAAAAUGGAAGACAUUCAAAUUUUGGCCUCAAGUUGCUGAUUUGGGCUCCUCGGACAGAUUCGGGGUUGGUUUUUGACAAAUUUUAGAAAUUCGAAAAAAUUCACAGAAUAUGAACUAGCCUUUCAAAUUUGAAAGUCAAUUAGAGUUACAAUCAAUGUUUAAAACACAACAAACGGAACAAGAAUCAGAGUUUUGAGCGCCAGGAUAUAGCAGCUCAAAGUUGCUGAAAAUUCCUCACUGAACAAGGAUUUUCUAGAUUUGAAACAUAAACUUUGAGACUUCAGUUGGGCCUCGAAAUGGACUUGGAAUGGGACCAAAUUUGAUAGUAUUACCCUACCAUAUAAGGGCUAUUCCUCUGUCAAAUUUCAUGCAAAAAUUCGUACGAAAGGUCAGUUAACAAAGCCACUAAAGUUCCAAGAAUUUCCAAGACAAACCUGCCUUGUACUUCCGUUUUCUUUUUUUUUUUCUAACUUUUGGCCAAUGAAAUCGACUCAAAUCUGGUUCAUUUAUGAAGACAAGGUCUAAGAAACAUCCAAAUACAUUUGGUAGGUGAUUGACACCAAAAGUUUCAAAAUGACAAGUCCCAAUUCGAAAUAAGCAAUCACUGAUGCAGUUCUGUAAUUCGGCCACAACUCACUCAAUUCAACUUGGAAUUGGGCGUGGUUAGUGGCGUUGGAAACUACAUUCAUAAGGUUACAAUUUAUCAGAAGAAAUCAUUUUGAAAUUCUAUCCAUAACUAGCUCAUAUUUGAGCAACAAAUCACAACACAUAACAGGUUUUCUAACACAGCAGUGAAACAGGACAGUUAACUUUGAAAGGCUGGUACGGUUCACUCAAGUUGAAUCAGGGGAUGCAUUUUAUACCGUUAGAAAACUGGAAGUGUCUAAUUUCUAAUACUGGAAACAGAACUCUAUUUCAAUGUCAGAGCAAAGAGUUAUGGUCGUUUAAAGUUCGCUGCUAGAGUAACUCUGGACACGUUUUCUAGCCAUGAAGAAAUUUCGAAAUUCAAACAUUUACCCAACCAAAUCAAGUGAUUUUUGGUGGAAACUUUUCACACAACCUAUACAACAUAUCUACAUCAAAAUCAAAACAAUUUGACCACAAAAAAUCACACCAAAAGGUGCGGUAAGAACAGGGCAGAACCAGCCCUUCUUCCUUUGAGUUUCUUUCUACUCUUUCAACUUAAAUCCACUAGAUUAACACUUAAUCAACAUAAAUAACAUUCAAAAUUAUCACAUCAGUCCAACAAGUCCAUUGUGGGAUUUCAUAGAGCCCACUCACAUGAUUUUCAACAAUCCAAAGCUACCCACAUGAAGCUACAAGUUUCUAAGUGCAAUCUAACUUACAAAAGCUAAGAUUCAAGAGUUGGAUGAUUAACUACCUCCUUAGAUGAUGAACUCGGAAAUUUUUGGUCCUUUGAGCUCCAAGAAACCAUGAGGAUGAAGCUCUCUUCCUAGUCCAAGAUGAUCUCCAAGUGGUUUUGAGUUUGUGGUAGAAAUUUGAAGUGAUUUGGUGCAAGAAAGUGAGGUGAAAUGAUGAAGGUUUUGCUCCUUCUUUUCCUUGGUGUUGUUCGGCCACAAUGAGAGAAAAGAGAGAGUGUGUUGCAGCUGCAAAAGCUUCUUGACUAAGCUUGGUAGGUGAAAGGUUUAAGUGCUCAAAGUCAACCCUCCAAUAGUGCGUGUACGCGCGCGUUUCGUGCUCGUUUCCUCUCGGGUUUGUUUCACUUGUGCACUAAACCUCUAAUGCACUUCCAUUAACACUAUUAUUAUUCACUCUUAAUAGUCUAAAAAUAAAGGUCUAAAGUCCCUCAAUUAAUCGCGCGCGCAAAACGCGUACUUCCGAUUUGUGCGCGAUAAAACGAAAUUUCUAAGGAAUUUUUAUAACGAUAGUAUAACUAACUAAUACUUGGGUAAUAAAUCAUGAAAAUAACUAUUUUGGAGCAAACCAAUAAAUAAGUGAAUAAAUCGAUAAAAUAAUUAAAUAAAAAUAAAUGAAAAUAAAGUAAAUUACGAGUCUUCACAGAUGAAGCCUAUCAAAGCCAAAUGCUAAAAUUCACAAAAAUAAAUCAAAACCCUCUCACCAAGCCCCGAAACAAAAAUAUUACCCAAAUCUAAACUAUUUUUCAAAAUCCAAAUAAAAAACUAUGAAUCUACCAAAAAUUAUUAAACCUCCAAAUUUCAUCCUAAAAUUCACCAAUAAUCUAUCCGAAAAAUCAUAUUAGAAUAUACCAAAGAAAAUAACAUUUUAAAAGGACAAAAUUGAUUAAAUUUUUAAUUUUUGGGCCAUAGUAGAAUUAAGUCAAAAUCAGGGGGUCAACAUGCAAUUUUGGAAAGUUUCCAUGCAUAAGCUUCGAAAAAGCUUUCCUCUUCACUGAUUUCCUUUUUCUGCCACUUUCUGUGUUUAUAUGGUGCAAUUUUUUCUUUGCUAAACACAACUAAAUUCUCAAUUAACAUCAAAGCUUUGGUUUUAAGCGGCAAAAUCAUAGAAAUUCAAUGAGUAAAUACGCAAAUCUUCUGCAACAAAAGUUCCGCAAUCUUCUGGGUUUCAUUCCAAUCGUAUAAAUCAUGCCAAUCAAACCUCAAGCUAGCAAAAUGUGCAACUUACACCGUUUAUCGCUAAAACCCAACAAUCAAAAUUUCACCAACACAAAAAACAGCAACUAGGGAAACAUCAAGACAGCAAAACAUGAUAACAAUCACGGAGCCAAACCAGCAGCAAAAUGUCACAGGAUUCAUGCCUUUUGGACUCGGAUUCUCAUGAAAACAGUGUUAAAGAAAGAAAGGGAGAAGCAAUGGUUACCUCAGAAUGUUUGUGGCAUCAAACCAACGUGAAAUCUCCAUGAAACGGCGUGCCGACUUUGAAAUGAAGCAAAUGGAACUUUGCCGCAAAAAUUCAGCGAUGAUGAACCUGAUACUUUGGGUCCCGAUUUGGGAGGGUUAUAGAUGUUUUUUUGGGGAGAUUCCUAAGUGAAAGUUCUUUUAUUACUUGCCAAGAUGGUGCAGAAAUCAAGAGCUCACUUAAAAGCUAAGAAAUUGGUCAGAAUUUGCCACGAAAGCAGGCUGGUUAGUCAGCCUGGUGAUGAAUUUUUUUGCAGCAGAUUUUUCUCUUUUUCUUCUACUCAAUCGUCCCUCUCUUUUCCUCUCUCACUCUCUUUCUUUUCCCUUUCUGUUUCUUGUCUGAAGUUCUCUGUUCUCCCCCAGAUCCCCCCACUUUCUUUCUUCCUUUUCUCUAUUCUUUUCUUCCUCUCUUCCCUUGCUUGCUCCCGAAACCCUCUCCUUCCUUUUCUGGUUUCUCUCCUCCUGUUUCUUUCUUUUUGCUCUUUUCCUUUUCUUCCUCCUGCCCUCAGCUCUUUCCUUGGCUUUUUCCCUCUUUUCCCAGAUUUCCCCAAGCUCUCCUGGUUUCUUUCCUUUCUUGUUUUUCCAGCCCUGCCCGUAGCUCUUUGUUUUUCUUUUCUCCUUGCUUUUUCCUCCUUUCUUCCCAGAGCUCCUCACCAGCUCUUUUCUUUUGCUCCAGCCCGCAGCUUUUCUUCCCUUUCUUGCUUUCCAAUCCCGUCCUUCCUCCCUUUCUUACUCAGCUUUUUUUUUGUUUUUCUCUCUCCCAGAAUCUCCUCUCUUUCUCCCUUCUUCAGUUUUUUUUGUUCUUUUUCUCCCCCCCGGGGCGAAAGCUCUCUCUUCUCUCUCGGUUCCUUUUCCCCUUGUCCCGUAGCUUCUUUUCUUGUUUUUCCUUUUUCUUUUGUUUGUUUUUUCCCGAGCUUCCAAGUGUUCUAGCCACCUAUCCUCUAGAUAUUGUGGUGUCAAAAGAAAAAUAGAGACAUUUGUUUCAUUUGUAUGCACUCCACCUAGCUAUUGUGCAUGGUCUCCACCUAUCUUCUUUUUAUUUAUUUAUUUUUUGUUUUUCAAAAUCAAUUUAAGUAAACAAAAAUAUUAAUUCCUAAUUGAAAUUGCAUUGCAAAAUUUUCAUUUAUUUGAAAGAAAUUGAAUCUUAAAAGGAUUAAAAACAAAUUUUUUGAAUUUUUGUGAGAACUUUCCUUUUAAAAAUUUAAUGCAAAAAUAUCUUAAAAAGAAAAAUGAUGAACCUAAUUUAUAAAAAUAAUAAAAAUAAACACUAACUAUCAUUUUACAAACUUAAUCAAUCUAAAAUAACAUAAAAACAAGAAUAAAAAAUAAAAAAUAAAGCUAAAAUUGAGAAAAACAAAAAAAAAAGAAAUUUUGGUGUCUACAAGUACUUUUUAACAAAUCACUGUAACCCCAAAUGAACCUUAAGAAAGACUCAAUUCAACAAAAAUAAUAAAGCAACACUAUGUACUUGUAUAUAAUAAUAAUGAGAUAAAUAAGGACAAAAUAUAAAUACUAAUGAAAGUAGCUACUUAAAACCAAUUUGAAUUAUUUACUAUAAACAAAACCUUAUCAUUAGCACUGAAUUUCAAAACUUUUGAUUUUUGAAAUUCAACUGUGCAAUUUUUGAAUUUGAAAUUCAACUUUUGCACACAUAUUAUGAAUCAAACGACAAUUGUGUAUACAUUAUCAGUGUAUAUAAGAUUCACUCUAUCUAAAAUGAUUAAUCUUUCAUACAUUAACAGUGUAUACAUUGUCAGUGUUGGAUGAAUGACAACUAUGCAAAAUUUGAAUUUGAAAUUCAACUUUUGUACAUAUGAUAUAAAUCAAAUGAUGAUAGUGUGUAUACUAUCAAUGUAUAUAAGAUUUACUCUAUCUAAAAUAGUACAUGAAAAGAAUAGAAAUAGGGUUUCUCUAUUGGGCACCCGUUAAUAUAUCUAACAUUCACCUAAUCUACCAUAUAUACAUAUAUUAAUUAUUUUUUUUUCUUAUAAUUAUAUACUUUCCUUAUUUAAUCUUAUCUACCAUCAUUUGUAUUUAUUUACUUUUCCUAAUUAAUCAUACAUUUCUAAAAAUAUGACACCUGAAAUAUAUCUUAGUGGGUGCCCAAGCCCACAAAAAAAUAUAUAUUUAGCCUUGUGUAGUUAUAUUUUUUAUUUUAUUUUAGUACGUACUUUUUUCAAAAUAAAUCACAGCAAAAUCCAAAAGAAGAUUUUAAAUGCCAGUAUUAAUUUUUUUUAGCAUUAUUGAUAGACACUAUCCCUAAGGGUGGACACGAGUCAGGUACCCGUCCUGUGCACCAUUUGGCUGACCUGAUCUGCAUCUUGUGGGUUAGCCAUUUUUUGACCCUUACCCGCCUCACAUAUCAGCGGGUACCCUGUUGAGAUAGGAUCGAAUUAAUGAGUACUCGUCCUAUCCCACUUAUCAUUUAAUUUUUUUAAAAAGUAAUUUAUACUAAUUUAAUUUUAUAUUUUACAUAUUCAUAUAAGAUUUAAUAAAGAUUUUUUCUCAAAAAAAAGUCUCCCACCAACAAAUAAUAUGUGAAGUGAACACAAGGAAAAGGAAAAUUUAAAAGAAUUCAAAGUCAAUAAAAAUUUGAAAUAAGUAACACAUUUUUUAAAAUAUAAAUUCCAUAUUAAUUAAACUUUUUUCUAAAAAAUAUAAGAUCAUGACAUCGACAAAUGAAUCUUAUAAACAAACUAUAGUCUUUGAUAUUUGUAAUGCAAUUUGUUGAAUGAAAUUACUCAUUUAACUCUAAAAAUAUUAUUUUAUAGUAUAUAUAUAUAAAUAAAUAAAUAAAAUAUAUAUAUGUGUGAGCGGAUUCAGUACCCAUGAGUCUUUAAUUAUGUGACCCUAGCCCACCUUGUAUUUAAAAUGGUAUUUGACCCUCUUUUGACCCGAUCAAAUAAUAUGAAUCGGAUAUUUUCGGAUCGGAUCAAAUUAGAUAUGGCCGAUUUUUAGAUUAGUGGGUGCUUUUGCAAAUCCUUAACUGUCCCAAAUAAAGAACAUGUAAUGUAAAAACUACCAUCAUUUGUUUAUUUCCUUUUCGAAAUUGAUAUUAUUUUUUAAUUUUGAUAUUUCCUAAGUUAUUUUUUAUUUUUCUUUGCCAAAUUAUUAGUAUGUUUUUGGGUAGUGCUCUACCAAAAACUUAAAGUGUUAUCUUUUCAUGCAUAAAUUUGUUCUUUUGAUUUUUUAACUUUAGACAAUACAAAUAUUGUAUGUUUAUAAAUUGGACAUUUUAAUUUAAUGUUUAAAUAGUAGUUACAUAUUUAAGUUAGAAUUACCAAAGGUAAUAAUACAUAUUUAUGUUGGAUUACCUAAAAGAAUGACUGGAGUGAAUGUUAGUUCCUUUUUGAAUUUGAUAGUAUGUUUUAUCUUUUAUAUUUGAUAAGUUGUUUUCAUUCUGUUAUUACAAUUUGAAGGAUUUCAAAUAUUUGUUUCCUUAUUUGCAAUAAUCAUUUAUAAGUGUGGUAUUGUGUUAGUAUGUUAAGUUUUGUUAAUAUUGUAGAAAUGUUACUCAUUCAUAAAUGCCUAUAUGAUAAGUAUGUAAUUUCAAACUUUGCUAGUAUUUUGAAUGUUGAUAAUAUUUCGUUCUAAAAUAUUAAAAUUAAUUCAAAAUUAAAAUUUAACUAACUUAUAACCGCAUACAUGGUAAGUAUGUAAUUCAAAGAUUGAAAGUUAUUUAUUUAACUAAAAAUAAAUAAACAAUAUAAGAAAAAAGAUGGGGAGUUGGGAGCUCUCUAAAGGAGUCUACACUGAAAUUGUAAAUAAUUUCUGUUAUUGGUUAAUUAUUAUAGAGUUGUAGGAAUUGUAAUUAAAUUUUGUGUUAUCAAUCUAAAAUUUUGCAAACAUGAUUUGGAUAAGUUUUACAUAAAUUAGAAACUAUAAGGGUCAACUAGACAUGGGGAAGAACUGGAAAUCGUGGAAUUUAAUUUGCAUACCAGUAUCAACAAAAGAAUUUGAAAUGGUUUGAUUGUACCAAAUUGUGGAGGCAAUGUGUGUGAAUUAAAAUAAAUGUAAAAUUCUAGGGAAAAGGAAUUGGGAUUUUGGAGAUGUGUGAAGGUUUAUGAUAAAAAACCCUCCAUCUAUUACAUAUAUAUAAAGAUAAGACAAUAAGUAAAAUUCUCAAUUUGUACAAUAGGAUUGAGAGAAAAAUGUAUCAUUUUUACAUUUUGACGAUAGUCAUGCAUUGCUAUUUAUCAAUUUGUCAAACCAUUUAUUUAAAUUUAUAAUAUCCUAUAUACAAAAAAAAUUUACAAAUGACAAUACAUGCUAUUUGUCAUCUAAAGCUAAGGAAAACAUUAAAGUAAAAAAUUUUACUUGGAGAGAAUUAUUGAUAAGUUGGUUAAACCAAACCUUUUCUGCCUAAAAGAAAUGUUAAAAUAAAGACAGGUUUUUUGAUAAGGUAAUUUAACAAAAAUAUUUCCUACCUAAAAUAUAGGGAUUUAAACAUGUAAAUUAAACAAACUAUAAUCAUUAGAUGACAUUAAUUGAAACUAAUAAAAAAUAAUAAUUCAAAAUCCUUGAGAAAUGACACAUGUUAACGUAUAUAUAUGCUAUUUGUCAUUUGCAACUAAGGGAAACGUUAAAAGUAGUAAAUAUACUAAAUUUUACUUAGAAAAGGUUAUUGAUAAGUUAGUUUAACUAGGAUUUUUAUGUCUAAAGGAAAUAAUAAAAUAAAAUAUUUACUUAGAGAGGCUUUUUGAUAAGUUAGUUUAACAAAAUACUUUUCUAACUAAAAUAUAAUAAUUUAAACAUUUGAACUAAACAAACUAAUAACUAUUAAAUUACAUUAAUUGAAUUGAUUAAAGAGUAAAAUAAUUCAAGAAUACAUGUCAUAUUAUUAGAAAUCUUUUGGAAAACAUGGACUAAUAAAUUUCUAGUGUAAUAGAUUUCCUCGUAUUUGUCCCAUUACAAUCUACACACUACUUUCAACUUUUUAUUCUUCUCAUGCUUUGGUCCAAACCGUUUCCUCCUGCCCAUUCAUUCAUGCGCGUCCAACUUCCACUAUCACUAUUUUGCCCAGGGGGCCAUAAUUAUUGUUUCCCACACGUGUCUCGUCCACACUGUGCUCCAACAAUAGGCACGGUCAAAGUGUGCCUACCAUAGACAGAUCCAAGUACAAGCCAAAAAAAAAAUGUCUGGCCAGGAGUGAGAGAUGGUUCUCUGAUUAUCCUUUAUAGUUGCAGAGGAUUCCAAGAAAUUAAACUAGACAAGUGCCAGUGCCAGUGCCAGUGAAGCAGCUUCAAACUAUAGAUCCGAGCAAUGUCUGGCCAGAGUACGUGAACUCUGUUACUCUUCAAAAUUAGAAGAAGACGAUAACUAUCCAAUUAAAAGAAGUGGAAUGUCAAUCGAACUCCUUACUUAUUAAUGCUACCUUUCCGAAGCUUUUGACUAUGUUAAUCAAAACAAAAAAAAAUCCUUCCCUCCAUUGAACUUAUAUUUUAGCAAUGGUAUAAAUUUGAAAAUAAAAUGAAAAGUGGGGCCUUUUUUUUAAUAUGAGUAAAAACAAAGGGAGGGAACUGCCACCAGCAAAUAAGAAAGCGCUUUUAACAUUUCUCUUAAAAGAAAUGAUGAAGGAAAUACUAGGUUUCUUUUUUCUUUUUAUACCCCGAAGUUAUAGUUGUAUUUAGCAUAAAUUAUAUAAAUGCACAUGCAGUAACAAGUUGAAGGUUAUGAUUUGGAUACUAUGAUGGUUUGUAUAACUCUUAUAACGAGGCAAAUCAAGUAGAAUAUUUGGUGUUCAGCCUCUAUUUGUAUAAUACACGAAUAGGAUUCGAACUCGAUCAAAUAUUAAAUGAGUUAUAAAUGUUACUCAAAUUCGAUUGGUUAAUUUGCAUUGAUAUUCGAGCUCGAAUUCGAAUUCAAUCUUGUUUCAUUAAACUAAAUGAGUGAAUUUGAGCUUGAACUCAAAUUCGAGCCUAAAAAAAAUUUAAUUAUAUUUUAUAAAGGUAAUACAUAUAUUAUAAUAAAUUUAAUUAUAUUUUUUAAAAAAACAAGUAAUACUAAAUUUUCUAUAUAAUUACCUUUUUAAGGAAAAUAUAAGGUAUAAUGUAUUUAUAUUUGGAAGGUGUCUAUACAUAUAUUUUUUAAGGAAAUAUGUUGUUCUAUUUCUAUAGUGUCUAAUUAAGUUGUAGCUAUGCAUACAUUAUACAUAGUCUCUAAUUAUUAUUAUCAUUAUUAUUUAAGAAAUUCAUGCAGUAUUAUAAAUCCUCAGAAGAAAAUUUAUACUUUUUUUCAGAAACGAUAAUUGUUGUAUAACUUAAUCUAUCCUAUAUUAGGGGGGGGAGCGGACCUAAGGAGGCCCAAGAAUAAUUCGGAGGUGACUAAACUACCACUAAUCAGACAGGUGCACUACUUACCUACCUGAAUUUUUUUUUAAACAAAGUCACUUUAAUGUGAUAAUUGAACUCUUGCCUCCUAUCCUAUCCAACUUUUAAUGCUUUGAUGUUAGCGUUUGAACAAAGAUCAGUCGCCAAUUUUGAAUUUUCAUCGUACCUACUACCGAUUACUAGAAAGGCAACGUUGAAAACCGAUAUUUCAUUCCAACUAGUUUUAGUUCAGCAGGAUCAUGUUCUAACCUAUACAUGUGUUUCGUACUAAUUAUGAUAAUAGCUAUUAAUGAACGAACUCAGGAAAAAAAAUCAUUUAGAAGUAAGAGUAAAUUCUAUAUGUACUCAUAGUAUAUACACUGUUACAUUUAGAUCUAUAACAUAUAUAAAAAUUUGAACUUAUAAUUCAAAAUAUACAUAAUUAUCAUUUAUCCAACUUAAUAAUAUAUAUACUAUCAGUGUAUAUGAUCAAAAGUUUGCAUAUGUUCUUGGAAGAGCCUUGCAGCCAAUUGUAGAAGCAAAUAAAAGGAGUCAAAUAAUAAUCUCCCUAUCUUUCCUCCAAAAAUACAUCCAACUACAAAUAUGUCAAGCUACGUUAUGUGGGAUAGUGUGAUAAUUGUCUUCCCCAUAAUUGAUAAUUAUAAAGAAAACAAAGAUUUUGAAUUUCUUUGGUUAAGACACAAAAAAUGAAAAAAAAAUUGAAGGAGUGAAUUGGGUGAAUAGACACAAGGGGCUUUUAAAAAAUUUGACACAAGGUAAAGGAUCAUUGAGGAGGUAGCCAAAUGAAUGUUGAAUUCUUGACUAGUAGCACUGGCUUUGUCAAACUCUUGACCUCUUCCUGGCUUGUCUUAUUAUUAUUAUCCACACAUCUUUUCCAAGUAAAGUGAGCAGAAACAUCAGAGGUUGGAUCAUUGAGGGGGUAGCAAAAUGAAUAUCGAAUUCUUGACUAGUCACACUAGUCAUGACACCUGCAAAUUACUGGCUUGUCUCUUCCAAGUAGAGUAAAGAGAACAGAAACAUCAGCUGUUGGCACUUGGCAGUCGUGUUGGUGAUCAGCAUGAAGUUAAAAUUGCUAACCACUUUGCUUCUGCUCUCAAUAUUUUCCUUAAAAUUUGCUUCGCCACGAUCCAUAGUCGAGACGCUACCAGGAUACUCUGGUACUCUUCCAUUCAAACUCGAAACAGGGUAUGUAUUCCCCUUCCUACUUUAGCUAGACCAACUUUAAUUAGUUCAAAUUGUCGGAAGUAGUGACGAAAAUAACUAUUGGAUAGAAGUAGUAUUUGAUAGAAUUGCUCAGCUAGAGUUGGUAUUCACAAUAACAUUGACUUUGUGGCUUGCGUUAGGUAUAUUAGCGCUGGAAGAGACGAUGAAGUGCAGUUCUUCCACUACUUUAUCGAGUCAGAAAGGGAACCCGACAGGGACCCUCUGAUGCUUUGGCUCACCGGUGGACCUGGUUGCUCUGCUUUUUCCGGCCUGGUUUAUGAAAUUGGUACCUACUUCAGAGUUCAAACACACAAUUAGCUUGCUAUUUACUAGUUAUUCUGCCCUCGUUGUUAACCAAGCUGAUCACCUUGCGAGAUUGUUCUCCUUUUAUUGAGUCCAUAUGUACUCGAAAACGCUGUUUCUUGAUGUUUCACUCCCUUUUUUCUUUUGGAGACAUCUCGGGAAAUUUUCCAAGAGUAAACUAUUCUUCUUGUUGUAGGGGGCGUAAUACACAAUCCUGUUCCUUUCAGAUUCAUUAUUUUUUCACUAUUACGACAGUCCUUUUUUUUUUUUCAUUUUUCUUCCCCUAAAAAUUACAGGGUUAGAUGUUAAACCAUUCUCUGUUUCUCCUCCUCCCUCUUUCCCCCACCUCUCUCCUCCUUCCUCGUUCCCCUCCCUUCCUCCUUCCUUUUCCUCCCUCCCUCUUCCUCCCCAUCCCUCUUUCCUCCCUCCCCCUCUCUUGUCAUGCUGGGUUGUGGGGGGAGGAAGAUGGGAGGGGAGUGUGGAGAGAGGAGAGGGAGGAGGAAGAGGAGGGAGAGGCCGGUGGUGGUGAUGGAUGAUGGGAGGGGCGAUGGUGGGUGGUCAAAAUUUUUUAAAAUUUUAAAAAUAUGUCAAUAAAAUUUUAAAAAUACCCAAAAUACAUUUUAAAAAAUAUCUAAUACAAACGGGCCAUCAACAAUAGUUUUUUCUCACAUUUACCACCAUAGUCAAAUUUUUGAAAGAUAGUGCGAAAACUCCUAAUUCAUAUAGAUCCUAUAAUCUUCGGACAAUGUUGACUUGUGUACUAUUUGAACAAUAUCGUUUCCUAAAUUGUCGAAGAACAAAUAAAAAAGAAAAGAACUUACACGUAACAAAAGAUGUUAUGUAGCCGAAAAGAAAAUUGUUUUAUUAUCCAAACUAAAAUAAUUCUAUCUAUCUGAUAAAAUAAAUGGAAACCAAAUUCCAUGCAGGCCCACUGAAUUUUGAUUUUGAGACUUUUGAUGGGAGUUUGCCGGCGUUCGUCUUGAAUCCAUACUCGUGGACAAAGGUUGCAAAGUCUGUGUUUAUUGUUUACAUUUAAGGAGAUUAGACUAACUUCGGGGACACGGUUGCAGUGGUUUCUGAUACUGAUAUUUGUAUAUGUUGUCUUGCAGGGGAAUGAGGCAGGUAUGAUUAGUUUUAGGUAUAAUUAGUGCGAUUAUUGUACCCUUUUCAUAAUUUGGUAUAUACGGACAUAAUUUUGUUGUAUUUUAUGAUUUGUACACAUUUACGUAACUUUUGUUGUACAUCAUGAAAUAAAACAAAACUAUGUAAAUAUAUAUCAAAUUAUUAAAAAAAAUACAAUAAUCACAUCAAUUGCACUUAAGACCAACCAUACCUGCCCCAAAUCUGUCUUGUGGCACUUCUUAGAUAGCAAGCAUUAUUUUCUUGGAUGCGCCAGUUGGUACCGGAUUUACUUAUGCAACUACCUCAGAGGGUUAUCAUUCUUCAGACAUACAAACGGUUGGAGAUAUAUAUACCUUUCUUCAAAAGGUCACCAAUAAAAUUUUCAAAUUUUUUUUUUAUGAAAGGUUAACUGCAAUAAGUUUAACUUCAAAUAUAUAUAUAUAUAUAUAUAUAUAUAUAUAUAUAUAUAUAUAUCAUGUUUUUGCUAAGAUAUAUCACGAGCGAUAAGGAGUAUAUGAUGCUUGCAGUGGCUUUUAAAGCAUCCUAACUUUAUCAAGAAUCGCCUGUACAUUGCUGGUGACUCAUUUGCGGGCUAUCUUGUUCCAAUGGUCGUCAACAAAAUAUCGCAAGGUUAAAAUUACGCGUUUGUUAUUUUUCCCUCCCUAUUGUAUAAUUAAGAUCAAAGUUUAUCAAUUUUUCCCGAUAUAAUAUAAUCAGCCUAUAAACCCCAAAUAUAAUCACGUAUUGUCAUAUGAGGUGCACAUAUUGCAAGGAAAAGACAAUUAAGUUCAAUUACAUCAUAUACUCUGUAUGUUGUUUUCAAUUGGUUUUUACAAACAGAAGUUAUAAUAUUUGAUUUCAUAAGCAGGCAUUGAGGCAGGCGUCAAUCCAAGAAUGAAUAUUCAGGUGAUUUAUGUACAGUCUGCCUUAAUUUCUUCCCCCAGAGGCAUUAUUAUGCGUGCUUAUAUGAUUGAGUCAGAAAUUCGACAAUAUUCACUAUGAUAUAUUUUUACUAUUUUUACUAUGAUAUUUGAGUUAGGGGUACGUGAUUGGAAAUCCAGGAACAGAAUACCACAUCGAUAAAAAUUCGGUACUACCAUUUGCUCACCGCAUGGCACUUUUAUCAGACAAAUAUUAUCAGGUGUGAAACAAACCAAAAAUCUUAAUUAUGUUGCUGUUAAGUUUGGCAUUGACAUUUUUAUUUAGGAUGCAUUUGAUAAAAUUAAAAUUUGAAAUCUCAAAUCUGACUCUAUUAAUUUAUUGAAUUGUUAAGUAUUAAAAUAUUAAUAUUUAAGCAUAUUUUGCAUUAAUUGAUAAGUGAAGAUUAAGAUUGUUAGAAGCCAAUAGUACGUAGACAGUAGAAGAUUAAGAUAAGCCUUUUCAUUUCAUGAAGCCACUGCUAGGCUGCUGAAAGUCAAUAAUUAGGAAAUUACCUACUAAAAACAUACUGACACCCGCUUGAUAUUGAGAUUGUUUCAGAUGGCGAAAGUUAAUUGUCACGGGGAAUAUGAAAAUCCAGAUCCAAACAACGCGUGGUGCCUUUACGCUCUCCAGUUUUAUAAAGAGGUAGGAAAAACCAGCAUUACAUAGCUUAUCGUAGUAGUUUACAUAAUAAGCGUGUUUCUUGUUGCUUUUGUACCCUGAUAAGUUCUCUCAUAUCCCCAGUCAUAACUUGCUUUAUAAGGUGUUAUCAUUAUUUUUUUCGGAUAUGAAAAAAUUCCCUUGCUAGAUGUAUCUUAAUAGUUGCAUAUUCUUAAUGUAUUUUCUACCAUUAGUUCAGUUUUUACUUGAAUUAUGAUAGAAACUAAACUAUGCUAUUUUAUUUCCUAAUUAGUUUCUUGUUUUGGUUUUUGGUCUUGCUAAAUUUAGUUUUCAUAUUAAUUUAGGAAAUCUCAAGUUAGUUCCAAAUAAAUUUCUGUUUGCAAUUGUGUUUAUUUUGGGAGUUUUGCAGUCUAUAAAUAUUACUAAUGUAGUUGAUUAUUACUUGAAGAAUUGAGUUGAGUCUUAAAAGUGAAUUAAGUGAAAGCAUCUAAGCAUUGUUAUUGUGAGUUAUGGUAAGCGAAAAGGUACAAUUUGAUAUUUUAUUAUUGGGUUUUGAGUCAAUAAAAUUAGUUGAGUUAUUGUAGUAAUUUUGUCCUCCUCCUCUUCUGAUAUUAUUUUAUUUGUUUCAAAAUUGUUUUCGCUGUGCGUGUAUUUUUUGUGUCAACAAAUUAUUUUUAAAAAAUAAAAAGCUUAAGGCUCCCCUCCCCAAAGCUUGCAGAAAGUCAAGAUAGAUUUGGUGAUUUGUCUCAACACCAUCCACCUACCACUAUAGACUAUAGAGUUUAGAUUACAUACAUACCGAACCUGAUGGACUCUGUGAAGUGAUGGUAUACUCGCAAAAUUGGCUUACAAAAUGCAAUCUCCAUUAUCAGUGCAUUAGAAACAUAUUCCAAGCAAAUAUUUUGGAACCGGCAUGCAAAUUCAGGUCAUCCAAGCCUAGUGCAUCGGAAUUGGAUAAGAACACCUAUUUGGAAGAUGACCCGAUCAUCAGGAUGCUCCCUCAAUCAAAUAAAAAGGAAUCGCGGUGUCGGGUAAGUUAUUCAUCUUUUUUUUUGCGUAUCUAAGUUAAUUUUAUAUACACUAUUAUGAUUGAAUAGAUAAAAUAUAUGCAAAAUUUAGAUUUUAAAUUUAAAUUUAAAUUAAUUGUUAUACACUAAAUGAUAGUAGUGUAUAUACUGUUAGUGUAUAUAAAUUAAUUCUAUAUACAUAUAUACUCUCAACUUGGGAGAUCAUUUGAAAAAUUAAUACCCUACAUAUACGCAUGUAGAAUGACAAUUAUGUGCUAUCAUUUGUGUGGGCAAAUGAUCAAGCCGUCCAAGAAGCUCUACACGUUAGAAAGGUAAUGUCGAUCUCAAUCCUCGUCUUCACCCGCAUUUUUUUUAUUUCCCCAAAUAUAUGGUCGUAAUACUCUUAAGGUUUAUGGCGUAUACUUUCCUCUAUGUGAUACAACAGACCUUGGUCAUUGUGACAUAAUAUGCACGUCGCUAAUCUUCAAGAUUAAUUUAGUUACUAACUUGUAUUUAAUUUUUUUUUUGAAAAAUUAGGGAACAAUUAAAGAGUGGAGAAGGUGCAAUAAAAGCUUAUCUUAUGACCAAAUUGAAUACAGUGUUGUCCGAUAUCAUAAGCUGUAAGCAUGAGUUUUGUAACCCCUCAUAUUAAAUCUCAAUGAUUGAUUUUAACGGUUACCAAGGUGUCUAGUAAUUGGUUUGCUAUUAAUUUGAACUAGACAUUUAUUAGGUCUAGUCGAAUUUAUUCCUUCUUAUCACUUAGUUCAUAAACCUUAUGAAUCGUUAAAACCAGCUCUAACAUUAGGUAACAAGACUUCUACAAUUUCGGGUUUUGCUUAGAAAUCAGUCUGAUAGUUUAACUUGCUUCGUCCAAGUUUAUGAGUUGCUUUUUUUUUUUUUCCAUAUUUGACAUUUCAUCUGACUUUAAUAUGGGGACCAAGUUAGUAUUGUUGACAUUUCAUAUCUAAGACUUCUUAAUUAAUUGAUUUGGUAUAAGAACUAUAACGUAUGCGUGUUUUGUAAGCUUUCAUGUUUUUUUUUUUUUUUAAUUCUUGUGGACCAGCAACGGAUAGUUUCUUCUAGUACCAAGCUUCCUUUGAAGUUUUUUUUUUUUUUUUUGCGUGUCCAAAUGUAAAUUAAAAGAACCCAUCAACUUUGAACAAGUCUAUAUCUAGUAAAGAUAGAUAUAAAGAGGGAUACUAUAUCACUACAACGAAAAAGGGAUUUCGCGAGGAGCAAAAGUCCACGCCAAAAGUUUUGACUUCCUUGCUAAUUAAUUUCAACGAGAAAAAUGCUUCCUCGCCAAAUUUCUUGCUAGAUGCUCGUCGCUAAAAGUUAUUAGCGAGGAUGCUGCUGCUUUUCUCGCUAAUGAAACAGAUCAAUAGCAAGGGUUGACCUCCUCGCUAAUAGCUCAAAUACUAUGGCAAGAAAAGCUUUCCUCACCAACUAAAGUUAAAAACUCCCCACAAAAACCAGUAGUUCCUUGCAAAUAGUCAAGGUGUUUUGCUAGGAAAAUAGCGCAUCCUCACCAAUAGUAUAGAAUUAGCAAGGACCCGUGUACCAGUAAAACAUUUUUGGCCAGGAAAGUAUCCUCUCUAAUAAGCGAUAAUUGAUUAUUGCCUAACUGUUUGGUGGGAAAAUGUUCCUCUCCAAUGCUGUUAUGAACAUUUCUUAAUCCCAUUUUAGCAUGCUAAUCUUAAUUCUCUAAGCAAAGUACUGGGUGGUUUUAUUAGAAAAUUUAGCUGCAAAUAGCUUCAAUUUGGCUUCUCAUGUGUCUGCUGUACAUUUUCCAGGUUCUUGUAAGUAUCAAAUUGUUUGGCAAAAAAAAUUUUUUUAAUGAAUCAUGACCAACGUAGCUGCUCGUUAAAUUUAAACUCAUAAUCCCUGGUAUUUGAUAGGUUUUUGGAAUAUCACUUGGUGCCAACAACCCCCUUUUGCUACUUUGAUAAACAUUCAAUAGAAAACAUACAAAAGCUUUGGUUAGCUAAAAAUAAUUGCUACCACAGUAAUACAUCAACAUCCAGCUCUUUCAACAUCUUGAGCCAUACAAUAGGAAGUGCUUGAAAUCAAUUGGCAAUCCAAAUUCUUUUUAGCUCAUUAACUAUCCUAGAAAUCGCAACUUCAGUAAGUCAUUACAGAAGAAGAUUUCAUCGAGAGAACACCACAAAAAGGAGAAGCAGAAAAAAAAAUAUAACAGAGAGAGAGAGAGAGUUAAACUAGUCAUAUGGACACAUAUUUGUCACCUCAGUAUUUCCGAUUCCUUAAUUAAGUCCAGUUAUCUUGGAACUCUAUCGGCAAUCCAUGGAACAUUUUUUGAAUGACAAUAUGCUGUUGCAACCUUUUGAUGAAGACUUCAAAGGUUCUAUGAUAAGGUUGCAUUUUUGUCAUUAAUUCUAUGAUUAUUUUCCUCGUUUAUAUUACCAAAUAUUGUAUUAAUUGAUUGAUUCUACUUAUAUUUGAUACUUUGUGUCAAUUGUAGGAAGGUGGAGCAAAAAGUAAUAAAAGAGAUGAUUUUCAAGAGUUUUCCAAUUCAAGAUGGAGUUUACGUGGAGUAUUGGAUGAAAAUUAGGAAACUACAACUUUUUAUUAGAUGUCUUAUUAGGGAACAAUUAGCAUUAGUUGGAGAAGUUUCCUUUUGCAAUUAGAAUUCUAUUUUUAGUUGGCCAAUGGAUGGCCGAAGUAGUAGACUUCGAUUAGGAAACAAAGAGAAAAAAAAAAGAUGGCCGCUGGUCUCUUCUUUAGUGAGUCUUUAGGGAAAAACCAAUGGUUAUUGAUGGAGUCAUGCGGAUAUCCCCUGAGGAUGUGAAGCUAAAUCUCCGUUUUCUGGUCGAAUGUCAAUCUGAGAACUCGGUUCCAAACAUCUGUGAGAUCAAAUUAUUUUACUUAUUUCUUUUAUUCAUUGGUAUUUGUGCAUUUUCUGAUUUAACUUCUUAUGCUUGUUAUGUUAUUUGAAUGUCAAGGGACCGAUAUUCGAAUUAACCUAAUAAUCUACUGCCAGAUUAAUUGAGUGAAUCCGUAAUUGUUCAAUUGGUUUCAUGUUAGGGAAAUGUAUGAUUUAACUUAAACAAACCCUCGUAGUGUGUUUGUUAGUUUGAUUGAGUUUUUCUAAUUCUUAUUGCAAUCAAGAAAUUAAAUCCUACAGUCGUACCUAGGGUUAUUUCUUGGUUAGAAAAAUAGUUAAUGGUCGUACCUUGACUAUCGAAAAAGUAAGGAAAUGUUGGUUAUUUAUCGCGUAUAUAACAACUAUAACCAAUCUAUUAAUUAGUAAUUAAAUUAUCUUUGCAUCGAUGAUUAAUUGAAUUGACCGUGCCUGAAAAGUUACACCUUUAACUAGAGUUGUAUUGGUUAUUGAUUAAUUCCUAUUUAUUUCUAUUAGUUGUUUCAUUAGUUGGUUAAUUAGUUAUUUUAUAUUUUCCAAUAACCCCCCAUACUUCGGACUCUGGAAGAAAUGAAUUAUCCCCAAUCCCUAUGGAUGCGACCCUACUCACCGUAGGGGCGGGCAAAAAAACCCGCCGAUCCGAAAACCCGAUGAACCCGAUCCGAUCCGAUCCGAAAAAUAGGAUACCCGAUCCGAUUUUUCUUAGCGGGGCAGAUGAGGGUCGGGUACUCGAAAAAUCGGGUACGGAUACGGAUCAGAAAAAUAAAAAUCCGCGGGUACCCGACCGGCAGGGUAUAUUUUAUAAAUAUUAAAAAAGUAGGGAUCAUUUUAUAAUUUUGUAAUUUUUAAUUCUAAGUGCAAGUGAAGUGGCUCGCAGCCUCAUAUUUUAAUCCUAUAUGAUCUACUCUUCUCAUUUUUUUUUUAAGAAAGUGAAUAUUCUCGGUGAAACAUGAACAAAAUGAAAAAAAAAAUUUGUGAAACUCUGUUAUAAAAAUUGUCCAUCCCUUUCAUCUUUUUUAUUUUUAUUCUACCUCCAUCGAUCUUUCCUGCAAAUCUUGCAUCAAUUCAAUCAAAGAUUUUUGUUUCGAGUCUCAAUUUUCUGUUAGCUAGAUAAUUAAAAUAUUUGUGUCAUUCAUUUGCAAUUAUAUCUCUUAAAUUUGUCUCUUUUAUUUAGUGUAAGAAAUUUAUUUUUCUUUUUCAUCACCUUAAUACCAUAAGGUCUAUUCCAAAGAUGUAAAGAAGUUGGGGAAGAUUUUUAACAUUAUUUUGGUUAUAUUUUUUUCAAAAAUAAUUAGUUCUAUUCAAUUAUUUUCCGAACUUGAUUUCACAAUUGACUUAUUUGAGAUGCGGUCUUGUACCAUAAUAUCCUUGGGGAAGUUACCAAAUACUUAUUAUCCUUGUGUUUGUUGUGUUGUAGAAGUAUGAAAUGUGUGAAAAUGGUGAUGUACUCAAAAUUAUUAUGAAACUUCGUUUUGUCCAUUAGAUAUUCUAAUAUGUACUAAAUUUAUGAGAUCGAUUUGAUUAUUGGAUGAAAUGUGUGAAAAUGGUGAUGUAUGGACUUUAAUUACAAUAUCUCUACCAAUAUUAAUUGGAAAAGCAUGUUUUUUUUAUUGAAAAACGUGUUGAUAUUAAGUAGAAAAUACAUUUUUUUAUUGAAAAAUAGUUUUUUUUAGGGGCGGGUACCCUAUGACCCGCCCCUUUUUUCGGGUACCCGCUAUUCGGGUACCCGAAAAUAUUAGGAGCGGGUUAAGGUCGCAAAAUGGCUGAUCCGAUAUAUUAGGGUCGGGUCAGCCAAAUCAUGUUAGGGGCGGGUACCCGACCCGUGCCCACCCCUAACUCACCGCUAUAUACAAAUUUGUAUUUGUCUUGAAUAGGUAAUUAUUAUUGCACAGAUUCGACACCUGUCAUUCUAUAACUGAAUACAGAGUCAUCUUUUCAAAGAUUUCCCAUGCUGCAAAAUGUACUCUACGAGCUUUAUUUCAUCUUCCUCCCCUAUAAAUUUGCUGAUUCCAAUCUGCCUAAGAUGUUCAACAAAGCGUAUUGGGAAAACUGUUUGAAAAAGUAGAUUCCAAGUCCUUGUAUAUGCAGAGUCCUCCUUCCACAACUUUACAUAUUGAGAAGAUCAAAAAUUGCAGAACAUAAUAAUACUUGAAAUUAGUGAGAAUAUAUCCAAAAGAAACAAAAUAUUAAUACCUGAAAUCAGGUUUUACAAUCAGUCCACAAAAAGCACCUAAACCCAAAUAGCCCAUGUUGGAAUAGACCAAGUUUAGUUCAACUGCAGAAAUUCCUAGUACAAUGGAACUGCAACUUCAACUUCAGUAAAUUGCAAGCUGGUAUUAUGAUUCUAUGAAUCCUGAAAUCUCCCCCAAGUCCUCUUGCCUCCAACACUAAGUAUGUACACAGACGCUGACCUGUUCUAUACACUAGGAAAAUUCAGAUCAGACGGCAUUCAAUAGAACUGCCUUGAUUUGGCUCCAUAUCAGCACUAUUGCUCUUUAAAUCUAACUUGAUUAAGCUGCACAAAAAGGGAAGAUUACAUUAGAUGGAGAAAUUUUACUGAUUGCAUAUGAAAUAGGGGCUAAAACCAACUAGGAAAAGCAGAGAAGUUAACCUCAACCGACCAGGAAACAAGAUGCAAAAGUCAGAGGUUGUUAGCUUAAACCUCAACCAAACGAAAAAUGCAAUCUUUGAUAUUAAACACAUAACCCACAUAAGUUAGCUUCACAGACUCCAGAAGGAUGGUUGGAACUCAAUUUUCCUAAAAUUGUGAGGAAAAUAAUGCAAUCUUAGGAAUCUAACACAAAUAAUGGUAAUAAAAACACACAAGAAGGGUAUGAAGACUUACAAAAUGGCACCAAAAUAUAGAUCUAACAGUAUUUGAAGCAAAUGGAUGAAGCAUUGAAGUUGUUCUAAGAUUUUUUGACAGCAAUUAAACCUAAGCUCCUUCACGUUUAGCAAUUCAUAGGAGAUAGAUAGGAGGCAGGUCUUCUUUUUUAGCAAUUCCUCAGAGGUCUCCUUCCCAUUUAGCAAUUCCCGCAUCUGUUCUUCUAUUUUUGGACUAAAAACCACCGAUGUUGGCCUUUGAGAGAAGAACAGAUGCUUGCUUCUCAAUUGACAGAGACAAGAGAGGACCAGCCUUUCUAUGUACAUAUCCCUCAGCCUCUAACAAUCCUUUGAAUUUUGAUGGACGUUGCGGGAAAAAUAAAAUUCUUGGAGGGAAUAAAACGCGCGUCCUAAAUUCUAAUUUAAGUGUUGUAGUUAAAAAUUUCUAAGAAUUGGAGUAUAUUAUAUAAUAUAUAGAAUGAAUAUUGAGUAUUAGAAGUAUAUAAUUUGAAAGAAAUCAUGUAUGAGAAAACGAAACUAAUGAAAAUAUUCAUGUGCAAUCAAUAUAAUAAAUUGUCAUAUUUAUAAUUUUUAAGUUUGCAAUCCAUAAAUAUAGUAACAAAUAAUGUAAUUCAUGUGCAAUCAAUAUAAUUAUAUUGUUAAUUAAGGUUAUAAUUGUGCUAUAUAAAGUAUUUGGGACAAUUUGAAAAAUAUCUAGAAAUUUGGGACUACUUAUAAUAUAUUCAAAAUGUAUUUUGAUUAAACUAGACAACUUGUUCUUUCUUGUUGGAAAUCGAAAUUCAAUUAUGGAACAAUAUACAUGGAAAAGUUGACCUUAUAUGUGUAUAAAUCAUCUUAUUAAUAAAAUAGUUAAACACAGUACAUUUAGUUAACUAUGAUUUAGUGAUUGAUUAUUACAUCAUUUUUUAUAUAAUACGAUAAUUAAAUAUUACAUAUAUAAUAAAAUGUUUCAAAUAUAUUUUAAUUGAUAGAAAAAAUGGUAUACAUACAAUAAAAAAAUAAUUAAAGAAAAUUUUGAGAGUAGAAUUUUGUGCUAAAAAACAUGUAUUUUGGGUUCAAAUUUAUAACCCACCACUUAUCCACUUAGAAUUAGCAAAAGUAUUAAUUCAUUUCUAAAGACUCUAAACCAAACUAAUUUAUUAUAAUAAAGACACAAAACACUAGCUCCAUGUGAUAACCUAUAGCAAAGAUCAUCUAUUCACUUUAGAUAAAUAUAUGAGUCAAAUUUAAAGAUUCAUCAAAUUUUCUAGGUUUUAAAAUUGGGGUGAUUUAUUUACAUGGAUUUAAAGCUGUCUAAAUAUAGUUUACUAUGCAAUAAACGACACUCAAUUUCGAGUUUUCUACACAAAGAUAUGGCCAAAAUACCAAAAUUGUUACUUAAUUUUUUGAAAAAUAGUAGGGUCGUAGGAUCGUAUGAUCUGGAUCACGAUCCUAUUGAUCUUGUUAAUUUAAUGCUAAUUUUUUAUCCUACUUACAAUUUGGAUCGUUAGCCAUGAUCCAUAUCGUAGGAUUGUAGAUCGCGAUUCUAACAACUACGGUUGUAGUUAAAAGUUUCUAAGAAUUGAAGUAUAUUAUAUAAUAUAUAGAAUGAAUAUUGAGUAUUAGAAAUAUAUAAUUUGGAAGAAAUCAUGUAUGAGAAAAAUGCAACUAAUGAAAGUAUUCUCAAUAUACAGUUGAAAAAAUAACUAAGUUUGUUGAAGCUCUAGUCUUUUGCUAAUUGUUUUCUCACCUAUAUCUUAUUUGAUUUGAUUAUUUAUUUAAUUUCUUAAUUAGUGAUUAAAAACCCUCUAAAUUUAAAUUUUAUUAUUUUUAUUAGAGUAAUCAAAGUAGGAAAAAUUAACUCAUUCCUAUAUGUUUGACCGUGGAGUACUCCAAGUGAAUUAUUAUUUCGAUCAACCCUAUACAGUUAUAGAAAUUCAUCGAUCACACAGCAACUAAAAAAAAAAAUUAACGCACAAUAAUGUCAUGAGCACAGUUCCCAUCUUAGUUGUUCAACAUUCACGGUGGAUUUCAAUUAGUGGUAAACAGAUAAAGGCAUCGAAAAAAGUAAUCUAAUUACUAGAUAAUUGAAUUUAUACUACAGCAUAUUUCUUUUUUCUACUGCAAAAACUUAACUAAUUUAAGACAAUGUAGUCCAAGCUAAUUGAAGAUUAAUUUUCCCCAAAAAAUGUUCAUGAUAAAAACUCAGACAAAGAGAUAAUACAACAACUUACUUUUGGAGGUGAUCUUAUACGGUUUUUAUUAACAAACUAAUUAGCCACUUAAGCCUUUUUUUUUUUUGGGACAGUACAUGACAAAAUGAGGAGUAAAUCAUUCACUUAGCAUCUAAAAUUUUCCCUCCAUAUAAUUAGUUCAACCUGAUUUAAGACUAAAAUUUUUACUAUAGGAAUGUUCGUGAUUCAACAAUGAAACACCAUAUAAACUUAUUUUGGGAGAUUUUUCCUCGAAGACAAAAAAUGAGCAACCAAUCAGAAAGUCAUACUUACAUAUCAAAAUCGAUACAGUCUACUUAAUUCACCAGCUAUGUAUAUUUCAUCCAUUUUCACAUGAUAGAAAGAACAAUAAUGCAUGGCAUUAUCGAUCAUAAAUUGCUCAUAUAAUAUGCGAUCUAUUAUGCAUCUAAGGCUUUGAAUGGAACUUAACUCAAUUAUACGAUCAUAGAAAAUGAGCUUUUAGUAGUUAUUUUUGCCUUAGAAAAAUUUCAUUCUUAUUUAUUAGAAGAUAAGUGAUUGUGUAUUCUGACUAUGCAGCGCUACGGUACUUAAUGACUAAGAAGGAUGCUAAACCAAGAUUGAUAAGAUGGAUUUUGCUUCUAUAUGAGUUCAAUUUGAAAAUUCGUGAUAAAAAGGGAGAAGAGAAUUUAGUUGCCGAUCAUUUGAGUCGAUUGUCGAUUGUCAAGGAUGAUUUUAUAUUGAGGAAAACUUUUCCUAAUGAGCAACUAUUUUCUGUUAAUCCCUCUCUUCCUUGGUAUGCGGAUAUUAUUCAUUUCUUGACCACUAAUCAAUUGCUUGCACAUUGGUAAAAAACAAAAUGAGAUAAGCUCAGAUGUGAUGCUAAGUAUUACUUAUGGGAUGACCCCUAUUUAUAGUGGCAAUGUGCAGAUCAAGUACUGCGCAGAUGUGUAAGUAAGAGUGAAUUUAAUUCUAUUUUACUAUUUUAUCACUCUUAUGCAUGUGGACGCCAUUUUAGACCACAAAGAACAGUUCGUAAAGUAUUGGAAAGCGAUUUUUAUUGGCCCACAAUUUUCAAAGAUACAUACUUGUUUCGUAAGUCAUGUAAUAGAUGUCAAAGGUAGGAAAUAUUUGUCAUAAAAAUUAGAUACUAAAAACCCUUAUGAUUUUUUUGUGAAAUUAUUGAUACAUGGGAUAUUAAUUUUAUGGGUCCAUCUCCUUCAUCUUUUGGUUUCCUUUACAUCUUGUUGGCCGUAGAUUAUGUGUCCAAGUAGAUAAAAACAAAAGCCACCCAAGCUUAUGAUUCUAUAGUGGUUACAGAUUUCAUUCAAUCACAUAUUUUUGUUCAUUUUGGGGUACCACGAAUUAUAGUAAGUGAUCGAGAAAAACACUUUUGCAAUAAAAUGAUGGCGGCUGUAUUUCGUAAAUAUGGAGUGACUCAUAAGGUAUUUACAUCCUAUCACCUCCAAACAAAUGGUCAAGCAGAGAUUUCGAAUAGGGAAAUUAAAUAUAUAUUGGAGAAGAUGGUUCGCUCUGAUAGGAAGGGUUGGAGUUCACGAUUGAACGAUGUACUCUGGAUUUAUAGGACAGUCGAUAAGAGUCCUAUAAGUAUAUCUCCCUAUAGGUUGGUAUUUGUGAAGCCGUGUCAUUUACCGGUUGAGCUCGAGCACAAAGCAUAUUGGGGGAUCAAGAAAUGCAACAUGGAUCUUGAUGAGGCUGGAAUACAUAGAAAACUUCAAUUACAAGAAUUGGAAGAGUUGAGGAAUAAUACUUACAAGAAUGCAACACUAUAUAAAGAGAAGAUUAAGGUUUUUCGUGACCAAUAAGUUGCAAGGAAAUCAUUUGUAGUUGGGCAAAGAGUUCUUCUCUAUCAAUCUCGUCUAAAGCUCUUUCUAGGUAAGUUACUUACGCUCUCGUUGGGCUGGUCCAUUUGUUGUGAUUAAUAUUUUUCACUAUGGCGCAGUGAAAAUUCAGAAUAUGCAAAUAGCUAAGAAAUUUGUGGUUAAUGGUCAUUGUUUUAAACCCUAUUAUGAAAGUGUUUCAAUGGAGAAGGUGGAGAUAAUAAAUCUUGAAGAUCCCACUUAUGCUGCUUGAACAAUAUUCGACCAUGUCUAAUCAAAAACAUUAAAGCAAGACGCUUAUUGGGAGGCAAUCAAAUUCUUUUUUUAUUGUUUGUUCACUAAUAUUAUGUGUUUCACUAUGUUUAUCUUAGGUUUUUCAAAUUUGGUAUUUUAAUUUUAAUUUUUAAUGUUUUAUUGGUUAGGUGACUUUCUCCCAACAAGGCGUGCCCACGCCUUAAAGGCAUGUGGUAAUGCACAAAUAUCCAAUUCCAUCAUUAGAAAACUAUGGACCAACAUGACAUGCCCACGUCUUGAGGGUAUGUUGUAACUCGUAAUUAGCCGACUUUAUCAUCAAAAGAGUUUCAACCAAUAAGACGUGCCCGCGUCUUGUCCUAGCAAGGGAAAAAAAACCAAUUGAACCCAAAAGAAUUUUCUUUUCUCUUCUUUUUUUUGCUUUCCUUUUUUUUAUUCUUUCCUUUGCCUUUUCCCUUUUCUAUUUCUUUUCCUUUCCUUCUUUCUUUCUUUCUUCUUUCUUUUUUUCUUUCUUUAUUUCGCUCUUUCAUUUCCUCAACUGCAUGGCCAAAACUCUACAUGUUGCUUGCACGCCGUUCAUCGCCCCACCGUCCAUUGCUGUCGCAAUUCGCUAGUUUGUCUCUACUACCUUUGCUGUAUUCGCUAUUCGUCAAAGCCUGUCACUGGUUUUGCCAUUGCCCAUCUCUAGUUUCGUCGUUGCUCGCUAUUGUGCCAUUCACCGCUGCUUGAACCACCAUGAACGUCCAUCCUCUGCCAGCGACAGCCAUCGCUCCGCACUUUCUCUGUUGUCUUGUUUCUACUGACCCAGUUUUUGGUAUUCUUGUCCUUCUCUUUUAAAUAUUGUUGGGUUGCUACUUCGGAGUUUAUUAGAAUUUCUUUUUGCAGGGUUGAUUUAAUUUGUUGAUUGGGUAUUCCUCGAAUUGUUGGAUUGGCACUACCUGACAUUUGCUUGUUUUCUGAUGAUGACCACUAACUUGCACUACUAUUUUGCAUCCAUGGGGAUUCAAUGCUGAUUGGAGGUUAUAAACUGUGGUGAAAUUGCCGCUACUUACUUGCCAAUUGCUAAUUGUUGAUAUUGAUAGGAGGUAUUGUUCUUACAUUUCUAGUUUUGUUAUUAAAUAGUGUCACAUCUCUUGGCUCUUUACUGUACACUUUGAUUUGAGAUUGCUUGGCUAUCUUUAGUCGUUUGGCAAACAUUAGAGGCUCGUAUUUCGCCAUUGUCUGAAUUGUUGUUUAUAGCUAUUUUUGGAUUUAGUUAUCUAAAUGGCUAAGAAAAAAAAGACCACCAAGGCCAACACCCCUAUGACUAAAACCACUCCCCCAUCCCAACCAACUAUACCCAUGACAGACCCUUCUACCAUCCUUCUUUUUCGGGUAAAUGGGCAUGCUUAGGUAGGGACAAGGGGGUCUAUAUCUCCUCACUGUCCCACUUUGGAGGUAAUUUGGCUCUCACCAAAGCCGUCGAUAAGCAAAGAUACUCUAAUUAUUAUGAGUGGCAAAUUAUUCCUUGUAAAUAUCUUGACCCUCCCAUCAUGGUUUCUUUGAAUAUCUUUGAGAAUAUUGCACAAAUGUUUACUGCCAUAGGCUGGCCUUCUUAUGCCGAAAUACAAUGUCCUACUUUUGUUGAAUUGGUUAGAGAGUUUUACGCCACCUUUGAGUUUGAUCAAUCCAUGGGGUAUUCUGUCACAACCUCGAAUGUGAUUCAAUUUUGAUUGAUGGGUAGGGAGUUUAAGUUCUCCAUUACCAAGUUUAAUUUGGUAAUGUGAUCCCAUUACCUAUGUAAGGUCACAAUGUUAGAGAUGUGAAAUUAUAUUGCAAUGGUCCCUAAAAUCCAACUUGAUCGAUAGGAACACUAAUUAGGUGAAUACGAGGACUCUGAUUCAACUCUCAUUUUUCCUCUCAAAUUACACUAAUAUUUUUAAUCAUACACUCAUCCCCUUACUAACUUCCUAUGGGCCCAAUAUGUUGAGUAGAAUUCGAUUGGAACAACCGAAAGGAAAAGAAAACAAAUACAAAACAAUGAAAUAAACACUUAGUCGAGUUGGAACCUCAGAGGAAGUGAGGAGCACAAGUGCGAACAGAUCACCAAGGAAAAAGAAACAAGUUUUUCGAGAAUGAAAUUUGAUUUCAAGCUCAAUCAAAUUCUAAGAGUCAAUGAUAAGAUCGAAAAAUGUGGAACCAUUGUUAAGAUGUAGAUGGAGAUGGUUGCUUAUUGAGCGUUGGAAGUAUUUCAUAUGCAAGUUGUAAUUAUAUCUCAACUUGUAUUUUUUUUUUUGAAAAACAGGUCAUGGAUGCGUCAAACGUACAGUGGUUCAGGCAAACAAUAUCCAAUCCAAUCUAUUCAAAGGCAACAAAAACAUCCGCUGCUCAUGCGACAGUAUGCACAAAGUGCUAUAUAUACAACCAAAAGGGAAUUUAUUUAUUCCAAGAAACAAUGCAUAUUCCUGUAUAUAGUCUUGGCUUUAACGAGUUCAGUCCCUUGUGCUAUUCUUUAUCCAUUCAAGAUAUUGGAGGUUGCCACCGGUUAUGGGCAAGGCGAUCACUUCUGGCACCUCGUAUUCGUGAUUCGCCUUGACAUGCUCUGUCUGAGCAUCCAAAAGUGAUUCCCUAGUCUUAAUUAUUAGCAACUCUUCAGGAUCUGUCUGCACCUCCCCUUUCCACUCAUAAACAGACUCUAUUCCUGGAACUCGGUUUACACAGGCUGCAAGCUUUUCUUUAACUAUGCUUUCUGCCAGUUUCUUUAUUUGGAACAGUGACAUAGACAACAAUGCUGGGAACAGUUCUGCUGCUUGCUUCCAUCCUUAUCCUAUUUGUACUAUGAACACUACUACCAACUUUUGAUCCCAAGAUUGGGAGAAAGUGGAGGGAUUGAGCACAACCCGUUUUAGAGGAGGGAUUAAAAGAGGGGCAGAGAUUGGAAAGACCGAAGCUUAGGACACAGAAAGUACCUACUAGUGGUAAUCGGCGACGAACUACUGAAGGUGAUACUAAAGAUGAGAGCUUUAAUGCCAUCUAAGAUUGGAAUUUGGUGGGGCUUUAUAGUACCACCAACUACUGUUUCCUUAGUGGAUGAUUUAUUCCCAACCGACGAGGUUGGGGAUGGCUCUCAACUUGUAUAAUUUUAAUUUAAUAAGAUUAAAUUAAUGACCAUGCCAAUGAUUUCUGCGUCAUGCAUGACAUUCUUUUUUCUUGUACUCUCCCAAAAGCUGAAAAUUCUCAUCUCAAUCUCCUCCUCCAGCGAUGGCUGCAUGUCUGUACAUGUUCCCCCACAACAAGAAUAAUGAAUCAAUUGCCAUAAUUGCACGCAUUUAAAUUUUUUGAGCUGGUGAUAAAUUGCAUAGUUUUGAUUUUUUCUGUUUCCGGUUCCCACUCUAGCUACUUCUAGAUUUAUUAAUUGGGAAAAAAAGAAGAAGGAAUAAAUUAAACCUUAUUUAAUUACUUUUUUAGUUAGGAUAUCUAUAGCGGAUGUAAUUAUCUCUAUAGAAAUGAAUGAAGCAUCCUAGCUUGUGAUCAUUAUCCUCUGUUGCAAUUCUCUUGUUCAAACUUCAAAUUACGGUUUUGUUUGAUAACCUAAUUCAGCACUUAAAUUUAAUAGAUUCAGAUUUUAACAUGUUCAAACACGUUUGAUAACCAAAAUUUGAAUAUUUGAAUAAAUUAAGUGGUACUAAAUUUUCUAGAUAAAACUUGCUCCUAAAGACAAGUGAUAAGUUAUUCACUUAUCACUUAAUAUGAUAUAUACUCAAAUGUAUCAGAUUUAAUACAUAACAAUUUAAUAAUUUAAUGAAUUCAAAUUUCAAAUUUUAGAUUUUAAUUUUAUCAAACGCAUCAAUGCGAACUGAAUAUGAAAUCCAAAGUUGAAAAUCCAAGGGGUUAGAACUUUGAAACAAUAGUGCCUCUAGGCAAAUUCAGCAUUUUUACAUUCUACUGAUUUAGGGCAUCUUCAAUUAUCAGUUUCAACUCCAUGGUAAAAUAUAGAUAUUACCUCUAAUAGUUAUACGCACUUACUGACGGGCUUUUGCUAUACGUACAAGUUAAAAAAUCCGAAAUACACCCGUUUCACUGCAAGUAUAGAGGUCAACUAGUAGUUAAUGGUAUAUAUCGGGUUGAUCCCACGAAAAAGAUUGAACAAUUACCGGCACUACUAAAGCUUCUCUAUUAUUUAGACUAUUAAUGAAUUAUAAGAAGUAAAACCUACUGAACUUAUACAAGAAAAUAACAAAUGAAAGCUCCUUAGGUUAUGGUAUUCCCUAAUUACUCAUGCAAAUGUUAUUUUUAGAUCAUUGAGAACUACUAUCUUGGCUAGCUAUGGUGUAAUUUCCUUAUGCAUAUGAAUCCUACUUUCGUAGUGAAUCAAUUAUACUCAUAAUUAAUCCAUACAUAUUCUCAUGGUUAUGAAAUUAGCUACAAGUUCAUUUCUUUUGUGAAAUUAUAUGAAAUGAAUCACUAAAACCACAUAGGUGCACCUCUAUUCUCAUGUGAGUGUACUCCCCAUGUUUAGCACUUCUUGAACCAGUGUUAAAUCUCAAUUUUCAUUGCAGAAACAACACCUUAGGUAAUCACAAUUAAUGACACUAGAUUAAUCAUGGUUUAAAGAGCUAAAAUGCUAAAUAACUUGCUCAAAAUAAUAGCAUCAAAUAGCCAAAUAAUAAACACUAGCAAUUAUAGAAAGUUCAACCAAAACCCAAGACAUAAACUUUAGAAACACAUAAUAAUAUAUAAAUCCAUAACUUGUAUAUUAACUAAACUUGGAAUGAAGUACAAAAGAUAAAGAGUUGGAAAGGAAUGUAACCCUUGUCACAUGAGUUCAUCUCCUCGCCUUCUUCAUCCUCCAACCUCUUCUUCAUCUAGCAAAUAAACAAGAUGGAUGAACUAACUAGCUAACUAUCUUAUACUAUACUAACCUAACACUCAUAAAAUGGAAGAACUACAUUUCUGCAGACUCCAAACUUUCUCCCGUAUGUCCCUCCUUGAAUCUUGUAAGUUUUGGCUAUAUAAACAUGAAAGUGGUCAAGAAAUGAGGCCUACACUUUUUCCCUUACAGUUGGUAAUGUUUGUCACAUGUCUAGCAUUACAUGUAACUUAUUGGAAGAGAAACCAAGUUGUCCGCGUACAGAGCAGCCUUUUUUAACAGAAAUCUGGCCAAGUUCCGACCAGAUUGCUACAAUGACCUUUUGUGCAGUUUCUGUUCAAUUUCCAGCUCUGGUCCGAUUUUUCCUCAACUUCAACUGAACUUUUCUUGAUGAUAGAAGAUGAUUUAACUCUUGACCAAAACAUAAAACUUGUAUCACUUUAAGUUAGCUUUCCAAUGCAUCAAGAAUCACCUCAUUUGGAUUUGUGUAGGCUAAGAAAUGAUUGAAAUACCCUUAACUGCUCAAUGUCCUAUUUCAGUUUCGACUAAUAGAAAUUAGCUACUGUAAUUUGGAUUUUUGACCUGGAAAACCUUAGAAUUGGAUUUUGAUGUCUUCACCAAAGUUGUAGAUCUAUCUCUUAUCGGUUCAAGAAUCAUCUCAAUCCGAUCACUGUAGCUCAAGUUAUAGCCAAAAUACGAAAAUAUAUCAAAACUGUAAAAAAUGCACAAAAUGCAAGUUAAAAGUGAUAAAACCUCAUUUAAUCACUUAAAAACAUUUUUCACCAAUUAUAGCCAAAAUGAUUCAUUUUCUUCCAAUAAUAUAACCAAAGUGACUAAAAAUGAUAUAAAAUGUCAUUCAAUUAUUACGUAAAUUAGUCACUUAUCACUUACACAACAAAUACAGAUUGUGAAAUUAAUUGUAUAAUUUGAUAUUUUGUAGGUUUUUUGGAUAUAAUUUUCACGUUUAGGAAAAAGAAAAUAUGUUAGUAAGUAAUAAUGUGAUACCCCUUGUCCCACGUUGGAAGUGGGAGGCGAAAAGGAUUGAUAUAUAUAAGAUUUGGUCUCAUAAGUUACUAGUUAUUUGGAAUAACCAUUUCGGGACAGUGAAUUUCGACACAAAAAUUACUUAGGCCAACCAUGGGCUUGGAUGGUGACAAAUAACUUACUAGAAGCUAGGUAUAUUUAUGUUUAUAUGUCCUGAAAGCAGAGUAGUUCAGAAUCUAGAUAAUGGUAACGAUAUGAUGAAAAUGAGAAGUUAUAUGGUAAACUUUAUAGAUUAAUAAUUUCAUCAAGGCAUCAUAUACAAGCAUGAUGACACAAUCCCAACUUUCAUUCUUUUGUUAAAUCUUAGUGUUUUUGUCUUAGAUUUUUUUCAAAUAAAGGAAGGAUGGAAUUUAAGCAAUAGAGGGGUGGAAGGGGAAUUUGAAUUCAAAAUCUCUAAUUUCUAAGUUUUUCACUAAGCAAUCGUCAAAACCAAAAAAUAAAUAAAUAAAAAGCAAAAAAAUGAGGACCUUGUGGUCAAUGCUCCUGUUCGAAGACAUCAUCUCCCUCUAUUGAAAUCUAAGUACCCUUGGUUGACAAUUUGUUUCCCUGAGCAUCCAUCAACACUUUUAUAUAGUAUUAGAUUAGAUUAGAUUGUCAAUGCACCAUCAAUAUCCUUAAAUAUAAAAGCUAAAGUAUAGUAAUCAAAAUACUGUUAGUAAUCUGUAUGAUUAUUUUUUAUCCUUUAAUGUUUUAGUUUUAGGAAGAUCACAAAUGCUGCGUAUCAAGCAUGCCCUAGGCUAAAUUAAGGUAAAUUAAGUACAUUGCUAAAAUGGAGAGCAUUGCUAAAUUAAGUACUUUAAGAUAAAGACUUAAGCAGCCAGAUCCAUUUGAUGUCAGCUGCUUCAAUAUCCACCUCAAAAUAAAUUAGCCUUUGUUCUAGAUUUAGCUUAAUGCUAAGUCCCUUCACCAUUCUUAGUAAUAAUUCAAUUCUGCCUCAAUUUUCUUCUGAUCUUCAAGGUAAAUGUACAAUAAAUUUCAAAAUAUAUCCCAAAUAUAUGAAUUUCUUGAAACCAUCCUUCAAUCUCAUUACCUACUCAACAAAAUGUUCCAUAAACACAAAUAUAUUAAUGAAUUUGGAGUUGAUUCGAAGAAUUGACGAGAACAACAGGGCUCCUUAGAUUUAACAAUUUCAAAUAACCCCAAGCUAGAAUUUUUCAUAUAUUCAAACAAGAAAUUGGAAAAAUCUGACUAGCUUGCAACGAGUACUACAUCUCAAGACAAGGGAUCUUUUCAGUCAACUCUUUUAUUGUAUCGAAAACCUACUUGCAUCUAUGAAUAAGCAAUGCUGAGUGAUGAUAUUUUUAAGGGCAGUCCAAUUCACUCAAUACAAAAAAUAUUUUUAAAUGAUGAUAUUCACAGGAACGUCUAUCUUACUUAAACAAACAAUAAAAAGGAGAUUGAUUGAGAAAUGGCCACAUUAUCUUAUCAUUCUUAAUUAUCAUUAGUUCAAUAAUCAACUUUAGCAGUCCGGAGACUUGUUCAAGGCUGCAACUUGUACAAGGACAAUAAAUUCUUUAUUCCUGCGUCCGGAGACUUGAGACGUGGACGCUUCAUUAGUCAAUAAUAAUAAAAGUGUGGAAUUCGACGACUAUUCUUAGCUCGUUCAAGGAAACAGAGAAAAGACGCUCUUGUACAAGCAACAGGCACAGCUACUUAAACUAUUGGAUAAUUUCAUAGACCUUUCCUGAAGUUUUGGACAAUUUCAGCUAGUACCCCUCUUAUUUUCAAUAUUACGCUGACCACUCUUACUUUAACUAGUGUUGUGACCAAUUCAGCCCAUAUAGGUAAAAGAAAUGGAAUAAAUUGACAAGAAAUGGUAUCAUCACAUUUUAUUCCACAUUUACCCUUGUAGACCCUAAAAGAAAUAUUGUAACAUAGGACAAACUUCACUUUGUCCCUCCGAAGUUGAAUCACUUUUCUAUUCUAUACACUGAACUUCAAUUUUGGAUGCUUUGCAUGUGGUUGGAGGCAAAAGCAUAGCAGAGCCCUUUUUGAGUCUCUGAUCGUUAUUAUCACAUGACCAUUGCUAAUUAUACUAUUGCUUUUGAAUGGAAAUAGCAUAAAAGUCUUAGUGAAUGAACAAAUUGAAUAGACCAUUUCGCAGAGCAGUGAAAUAGUCCAAAGCUGUGAAGCACAGUGAUAAGCUACAAAUUAUAGUGGUUUGUAUUUAUUAAUUGUCAAUGAAUGGUUGUAUUUGAGCUAUAAUUUGAAUGGAUGUUGCCUAAUUUAAGUAUAUGUUGGUUUUUGUGGGAAAAGCACGCGAUUGAGGAGGAAAUGAAUCGAAAACGCAACAAAAGGGGAAGAAUGCCAAGACACAAGGAUCCGUGGGUGGAUCCUAUGUCCAACGCCAAACAUUGAAAGGGACUUUGCGAGGACUUCUUCUAGUUCUAAUGAUUGGAAAACCCACUCAAACUCGAUUUUGGUAAGUUUUCAAGACCCAUUCUUACCAUAUUUCGGAUACAACUUUGAGAGACUAUAAAUAGGACAUUCUAGGAUGUUUUUAGAUUAGAAAGCAUUUGGCUAACGUUAGUUCAUCAUUUUUAUACCUUCUUUUCUUGAGAGAUCACAAUGGAAGUGUUGAAGAAUCAAAGGAAGUUCAAGAUGGAGAUUGAAGCGGGGAAAAAUUGAGAAGUUUUCUUACUUUUAACUUCUUAUUUUGUCUUUCAUUUGAAUUCUUGGAUUUAUCUAUGAAUAUGUUGAACUCAUUUAUAUCUAAAGUUAGGAUUUUGUGAAGGAGAUUUAAUUAGAUAAAUUAUUUGCUUUUGCUUAGAUUUAUUUAUCUUGCCUUUAUUACAUGUUUAUGUUUUGCCACUAUAGAUAUGCUUUUAGGAUUUGUAUUGAGUUAAGAAGUGAUGUACAACCGUACAUUAGAUAGAUAAACAUACUUAAUAUAAUCAUGAAAGUGGGUUAAACAUUGUAUGGCAUAAUUAUAUCACCUAAUAUUGUAAAGGAUUUAAUUAUAUACUUAUGAUCUCGAGAGCAACGUGAGAUUUCAUUAGACAAAUUUAGAAGUAUUGAGAGAUAAUCUAAAGUACUUUUCCGUGAUACAUCUUUGACUUGUUAAGAAAAUAAUUGGAUAUAUAAUUCCAAUUCGAAAUCAAAAUUUAAAACUCUAGUCUUUUGCUAAUUGUUUUCUCACCUAUAUCUUGUUUGAUUUGAUUAUUUAUUUAAUUAGUGAUUAAAAACCCUCUGAAUUUAAAUUUUGUUAUUUUUAUUAGAGGAAUUAAAGUAGGAAAAAUUAACUCACUCCUGCAGGUUCGACCCCUGGAGUACUCCAAGCAAAUUAUUAUUACGAUCGACCUUGUACAGUUAUAGAAAUUCAUCGAUCACACAGCAACCAAAAAAAAUUAAUGCACAAUAAUGUCAUGAGCAGAAACAGUUCCCAUCUUAGUUGUUCAACAUUCACGGUGGAUUUCAAUUAGUGGUCAACAGAUAAAAGCAUCCAAAAAAGUAAUCUAACUAGAUAAGUGAAUUUAUAUUGUACAACAUAUUUCUUUUUUCUACCGCAAAAACUUAACUAAUUUAAGACAAUGUAGUCCAAGAUAAUUGAAGAUUAAUUUUCCCUAAAAAAUGUUCAUGAUAAAAACUCAUCAAAGAGAUAAUACAACAGCUUACUUUUGCAGGUGAUCUUAUACGGUCUUUAUUAACAAACUAAUUAGCCACUUAAGCCUUUUUUUUCCUUUUGGGACUACGCAUGACAAAAUGAGGAGUGAAUCAGUCGCUUAGUAUCUAAAAUUUUCCCUCCAUAUAAUUAGUUCAACCUGAUUUAAGACUAAAUUUUUACUAUAGGAAUGUUCGUGAUUCAACAAUGAAACACCAUAGAAACUUAUUUUGGGAGAUUGUCCUAGAAGGUAAAAAAUGAGCAACCAAUCAGAAAGUCGUACUCACAUAUCAAAAUCCAUUCAGUCUAAUUAAUUCACCAGCUAUGUAUAUUUCAUCCAUUUUCACAUUAUAGAAAGAACAAUAAUGCAUGGCAUUAUCCAUCAUAAAUUGCUCAUAUAACAUCAAGAUAUUCAUGGUGUGGACCUCAAAUGACUCGUCAUGUCUACUGGCUACAUUUAAACAUAUCUUAUGGCCAGAAUGUUCAUCUUAUCAACUUGACGAGUUUAUUCAUGGUACCAUACCAUUAAAUUAAAAAAUUUUCCACCUUUUACCUUUCAUAGAUAUCAGGGAAUAUAGCUAAUAACGCACUUUUGGCAGCAAUAUUCCUUCAACCAAUUAAAGAUUUUCGGAGCUUAAAGUUCAGCUCCUAAAGCUCUUCUCCACCAACCAACAGAGAAAUUACUUUUAGCAAAGUUGUUAAAUUUUGGCACCAGGUUUUGAUGGUAUCUUGGUAAGAUUGGAAGAUUAUAUUGCGCUUCUAAGAUAAUUUUUAAAAAAGAUAUUUUAGUGAGAGCAUUAUGGUCAAUUUGCCCCUAAUGAUAUUGACAUUAGGUCCCAUCAACAUCAGAAGGGAGCUCAUUGUAUUAUUGGAUAUAACAAGGGUGCGAGUGAAAUUAUGAAAACCCUCAAGGGAGGAUUUUGAAAUUAACCCUAAAAUACUCAUUCCACGCAAGGCGUGGCGUUCCCCUCCUAGUUCCUAUAAAUAGGGCACCAACUCAAUGCACUAGUCACUCGAUAUCAAUAAUUUAGCACAUUAUUUACAUUUUGAGUGAGAUUGUGAUAAAAUGGCAUCUUCAAAAAAUUUGCCCUUUCUUAUUGGCGUUCUCUUUGCACUUGUGCUCCUCAUUUCCUCUGAUGCAACAGCUGCAGGUACCUAGUCCCUUUUUUUUUUCCUUUCAUCCUUUUUUUUUUUGCUGCACCUAAAUAUUUAAAUGAAUGGAGAUUUGGAGACUCAUUAUUGGGAUGUGAAUUUUUAUGGAAGGCUAUUUGUAUAUUAUCAAGCAAGUCAUAUUAAUGUGCUAAUAUCCUUUUCAUUGUUUAGCAAAAGUAAAAUUGGGUUGCUUCUAUCAAUGGUUAGUGGCACAUCUGAUUUUUCAUGCAUCCUUAUAGUAUUGCUGUAAGGAUACACGUUCCAUAGUGUCGCACCAAAGCUUAAACUAACGUCGAAACCAAAUUAAAUGCUUCUAAUUAUAAUUUAAAGCAAAAUAAUUCAUAUCCAAGUCGCACCAUCUUAUAUGCCUGGACUGUUUUGUUUAAUCCAUAGUAUUCUUUUCUUUGCAUAUAUCUUGCAAAUUUUCAGCCUAGCCGGUCACCUAACGUUCGCAGCUUAAGAUAAAGCUCCAAAUAUUUAUGUCUCCUUGUGUCUUGAAACAGAUCAGAAAAGCGUGAAAACCACUGGUGUCCACGAUUCCAGUUCAGGCGAAGAUCGUUGCACAUAUGGUUGCUGCCACUGGUACAAUGGACAUUGCCAAAGAUGCUGUCCACCUGCUGAGGAGACUUGCAGAUAUGGUUGCUGCUACUGGUACAAUGGACAUUGCCAAAGAUGCUGUCCACCUGCUGAGGAGACUUGCAGACAUGGUUGCUGCUACUGGUACAAUGGACAUUGCCAAAGAUGCUGUUAACCUACUGAAGCUACAUCCGGAGAUGAGGUCAAAAAUUAAUGCUAAAUAAAUAAGGGUGUGAGACAGGAUCCGUGACACCUAUAUUAUUACGUUAAUAUGUUAUGUUGUGUUUGCGUUUGAUGGUUGAUUUCCUAUAUGUGUAAAAGACUUGUGCGGCUUCUCUUUGAAUUGGUGUAGAAUCAACAGGGGAAGCAUGUAAUGAGUACUCAGUUCGAGUGCUCUUCUUAUGUUGUUGUCAUGUUGAAUAAAUAAAUCUACGUGAUCAUCUACUACAAUUGAUGAUCUCUAUCUCAGUUACGUCAGAAACUUCUGUACCUUGGACCUGCUAGAAUUUAGCGUGAUUGAUAUAAGACGUGCAGAAUGUUCAAUAUAUGUAUAUAUGUGCUUCUUCAUCGUGCCAUGCCAUUACAAUGUGAAAGAAUUCAGCAUCGACGGAGUGAAACGUACCCAAUCCUGCUCCUGAGAAAGGAAACAAAGUCCCUCAAAAAUGGAUAUUUUGGAUGCCAUCAAGAUUUUGAAUUGAAUGCCAUUUGGAGAUCUGAAUGUUGUUUUUUUUCCCCUUUAUCUUCGUUCAAGAUUUUUUUUGGUGGAAAUGCUUCAUUUAUGGACAAUGCUACAGUGCCUAUAGUUAUGGUAACGAUAUUAGAGAAACCUACUAUUACAGGUUUCUAUUACCUUUAGUGACAGAUCCAAUUUUUUAGCGACUUUUGAAAUAUUAUAUUAAAAUAAUUAAUAUUAAAUUUAGUAAGUUUUUAAUUAAAACUAGUAAGUUUAUGCCUGAAAGAUAAGUUUUAGUCAGAAAUAGAAAUUUACACUUUGAGUAAUUUAAUUUACUUAUUAUUUGACGAAAAUUACUUAUUUUUGAAUUAAACUUACUAAUACUGCAAGUAAAAAAUGUUCAUAUUUAAGUAAAAAAGUUACCAGUUUCUAAAAAUGGUUUUGGGUUCCUGAACCACUUUCGGAUAUUAUCUUGUUAAAGUCAUCUCCCUUCUUAUUACUUAGUUCUCAGUUUCAACAUACGAUUGAAUUCCCAGGCAAAGGUUUCCACUUUGGUCCACACUUUCUCUUGGUGACAAGUGAAUAAAUUUUCCCACUUCAAAUUUUCAUCUUCAGUUCCCACUUUCCCUCUAUCCUUUCUCAUCGAUCGGUUGUUUUUGGGUGCUGCCAUAUGCAGACACAAUAAAAGGGUUAGCGACGGUGGUAGCCAACCAAAGAGCAUAUGAAAAAUAGCAGUGACGAGGUUAGCCUAUCAUGUCCUCUUGAAAUCGUUUGAUUAUAUUGCUGUAAUUUAUUUAUAUUUCAUUUGUUUUGUUUGUCAAGAUUUUCUUGCGAAAUCAAGGCUGAGAAUUUGAAGAUUUUAUUGCAAUUUUGGGGCUGAAAAUGUCCACUGAAACAUCUAGCCUUGAUUUGGUUGUAGUUUUGAUUGUCUGCUGGUAAAAUAUACUUAAUAGCCAUAUGAAGCAUCUAGGAAAGGACUUGAGACUAGGUGUUUAAGUUAAAUGUGAUUAAUUUAUGAAUGCAUAUAAGAUGUUUGGUGAAAUGUCAAAGAGAAAUCUGUGUGUUAUGAUUGCUGCUCUGUGCUCUUCAGCAGCCAGAGAUGAGACCAGCUCUUAAAGAAAUCACCCUCGUCAGUCGACAACAGCGCUCAAGAUCACCCUUGGGAUUGUAAAUUGUAUAAUCUUUUAUACAAUAGAUUAUAAGAUGUAUAAUCUAUUGUAUAAUUUAAAUUAAAUUUAGUUCACCUAUAAAAUGGUCCUAAAAUAAUUAGUACACUAUGAUAAAUGUUAUUUUAACAACAAAAUAUUUUUUUUUUACUAAAAGUCGGAAAUAUCCAUGACAUAUGUAUGAGAGAUAUUUUACCAUAUUUAUAUCUCACAUCUAAUCAUGAAAGUUAAUUUGAGAAAAACUAUUUUUAACAAUAGAAUUAUUUUGAAUUUAACCAACAAGUUGAGAUUUUUUAAACAAUAAAAGUGAAAUAUUUUGGGAACUUUUUUUUUUUUUUUUUUUUUUACAUAAAUAUGGUCUUUAUUGGCAAAGAAAAGAGAAAUUACAUAGAUCGUGUGACUAACCUACCCUGAGACCGUACAGACUCUCACAUACGGAGUUGACAACCUAUCUAACUGCAAAAGAGCCCGAACUUUAGAAGGGAGAGCUCUUUCACUGAAAAAUCGGGCAUCCGUUCGUAGGUCCGAGGAGGCCAAAGCGUCGGCGACCGCAUUAGCCUCUCUGAACGUGUGAACCAGAGACACCCCCAAUUUUGCCACCAAGCACCGAAUAUGCCUAAUUGUGUUGCAUAACGGCCAGCCAGCCGUCAUCUUAACGGACACGAGAUGCACUAAAGUACUAGAAUCCACUUCUGCUAUGACUCCCGUGAGAUUGUUGUCCUGGCAAUACCGAAGACCCUCCAGCAAAGCCAACGCCUCUGAGGAGAGAACGUCUUGCUCUCCAAACUCCUUAUAAAAGGCAAACACUAAAUUACCCUCACCCGAGCGCACCACCCCUCCACCACUUGACCGCCCGCUUACCACACUAGCAUCAGUGUUGAGUUUCACCGCUUGCCCUGUAGGUUUUACCCAAGAAAAGGCUCGAAGCUGUAUCAAUUUGUUCUUGGCCUUACCGAAUUUCACCCAGUCGCAAUCUGUGUCCCCUUUGAAGAACUCCAACUUGAACAGGCCCCCCCUACCCAACUGCUCAACCAAUGCGCACACCUGGUUGGUUACCUGAUCUGACGACAUACUCAUCCCCUCAAAGCGGGCCUUGUUACGGCCCUUCCAAAUAAACCACAAGAUCAAGAGCGGGAGGAUGACACGAAUAUGAUUCUGUGAGACAAACCGGUGAGAAAAGAGCCAACAUGAAAGCCUCGAUGCCACCCCACUCCCCUGGAGUACCAGCCCAAAGCGGCAGGAGAAGUGCCGCCAAACCCUGCUCGCUAAAGGGCCCGAGACAAAAAGAUGGUCUCCUGUUUCUGGCGCUAGGCCACAACAGUAGCACUUUGACGCUAACCUCAACCCUCUACCUUGAAGGAGAUCAUCCAAGGGGAGCCAACCACGCAACAACCUCCACACAAAGAAGGAUACCUUCAGAGGGACCACCGAGCUCCAGACCAGCGAAUCAAUAACAGAUCGAUUACGCUUUGACCGAAGAACGUCCCAAGCUGAAGACACAGUAAAGCUCCCCGAAGGUGACGCCGCCCAAAUCAUUUGGUCUUGCAUAUUGGGAAAAAUACGCAGCUCCAAGAUCUUCGACACUAAGUGCCCCGGAAGCAGCCUUCUGAGCCACUGCUCAUCCCAACCAUCAGAAAGAAAAAAUUCCCCUACCAACCUGUGAGACUUAGGGCCUGGCACCAACCUGGCGAGCGGAACAUCAGUACACCACCUAUCCUGCCAAAAGUCAACUAAGCCCUCCCCCAGACACCACCGGAUAUUCCCCUCCGUGAGGUCCCUCACCUCUAUCAAACGGCGCCAAAUUGGGGACGGGCGGUCAACUGAAACUAGAAGAGGAUGCCCCCCUCUGACAUACUUAACGUGCAUGAACUCUGCCCAAAUGGAUGCCCGUUCCCUCAACUUCCACCAAAGCUUACAUGAGAAAGCCUUAGCGACAUCCUCAAAUGGGCGAAACCCCAGGCCCCCUUCCUCGACCGGACGGCACACCUUAUCCCAAGCCGCCCAGUGGAUCCGUUUGCUUUCAAUAGAGGUAUCCCACAAGAAAGCAUUGCACAGACGGCCUAACUGCAGCAGCACAGCCUUCGGCGGUUGGAGUACCUGGAGUAAGUAGACCGGAAGGGAACACAGGACACUUCGUAAAAGGACAAUCUUCCCCCCCAUAGAUAGCAUCUUUGAGCUCCAAUGGAAUAACUUUUGGCGAACCUUGCCCAGCAACGCAUCAAACACUGCACAUGUGACCCUACCGCGAAUCAUCGGCACCCCUAGAUACCUGAACGGAAAAACCUGGCACUGGUACCCCAGGGUCGUGCUUACCAGGGCCCGCUGGGUGUCUGUAGCCCUAGCCGAAGCGUAAAAAGCACUCUUAGCAAUAUUCACCUUCUGACCAGAACAACUUUGGUAGAGCUGCAAAAAAUCCUUAAUGGACACCAACGCAUCCUGCGAGCACCGAGUAAAGAUGACCAUAUCAUCCGCAAAGGCUAAAUACGGCACUUUCGACCCAGCAGAAACGAAGUAUCUACUGUCCUUGGAAUCAAAAAUCCUUUGCAGCCCUCUCCCAAGAAAAUCCGCCACGAAUAAGAAAAGCGCAGGAGAAAGAGGGUCACCCUGUCGCACCCCUUGAAAUGACUUCACAAAACCCGUUGGUUCCCCAUUAACUAGGAUCGAGAACCAAGUGUUAGAAAACGUUCGAAAGAGCAAAUCCACUACUACCUCUUCAAACCCAUACUGCCUAAGCAGAAAAAGUAGAAAGGACCAAUCAACCCGAUCAUAUGCCUUCUCCAUGUCCAGCUUCAAGAUCAAAUUCGGGUCAAUCAACCUCCUAUCCAAGUCUAAAAUCAGCUCCUGUGCCAAAAGAACAUUGUCCACUAUCCCACGCCCCGGAACAAAACCUGUUUGCCAUGGUGAAAUGAGCUUCGGGAGGAGCUUGCUGAUCCUGAUGGCCAAUAUCUUAGACACAACCUUAGAGGUUACAUUACAAAGACUAAUAGGCCGAAAAUCCCGCCAGUGGGAUGCACCCUCCACUUUUGGGAUGAGCACCACCAUAGAGUGGGACCAGCUCCUGGGUUGCUCCAUACCCUGGAAGAAGUCCUGGAUAGCCAUAAGCAAGUCAUCCUUGACAAUGUCCCAGCAGCUUUGGAAAAAACCUGCUCCAAACCCAUCCGGACCCGGAGCACUCUGUAUCUCCAUUCCAAACACUACCUCAUGGAUUUCCUCCAUCGUAGGAAGACGUUUCAUAAUCUCAUUAUCCUCCUGGGUGGCUCUAGGAACCUCAAAAGGAAGCUCAGUGAGGGCCUGUACCUGACGGUUGGAUGCGAACAAGUCCGAAAAAAAGGAUAUCGCUGAGUCCUUAAUCUCCUGCAGGUCUUCAUGCCAUCCCCCCUCCUCUUUCCUAAUACGGGAAAUGAAAUUCGAGUUCCGACGCUGGCGGACCCAAGAAUGAAAAAAUGCAGUAUUAGCAUCCCCCGCCUGUAACCAUUUAAUACCUGCCUUCUGAUGCCAAAACUCACACUCCAUGGAAAGGGCCCGAUUGUAUCUCGCUCUGGCCUCAUGAAGAUGAAUCUUCGACUCCUCACUUCUAACCAAAUCGUACUCCACCUCCCUCUGUUUUACCUCCUGAUCCGCCUCUGCCACCUGAGAAGAGACAUUGCCAAAGACCACACGGUUCCAUUGCUUCAAUGCAUCUCGCACCGUUUUGAGCUUGUUGUAGAAUCUAACCAUCCCCAUGCCAUAGACCUCCUUACUCCAUGCGGCGAACACUAUCUCCCGGAACUGGGGGUGCCCGCGCCAAACAUUAAGAAACCGAAAGCAAGACGAUGUAGCCCUAUAGCCUGCACAUCGAAUCAACAACGGACUGUAAUCCGAUCUCCCUCUGGCCAUAUGGGAAACCCUAGAAAGCGGAUAGACCUCGGACCACCGCCUAUUCCCCAACGCCCGAUCCAAGCGCUGCCAGACUGACCCAUUAGUCCAUGUGAAUCGAGACCCAUCAAAAUCAAUUGUAGAUAGCCCGCAUUUGAACAUGGAAGCAUUAAAUUCUUCUAUGUUCCGAACAUUAGCUGGAGCCCCCCCUUCACGCUCCGCUGCCGAAGCUAUGACAUUAAAGUCGCCUGCUGCUACCCAGGGUUGAUUGUGUGAGACCGAGGAAGCCACACUUUCCAUUGCCUCCCAGAGUGGCCUCCGCCCAACCCUCGUGCACUUGGCAUAUAUCGCAGACACCCAAAAGGAUGCCCCAGAGCCAAAGGAAACGUGAGCAUGAAGCAUUUGCUCAGCGUACUCGACACAGCUAAAUCGUAAGAGGCACGACCAAAACACCCAUAUUUUACCACCAAUAUAAAGAGCUGAGAAAUCAAAAUUUAAAAACCUCCGAACCACCUCCAACUGACACUCCGCAGACAUUGGUUCUAAUAGAAAUAAUAACCUAACCUUGUUAUCGUAGCACAGCUUCUUCAGAUAGCGCAAAGAGUCCCUUCGGGAAGCCCAUCUGAUAUUCCAAACUAGCAUAUUAAUCGGAUCUAACAUGAGACCGCAAUGAGUAUGAAGCUUGCGCCAAGGGUACACACAUGCCCCCCUUUCUUGGUCUCCCCCGUUUCCGUCUUAGAACCGUGGCGGCAUCAUCCUCCUCCAAGUCAUUACAUAAAUCCCCUUCAAGAAGAGUUAAAGAGUCCAAAACAGUGUCAACACCCUGGACUGGUUGCGCCUUAGCAUUGAAAUCCCGUUGAAACGCCUUCAAUUCUUCAAGCGAGACUGAGACAGCUCUCACGCUAUCCACUGAACGCCCUCGGUGAUGGCAGUCCCGUUUCCAACCUCUCGACGCUGACCGUACAGGGCUCCUGUCUCGCUGCUCCUCAUCUGCGGAUUCACCUUCCAACUCUCCUAGAGCAGCGAAAGAAUUUGUCACGCGUAUGCUUCCCUCCUCUUCGGCGCCUAUACGAGACCCGCCCUGCAGCUCAAUCCACAGGUGACCAGCACUCCUGUGGCCGCACUUGUCAUUCCCCAUUCCUUCCGACUGAAUAACUAGCCUGCCCUCCUUCCCCUUAUCCCCAUUACUCCCCAGACCCAAAGUCUGUACCAUCUUAUUGUCAUCUGCAACAGGCUCCAGAGACGCUGCACUCACUGCCGCAUCAGUCUGUUCCAAUGCUCCUUCCGACUGGAGCAGCGCACAACCAGUACCAGCAGCCAGUCCUUGUUCACCGACAGCAGCCGCCUGCACACUCUCCCGCGACACCUGGUCCUGGCCAGGUGCCACCGCCAACUCCUUCCCAUUCACCACUUUCGGAACGUACACUUGCCGAUGUUUCAGUGUUUUUGCCUGGGCAGCGCGAGGCUGCGGAUCCGGGCGCAAGGAAGGAUUUCUAUGAAAACACUGCUCCUCUGUAUGGCCGAAUCUGCUGCAGAACCCACAGUAGUCUGGCCACCCCUCCAUCUCAACAGGCUGCCAGAAACCGAAGUGAUCAUCACCUAUCCAAAUACGACGCACAGGGGUCGACACUACGUUUACCUCCACCAAUACUCUGGCAACGGACGGACGGCGCAAAUCACACGUUGAUGCGUCAAUCUUGAGGGGCCUGCCCAACGUAGAAGCGAGCUUGAUUAACUGGGAUCUCUGGAAAAAAGGAAUCGGCAAUUCUGGGAAGCAAACCCAGAUUGGAGCUAUGGCUAACUCCUGAUCUGCCUUAAAUUCCAACGACCACUUGGAAAUCGACAUUGGCGAGCUGCUAACAUACCAAAUCCUCCGCGCAAAGAGACGGGUGUAGUCUUCCUCCAGAACGGGACGAAUGAGAACGUGUUUCUGGUCGAGGAGGCCAACCUUACAGUCCCCUCUGAGACCCAGCGACAGAAAGAACUUUCUGAUGACUUCCAUGGGUGGUCUGUUGAAGGAGAAACGCCCCACCAACGAAUUCUGAAACGGUUCCGAAAGCUGCUCAAUUUCCCUACGAGAGAUACGCAAAGCAGGUUCUCCUCUGAAGGUAGAGACCUCCCCUAAAGCUAUGGCAUCAGGUUUAUCCGAAGCGCCUGCCAGAACCGAAGCAAAGGACCUCUGAACCGGAGACUGACUGGCCUGUGUGUGUGACGGCCCACAGGCCGCCAUGUCCGGUAAGAAGAUCUAGCCGCACCCUCAACCCUAGCCGCACCCUCAAACCGUCAAAAGUCGGUAUAUUCUAUAUUUUGGGAACUUAGUUGUUUAUUUUCCCAUAAUUAAAAAUUUAAAAUAUGACAAAUUAUUCUUACAUAUUUUAUAAGGUCAUAUGCAAAAAAAAAAAAUUUUCAUAGUAUAUUUAAAAUGCUUCAAACAUAUAACAUUUAUAAAUGAUAUGUACAAUUGUAAGUUUCUUUAAGUAAAAUAGUAAAUUUAUGCCACAAACUAUUAAGUUUUGAUGAUUAACCAAAUUUACUAAUCUAUCAACAAUAUUUACUAUUAAUCUAUAAAAACUUACUAUUACUUGAACUAAACUUACCCUCCAAAAACUAAGUUUCAGAUAUAGAGUAAUAUUUUAUUUCAUAAAAAACAAAGUUAGUUCCAUAUUUAUUCAAAUUUACUUUUUGAGACAUAAAAGUUACUAAUAUAUUGAGUUAACUUACUAUUCUUUAUGCAAAACUUACUAACCACCAUUUUAGGUACUAUUUCAUUUAGAUGACCAGUAUAACAGGUCAUCAAAUGGUCGCUAAAAGUAUUUUUACCUGUUAUAUCAGGUAAAAAUAAUUUCGUUACCAUAACUAUCGUUACUUCAGACUUUUCCUUCAUUUAUACGAAUUUUCCUAGUUAGUAAAGGCUUCUAUUACACUUGUACAAUACACAUUUAAAAGUAUAACACAAUAAAAGCUUGUGUAGUUCAUAUAUUUCAAAAAUAUUCAUACUUUCAACUAAACUAUAAAAAUACGUAAUAUAUUCUUGAUACAUUAUACUUUACGAACUAUACUUUAAAUUUUAAAAAUAUUUAAUACUAUCACUUAUUAAUAACUCCACAUGUUAGUUUGUCUCCCAAUUCAAUAAAUUAUAGUAGCUAAUUCUCAAAGCUAUUCGACACCAAAAUUCCCUUACUCGUUCACCUCCUAGUGGAUUAUUAUUAAUUACAUUGCAUUUAUUUCCUAAGCAUGAGUUUUGUAACCCCUCAUAUUAAAUCUCAAUGAUUAAUUUUAACGGUUACCAAGGCGUCUAGUAAUUGGUUUGCUAUUUUAAUUUGAACUAGACAUUUAUUAGGUCUAGUAGAAUUUAUUCCUUCUUAUCACUUAGUUCGUAAACCUUAUGAAUCGUUAAAACCAGCUCUAACAUUAGGUAACAAGACUUCUACAAUUUCGGGUUUUGCUUAGAAAUCAGUCUGAUAGUUUAACUUGCUUCGUCCAACUUUAUGAGUUGCUUUUUUUUUUUUUCCAUAUUUGGCAUUUCAUCUGACUUUAAUACGGGGACCAAGUUAGUAUUGUUGGCAUUUCAUAUCUAAGACUUCUUAAUUAAUUGAUUUGUUAUAAGAACUAUAACGUAUGCGUGUUUUGUGAGCUUUCAUGUUUUUUUUUUUUUUUAAUUCUUGUGGACCAGCAAUGGAUAGUUUCUUCUAGUGCCAAGCUUCCUUUGAAGUUCUUUAUUUUUUUUUUGCGUGUCCAAAUGUAAAUUAAAAGAACCAACAACUUUGAACAAGUCUAUAUCUAGUAAAGAUAGAUAUAAAGAGGGAUACGUAUACACAGAUUAUAUAAUUUUUUUUCAAAUGUAUGAUUAAAAGUUUAGUAGUACAAAAAUACGAGUUUAUCAUUAUUAUGGAUAUCAUAUAAAUUCAUAUAUGAAUAGUAUGAAUAAAUAUAAAUGUUAUAGAAUUAGGUAUACAAGUGAAAUUACUAUAAUUUUGAAUGAUUAUGCUAGUUUUAUAUCAAAUUUAAUGCUGAUCCUUGUAUAUAUGACAUCAGAUUUAUUAAAGUUUUAUCACUUUUUUACAUUUAUAUUUAUAAUCCAUCUAAAGUUUGUUAUUUGACAAUACCAUUUGAUAUAUACCUCAAAAGGUACGUCAUUAUCUUGUCUCACUUUUUAAAAUUUAAAGUAUAAAUCAUAAAGUAUAAUGCAUCCAAAAACAAGUAUAAUGCAUCAAGAAUUUAUUAUAUAUUUUUAUAGGUUAGGCGAAAAGUAUAAAUAUUCUUGAAAUACACGAACUAUAGAACCUCUUUUGUGCUAUACAUAUAAACGCGUAUUGUAGAAGUAUAAUAGAACUAUUUACUAGCUAGGCAAAUUCGUAUAAAUGAAGCAUUUCCACCAAAAAAAUCUUGAACAAAGAUAAAGGGUUCAGAUCACUGAAUGCCAUUCCAUUCAAACUCUUGAUAGCAUCCAAAAUAUCCAUUUGAAGGACUUCGGUUUCUUUCUCAGGAGGGAACGGAGUUGAGUUUGACUCCGUCGAUGCUGAAUUAUUUUACAUUGUAAUGACAUGUAUAUAAAUAUUAUUGAACAUUAUGAACGUCUUAUAUCAAUCACACUAAAUUCUAGUGUUCCCAAGUAGGGAUGAGCAAAUUCGGUUCUUACCGAAUUCAUAACCGAUUUCAAAUUCAAUUCGGUAAUUUGAAAUCGGGUAUUUGGUAAUUUGGUACAAAUUCUGUGAGAACUCGAAAAUUUUCUUAUUUUUAUAGAAUAUUACUGGAAUAUUUAAAUGAUUAUUCACUAAUUUUCUUCGAAUUAUUUAUUUCGACCAUUUUAAUUCCAUUUAUAUGGAAUGACGCCUCUUUAUAUUUUUAAAGCGUUUUGUUGAAAAAUUCGCUUUUCGAAAAUUUGUUUAGUCCGGAACGACGGGUGCACGUUUUUCUAGGCCAUACUUGAAUCGGGAGUGUAUUAUUUAUUGGAGAAUUAAGAACGAUCAAUAAUAGAUUAAGAAAGGUUAAAGGAGGAAUUAAUACUCAAUUCACGUGAGGACUCGUAAAAUUAUUAUUUUAAAAUCCCUAAUUUUGGCUAAAUUAAUUACUUAUUUAGAUUUUUGCCACGAAUAAUAUUUUCUAGCCUUUUUAGACCUAAGUACAUGGUUUUAUAGUUUCGUUAUAUUUUUAAAGUGUCUCAUUUCAAAAAUUAUUUUCUUAUAAGCUUGUUUAGUGAAAAGGUGAAAACGUGUCCAAACACUUUAGCCAAUUGGGAAUAAAAUAAGUUCAAAAAUUUGAGACAUAUACAAUGGUUCUAAAAUAGACAAUUUUAGAUUUAAGCACACAAGUGAUAGCUAGUGGUACGAUUGUUAUAAGAAUUUCUCGAAAGUUUCAUUUUAUUGCGCCUAAAUUGGAAAUACGUGUUUUCACGUGCGCGCUUAAUUGAGGGACUUUGGACAAUUAUUUUGGGACAAUUAAGAAUGAAUAAUAUUUAUAUGAAUGUAAGUGCCCUAGAGGUUUAGUGCACUAGUGUAACAAACUUAAGGAAAAUUGAACACAAAACGCGCGAGUAGGGCACUAGUUGCAAUUAAAUUUUUCAUACUUAAAAUAUUAGACGGUCGGCGUUCUUUGUAUGCAAAAAGGAAUCAGACUAACAUUCAUAUCUGCAAGCUUUAUGGACGGCUAGCAACUGCAGCAAAGAGCAACCGAAAACUUCCACCAUUUCCUCUACAAACUCCACCAAAUUCAACCAAAACUUCACACACACUUAGCUCUUCACUUGGACAAUCACUUGGACAAAGAACGAGCUGCACAUUCACGGUUUUUCUUGGGGCUUUUGGACACCAAAAUCUGAUCUUUUAGCACACAAGUAAGGUAACCAUGAUCCACUCUUCAAAUCUUGUUCGUUGAAGGCCAACUCACACUUAAGAGCUUGAUUAUGCUUAUGGGUAGCUUAUUAUUGUUAGAAAUUGUUAAAUGUGGGCUCUAUGAACUCCCACUUUGAGUUGAUGGCUGUGAUGAUUUUGAUGAUGGUUUUAUUGUUGAAUUAGUGCUUAAGGGAGUAGAUUAAAGGUGCAUUAUCGCCAGAAACUUCAUUGAGCUCUUGAAGCAAAAAGUUCCCCUGCUCCGUUCGGUGGCAGAAAUUUGAGAAUUUAAUGGCUUGAUUGUGUUGUUUAUAUGUUGUAAAUUUUCAUUGAAAAAUACUGAGUUUUGGUUGGUCAAACGAAUUUAUUCCCAAAGCUAGUAAUCUGGAAAACGGUUUCAUCGUAAUCCAGACCAGUGUUCGUAUUUCGUCCAUAACUCCGUACUCCGACGUCAAAAUCAAGUUCCGUUAGCGGCAUUUGAAACUAGACGUUCCCAUCUUUCCAACGGUAUAUAAUGCACAUUCUGGUUCCAUGUGUGUGAACCGCACCACUCAUCUGAAUUCAGCUGCCCUGUUUCGCCGUUCUGCCGAAAUGAUUUGAUGAUGCUGCAACUUUAGGCUUAAUUUCGAGCUAGUUGCAUGCUGAAACAUAAAAUGAUUUCUUCUGUGAAAUUAUAGUCCUAUGCAUGUAUUUUCUAACACUAUCAACCAUGCUCAAAUCCGAGUUAAAUUGAGUGAGUUAUGAUCAAAAUACGGUGACUGUUUUGUUCUUGAAAGCCUUGGAUUUGGACAGAUUUGACGUGACAUUUGUGGUGGUCUUACUAAAUGAAUUUCUUGAUACUAAACACCUACCACAUGUACCAUGAAUGUUUCUUAAACUUUCCUUUCGCAUAUGAACCAUGAUUGGAGGAUUUUCUUAGCCAAACGAUUGGAUUUGGGAAGAAAAGGAUUAAGGACAGAUUGUCUUGAGAAUUUUUUCAAACUUUGGUUGAUUGGUUAACCACCUUCCCGAAGGUAUUUUUCCACGAAAUUUUGUAGAGAGAUACCCUUCAUAUAGUAGUACCAUACUACAAAAUUUGGGGUCAAUUCAAGUCCGUUUCGACACUUAACAAAAGUUCCAUAGUCGGAACCAAAUCUGGAAAUUUUGUAACAGUCUUGAAUUUUUCCCAACUUUGAGCUACCAUAUCUUGGUGUUCGAAACUCCGAUUCUCGAUCCGUUUAUUCUACCCUAAACCUUAGUUGCACCUCUAAUUGAGCUAUAAAUUUUAAGGGCUGGUUUGCAACGAGUGAAUUCUGCCGAAUUUCCAAAGUUAGCGAAAAGCCAACCCCGGGUCAAUCCUGGGUGAUCUGGGAUAGCAACUUUAAACUCAUUUUUGAAUACCUUUCAUUUCGAUUCGUGGAACAGUGUCUUCUAAGAACUUUUAGUAAUUUCCAAGAGGUUUCCAACGGUAUAAAGUUUUCCAAUUUUAGACUUGUAUCGAGUGAGAUACGAUUUUUCAAAGAUCCAUAUCAAAACUAAAAUUUUCCAACUUUCAAGGAAAUAGAGAUUUCCAAGAACUUUUUAUUCUUUUGACAUUAUGCAAACAUUUUAACCUCAAUUUCCAAGAUAAAAACCCAAAUGCUCCUGUGCUUUAAGAAACUCUAAUUGAACCUCGAUUUACGAGUAAUUGAGGUUCGAUUUCGUGAAAUUUCCUUAGAUUGUACUAGUGUACAAUCUUCCUUGAUAAUUGGGAUAUAUGAAUGAUAAUACGUUAUUAUUUGCCCAGGCGCACACGAGGACCUUCAAGAGGAUCCUACCGUGCACACUUGAACUUCCAGAAAAUAUUUCUUCUUGAUUUGCUCGGUGAGUGUCAAGUGUAUGACUACUUGAACACUAUGGACUUGAUUCAUGCUUGGCUUACCUGAUUACAUGCUUAGCCUACUUGGUUUUGAAAAAUGGAGUCGAGUGUUUAUUUUAUCGCACUCGUUCUCAUUUGAAACAAAUGACUCAUGCUUAACAUGGUUUGCCUGAUUUACAUGACCUGAAAUACAUGUUUAGACCUGUCAAAUGCUUGAAUACAUGAUAUGGUAUGCUAUGGCUACAUACGUCGUUGGAGUGAAUCUUCUCGACACUUACAUGACACAUGGGGGACGCCCAAACUCAUAGGCCGACCUUGGAACUCGAGCCGACAUGGGAUUGGUCGGGAACCUCAGUGAGCCAUGAGAUUCACAUGGUAAGCUUGAUCUAUUGGAGAGAUCUUGCUUGGCAUACUCGUGGAGUAUCGCCUCAUAAAUAUCGUGCAGGCCCGAAGCGGUGUAUGGUGGACGGAUGAGAAGUAAGUGGUGAUCUACGGUUUGAAAAUAUCAACCCGGUUGACGGAGAGUCAUCACGGGAAGAUAUACGAAUGAACUGGCAAAGCAAGUGGAACUUACCUCUUGAGAGCUACCAUAUCCUUGAAUCGUUUCUGUUUACAUUUUGUUGGCAUUGUUAAUUACUUGCAAGUUAUCACUUGAACUGUUACUUGGGUUUGUUACCUGAACUAUGUGUCUGCAUGUGUGUUCUUGGCCUCACGAGCGUUUUGCUCACCCUAUAGAUUUGUUUUCCUUAACAGAUUUGAACUCGGAGGCGUACUGGAAAAAAACCUCCUGAUGAGCUUUUGUUUAGGAUUUCUAUUAAUUUUGGCUAUGUCUUGGCUUUUGGGUUGUAUUUUGGAAUCCGAAUGUAACUUUUGGAGCAUAAUGUAUAUUUGGGAUAUAUGAUGGUUGUUGAAUACCCGAUGUGCGGGUUGGAUAACGGAUGACUUUUAUUAAACUUGAACGCUUCCGCAUUUAUUGUAUCUAAGUUAUUGACUCGUAUUGUAUGGUCCAGUAAUAAGCUUGAAUGGAAUUGCUUGAGUCCUGGCGAGAAUUAGGCAGGCGUUCCGCGGAUACCCUUUAGUUCGCCUUAGGGAGAAGUGGAGGCGUCACAGUUGGUAUCAGAGCAUAGGCUUUAGAUCUUGUAGUGUAUCCUAGGUUUAAAGUUUAGGAUGCCUGACUGUGGGAUUAAUUUGAAUAUUAUGUGAACUAGAGGGUCUAUUGUAUCCUACGGGUUAAAAAAAUUGGUUACUUGAGAGUUUCUUACUUGGGACUUGUAGAAAUAAAAAUUGAGGAAUUAGCUGUGUUAUAUUGAAGGAAAAUAUGGGAUGAGAGAUUAGUAGUGAAAGAUUGGACGAAUUUGAAUUAUUAUUAUUCUUGUAAGUGUGGAAAGAAGUGAGACAAUUAUUAGUGCUGGCUAAAGCGGAUAAGAGACCGAGAUUUGAUGGUCAAACUCCAUGUAUCGUGAUUGUGAAUCCAGAUGAAAGAGUUUCAAAGGAAUAAAAUGCAUUUUCCUGCUCAUUUACCUCUUAGAGAAUUUAUGCUUUGAAAUUCUAAAGAAAAAAUGAGGAUGUACUAGUUUUAUUUUCAAACGAUGAUUGGAAAUAAUAUAUAUAUGCUUUAAGUAUGUGUAAUUCUUCGAUUUUGGUAAAUAUGUGAAUUUUACUUGAAUUUCAAUUUAAAAAUUUGUGAAUAACUGAUGAGUUUGUUGAAAUUUUGUAUGUGAUGGGCUGAUACAAGGUUAAAAUUUUCUAAACUAGAUUUUCCCCCUUGAUUGUAUACUGGUGUAUUCUCACACUUGAAUUCAUCUAUGCUUUACAAAAAAAAAAAAAAAUAAUAAUAAUUAAAAUAUCUUGAAUUUUCGGAAGAACGGCGAACUUAUGUUUUUAUAAUGAAAAUCUUGAACUUGAUAAGAUUUUUGUUACUUUAAAUAAUCUUCUUAUCUUUUAAAAUUCUUGGUUUUCAAGAAGGGUGAGCCUAUCUUUAGGUGUACGGAUUGAUGGAACUUUGAGAUAUAGAGUAACCGCAUUCAAGAACACGCAGUUAAUGUGAAUUGACUUGGUUUUCAUUUGACACGUAAGUUAGCAAGUUGUACUUAUUUCUUGGGUUUGAACUUGGAGCUUGAAACUUUAACUAUAAAACCCUAAGACUAGUUAUUCUUGGAGAUGAUGGUGCUCUGGUUGGUGGCUUGCUUAUUAAAGAUUUUGAAUUUCGAAUGGAUAACCUUUGGUUUCCGCUUGUGUUAUGGUUUGAUUGGAUCUAAUUUCGUAAAGGCAUUUGAUCUGAUUGGAAUUAGUGAUAUUCGGACCCAUUGGUUUAAUUAAGGACUUAGGAAGGGUGGUGCACGCCGUGAGACCUUUUGUAUCCCGCUUGCAUAUACUUCUACAUUUUGUGACCCUUAAUUGCCUAUAUACAGUAUUUGACAUAUUGGGCUUGUUUUGUGACUUCUUAACUCGUACUAUAACCUUCGAUACAUGUAAAGAAUCAUGUCUUGAUUCUAAAUAUUUUUGCAACUUAUAUAUGCAUUAAGUUCUUUUAUGAUUAAUUAUUUCUUUUCUUGCGCUUAUAGACUCCUAUUAAGUAUGGUAGCAGGAAUAGGAAAAAGGGGUCGUGGCCGAGGACUUAGACAACCCUGUACUCGUGAGAAAAAUUGAUGGAUAGUCUUAUAUAAUUUAAUGAGUUUCUAGUACUGAAUAUGAAUCGAGAAAAAAAUCAGAAGAUUAGAUCUACCAGUGUAUAAUGGAUUAACCUAGUUGGGAACUUAGUGAGAUUUUCCUGUGUGAAAUUUUAAUAACUGUUUUAUACGUAUAUUAUGAUUGGUCCUGUGGCCAUAUUUCAACUUUUGUGAAAGUUUGAACUCCAAAAGUAUUUCGUGGGUUUGGUGAGAUGACCUGAACUCAUUACCAAUUUGUUCUAUUUGAACAAAAGCGCUUUCAAUUUUACUUGACUAAUACUAUAUCCAGAUUCACUUGUUUUACUUUUCACAAAAUUUAUAUAUAUAUAUAUAUAUAUAUGUAUGUAUGUAUACACAUUUUGAACUCGUUUGAGACUCGAAAUCAGAUAGAGUUCAAGUUCGAAUCUUUCUUAGGAACAUGAAUGCCUAUUUGUUAUGAAUCAGAUAUUAGAAAUGACCGGGUUUUAUGUACUUGUAGAGUUAACUCUUGGUUGGAUAAAAGGGUGGUAAAGGUAUUGGAUCACAGGUUAUGCGAAUAUGAACAUACAUGUUUACCUAUCUUUCUUAAAGGUAUUUUCUAAAAUAUACGCCUUACUCGAACAUAGAUUUAACUCGAAACUUUGAGGAAAAGUGUUGGAACACCCUCCAUGUAUAUGUUAUGAUUAUUAUGUAUAUGUUUUAAAAAUCAUGCAUUAAGUUGCAUGAUUAAUAUUCUUAAAUCUAUUUGAGAGAUUUUAAAUAUGUAUUGAUGAUUGUGGUUAAACAUUAUUUGAAAUCUCUUACUAAGAAAACUUAGUUUUGGGUCGUGAAGAAAAUUUGUAUCUUUAACUCUAAUUUUGAAAAUUUUGAAUCGCAUUUUGCCACAGAUACAUUCAAAAUACAUCAAAAGUCUUGACCUUAUCUUGUAAGUCAUGAUUGGUUUGAUUUAGACAAAAUUUUGAGGAAAGGGAUUUUGGUCCUGCUAGUGCGUAACAGUUUUUUUUUGUUAGGAUUUGGAACUUGUUUCAUAUGACGUGUAAUUUAUGGUUUCACUACACACGGGAGUAAGACCUUAGAAUGGAAGUACAUAUCAUUAUAUCAAGAGGUAUUACUUUAGUCGUGUGUGUGGAUUUUCUUAAGUAUCAUUCGAGGAGAGGGAAGAGUAAAUAUACCUGGAUGACUUAGAUGUGUGAGAAUUUACAGGUUGUGGAUAGUUGAGUUUCAAAUUCUGAUUUGCUACUUAUUUAGAUGCUUGAGCUGUUGAUAGGCUAACAGUCAGGAUUAAGAAAAUGGAUGAAUGAAAAGUUUGGAAGAGAUGCGUAUAGAAAUAGAAAUUCUUCACAAGGGGUUGGAAUUCCAAACUAAAUUGGCUGAAUUUUGGGAAGAAAAAAAAAGUCGAGAACUUAGGGUUGAAGAUGGGAUCCAAUGUUUAAUCACCAAUUUGAGAUAUUAAAAGUUGUGAGAUUUGGGUGAGUGAAAGGAAAUAUUUGAUGGCUUGAAUGAGCCUAACGAUUAGGGACCGGAUGUUAUAUUUGGAAUGGACGUUUGACGCUAUAUAUACAUAGAUUAUUGAGAGUUGAACGAUGAGACUAUUAAGAACAAAUGCUCCAUAGUCUCACAUAAACAAGAAUUAUAAUCAAGGGUCAGAAGCAGCGAAUAAGGGAUUUAAAGUAGAGUUACUACCAACCGGGAAUCCUAGAAACUGAUGUGCUUAAAACCACUUCCAAUUCAAGAUGGGGAUGCUUGAAUUUUCAGUUAUGCCAAUUGGGUUGACUAAUGUAUUAGCAGCAAUUAUUGCAUUAAUGCAUCAAGGUUUUAAAUCGUAAUAGGAUUAAUCUGUGAUGGCAUUUAUUGAUGAUGUAUUGAUAUACCCUAAAGUUUGAGAAGAUCAUGAAAAAAAAAAUACCUGAUGAUAGUUUUACAAACCCCGAGAGAACGCUAACUUUUGUUAAGUUCAAUCAAUGUGAGUUCGAUGGGAAGAAAUAGCCUUUCUAAGUUAUAUAAUAUAUAAGGAAGAAAUUGUUGUUAACUCAUCUUAAGUGGAAGCUGUUUAAGAGGAAAUGACUAGAAAAUCCUACCGAAAUUUGGAGUUCUUAGAGGUAGUCGAAUAUUACCUUGGUUUGAUCAGGGACUUCUAAGGAUACGAGACUUGGCAAGUUAUUUGAGAUUUUAAAUGUGAGGAAGAAUUUGAAGGUGAAAAUCGUUUAACCAGUGCACUUGUGUUGGCUUUACCGAGCGGAUAAGGUGAUUUUGUGAUUUAUACAGAUGGUUCAAAGGAUGGUUUAGAAUGUAUAUUAAUAAUAUAUGAUGAGGUGAUUGUAUAUGCCUUCUGAAAGUUAAAAUCUUCCGGAAGAAAGUAAUCAACUCAUGAUUUGGAGUGAGUUGGAAAACGUAAGUCAAUGAUUGAUCUGAUAGGCUUAACCAUGAAGGGAAUGAUAUUGUUCUAAGUAUGAAUUUCGAGGACGAAAUUCCUUUCAAGGAGGGGAGGAUGUGAGAACCCGAAAAUUUUCUUAUUUUUAUAGAAUAUUACUGGAAUAUUUAAAUGAUUAUUCACUCAUUUUCUUCGAAUUAUUUAUUUCGACCAUUUUAAAUCCAUUUAUAUGGAAUGACGCCUCUUUAUAUUUUUAAAGCGUUUUGUUGAAAAAUUCGCUUUUCGAAAAUUUGUUUAGUCCGGAACGACGGGUGCACGUUUUUCUAGGCCAUACUUGAAUCGGGAGUGUAUUAUUUAUUGGAGAAUUAAGAACGAUCAAUAAUAGAUUAAGAAAGGUUAAUGGAGGAAUUAAUACUCAAUUCACGUGAGGACUCGUAAAAUUAUUAUUUUAAAAUCCCUAAUUUUGGCUAAAUUAAUUAUUUAUUUAGAUUUUUGCCACGAAUAAUAUUUUCUAGCCUUAUUAGACCUAAGUACAUGGUUUUAUAGUUUCGUUAUAUUUUUAAAGUGUCUCGUUUCAAAAAUUAUUUUCUUAUAAGCUUGUUUAGUGAAAAGGUGAAAACGUGUCCAAACACUUUAGCCAAUUGGGAAUAAAAUAAGUUCAAAAAUUUGAGACAUAUACAAUGGUCCUAAAAUAGACAAUUUUAGGUUUAAGCACACAAGUGAUAGCUAGUGGUACGAUCGUUAUAAGAAUUUCUCGAAGGUUUCAUUUUAUUGCGCCUAAAUUGGAAAUACGUGUUUUCACGUGCGCGCUUAAUUGAGGGACUUUGGACAAUUAUUUUGGAACAAUUAAGAAUGAAUAAUAUUUAUAUGAAUGUAAGUGCCCUAGAGGUUUAGUGCACUAGUGCAACAAACUUAAGGGAAAUUGAACACAAAACGCGCGAGUAGGGCACUAGUUGCAAUUAAAUUUUUCGUACUUAAAAUAUUAGACGGUCGGCGUUCUUUGUACGCAAAAAGAAAUCAGACUAACAUUCAUAUCUGCAAGCUUCAUGGACGGCUAGCAACUGCAGCAAAGAGCAACCGAAAACUUCCACCAUUUCCUCUACAAACUCCACCAAAUUCAACCAAAACUUCACACACACUUAGCUCUUCACUUGGACAAUCACUUGGACAAAGAAGGAGCUGCACAUUCACGGUUUUUCUUGGGGCUUUUGGACACCAAAAUCUGACCUUUUAGCACACAAGUAAGGUAACCAUGAUCCACUCUUCAAAUCUUGUUCAUUGAAGGCCAACUCACACUUAAGAGCUUGAUUAUGCUUAUGGGUAGCUUAUUAUUGUUAGAAAUUGUUAAAUGUGGGCUCUAUGAACUCCCACUUUGAGUUGAUGGCUGUGAUGAUGUUUGAUGAUGGUUUUAUUGUUGAAUUAGUGCUUAAGGGAGUAGAUUAAAGGUGCAUUAUCGCCAGAAACUUCAUUGAGCUCUUGAAGCAAAAAGUUCCCAUUUUACCCCUGCUCUGUUCGGUCACUUUAAUGCAGAAAUUUGAGGAUUUAAUGGCUUGAUUGUGUUGUUUAUAUGUUGUAGUAGUUGUGUAAAAAUUUUCAUUGAAAAAUACUGAGUUUUGGUUGGUCAAACGAAUUUAUUCCCAAAGCUAGUAAUCUGGAAAACGGUUUCGUCGUAUUCCAGACCAGUGUUCGUAUUUCGUCCAUAACUCCGUACUCCGACGUCGAAAUCAAGUGCCGUUAGCGGCAUUUGAAACUAGACGUUCCCAUCUUUCUAACGAUAUAUAAUGCACGUUCUGGUUUCAUGUGUGUGAACCGUACCACUUAUUUGAAUUCAGCUGCCCUGUUUCGCCAUUCUGCCGAAAUGAUUUGAUGAUGCUGCAACUUUAGGCUUAAUUUCGAGCUAGUUGCAUGCUGAAACAUAAAAUGAUUUCUUCUGUGAAAUUAUAGUCCUAUGCAUGUAUUUUCUAACACUAUCAACCAUGCUCAAAUCCGAGUUAAAUUGAGUGAGUUAUGAUCAAAAUACGGUGACUGUUUUGUUCUUGAAAGCCUUGGAUUUGGACAGAUUUGACGUAACAUUUGUGGUGGUCUUACUAAAUGAAUUUCUUGAUACUAAACACCUACCAAAUGUACCAUGAAUGUUUCUUAAACUUUCCUUUCGCAAAUGAACCAUGAUUGGAGGAUUUUCUUAGCCAAACGAUUGGAUUUGGGAAGAAAAGGAUUAAGGGCAGAUUGCCUUGAGAAUUUUUUCAAACUUUGAUUGAUUGGUUAACCACCUUCCCGAAGGUAUUUUUCCACGAAAUUUGAGAGAGAGAUACCCUUCAUAUAGGAGUACCAUACUACAAAAUUUGGUGUCAAUUCAAGUCCGUUUCGACACUUAACAAAAGGUCCAAAGUCGGAACCAAAUCUGAAAAUUUUGUAAUAGUCUUGAAUUUUUCCCAACUUUGAGCUACCAUAUCUUGGUGCUCGAAACUCCGAUUCUCGAUUCGUUUGUUCUGUCCUAAACCUUACUUGAACCUCUAAUUGAUCUAUAAAUUUCUACGGCUGAUUUGCAACGAGUGAAUUCUGCCGAAUUUCCAAAGUUAGCGAAAAACCAACCCCGGCUCAAUCCUGGGUGAUCUGGGACAUCAACUUUAAACUCAUUUUUGAAUACCUUCCAUUUAGAUUCGUGGAACAGUAUCUUCUAAGAACUUUUAGUAAUUUCCAAGAGGUUUCCAACGGUAUAAAUUUUUCCAAUUGUAGACUUGUAUCGAGUGAGAUACGAUUUUUCAAAGAUCCAUAUCAAAACUAAAAUUUUCCAACUUUCAAGGAAAUAGAGAUUUCCAAGAAUUUUUUAUUCUUUCGACAUUAUGCAAACAUUUUAACCUCGAUUUCCAAGAUAAAAAUCCAAAUGCUCCUGUACUUUAAGAAACUCUAAUUGAACCUCGAUUUACGAGUAAUUGAGGUUCGAUUUCGUGGAAUUUCCUUAGAUUGUACUAGUGUACAAUCUUCCUUGACAAUUGGGAUAUAUGAAUGAUAAUACGUUAUUAUUUGCCCAGGCGCACACGAGGACCUUCAAGAGGAUCCUACCGUGCACACUUGAACUUCCAGAAAAUAUUUUUUCUUGAUUUGCUCGGUGAGUGUCAAGUGUAUGACUACUUGAACUCUAUGGAUUUGAUUCAUGCUUGGCUUACCUGAUUACAUGCUUAGCCUACUUGGUUUUGAAAAAUGGAGUCGAGUGUGUACUUUAUCGCACUCGUUCUCAUUUGAAACAAAUGACUCAUGCUUAACAUGGUUUGCCUGACAUGACCUGAAAUACAUGCUUAGACCUGUCAAAUGCUAUGAUAUGCUAUGGCAUACGUCGUUGGAGUGAAUCUCCUCGACACUUACAUGACACAUGGGGGACGUCCAAACUCAUAGGCCGACCUUGGAACUCGAGCCGGCAUGGGCUUGGUCGGGAACCUCGGUGAGCCAUGAGAUUCACAUGGUAAGCUUGAUCUAUUGGAGAGAUCUUGCUUGGCAUACUCGUGGAGUAUCGCCUCAUAAAUGUCGUGCGGGCCCGAAGCGGUGUAUGGUGGAUGGAUGAGAAGUAAGUGGUGAUCUACGGUUUGGAAAUAUCAAUCCGGUUGACGGAGAGUCAUCACGGGAAGAUAUACGAAUGAACUGGCAAAGCAAGUGGAACUUAGCUCUUGAGAGCUACCAUAUCCUUGAAUCGUUUCUGUUUACAUUUUUUUGGCAUUGUUAAUUACUUGCAAGUUAUCACUUGAACUGUUACUUGGGCUUGUUACCUGAACUAUGUGCCUGCAUGUGUGUUCUUGGCCUCACAAGCAUUUUGCUCACCCUAUAGAUUUGUUUUCCUUAACAGAUUUGAACUCGGAGGCGUACUGGAAAAAAACCUCCUGAUGAGCUUUUGUUUAGGGUUUCUAUUACUUUUGGCUAUGUCUUGGCUUUUGGGUUGUAUUUUGGAAUCCGAAUGUAACUUUUGGAGCAUAUGUAUAUUUGGGAUAUAUGAUGGUUGUUGAAUACCCGAUGUGCGGAUUGGAUAACGGAUGACUUUUAUUAAAUUUGAACGCUUCCGCAUUUAUUAUAUCUAAGUUAUUGACUCGUAUUGUGUGGUCCGGUAAUAAGCUUGAAUGGAAUUGUUUGAGUCCUGGCGAGAGUUAGGCAGGCAUUCUGCGGAUACCCUUUGGUUCGCCUUAGGGAGAAGUGGGGGUGUCACAAAUUCGGUACAUGCCGAAUUCACCGAAUUCUAAUAUGGUAUGAAAUAGGUAAUAAGAUUGUGAAUUUGGUAAUAACCGAUUUCGCAUUCAAAUUCGGUAAUUGAAAUCGGGUGCCGCAUUACCACAUUCGAAUUACCAAAUUGAUAUAUAAAAUUAUAUAAUAUAUAGAUAAAUGCUAUUUAGUAUUAGUAUAUACUACUAAUACUUUAUUAUAUUAUAUAGGUAAAUGCUAUUAAUAAUAAUUAGUAUAUGGUAUUAUCAUCAUAUCAUGUACUUAUAAUAAUAAUAAUAUAUAAUAAUGUACAAUAUAUUCUUUUAGUAUUUAUUAAUUGUUAUAUGACUAUAAUAAUAUAAAUAUAUAGUAAUACAUAACAAUAUAAGAUAACUAUAAUACUUAUUAUUUUAUACAUGAGUAACAUGACUAGAAUUAGAUAAUAAUUAAUACAUAUAUGUAUAAUACUAAAUAUUAAACAAUAAACAUAAUUAAUAAUUAGAAUUUAGAUAUUGGUAAUUUGAUAUAUCAUUCAUGUUUGAAUUAUUGAAUAUUUGAAUGCGUAAUCUGUAACUUGCAAGUAUUAGUGUACUCUACAUAUUUAACAUAAAAAUUCAUAUUAUCUAUUCACUAAUCUUAAUUCUUAAGGCUUUAGCCUUUAAGUAUAGAUAAGACAACUAAGCAGUUAGCAGUGUAAGUGAAUGCAUAUGAAUUGCAAAUCAAUGUAUUAGUGUAUUGACUUUCACGAAUAACAUAUGUAAGUAAAUAAGUUUUAUUUUGAUUUGAAAUAAAUUAUAAGUUUGUAACUAAUAUAACUUACCACUAAUCAUUGUAAUUUGUAAGUUUGUAACUAAUAUUACUUAUUAUUAAUCAUUGUAAAUUAUGAAUUCAUAAAUUAUCACUAAUCAUUGUGUUCCUUAAAUCAUAGACUAAGGAUUCUAGGUAAAAGUUAUCAAAUAAGUUAUAAUUCAUAUUAUCUAUUUACUAAUUUAAGGUUUUAAGUAUAGACAAGACAACUGAGCAGUGUAAGUGAAUGCAUGUAAAUUGCAAAUCAAUGUAUUAGUGUAUUGACUUUCACAAUAACAUGUGUAAGUAAAUAAGUUUUUAUUUUGAUUUGAAAUAAAUUAUAAGUUUGUAACUAAUAUAACUUAUCACUAAUCAUUGUAAUUUGUAAGUUUGUAACUAAUAUUAUUUAUUAUUAAUCACUGUAAAUUAUAAAUUCAUUGUAACUACUAACUAAUAUUACUUAUUAUUAAUCAUUGUAAAUUAUAAAUUCAUAAAUUAUCACCAAUCAUUGUAUAGUCUAAGGUUUAUUCUAGUUUAAAUUAAUAGAUAAAUUAUUACUUUUUUUUAAUAGAUGAAUUUGGUUAAACCGAAUUCAUUACCGUUUUCGAAUUUGAAAUCGGUUGCGGUAUGAAUUUGGUUAUGGCUAAUUCAGAAUUGAAAACGGUUUAGAUUUCUAUAUGUAGAAUAACCGAAUUCACCGAAUUCAGUGCACCGAAUUACCGAUUUUGCACCGAAUGCACACCCCUAUUCCCAAGUUACAGAAGUUUAUGAUGUGUAUUAGGGGUUUCCUCAGCAAUUCGACAGCAUCUGGUGCAUCGUCCAUGGAACCAACGACAGCAACCAAAUCUGCAACAAUCCACGGUUACGGUGUCCUCAUCUCCAAAUUUAUUCUCACGGAUCUCCUCAGCUGUUUGACAGCAUCUCGUGCAAUAGAUGAGGUACCAGCGGCAGCACGAAAUCUGCAACCAGUUAAGUGAUCAAUCUCACCUGAACUGGCAUCCAGCGGUCUUCAUGUUGUCGUGAUCUGUUUCAAGACAUAAAUAUUAGGAGCAUCGUCUUAAACUCCAAAACGUUAGGUGACUGGCUAGGUUGAAAAUUUGCAAGAUAUAUGCAAAGAAAUGAAUACUAUGGAUUAAACAAAACUGUCUAGGCAUAUGAGAUGGUGCAACUUGGAUAUGAAUUAUUUCGUCUUAUAAGCUACUAAUUAAAUAUUUAAUUUGGGUUUUGACGUUAGUUUAAUCUUUGUCCUGUUAAACAAUAGUGUGACAUUUUGGAACGUUUAUCCUUACAGUAAUACUAUAAGGAUGUGAAAAAGAUAUUAGCACUUUAAUAUAACUUCCUUGAUACUAUACAAAUAGCCUAUCAUAAAAAUUCACGUCCCAAUAAUGUGUCUCCUAAGCUCCAUUCAUUUAAGUAUUCAGGUUCAUCCAAAUAAAUAAAUAAAGGAAGGAGGAAAAAGAUUAGGUGCAUUCAGUUGUUGCAUCAGAGGAAAUGAGGAGUACAAGUGCAAAGAGAGCACCACUAAAUUUGUUGAUAUCUAGUGACAAUUGCAUUGAGCUAAACAAUAUUUGUUGAUAUCUAAAUGACCUCAUUUUUUAUGUUGAUGGGACCUAAUGUCAAUAUCGUCAAGGAAAAAUUGACUGUAAUACCCUCAUUUAGAAGCAAAAUAUCAUAUUCCAAUUUUACCAACAUGCCAUCAAAACUCGUCACCAAAAUUUAACAACUUUACUAAAACUAAUUUUCAAAGGCUGGUGAGCUUUGGAGAAGAUCUGAACAUUAAGCUCCAAAAUAUUUCAUUGGGUGAAGGAAAAUUGUUGAAAAAAGUGGCUUAUUAGCUUUAUUCUUUGAUAUUUAUAUAUAAUAAUUAAAAGAUGAAAACUUUUUUAAUUGAAUGUGGAUAUUCACAACAAAAUGAGGUACCGAAUGGAAGUUUAUGGUCUUCAUGAUUGAUGUGGUUCCAUGAAUAAACUCGUAGAGCUGAUAAGAUGAACAUUCUGGCCUUAAGAUGAGUUUAAAAUGUAGCCAUGGUAGACAUGAUGAGUCAUUUAAGGACCACAUCAUGCAUAUCUUGAUAUUAUAUGAGCAAUUUGCGAUGGAUAAAGCCAUGCAUAUGCAUGCAUGUGCUUUAUAUAAUGUGAAAAUGGAUGAGUUAGAUAAAGCUUGGUGAAGUAAAGUUAGUAUACCGAAUCGAUUUUGACGUGUGAGUAGGAUUUUCUGCUUGGUUGCUCUAUUUUAAGUGAUUAUCACUUUGUUGACAAAGAUCUUGUCGGACAAUCUCCCAAAAUAAGUUUCUAUCGUUUUUCUUUACUGAAUCACGAACAUUUCUUUAGUGAAAUUUUAAUCUUAAAUUAGGUUGGACUAAUUAUUUGGAGGGAACAUUUUAGAUGGCAAGUGACUCAUUCACUCCUCAUUUUUGCAUAUAUAGUUGAAAGAAAAACAUAAGUUUAAGCAACUAAUGACUUUGUAAAUAAAGAUUGUAUAAGAUCACUUCCAAAAGUAAGUUUCUAUACCAUAUCUUUGUUGAGUCUUAUCAAGAAAAUUUUGGAGGGAAAAUUAAUCUUCAAUUAGCUUGGACUACAUUAAGCUACUACUUGGUUGAUUGUCAAUUUUAUCAUUUUUAUUGUUAUUAAAAAAUCCAUAAUGUGAACACAAAAGUAAACGAGGAUAUCACAAAAAUUGAUUAUCUAUAAUCAAAAUCUCUAAAUAGUUAAAAUAGUCAAUAAAAAACAAGCAUGUUGUAGUAUAAAAUUUUUUAGGUAGACUACUUUGUCUGUACCUUUAUAUGUUGACUACUAAUUGAAAGCUACCAUGAAUUUUGGAUAAAUAGGACGGACCUGAUUCUACUCAUGGCAUUAUUGUGUAUUAAAAACUUAUUUUUUUCCUUUUAGCUGCUGUGCUUCAUGCCAUUUGGAAUAGUUCACUCCUCAUUUUAUAUGUUUUUUCUUUUUUUCUUUUUUGGAAAUAGCCCUUUUUACAACAUAAAUAUGUUACAAUAUUUCUUUUAGGGCCUAUAAAGGUAAAUAUGGAACAAAGUGUGCUGACAUCAUUUCUUGUCAAUCUAUUGCAUUUCUUUUGUGGACACGGGCUAACUUGGUUACAAAACUAGUUAUAAGUAAGAGUGAUCAGCGUAAUAUCGAAAACAAGAGGGGCACUAGGUGAAAUUGUCCAAACAUUCAGGGGAAGUUUGUGAAAUUAUCCCAAUAGUUUGAGUACCUGCCCUGUUACUUGCAUUAGAGUGGCCCUUUAUUAUUGACUAAUGCAGACGUCCAUGUCUGCACUCUCAGGACGGAGGAAUAAAGUAUUUGUUGUCCUUGUGCGAGUUAUACAUAGUCUUUCUUGACUGCAAAAGUUGAUAAUUGAGCUAAAGAAUCGAAAGAUAAUGUGGCCAUUUUUCAAUCUCUGAUAGGAAGGAUAUCAAUCUCCUACUUUUCCGUCUUCAUGUCUGGAUUGUAUAUCAAUUUCUUUUUCUUUUUCGUUUGUUGGUUAGGUAAACUUUCAUUUUCAUCAGUCUAAAGGCCUAAAGGUCCCUGCCCAUUUCAGAAAUUUACUGAUUUUAAGUGGGCGUAAUAGAGCUUUAAUUAACUCUAUCAAGAUCUUUAUACAUUACGAGCAACUUUCCUGUUAAAAUACUAAUUCAAACAAGCUGUGCAAAUUCAAGGAUGGAACUAGAUGUUGAAAAGGAAUAGUUUAUACUUCAUAAGAAGUACUGAAUUCGUGGAUUAAUUUUCUUGUGCUAUUGCUUUAGAGUUUUAUUUACAUGAGUAGAUUUGAAUGCGCGAUAAGUAAUUGUGAUUCAAACUUGAAGUCAUAUUUUUGCACAUGAAAGAAAUAGUCCAAAAUAUUUUUUUUCUUUUUAGAACUCUACAUGUAGCUUUAACUUGACCAGUCCUAUUACUAGUCGUUGACGAGCACGAGGUAUACAUACAAUAAUUAAGUUCAUUUUACAUUUAUAAAUUGCUAAAUGCUUCAUACACGAUUUUUUGCAAGCAUAUAGAUCGAGAUUGAGUAUAGGGUUUUAAAUGUCGGACUCAUAGGAAAGAUUGUCAAUUACCGAUGAUUUUCGAAUUAUUUUAUUAUUUAGACUAUCACAAGUACAAGAAAUUAAAUCUACGUACACUAUAAACAUGAGAUAAAAGUAAUAAAAAUAACAAUAGAAAGCUCCUAAAAGUAUGAAAUUUCUAACUACUCUUGCAAGUGAAGUUACUGGUUAAGUAAAUAUUAUUAUUUUAGCUAAUUAUGGCGUAAUUCCUAAUGUAUGUGAAACAUAUUCUCGUAGUAAAUCAACUAUACUUGUAAUUAAGCCAUACCUACACAUUCAAACAACCUGUGCAAAUUCGAGAAUGGAACUAGAUUUUGAAAAGUAAUAGUUUAUACUUCAUAAGAAGUACUGAAUUCUGGGAUUAAUUUUCUUGUGCUAUUGCUUUAAAGAUUUAUUUACAUGAGUAGAUUUGGAUGCGUGAUAAGUAAUUGUGAUUCAACCUUGAAGCCAAAAUUUUGCACAUGAAAGAAAUAGUCCAAAUUUUGUUUUCCUUUUAGAAUACUACAUGUAGCUUUAACUUGACUAGUCCUAUAUCUAGUCAUGGUUAAGAAGUUUCAGAAUAUUAGUAAGGUUAUGCAUGAUAAAUUCUGUAUUUAUCCAUUACUUUGUUAAGCCAAUCUCUAGAAAGGUUUGUACUUAUUAAUUCCUUUCGCCAUCUAAACUUAUUGAUAGAACGUAGUAAUUUGUGUCAACACCAGAAACCAGAAAACUCGACCACUAGCUUAUCGAACUGAAUUUAGGUCAUUAAUUUUUUAUGCCCGUCAACUUAAGAAAAACAACAUAUCAUGCAGAUUAAUAAGUGCAGUUCAGUCCAUAGGGUAAAAUAUAAUGCGAAUAGAAUUAAAUCUCUAAAUGUAUAUCCAAGAUAAAACGCGUAUGAUUGAAAUGAUUUGUACUAAAUUUGUUUGAAAUUGCAGUGCUAUAAGUCGAAAAUGUUAAGAGUGCAUGAAAAGCAUGGAAGACUAUGUACUAACUUGACAAAGUGACUUAUUUGAAUAAUAAUGAUAACAUUUUAUAAUUUUUGUGGGUCAAUUUUUGUUUUAAUCUCUUACAGUAACAAGCAUGCUUUGAUUUUUUUUUUUUUUUUUUUUUGGGCUUGUUUGGAUCAUGGCCAGUCCGUAAAUACAAUAAAACCCACCAACCUUUACUCAAAAAAAAAAAAAAAAAAGCACUUCCACCUCAAAAUUUACAAAAAAAAUGGAAGAAAGAAGAAACCCUACUCGUUCUCUUCCAGUGCUAUACGUUUAUCAGAAUAAAGGUCGAAACUUGCAAAAUAUCAUUCUUGAAAGCAUUCAUUAUUCAUCCUUUUUGUCUUACGUCAAAGUUAGACAUCUUGCAAUUCAUAAUUUUCAUGCUUGACAACUCUUUUGGAUAAGAUUGAUGUUCCUCUGAAUAUCAACAUUAAAAUUUUUUUUUUCGAGUAAGUUGUACCGUCGAUACUGAAGAACUUUGAUUCCUUUCUCAGGAAGGAAUAGGAUUGGGUUUAACUCUUGUCGAUACUGAAUUUUUUUUACAUUGUAAUGACAAGGAACGAUGAAGAGCACAACACACAUAUUGAAUAUUCUGCACAUCUUAUAUCAAACACAGUAAAUUCUAGCAGGUCCAAGGUACAGAAGUUUACGAUGUAACUGAGAUAGAGAUCAUCAAUUGUGUUGAUGAUCAAGUGGAUUUAUUUAUUCAACAUGACAACAACAUAAGAAGAGCACUCGAACUGAGUACUCAUUACAUGCUUCCCCUGUUUAUUCUACACCAGUUCAAAGAGAAGCCACAUAAGUCUUUUACACAUAGAGGAAAUCAACCAUCAAAAGCAAACACAACAUUACAUAUUAAGGUAAUAAUAUAGGUGUCACGGAUCCUGUGUCACACCCUUAUUUAUUUAGCAUUAAUUUUUGACCUCAUCUC